UGAUGGCGGGAGGUUUGUCACCUGAUGAAAGAGAGCUCGGCCUCAGCUACAAGUGGUAGUUAGCAACCAGUAGUAGUCUGCUUCAGCAAAGGCUACUUUAUGAACAGAAUUUGGGAUUUAAGCAACAAAUAUGCAGGAACAUCUGGGCCACAACUCACAAGAAGAACCUGACCACUGCCAAAAAGUUAUCUACAACACCGAGGGAUUUAUUUGAGGCAAGAUGGAGGAUCUGUCGAAGUGGAAAACAACAAGGAACCACUGUAAAAGGUAGGAAAAUGUCUCUUUUCUGUUAUUGUGGUCUGUUGCUUAGAGUUUAAGGUGCUAAAUAUUUUAGUAGCUUUAGUUUUGUGGUUUGGUUUGUAUGAGUGGCUACUCAUAUUGGUUUGGACAUGGUUUGGAUAUCAUCUGCUAAAACACCAGCUAAAGUGACAUUUUCUGAGUGACAUUACCACCAGCUGUACCUGGUGAGGUUACUCUGUAGGCCUUUGCUCAAAUACUGAUAUUGUCAUUUGGACUGUUUCUUCUGGUUUUGUAUUAGAAAAAGAAAAUUUACAUUAGAGACACAUAAUGUCUUUGUGUCUUUAUGUAGUUCAGCACCAUCAUGGUAGAGGUAUAAUCCACAAACUACAAUAUGCAUUACUCAUGCUCAUAGACAUCCAUGUUGGUCCCUUUGUGUCCUCUGACCAGAUAGGCAUGUGGACACACACACUCACACACAUACUGUACUUGAACUGCAGGACAGCUGACCUUUAGAGACUCAAAACAUCAACACAGAGGUUAUUAAGUGCUCAGACACAUGCAUGCACAUGUAUUUGAAGAGUGAAUCACAGUGUUUUAUGUGGUUAUGUAAUUGCGCAUUCUCUUAUCAUAACUGUGAAUAGAUAAAUUGUGCAGCACUUCGAGUUAAUAAGUUGCUCUUCGUGCCAGUACUCUGGAAACAACAACACAGGUCCUUUUACCACUGUUAUUUCUGAGUUUGCCUUUUCUGUUUUGUGCAAAAAGACUAAACAUGUGACUUUCUAUAUCUUACAAAACUUUGAUAACACUUUGUUAACCUUAAUCAUUUUAUUACCUUGAACGGGGCAGAAUAACCCAUAAAAAAUAUGAAUUGUAAGAGAGUGAACUUAAACUCAUCCAACUAUCAGUAAUUAUAGCACAAAAGAGUAUGCAAGCGUUGAUAAAAUGAUCUCACACAGCGGUAAAGCUUAGAUCAUCCGAGAGUCAAAAUGAACAGUACAGUUCUCUUCUUCUUCUCCUUCAGUGAUAGAUUUAAUCCUCCUCCCUUCAACAAGUUUAUUUCUCACCACUUACUCUCAAUUUAUGUUGCUACGCACCUGGCUGGAUAUUUCUCCUGGUGUAUAUCUUUCUGAGAGAGAUGCUUUUUUUUUUUUGUCUGACAGUGUGUCAAAGUCUGCUCAUAAUAGAGAGGCAGAUCUCAAGCAUAUCCUGAGAGUUUGGGAUAAAGGACAGUGCCAUGGACAACUUUGUUGAUUAGUUUGUAUCCUUACAGUCUCAUUUAAAGCUGUAGCACGGACAUAGCAAAACUGGUCCGCUUCAACAUCCUGUCAUGGCUUUUUAGAGAGUUAUCAAAGAGAAUAAAAUCAAUGCUGAUGCACCUAUACUACAGAUACAAGUAAGACCACCAGGAAAUUCUCCCAGUGGUGGUUAAAGUUAUUCUACUGCUCGUCUCCACUCCCACUGCUAGUCUUCAUCUCUACCAUUAUUAUCAGGACUAGUAUUAGGAUUUAUUUUAUAGUUUACAAUAUUCAGAGUAGAGUUCCCUUAUAAAAGUGAUGUCCUACCUACCAAACAUGACAUCCAGAAUAGCUUUUUAACAAAAAAAGGCAAACUGGUAAUGAAUCAAACACACCCUUCAAAGUACUCUCUCUGUCCCCAUCUAUGUAGUUGAAACUAAAGUGAACAUCUUGAAACAAACGACCACCUGUCGAAAUUAUUCUGCACAAAUUGCUGCCCUGAAUUUGUCUUUAAUUUUUGACUCAUCAUAUGGUAAAUUUUAUGGUAUAAUCAAACCAAACCAAACCAAAUUGCUCUUUAUUUUAAUUAAUCAUUAUUGAUUUGAAUAUUUGCUAUCAAGGAUCAAAUUGAAUUGAAUCACAAAGAGAUUUAUCCCCGUGGAAGCGCCACGCGCGGAACGGAAGCACCGCGCACAGAGUUUCAGAUCGGCGCCCAUGUUAACCUAUGAGACUGUUCACACAGCUCGCGCGCGGAACGGCUCGCGCUCUGGAGCGCGGCUGCUCCGCUUCUCUCGAUUUUUGGCGCAAGCCGCGCGCGCCGAUGUAAAGCUCAACAGAGCAGAUCGGACCAGACAGGAAGUCAGGAAGGAGAUGCGAGAGAAUCCGGUCAAUUUUCAAAAUAAAGUAAAUUUCAAUAAAUUAGAAAAGGAUUGACGGUGUUGCUUGUCAGUCUAUUUUUUUUUUACCGAUGAACACACACACACACACACACACACACACACACACACGCGCGGAGGGAGAGCUGCAGAGAUUCAGUGAUGUUAUUGAGACGGGGGGGGGGGGGGGGUACUUUAUUACGAUACAGUCAAUAGCCUCGAGCUAACAAGGCUAUACAUACAACGGAGUCAACAGACUCCCCAAUUUGUUUGUCGUUUACCCCUAUAUAAUAAUUUAAAACAAUACUUGAAGAUGCUGCCAAUAUUUAAUUUAUGUAUGACGAAAUAAAAACGUAAAUAAAUAUUGAUUUACCCAUUUUUAAAGCGCUCGUAAGUGUGGAAAACUGAGGACAGACGGAAACGGCCGAGCACUGCCGGGCUCAGUCGAUGUCUGACCGGCAUGUCAGAGCGCAGCAGAAAGCGCUUCCUGUGUGAACAGCCAAGCGUGAGCCGGCGCUGCGCGCGCGGCGCUGCGCGCGCGGCGCUUCCGUUCCGCGCGCGGCGCUUCCUGUGUGAACCAGGCGUAAGGUUAGAUGUUUGAGUCAGUGCUCCUUGCUUUUUUGACAUAAUAUAACACUGGCUUCAGACUUGAAGUUGGCCACCACAUUUUUUCUUUCGAUUCUGUUCCCACAUCCCCGACAUGCCCAUGGUAUGAAAAGUUGUUGCAGCUUUUGCAGAAAUACUAACUUGGAAACUCAGCCAAAGAAAUGCAAGGCCACAGCCACAUGCAAUGCUCCCAGGUACAUGUGAACACUGCCCACACAGCUCUGAGAGCAGGAGAGCUCAGCUGUCUUGGUCACACACUGAGAAAUUUGUUGCUGCUGUGAAUAGUAUCAGGCUCUGUAUCCUUAAUAAGAACAUCUAUUUAAGUAAUCUCUGACAGUGUGUAAGAAAAAUGCCACUUUCAGUGAUCAGUAAUGUUACAGUUUAAGUAACACUCUACUUUACACCUCUCGCAAAUUGUAAUGGAAUACAAAAAAAUCCUGCAAAGCAAAUUGUUACUGUUUAAUGCAGCCGCUGGCUUUACCUUAUUAAUUUUGUCCCUUCUUAUCUCCAGUUUGACUUUAUAUGUCUCAUUUGCAUGCAAGCAGUGAAGCGAACUAGACAAAAAGUUGAGAAAAACGAAGAGAUAGGAGGAAUUGCUCACCUGCAAUGUGCACUGUUUUAUUUAUGAAGGCUCUGCCAGGCAAGAUGGAGACAAAUUACCUUUUAACAAUGUGAAAUAGAAUUUUGUUUACACGGCUAUGCUUCCCCUUGCUUUUUCAAAUGAGAUUUUUCACAGCUUCCUCAUUUGUAUCUCACGGCAUUAUCGUCUCAAUCUUUCAAAACCAAUCAGUCUCAAGAAAAGAGCAGAAAAAAGAGAAGAAUGAAUCACUGCUGUUCAUAAAACAAGCCAUUAGGUAUAUUUAUGAAUGCACACCACAUCAGCCACUGGCCUCUGACUCCCCCCUCCUUCUCUGCUCUGUUUUGUCAAUCCACUGACAUACUCUCCACAAUGUUAUUUAAAGCUCAGUACUGUCUGCAGCAUGGUAGAGUGCCCUUUGUGUAAGCCUCAGUGGCCGGGAUUCAAGAAAAUGUUGACACAACAGAAGGCAAAAUGAGGUCGGAAAACAAGCACUCUGUGCUAAAACAGAAUUUUAUGUUCUGGUAUCACAGGUGUGAUGUUCCACUCUACCUAACCCCAGUAUCCAUUUCAGGCAUUUUGUGUUGUUGUAAUAAAAGACUAAAUGACAAGAAAUGGAAAGAGAGCUAAUCAUAUGGUGUAAAAAUGAACUGUGAGUAGGGUUGUACCGAUACAACUUUUUGACUUCCGAUACGAUGCCAAUAUUGUAGCCUUAAAUAUUGACCAAUACCGAUAUUAAUCAGAUAUUGGCUCAAAAUUGUGUAUGACAAGUUUUUCACUCAGCAACAGUGUCUUUUUUAGACUUGGACAAAAAAAAAUACUGCCACAAGACCAACAUCACUCUUAAGGUCCUUUCACACCAAGAUUUUUCUAAAGUUUUGCAUACUGUGUGUCCACUUCUGACCAAUCAGAUUUCGUGUUGUUGCGACGUCAGAUUCACUGGUAUAUCCAACAUGGCCGAUCGGCUGAUUGUUUACGUGUCGGAGAACAGAGUGCUACUUGAUAAAAGACACAAAUAUUACAAAGAUAACGACCUGAAGGACAACUUGUGGAGAGUCAUAGCAUCGGAUUUCUGAUAUGACGAUGGUUUGUGUGCUUUAACAUUUGAUAAACGUCUUUGUUUUAACAAUUAUCUGUGCUAAGUAACUUAACUCGUAAGCUAACCUGUUCAGAUACAACAUAUCAUAUGUAUGGUAUGUUGCUGUCACAGCACCAUUAGGUCUCGGUUGUUACCUUACAUUUAUGGAUUAUCGUUUAAUGUGCUUAUCUGGUACUGGCCCCAACUCAGUACAUGCUAUCAUGACAGACAGACAUCUCAACACUAGUGUCUAAUCAGAACUGAAAAAUAGUCAGUCCGGUGUUGUGUCAGUUUUCUCGCUUCCACCCGAGACACUUUUUUUUUUUCCCCUCGGAAAGUUGAAAAAUCGCAUUGUGCUUGAUGUGUAUAGUCAGGUGCAAGUAUUUUGUGCGAAGGCCGACACAACCCGAUUUUCAUAUCGGACUGAUAUCCAAUAUCAAUGUUGGAGCUAAAGCUAAGCUAAGUCAGUGGCAACAUCUCAAUAACAAACUUAGAAAUCAAUCAGGACCCACUGAUUUAUACAUGACAUUAUUUAUAAUGAAAGCAAAAUUGGAGUCCCUAGUUAAAUUAGCAGUGCUGAAUUUCAAAGUUAAGGAAGCAGGUAUUUCCCGAGUGAAAAACAUUGCAAGCCUCCACACUGAACUUGCAAAAACACCAAAAUCUUGUAAGCUGUCCUAUGAUGACAAGCCUGUUGUACCACAGAAAAUGCCAAAAUAAUGUUGUACCUUUAAAAAAUGAGUACUUGCUACUAGUAACUCAGGGGAAAUUUCUCAACUUUACAUGGUCAGAUUUCAGUUAUCAGAAGUAUCAGUACUUAAUGUUGCUCAGUUUAUGUAUUUUGUUUCUACAGUUUUACUCACCAACUUAACUCUCUUGGACAAAAGUGAGUCUCUCCAUCUGUUUAAACCAGAGGCUAUCAUCUGAGUUUUGACCUAUUUGAAUAAGUGGAAGAAGAAAUGCAAGUCAAUAUAGAAAGUAUUGCAAAGUCUUGUAGACUCCUAACUCUGUAGGAAAAAAAGAACAUUUUCAGAAGUGACAUAUCCUCUCCUGAUAAACAUACUUAUAUAUUUUGACACUGCCAAAGACCAGAGCAGUUCAGGACUCUCUUUUGUCUGCUCAGUAAUCUUAUUUUCAAUUACAGAAGUGAUCAACAACCCGUGUUUUACAAAGUGAGCCUUUUUAAAUCUACUCAUACUUGUUCUGUCUGGAUGCAGAAGCUCAUAAUUUUUAAAGUAUAAAGAAUUGGUCAUGCAUUAGAUGACAUGCAUUCACCAACCCUUUGUCUUUUGUAGUUUCUAGAAACACAGACCCUCAGCAGUGCUGUAAAAGCAGACAAAAAGUUAUAUUUGCUUGGCAGCAACAUCAGUAAGGCAAAUAAAACUACAGUAUAGCUUUCUCCAGACCAGCCUUUCUCAUUGUUGUAGCCUCCGUUGAAGGAAUGAGAGCUGUUAAAUUUUUACAACCCUUAGAUGGUGCAAUGCAUUGUACAUUUUUUAUAAUCUAACAAAAAGCUUCCUGAUGGUGGGUGUCCAGUAAAAGUGGGCCGGCACGUAUUCUUCUCUUCUCCCUGUGUCUGUCAGCAACAAGGAGAGAACAUGUGGUUUCUUCAUAACUGUGCACUAAUGUGCUCACUGUAGUGCUGCCAAACUCGCUGUGCUGGAUAGAACAUAAAGAUGGAAGAGGUAGCUGUAAACAGGACCUCCCCGUACCCCCCCUCUCAAAGCUAUAGAAUAGUGCUGAUGAGCCAAAUAAAAACCUGAAAACAUGGCUUUCUCUUCACUUCUGUUUGAGUCAGCAGGGACGAGAGGUGGCAGAGGUAAAUUGAGGUCAUCAAACAAAGAGAGAAUAUGGCACUUUGCGCCGUUGCUCAAGCACCCAAGGCUGAGUGAUUGAUAUGCCGUUGAUCAAGUUCCAAAUCUUCUCUCGCUGCUUUCUCUUUCUCCAUCUCGACUUCUUAAAUUGCUAUCAGCUCAAAAAAUGUCACAUUUAUGGCAACAAUUCAUCACUUAGUCCAAGAUAUGGGUUAAAAUAGACUGUAAAGUAGCAGCAGAUAUUUGUAGGCACCAUCUGGGGCAGAGAAAUGAAAGCAUUUAUUUACAUAAAAUAAACAGCACCGGCAGACAUAGCAGCUUAUUAAGCCAAUAGAGGUACAACACUUACAGUUUCAUUCACUUGGAACAUGUGCUCUACUCAAAACACAUGCAGGAGUUCUCUCUGGCCACUAUAUUAAGUCCCUUCACAUGUGAAUAUUAGAAUAAAAUUGAAUUGUCUAAGUGCCAUUUCUCAACCAGUCUGACACUCCUAUUUCCCUACUCCACCCUCGUAUUGUUUCUAAUAAUAUAACUGGCAUCAAUGACAUUAUCAAAGCAUUUUUUUUCACUCCUGCUCAGUUACAUUUGUGAUAAAACAAAUGUACAUCUACUCCAUUACGUUAGGCAGCACCUGUUACUACUUUAGAUAUUCUCUAAUUUAUUUUAGAUUAAUAAUGUUUUACUCUCAGCCAUACUCUCAGACUGAGAGAUUAUACCUUUAAAAAGGUUAGACCAUCUUUUAUAUGGGGUGUGGUGAUUAAUGGGGUGUUGUGUAAUUGUUGUGUUUACAGCAUUGGCUACAAAAAUAGCAGCAGGAUGUUGUGGCUUGCUUUUAAAAUCUUCUCAUUUCACCAGGCUGGCAGCUUUUCUGUGAUAAAGUAUGUGUGUCUUUACAACAUCCAGGGACCUUUCCAUCCCGUGGAGAAUAUCAGUUUAUGUUCAGUGACUGUUGUCAGUCAAUCUCAGAAAAAUGACGGCGAUCUGUGAUGAUUUAUAUAUAUAUUUAAGUGAAUCAGUGUAAUCGCUGUUUUGGUCUAUCAAUCACUAAGAAGCCCUAUCUGAGAUAACCUGGUUGUUAGCUCCAGUGAAAGGCCAGUCCAGGUUGGGACAGACCAGACAUUAUUAGUAGAUCUGCUCUUUCUGUGUACCAGUGCUUGGGUGCUUGAUGAACAUAUGAUCAAUUCUUAUUUCACUCAAGUGUGACAACUCCAUGUAAACUUUUUGACACCGACCAAGAAAAAUGGCGAUUCUUGGUCAUCAGUUGAAUGACAGUGAUUUUCCCGGUGGCUUAUUUUGAUGUACUUCAUCAUGGAGAGGUGAGCCAAUGGGCGCUAAAUGAUGCCAAGUUGUUGUUUCAUGCAUUUGAUAAAAUACAACAACUGAUUAUUUAAAAAACUUGAAUCAACUCUUCAUCAAAUUAAUGUCAUAUUAUCCCUUACAUCAGAAUCGUCUUCAACAGCAACUGCCAGUAACUGUAUAACCUGAAUAAUCUAUCUUGAGUUUUUAAUAGCCAUCGCAGCAUAGGAAGGAGGACUUCCUCUUGUGUAAUGCCAUUGUCUUGAAAGACUUCAGUAGACAACAGUAGUCGACAUAAAAGGAAACACAGCUCUUUAAAUAAAGCAGAGCAGCUGGCUGGAAGGCGGUUUUUUGUGUGUCAUUGUCAAUCAUCUGUACUGUGACAGCUGUACAUGAACACUGGAGGGACAGACUACAUUGCCUGUACUCACAUUCAGAAAAUAAUCAGGUUUUUGGCCUUAAAAAAAGACAAGUUUGUUUAUUUAUUUAUUUACUGCAAAAGGUGGCUGUAUGCUGAUGUCGUAAAGUUGAGUUUCAUUCAUGGUCAAAGGAUGAUCAUCAAUUAGAAGAACAAAAACAGAUUUUUUUAACAUGUCUAUCACAAAAUGCUGUGUAUGAAAAAGUUAGGAUUUUUACAUUUGGAAUUAGGGGUGUCCCAAUACAACUUUUUUUUACUUCCAAUCCAAUACUGAUAUUGUCGCCUUCAGUAUUGGCCGAUACCUGUAUUGAUCCGAUAUUGGCACAGACUUGUGCAUGAGAAGUCUUUUUCGGACUUUAAUGAAAAAUAUUGCCACACAGCCGACAUCACCCCUACUCUUUGCUACUUUGUUAGUACUGUAGUUCACACUGUUGUUGUGAUUACUUGAGCUCUGAAUGCUAGAUCCAGGCGCUGCUAGAUAGAGGUGCCGGAGUGGAGUCUGGAAUGGACUGCUUGUAUCGGAGUGCUGAUAUCAGGGAUUUUAGAUAAAGGCCGAUAUAAUCCAAUAUCCGUUUUUUUGCUGAUAUCAGACAGAUAUCCGAUAUCAAUAUUGGAUCGGGACAUCCCUAUUUGGAAUUAAAACAGAAAGUGAGUGUUGAUGUUAACAUUACUGGGUAGUUAAUUUACGGACAUUACACUGUUAAAUGUUAGUUUUUUUAUUGUCAAACUCACAAACACACGCUUUGUAUGCAGGUGAUAUUUUACUCCUCUAUUCCUCUGUGUCCUCUGCUCCUCAACCCUUCAGUGCUCCUUUACCCUCUGCUGUGUGCUGCAGUGUAGACACUCAUUGAAUGGAAAUAGGAAAACAAGACCCUCUUCAUCCCCUCUCCCUCACAACAGAGCACAGUGGAUCUGUCUGUUGUUCAAGCAAAGUUUUAGAUAUUCCCCCAAAUAAGUGACAGACGUCAGACAUUUUCUGUCAGUGCAGUUAGGAACAGCAAUCACUCUGAAGCCUUUUAAGAUUUUACAAUAAUUUAAAACCUACCAGAACAGAAAUUUGAGGCAGAGCAUAAAAAAUCCAACACCAUUAGGAAACCCAUUCUGCAUUAUUACCUCUUGCAAAAGAGGAUUUUGGAUGAAGGAACAGGAGUCCUUUUUUCCCUUUUUAUAGCUAGAUUUUCUCUUUUACCGAAGGACUUCUCUUUUGGAGAUGUUGUUCCAAAACAACCCUUCAGCUUGGAUCAUUUGGAGAUGCGUGAACACAAAGAUUGCAAGGAAACAAAACAAGCAACCUGAGAUAGCUUAGAGGAGUCAGUCGUGGCCCAAAUGAAUUCAAAAGCACUUUGUUUCAGCAAGAACUAUGUCAGCCCUGGAAAAAACAACAGCUGGUUUUAGACAGUAUGGUAAACAGCUCAUCAAAACAUCAGAAACGUUUCCUUCCCAUCACUGGGACCUCCACUCUCACCUGGCUGGUCUUGUAUCUUUACACAGUGCUGUUGGAAUUUAUUCAACAAAUGUGUGUAGUUGAUGGGGCAUUUGACUAGUGAUGGGCAUGGCGUUUAUUUGGAUGUACUGAAUCACUAGAAUCAGUUCACUACAAAGAUUUGUUCAAAAGAUUUGUUCACCCAAUCAAUCAGCGCUUGGCGGGAGGAGCCUGCGACUCUGUCUUCCUGAACUGAUACACUGCUGAACGGUUCAGGGUUCAGUACUGAUGUUAGCUUCUAGAACUAGGAGACGAGAGUGUUGUGGCUGUGUUGCUUUGACAAACAGGUUUGUAAAAAUGAACUUGUUUAUAAAUCAUGAUGUUUCAAGUGUAUUGUCCGAUGGUAUGCUAUUUAUCUGGUCUACUCAGUGAAUUGGGCUCAGUGAGCGUUUACCCCACAGUACGUUCAGUGAAGAAUUCAAGGAUCAGACAGUCAUGCAUUUCUCAAACUGUGGAUUCUAUACACUACUUGUUAAAAGCUGUAUCCUACUGUAUGCAAGUUUUGUUGGAAAUUUAGCAGAGUUUCACUGAAGUGAGAAAUGAACAAACCCAGCUGCAGCUUGGUAGCUGUCCAACGUGAGUCUGGUCCUUCCCAAGGUUUCUGCCUGUUAAAAGGAGGUUUUUCCUUGCCACUGUCACUCAUGUUAGAUGAGAUGAAUCAAAUCUAUCCCAUCUUAAGGUUUGGUCUUGAUAAUUUAUCAAACAAUGAGCAUGGUCUCGACCUGCUCUUUUUCAUUGGAAAGCACCUUGGGAUAACGACUGUUGUGAAUUGGCGCUAUAUGUAAAUAAAAUUUGAUUGAUUGAUUGAUUGAAUCACUUGAAGUGAUUUUGGUUCAGAACAUUCACUUAAAAGAUUCGGUUCUUUUGAACAAAUCAUUUGUGAACAACACAACACUACAUUUGACUUCCUUGCUGGUCAAAGUUGACCUGCGAGCCACUUUAUUGUAGGUUAACUGGCUAAUGUUAGUCUCUGUAGGGUCUUUCAGUCACUGUAAAAUAUCUGUGAGCCUUCUUUGCUGCUGGUGAAUCCACGUUCACCACAUCACUACCGUCAUAAACUACGUCAGAGUUACAGUUUCACACUGUUAGACAGCCUGCAAAAAAAAAUCUUGUUCUCCUCAUCUGCUCUCCUUAGAUCUUCUGUCUUCUAAAGCACAGUGAAAAGGUGAGGAAGUGUGAGUGAAGUUGAGUAUAAAUACUGUUUAUGUUGAACGUGGCUAACAGCCUUCUCUUCUUCCUUCCCUCAACACUCUUUUAGGCUUUAAGAUGCAGCUUUCUUCCACUGCUAUGACACAGCAAUUAGGUGUUUCAACACAUCUCAUAGUUCACUGUAGCUGAUACAUAGUCUGACCUCCCUCCAUCAUAGUCCAAUCAUCCCUUUAAUUAGCCCCACAGGUGCAGACGGGUUGUAGAUGUGGAAGAUUUAUUAAACCCAUAACCCUCCCCACAAACACAACAGCACUUGCGCACACACCCACACAAAUGUCAUGUUUAGUGCCUGUUUUGGAAAUAAGGGCUUGAAUUGAAUUUCUUUCCCAGAGCUUGUUAACGAUUGCAGUCAAGCUGCAUUAAGGUGAGGUCAAUAUAUCACUGAAUGUGCCUUUCCCAUAUCUUCUACAGGCCCAUAGUGGUAUUGACUGUUGUGAGUCACAUGUUUGCCUCCAUUGAUCCAUGGUCCCUGCUGGUAUAGCGUUUGAUGUUUUAAUUUGUCAUGAAAUGGCGAGACAUGAAAUUAGACAAGAAUUUUGCCACAAACUGAGAAUUUGAGUAUUUUUAUCCCUCAAACUCCAAGUAAACUCAAGAACACACUAAACUGAAUUUUUAAAUGUAUUUUAAUUUUAAGCUAUAACCGGUUUUGAAGUCGAUAUUCGAAAAGGAAAAGUAGGUUGCACAGCCUUGAGGGAUAAUAGUUGCCCUGAGGGGAGAGAUCAGUUGAAGGACUCCGGCAGACAAUGUCACAGGCUCCUGGCUCACUCACAGGACUGAGUAAGAAGUGAUGGUCUUGAUAAAGCCAUUGAAUACAAAAUGAGGACGUUGGAUUGGACCCCAAGGCUCUUCCGGUACAUAUUUAAAGUUUUUUAUUCUUGCUAAGUGAUUAUUCAUUUCUUUUCUUUUGCUUCAGCCUCCAAAACAUACUGUGGCAACCCAAACUGAGUUGUUUUACUGGGUUGUCAGGCUGUAUAUGCUACUGAUUAUGUUCAAACUCAGCAUUCUGAAUAAAAAUUGUGUCUUACGAUUGAUGAUAGUCUAUCUCGGUCCUCCAUUAUCACAUGAAUAUUCAUGUGUUAAACUCAAAUCCUAGCACUUUGUAUGAAUGUUCCAUCAUUUUUAUUUUCACAUUGAAAUGUCCUUCGAACAGUGUCCGUUUCAUCUUUCAUGAGUCGUUCAGAGUGUACUACAAAGUAAAGCAGGUGUACCUUUUGAUUUGUCAUAACUGUUUUAUUCAUGGUUUGUUUUGUUCUUGAGUUAACACUGUGUAUUUUCCAAAUAUUGGGGACAACAGAAGACAUAACAUUUUUCUUUGGGUCCUUAAAUGAGAAGUCUGAGAAUUUUCUCUGCCUAAGACCAGGUGGUGAUUUAAAAAAAAUGAUAUUUUAGUACAUGCUAAAGUUUUUAAGUUUCUUAUCUCACAAAGCUAAAGCUAGCUAUAAGUUGUACAAGUAAAGACAACUUUUGGUGUGAGGUAAAUUUUUGUUGGUUACUAUGCAAGCCUGCAAGAACAACUGCACAUCUCAUAAAAUAACCAGUCAGUAUCCGAGGUCAAACUCAGUCCCUGUCAGCACCUUUACAAGGGCGAACUCCUGGAAUAGGUCAUGGCUAGACUCCCCCCAGCCUGAUGUUUGAUGUCCUUACAUUAUUGGAACAUCCACAUAGUCCUGCUGUUACAGAUGAAGGAGCCUGGCACUGGUGCAUCUGCACUGACUGCAGAGACAUGUCAACAAACGUAGAGUAGACAAUUUGUGUUCUGGCAGCACGGCUGCUCGGGCGAGAGAGACGGAGCGGUGAUUCCAAGCUGCUGCGUCUGGAAAAUCUGUGGUGCUUUUCACGACCCAAGAGGACAAUAUGCUGGCUUCAGGGUGUGCUGCUUUGUGUGAGAAGUUCUUAAAGAUUAGUGUUGUUACAACACAAAUUUGCACAUGUUUUUUAGUUGUUUAUAAUUUCACAAGACAAUGAGGUCUGGGUGUGUCUUGAUUUAAAAUUCCCCUUUUUUUGGGCUAAAGAAUUUGCACAAUUUUUUAAUUGUCUGGUGUUACAAAUAUUUUUUGGUAAUAUAAUACCAGUAAUUAUGUGCCGUGCUCACUGAUUUUGAGUUUUAAUAACAUUUUAUUUGCAUAAUAGAAACAAAUUAGUGGUAAAAUUCAGCAGUUUGUUGUUUAAAAACAAGAAAAAUUCCAAAGAUCCCCCUGAGCUUUAUCAAACAGAAUGUAAUAAGAGUAUUUGCAACAGAAUAGGAUUAAGUAAGAUACACAACACCACAGUGAAAAAGAUAAAAUAGUCAUCAAGAAUAAACUGCUGCUUUUCUGUACCAAUAAAAACCACAGUUUUCUAUAAGAUAAAUUCAAUUAUAUGUAACAGAUUUGGCUUGUUGUGCUUUGGAAAGUUAAUGUAGAGCAGUUAUCUACAUGCACUGCAAAUGUGUCCCUCAUUACAGUAUUUUUCUUGAGCCGAUUUGAUAGAUUAUCCUGACUGCUUGAGGAAAGGAAAAUUUACAACACCCUGGCUCUUUGUUAUAAUGAACGCGAGUUCUGAUGGUGUGGAGCUGUGACUGCAGGCAGGCACAGAUUUUUAGCCUUCACUGUGAGGACUGGCCUCUCCUCGAGAAAUGUGAAUCAGAUCGGGUUCAGAUGCGGGUGGUGGUUGUGUUGCUGCAAGCAGACCUAGGUGCCUGGGAUCAUCAGGUCUGAGAGUCUGUCCCCUGAGGAGGCAUGUUCGCGUCUGAAUCCUUUUGGAAACAAUAGCCUUUGGAGGUCUAAUCUGUAACCAUAGUCUUGGUUGCUGUCAAGGCUUACACAGUCAAACUCUUGCACUUUUUUGUCUACGGAUGCACUGAUCCAACUUUUUUGUUUUAAUACUAAUGCCAAUACUGAUACCUUGGUUUUGGUAUUGGCUGAUACCAAUAAUAUCCAAUCCGGUACAAGCAUUAAAAUAACAACCUCUAUUCUAGAUCAGAAAUUAUGUUUUGGCAACACCAGGCUUUUCUUAUUUAGUAACCUUUUAAAAGGUACAAGUAAACAAAUUUAAAUGGACUAUGUCAUAGUUAUUGAUUACACAAACAUUCUAGUCAUUUUAGUUAAAAAAAAUAUUUCCUGCUCUUGACUAGUUCAACUAAUCAAUCAGAAAUUGAUAUCAAGGUUACACUGGGGUUUAAAUCUGAGGUGUUUCACUCUUUUAGUCCGUAAUGUCUUUCUGCCUAAUGCUCCAUCUUCAAUGAUUCAUCUUCAAUGAUAACUUAUGAAACAUCUCAUUAAAUCUGCUCACUUACGUACAAGAGUAAAACGAGGUUUUGACUCAGAGCUGUAAUCAGAGGAAAAUCAUCAAACAUUAAACUAACUCUUUAACUGGUUGUGUCCUAAUUUAGGCGCAGCUGAAAAAGUUUUGAAAUGUGAGGAAGAAGCAUGGAGGAAACUAGGAAAGUAAGAACGUUCAAUGUCUGAUGACUUGCCUUAAACAAUUUAGUCUCGUCACCAUCUCGUAGAAAAACAGAUGCUGCUUUAGUCUGAGUUUGUGUUAUUAAUUAAUUACUUUCAUACUUUUCGUUCUAUUUUUCGUACUUUUUUUUUCUUUUUUUUUGUAACAAAAUUAACACUGCUGCACCAAACUUUUAAGAUAGCCUUAAACAGGGGUUCAUAUUUAACACGAGACCUCACUCCUAAAUGGAAGCUUUAACCACAGAGACGUACUAUAAGACCUCUUUCUCUCACCAACAGACCCUGUGUCAGUAAAGAUUAUCAGGGCAGAGGUAGAGAGUGAUGCUGACCGUCUUGAUCAUUGGUAGUAUCAAACUAGUCGAGUGGUAUUUUUCGUCUAGAACAGUUUAUUCACUAAUCUUCUCUGUUAUUUAUCAGUCUUUCAAAAUAUCACCGAGAAGUUCGCGUAAUCUUCGCGCCAGUAACUGCAAACAUGAACCGUUUUAUUUCAUCUUUCGUUUGCUGUGCCACCACCAUCCCUGCAAACAUGUGUGUUUCAUUCUACAAGUCUAUGUCGGUGAAUGUAACCCUAAAGAGCUUUCUUCAAACCUCUAAACCUCCUUUGCUAGCUCCCCCCAUCAUACAUUUGGGUCUCCUUCUGGCAAAAUGCAGAGCUGCUGUCGCUGAUGAUAUAGUACGCGCACAUGGCUGUGGUAAACACAGACAUUCCUAGUACUGUAUGGGUCUACUUACAAUAAAGGCAUAUUGUAUGAGUUGUUUCAUAGUGCUGCAAAUCUGAAGUGGAAGCUGGAACUACCAACUCGGGUGUUCCACAACUAUCAUUGUGGGUGCUUACAUUUGUGACUAUGACUGUUUUGAGCAGGAAGUCGGUGGUUGUGGUGAUUAUAAUCAAUGGCUGCAACCAAAGUCUCUGUUUUAUUUACAGGCAGGCAGUAACCAAACCACUUUUCUGCAUACAAAGGGAUAUGGUUCUUGAAAUUCUUCAAAUCUGAGGUUGUCCUGUGGGAUAAAAAAAAAAGGACAUAGAGAGAAAUAUAGCUCUGUUUGUGGCAUUCUGCUCCCAUUCACUUCAUACUGUUCCAGAAAAGAGCAGUCCCCAGCUUGAAAAUCAACUUGAGGGAAAUAAAAUCAAGGGAAACACAUGUUUAGAUAGAUAUUCCACAUAAAUUUGUCAUAGUCCUAAAUGACAUGGGACAUUUAGAAUUUAUUGAUCUAUAUCGAUUAUAGAUCAACUACUUUGCUAAGUGCCUGUCAACGUGUGAGAGCUUGUCUUACAUUCACUUUUGCCAGGCUUCUUGCUUGGUCACUCUCCCUUUUCUUUUCAAUGGCGUGCUCUGUAAUGGUCCUCUUUUGUGUCAGCUGUAUUCAACAACAGCGAGAAGCAGUGGCUAGCUGCUGUUAUAAUGACUUGGUUUGACUGUGUGAGCCGAGUCAAGAACACCUCUCAGUGGCAGUUUUGGCUGCCCUGUUUUGUUGUGUUUCUGAGUGGAAUUGCUGUGUUCACUUGUGCUGCCACAAACAAUUAUCUUUACAAUCGACUGGUAACAGAUUAUUUUUGCGAUUAGUUGACUAAUCGGAUAAGCGUUUAAGGUAUGUGCUAAGGUUAAUGAAAUCCUCAUUUUUAAUGUUAACAUAAAAAGCUCACUCUUGACGUUAAUGUUAGCAGCCAGCUAGCCAAUUAGCGUACCGAGAAAGCUGUCCCACUUUGUCAGAAAGUGAAUCAGCUACGAUGUGCUUCCUUUUCAGGUGCUUGUGCAUUACUGUCAUGCUGCCAUGGAAGGCAAGUUCCAUCUUGCAGAUUUUGCGUUGCAUAUGCUUCUCUUUUAUUUCGGAAAAAUGCUCCCAAACUUUUUAGCUCUGUUGCUGGCUAGCCUUUUCCUGUAACGUCACAGUUGACCUGGAUUACUACUACUGCACAUGUGCGUCAAGGACAGGCAGAGACAAGUGAGACAAGACAGUGGAAGGUACAGCGGUAGUUUUGAGAGAAAAACAACGCUUCAAAACAAAACGAAGCAAAACAACGACAUUGACUAUUUUAUUAUGCUGUGCUACAGUUAACUCGGAAGUUGGAUGUCGGAGCUGGGAAUUACGUUAAACUGGGGUUAACAGCGUUUCAGUUAACACGUAGGAAAACAAAGAUGGAUGCCUACUGCUUGUUUACAAUUGUUAGCUGUCAUUAGCCAUUGUCGGUUGUUGUUGGCUGUUGUUAGCCGUUGUCAACUGUUGUUGGUUGUCGUCAGCUGAUGAAAUUUUUUCUUAAAAGGAAAAGUGUCUUGGCAAAAGUUUGCAGUGAAACUACUCAGCUUACUGUACAAUAAAAAUUUUAAUUUGUGGUUACAAAAAAGUGGUAUUAAUAAUCAUUUUUUUAUACCAUUGAUUUGAAUCAGUCCCAUGUGUCUGGAUUUUCAGCAGUCUUGUUACGUCGCUACUUUCAGUUAAAAGAUAAAGCCUUUGGGCAAAAAAUCUGAUGUGUUUUUUUGGGGGUGCCAGAAAGUCUUCUUCCCUGUUUUCAAUUUCAGUGCACAAAGGGAGAUCUGGACUGCUUCAGGGAACCAGCAGGUCUAGUGAAUACUCUGUUGCCCCUUUGUUCAGAUUAGAUUUAAGCACUUUUAGCAUGAGAUUAGUAUUAUCUGGGGACCUUUGCCAAUUUAUCAAUUAUCCCCUAGUGGUGCACUGAUCCCACUUCGUAAUUCUUGAUUUAUACCUGGGCUCCUGUAAACACUGAGCCCUUCAUUUCCUGUGAUUACUCGCAGAAUGAUGUCCAUCACAACAAGGAUAUCUGUGAUGAAAAAUCAGGGACUACGGCGCCUCAAAGAUAACAGGUUCUGCUUGGACAUCAGGAAAUCAUGAAAAAAACAGCCGUAUUUCAUGUUGCAGUAUGUUUCUGCUGCACAUCACUGGUUUUUAUUGUAUAUACAGUCCAGUCUAUUUAAACCUGAUUCUUCUGGAUGUUCUGUCCCUUUCAGUGUGUUUUUCAGACUUACCUGUGUCAUUACUUUGCCUCAGGGAGUUGUCACUAGAUGGAGACAUUAAUCUAAAAGAUACUCAGAAAUGAAGCCUUUAUUCUGUGUAAUACAGAGCAGAAUGUGUUGUCCACUAACACCUUUUUUAAAAUAACAACCAUCAUCUUUGCUACUCAAGUCACACACAUUGAUUCCUGUCUGAAGCCAUGUCAGGCAUUUGAAGUUGAGCCUUUUGUAUUCUCAUUAACUGCUUGGCUGUGUAUUCCUUGGCACAGUAGUGAGGCUGUGCCUGUUGCUUAGCAACAGAAAAAAAUUCCUCCUCCUCUGUCGUGCUUUGCCACGUUAAGGUGGUCCAAAGAGGAGCGAAGCAGUAAACAAUUAAGUUAACUUGUGAAGGCCAGAACACAGAUCAAAGUAGAGAAGAGGCCACAUGUUGGACUCUGAGUAUGUGAACUGGAGCUUGCAUUUACAAAACCAAGUGUUUUAUGUGGGUCUCUAGUUUUCAUACUCUCCCUGUUAUCUCACAUGAAGAAUCUCAACAUUGUUCAGUUAAACAACACGAAUGUCUUUAAACAGUGUUCAGGUCUUUGUAACAGCCGCUCUUUCUCUUACAACACUGCAGAGCAUAUACCUUUCAAAAGAAUCAAUAUCGCAGCACACGGCUGAGAAAACUGAAUGUAACGUGUAAUUUAUAGUGUGCUCCUGAAUACACCUUAUUACAGACUUGUUGUAGGCCUCUAAGAAAAGAGGACCUGUUUACUGUUCUCUUCUCUCUUUGCCUAUCCAUCUCUCUGACUGUCAGGUCUUUCUCCCUCUCUCUUUAUAUCUAUGAAUCUAUCUCUCAACCCUUCUCUGCCAGAGCUGACACCUGCUGGCUGAGUACCAGUAAUACUGACUAAUAAAUCCUGACAGCUUCUCGCCGGAGCCAAUAUUAAUGCCGGCUACCUGGCAGGCCGACCUGUGAGAGUGUUUCAAUAAAGCAGUCUACCCAGGGCUCCUUAUUUACCGACUGCAGACAAGCAGAUUAAAGCCUGGCAGGAUUUUUGUCCUGUUUUCACCACAGCUUUGAGGUUAAUUACCAGCCCAAGCAUCACACACUCCUGCCCUGCCUGCUACGACCAAAAAGUCUUUGGGCUUGUAGCGGUGUCACGAUUUUUUUGUGCCUCAUCUGUUUUGUUGCCUCUGUCAACAUAAGCAGACAGUAGGUGAAACCUGUCCCCUCCUUUCUUUUCUGGCUCCAAAUCCCGCCCACCUCUGCUGAAUGCCUCUGUUUGCUUUUGAUACGAUCUCAUUGAGGUAGCUCUUCAUCUCAUUUUACAUUCCCAUCACUUUACACUGCUGCAGGCCUCCUGGGUUUGCUGUUCCUCUGAGUCUGCCAUCACAGGCAGCUCUCGAAUUGCUCUGCAGUAGAAAGCAGUGCAGCCUCAGUUCCUUUUUCUUUAAUUCACCUUCUCUGCACCCUACCCCUCCUCGCUUCAUAUUUUCCUUCAUCUUCGAGGGAAUUGAGUGUCCGAAGUUGGCUGAUGAGAGGGAAGAGGAAGCAUCAAUUAUUUAAGACAGGGUUGGUGUGAGUAAUCAGAAUGCAUGUUAUGUUAGCCACCCUAGCUGGAGUCUUACUUCUCUUCCGCUUGUUUUAUCUUACAAAUCCCUGCUGCUUUGAGAAACUCUGACAUCCAGCCUUUUAUUUCUAAUAACGAUGAUAGGUGCAGAACAACCAGGAACAUCAAGGUUUAUUUGAUUACAUUGAUUUAAUAUUUACGUGUUUCAUUCUUAAUACAUUAAAAAAUACUGGAAAUAAGUUAUUGAAGAAUUUUCUAAAAAAAAAAAACUGAGAGUUAGAAUGAAAUCUGAUAUACAAGACAGUGUUUCCCCCAUGAGUGACUCAGAGAGCAGGAGCGGGAUAGGGAUAUGUGGGAAUUAACCAGCUGUGUGAUCGCCUGUGUGAUUCACACUUUAAAGAAUGGAAGGUCCACAUGAAUUACCAUUUUGACGAGCUUUACUGGUUGCAGAUCUUGGAUUACAGCUUUAGCAUGGCACAAGUGUAACAAAGACUGGUCUGAGACUGUUCAGGUAUAUAUAACCGUCCACGUUUCCAAACAUUCUGCUUGCAUCUUGUUGACCUGAAGGACAGUCCAUGUAGGGUAAUAACAACGCACAACAUAUUUUGGGAGCCUGAGCGAUGUUGAACAGGUGUAGAAGGUCCUUGUUUUAUGAUGGGUUUUCAGGGGCCCAUAGCUCCAGGAAUCUAGCACCAAAGAAUCCAAGGUAUUUGAGUGACACAGCUCCACCACCCUCAAGGAGGACACGACUGGUUAAAGAAAAUCAUCCGAACAAUAAUUAUCAAGAUAACAUUGUAAUGGUGCUGGAGAAGAGAGAAUGUAACAGAUGGCUGGACAAGGUGAAUAUGGUGCGAGCAAAAGGACAUGUGAAUAAGUUUGGAUGUGGUCUUUGAGGUCUGUGUAUGAAACACAACUACAGUUUUGACCCCCUUUUAACAUAAACAAAUAAUAACUGAUCGCGGUCUCAUGAAAGAGCCUUUCAUAGACUGUACAUGCGUCCAAAAUCAGUGUAUUAUUCUGAACCCAAAUAUGUGAAUGUACCAUGUGAAAAGCACUUUGAGUGGUCAGAAGACUAAAGGGAGCGCUACAUAAAUGUUAUUCCAUUUGAUCCAAGUAGUACCUGCUUAAAAAAGUUGAAGAUUAAAUAAAUGUUGUGUACGGGUAAUAUGUUUAAAAGUGGUUCCAAAUACGAACUUCAUUAUUCCUUUUAUACUUUGCCAUGCUAAUACUAACCAGUUUGUCACACUUUAAUACAGUCAUAAGAGAAAUGAAAACAAACCUUCAAGUUGCUGUUGACGGUUCAAGGUUCUUUUGCUUGAUGUGUUUUGGCAGAUCAUAGAAGAAGCAAACUAAAUUUAAUUGACUCACACUGACCCCUGCUAUGAAUAUUAGAUUCUCUGUGCAACUCUUCAGCCAACUUCUUAAAGUUAAUUCCAAAAAAGAUGGAAAAAAAAUAAGCCAUAAAUAGACAGAGAGGUUAAUUGUAUCACAGUACUGUUUUUCAGUGCUGGUGUUUGUCCCAGCAUGCCCUCUACCCUGGCUCAUGAUCAGCUGCUGACCUGCAGCUGACUCUCUGCUGACCUCUCUUUAAGAGCACGCACUGAUGCACUUUCUCUGCAGCUGCAUGAGUCAGGCUUCCUUCCUUGCCUCUCGUCGCUGUAUGCCAUUUAUAAUUGUCAUUCAAGGUGUCGAUAGUGAUGGUGCAGUGAUAGUGUCAACAUAAAUCACUGCUGGGUCUGCCUUGAUUUGUUUGAGACAUUUUGAUGGAAGAUUACUCAUGAUUACAGGAAGUGGCAUUUGAAUGUAAGGUAAUAAAAACAGCUCACUCACCCUGCUGAAUUCACAGCCUGCGUUAGUCGGCUUCAGUUACACAUCCACAUGUGUAGGCAGAUUUCACACGCGCACAUACCCACACAGACAGACAAACAAGCUUACCACCACCUUUGUCAGCAGUAUUGGCUAACUCCCUUCACUGCUCCCCCCCGCCCCCAUGCUGUGUCUGCUUUAAACCACUGCAGCAGGCUCCAAAGCUCUUUGGGGCGCUCCAGUAAAUUUCUUUGUCAAAGCUUCAGGCUCCAUAAAAUGCCCACUGUAAAGCAGCAUUGUUUGCAAGGUGCUUGUGCAUGUGCAAUAAAGAAAGUUGCCAAAUAAACCACCACCGUUGGAUCAAUUUACAUAUAUUUUUGUGUGGAGUAGGCACAUUUUCUGCGCAGGACCUCUCCUUUUUAUUUAAGCUUGAGAAUCGAGAACUGUCUCAUUCCAAAUAAUAUUUUAGAAACAUCCCCUCUGUGUCUGGUUAAAUGCUACACAGCAGGUGUGUUAAACUGCAGCAAAAAGGUCAGAACAUCAGGUAACCACUUUUUAAAAUAUCUCCUCCAAUAAAGAUCUGUCUGCUCUGCCAGAGCUCUGUUUGAAAUCUUCUUUACACAACAAGCGUGUUUGAUAAACUCGGAGGUCUGAUGAGUCAUGGUUUGAAUCUGAUUGGUGUCCAGUCAGGGUUUGACCUUCUCUUACCACUCUUACUUUAGUAGCAUAAUUAAAGCUUCUCUUUGACUAAAGUGCCUUCUAAAGGCGUGUGGUUUACUAUACUCUCUAAAUUUAACUAAACAAUAACUUAAAAUACUUGAACCCUGCUGUUAAAGAUGCACUGGUCCAUUUUUUCCAAUCCAGUCUUAUACCAAUACCUGGGCUUAGCGUAUCAGCUGAUAUCCGAUACCGAUCCGAUACUACUGUUGAAUGAAUGAUUGAUCAGUAUACCUUGCCCUGUGAGUGAAGGCAUCAGGCUUGACAUUAGCCUUGUUUAAAAAAAAAAGGUAACAAAUUAACACAAAUAUAAAUUUACGUAAAAUUAUUUAUUAACAAAUAACAAAUUGCACAUUGAGAAAGAAAUGAUUGAAAGAAAAAGAUCGGAUUGGUGCAUCCCUACCUGCUGUCAGUCAUUUCAUGCCCGCCGGACUAGUGUUUUGCAAUAUGCUCGUAAGAGUCAGUCCGUGUACAUUGCUUUUCGCUGGCGUUCAUUUUCCCUCCGUAAAGUCACAUUUAUUGGAGGGAAUGUGUGAGGGGGUGAGACAUGAGGAUUUCAGGCUCAGAAAGUAAGCCCUUUUUUUCCACAGCAAAGGUGAAGCAAUAUGUUUAAGUGUUACAUAAAAGUAGGAUCAUUUUUUGCGUAAUUGGACACAUAACAAAGGUGUCAGAGGUAUCACCUCACCCACCGGGGGCACCAAAGAACAGAAAAAAACAAAAAGUUCCUCACAUGAGCUUGAACAACAUCUGAAUUAUUGUCAGUGAUCAUUAUUAGCAAAAUCCCCUCAAAUAAGAUUUUUUUUGUCAAAUGGGUGUGCUUGCUUGGGUGCAUUUCUUUGGGUCCAUCUGGGGUUUUGUCAUUAUCUCUGUGCUAAAAUUGCUUUACUCUUUCUGAAUUAAGCCAAACACAGAGGGGUUGAAUUUCUGCAUACUGAUUCUACCUGCAUCAAAAUAUGUCAGAAAUAAAGACUUAAGAUGACGUGAAGAAACAUAAAUUGUGGAUAUUGUGACUGUGCAGUGUAGUUGAGAACACAAGCAAACUUGUUUCUGUAAAAAAUAGGUAAAAUCAAUGAUGGACACAGUAUUUCCAAACUAUUUUUCACACUCUGAGUCCCCAUUUAUGAUAUCUUGGCUAGCACCCACAGUGAAACAGCUAUAUCAGGAAAUAGGGUGAUUUUAGUAGUCCAAACUUCUCCUUAAACAGUAAAAAUUAAAGCUUUGCUUGAUAAUACCAACAUGGCACAGCUGAGAAACAAAACUUCUAACUGAAUAGAUUUGAUUUUAGAAGCUACAGCACACUGAGGACUGAACUCCAGAUGACUUAAGAAAUCUCUUAUUCUGCUCUCAUACACAGACAAGGGUUGAUUAAUACAUCCCAGGUUGUUGUGGGGGCGGGGGUUCAUUUGCUGUGUGAAAACAUGCAUUCAUAAAUGCAAUCACAAAAUGAUGGUUUGAGCAGCAGCCUGUGUUUCUUUUUAGAUGACUCUCCUCUCAUACAGAUUAGCGUCACUUUAAAAUAACACAGUGACUCUCUUGCCUAUCAGUCAAGGUUUAGUUGCUGCUAAAUCACCCCUGGAGAACAUGGUCGCAGUAAAGGCACGAACCAGCUUCAAACUUAGAAUAAAAUAGAAUAAACUUUUGUGUUUAUGUAUUUGUGAUUGGAGCAAAGAGCAUAUCAGCAUUUCUUUGAUAGAUGAAAUGUUCCACUUUAUGUAAUAUAUACAAAGCCUUUAUUUCGGUACUAUGCUAUGCAGAUGAUACCCAGCUCUUGAUACAUGAUACAAGUGUCUCAGCCCCAAUCUCAUCAUGCCUCGAGGAUGUUCCUAAAUGGAUGAAAGACUCGGAGAUGAGAUCCUGCCCAAAGUGGAGGAGUUCAAGUAUCUCAAAGUCUUGUUCACGAGUGAGGGAAGGAUGGAGCGAGAAAUCGACAGGCGGAUCAGUGCGGCACAGAUCUGUCACGGUAAAGAGGGAGCUGAGCCCAAAGGCACAGCGCUCGAUAUACCGCUUGAUCUACGUUCCUACCCUCACCUAUGGUCACGAGCUGUGGGUAGUGACCGAAAGAACAAGAUCGCUAGUACAAGCGGCCGAAAUGAGUUUCCUCCGCAGGGUGGCUGGGUUCUCCCUUAGAAGUAGGGUGAGAAGCUCGGUCACUCGGAAGGGGCUCGGAGUAGAGUCACUGCUCCUCCGCAUUGAGAGGAGUCAGAUGAGGUGGCUUGGGCAUCUAAUCAGGAUGCCUCCAGGACGCCUUGCUGUCGAGGCGUUCAGGGCACGUCCCACUAGUAGGAGACUGCGGGGAAGACCUAGGACACGCUGGAGAGACUACGUCUCUCAGCUGGCCUGGGAAUGCCUCGGGGUCCCUUGGGAAGAGCUGGAUGAAGUGGCUGGGGAAGUCUGGGCUUCUCCACGACUCGAUCCCGGAUAAGUGGUGGAAGAUGGAUGGAUGGAUGAAAGAAUGCCACUUAAAACCCGAACUCUUACCCAAAACUGAGCUUCUUGUCAUCCUUACACUCAAAUAUCAGUAUUCUUCUUAGAUCAAAUGAACUUGCGCCCUCUUAGUCUGCCCAGGUUCCUGGUGUCACGAUUAAUGACCAACUAAUGUUCAAGGUUCAUGUUGCCUAGUUUGCUCCAUCCUGCAGAUUCACCCUCUAUAACAUCAGACCCUUACUGCUCGAGCACAUAACACAUCUCCCGGUUCAGGCUCAUGUAAUAUCAUGCAUUGAUCACUGCAACUCCUUUCUGGCAGGCCUCUCUGCCUGAGAGUGGUAAUGAUGAUGAUGAUUGAUGGUGACGAUGAUGACAGUGUCUUUGGGACCUUAUUUUGGUUGGUUGAUGACGGCACUAUGCCCAGUUGCACUCAGAGAAGUUUUUGGCUCUUACUUGUGUUGCUUCCUUGUAUCAAGAUCUUUCUUGUGUUAUACUUGCCUUUAAAUGUGCAUCGCUUUGGACAAAAGCAUCUACUAAAUGAUGUUGUAACAUGGUAAAAGCCUAGUUCAUAAUAAGAUGUGCCGUUACACGAUGCUGUUGAUUAAAAUUAAGUAGAGUUGCUGAUAUAUUUUGGAACCCACUGGCCACAGUUGCAGAUGGACACCCAAAAUUCAUUUUCAUUACUGGUGUGAGUGCACAAGGUGUGGGUAAUGUACACACUGUAAGUCAAAGCUGCCAGCAGUGCAGGGCGAAUAGCACCUAAUUUGUGGCAUCUAGACUCCCAGAUUAGGGAUAACAGGCAGCCUACCAACAGUCAGCCUUGCAAAUUUAUUUCAACACAGAGACCUCAAGGCUUUGCUGAGGUCUCUGCAGCAAUUAUAAAAAGAGGGAGGGCCCCUUCUUCGUUUUAUGUUGCCGCAGAGAGGGCUUGAAGAGCACCCACUGUCUCCUGGCAUGCCGCUCCUCAUCAGCGCCGCAAUAAAUCAAUUUUCAUCCUCACACCAGCCCCAGCAACACACUCUCCACCUACUGCUCCUUUUUCCUCUUCACUUCUGUACUCCCACACGACUCCCUCUCCUCAGCCCUCUCCCUUGCACAGCAGUAGUUCUCAGUGCUGAAUAGGGGUAAAGGGAGGUUAAAGUCAUCUCGACCCUUCUUCUUCCUCUUCACCCUCUUCUCUCAAAGCUGGUGGGUGUUUUCUCUGCAUGCCUGAAAUGCCAUUUAUCUUGAGGCUUAAAUGUGUACCAAUGUGCUCUUGCCUUCUUACAAAAUCCUUUUGUGCUUUGGGCUAGAAACUUAAAAAACUACAUGAAGUCCCUUAUGGAUCUUAUUUGCCGCCUGUCACAACAUGAACUUAUUAGGAAGCAGGUGACAGGAUCAUAAGACGUGGAUUUAAUAAAAAAUCAGCCCCCCAGAUAAUUGUCUGAUGAGCAUAGAAACCUUUUUUGUUGUUUUUAAAAUAUAUACUUUGAGAUAUUUGGUUAAUUUUGACCACCAUUACGCUCCCUGCUAGCAAAUCACAAUUUUUUUGUUUGUUGUCACCAAGUAAUUCACCUCAUUAGUGUUGAUUUACCCAGAUGACUACCUUGUUGACGUGUCACACUGAUGGAUUGACUGGCAUUCUCACAAAUACCCAUUAACAUUCAAGUGACCCGCUCCACGACCAGCAUUGGCACUGGAAUAACACGGAUAUUUCUGCGUUAGUAUAACCGUGUCUUAUAAGCAGACUCACUCUCUACAUAAGAAUUUUAGCAAACACUCUUUUUUUUUUUGGGAUACAUCAAACACAAGGUGAUACUACUCCAGUCUGCAGAAGCCUGUGAGCAGGUUGACACAGAAGCAAAAGCUCCAAAGUGCUCAGACAUGAAACCAAGUGAGAGCUUGUCUAAGAGCUCUGUCUGUCGAGUGAAGAUCCUGCAAAGCUAAGAAAAGAGCAAGAAAAACAGCCGUCCAAGUACUUCCCUUUAAAUGUCAGCUGAGCUCCAGCCUCAGGACAGGUGCUGAAGGAGGGCAAUACUCGGUGGCCUCUAUCUGUGAAUGGCUUUUGGUUGGCUUUGAUCUCAUCUCCAUAUUAACCCAAGGGCACAUUUUGAUAUUUGGAGGAAACAAACACACAGGCAGUCAUGCAUCCUGAAGCACGUGUUCAAAGAACUUCUGUUGUCUCAGGAAACGAGGGCUAUAGAAGGACGGGUUCAAUUUUUCAGAUUCCAUUUUAUUUUUUCUCGAUCUCUGUCCAUCCAUUUGAAUAUUUCAGACUUCAGUGUUUUACCAAGUAACAGUACUUAUUUUUUUUUACCUGAAGAGUGAUGAAUUAUGUGAUGGAUGAAGGAGAUUUCAAAAAUGCAAAAGAAAAAAAGGGAGGUUACAUGAACCUUUUUUUUUUUGGUAUGUUUGAAUGUACAAUUUAGUAUCUCGCACUUGUGUUUUAUUAUAUUGCAAGCGCAAUUUAGUAUCUUGCACGUGUGAUUUAGCAUCUUGAACGUGCAUUUUAUAUGUGUCUUGUUUUAUUUGUAUCUUGUGCAUGCAUUUUUGUAAAUAAUACUCUGCACACCUCAUUUGUGAGAGAAGGACAGUGUCAUGAACAGAAAGCGUAUUAUCAACAUUUUCUUUCAUUUAGGUAUGACUCACAAGGAGAUACUUUAUAGCUACUCCACAUUUGUAUUGUAUUUGUAUUUGUAUUUUGUGUUGUCUUGAGUAGGAGACACCUCAUCAGGAUCCCAGGCUCCAUUAUUUUCUCCAAUUUAAAAAAAAAAAAAAAAAAAAAAAAAACUUAGGGCCUUAAAAUUUUUUUAGUGAGUCUGAAAUAAAACCAAACGUCCAUGCUUUUCUAAAAUGAAGUGCCUCAAAUAUGAGUUUCACAUGCAGAAUAAAUGAAGUGCAUUGAACACAUAGUGGUGACUUUUUAUGCUCUGGCAUAUCUGAAUCUACAGAUCCAGACACAGAGUCUUUAAAAAACGUCCUUUUUUCCUUCUGCUUUUGUGUUUGCAGGAGGGAAAGUUUGUUGUAGUGAUGAACUCCUGCUAGUACUGCUGCCUCUCUGUAGGUAUGCUGACAAAACUUCCAACAAAGUUGCUGUCAGGAUUGGUGCUUCACAUAUUGUUCUGCUCUAUACUUAGCUCUUAAUGUUGCAGUGCUUAAAUUAAGAAGACUUGACAUCUCAGAAGGUCUCUUCAUCAUUGCUGUCAGUGCAGUCAAGAUCCUGUCUAAGGUGAAACAGGUAGUAUACAGACAGGGCAGAAACACGGUGGAGACUAUCAACUUAUCUUUAUCAGUUUAUUUAGCUUGGUUGUUGUGAAAAACGCUCAAAUGGGUGAGCAACACCCAGAUUUUUAAAAUCAAUGACACCCACAUCUCAGUGAAUUCUAUCUCAAGCCUUGCUUCAAUGUUAAUGCUGUUCAUAUUGUCUAAAUCCAUGAUUCUGUCAGUGCUUUCUGCACAACCAAAAACAGAAAGAAACAUCAGAGAAACAGAGGAUGAGCUUUGUUUAUGAGAUCGGUUGGUAUUUGUCUUAGAAAUAGACAAUUCAGCUUAUGCUCUACAAACAGACCUUAAAAAAUGAGGCUGUUGAAGAGUCAGGACUGAACAGUGAGGUUUUUUUUUGUAACGACAACUUCGCUGUGCAUAAUCCACCCACGGUGAAAACUGAAAUUUAAAGUUAAAUGUUAAGUAACUAGUUUUGUAAUUUUUAUAUAUCACUAAGGAAUCAAAUAAAGCUUUUUUUUUAUUGAGACUAAUGUUGCCCCCAAAAUGUUCCAGUGUGUUCUCUGGGAAACUCUAAAAGCCUUCUUUCAUGGUGUUACCAUUAGCCACAGAACAGAUUGUUUAAAGGGAUGAUCUUGAAACUGAAGUGGCUCCGUGAUUGUACAGCAGAGGCAGACAGUAGCUGUGCUGAAUCCUAACCCCCAAACCCCUUCUAAACAUAAUCCUGCACCAUUUUAUGUGUUGGUUAUUACAACUGAAUAUGAUGUUCAGAAAAAUGACUGAUGUAUUUCUCAUGUCAAGUCCAGCUUCUUCUUUUGUGUUCAUUUUUCUGGACACUGACUGAUUACUAUGCUGACUCUAGCGUCUAUUUUCUACCCCUUAUAAUUUGCCAAAGCUUUGAAAGACAGCCUAUAUAAUGAUAUGCUGUUCCUUCACUAUUUUUUAAUGCUUUGGGAGUACUCCCCAGAUACAUCACUUUUAUAUCUGAUCUUACACAUCCCUUGAAAGGCCAGAAAGCAAAUAAAACAGUUGCAAAGCACCUUUUUUGUUUCCCUAAAAAAUGUUGCAUAAAAACGACAUCCUCCUGGUAAAUGGGGCUUUAGCUUUGGUUUAGAGAUCCUCUAACUUUCUCUUCCACUUACGCAGCUAAUCUGGGUGAAAUACAUCUGUCAUAUAAACCUUACACAUCUCCAUGAAUAAGAAUUUGGCAGUGUUAUCUCUCCAAGCUAUUUGCAAGCACUUUUGCUAAACACUCACAGCGGAAUGAUCACAAAUCUUCUUUGACUGAGGUCCCUGUUAGAUUGCUCUGCCAUCCUCGCAGCUGCCAGCCCCACUCCUUUUUAUAAACUGCAUCCUAGUGGGUAUGGGUGCACUUGUUCUCCCUGCAGUUCCAAGCUGACUUCAACCUCGAUACAGGCAGGCUCUAUAAGCAAGCUUUUCUUGCAAAUCAAUUUUUAUUGACACCUUGCCAGGACAAAAUCUGGCUCCAAAAAUGGAGUAAAGGGACACCCAAUAAAGUUGCUCAGGGAUACUAAAGCAUGGCACAUAAUCAGAUCACAUAAUCACGUUUUACUGGAGAAAGUAUGGCAUUUUUCCAUCCUACACCUGUACAACCUGCAAAUCAGCUCCCCAUGUGAAAUAUUGCUUUUGCAUACACAACAGGGGCCAAUUUGUGGGCACUAAAAAGCCUUUUUACUAUUCCUCUCUUUCCCUGUUUCCUCCACUUCUAUGCUAGUUUUUCAGGGAGAUAUAAAACCAAAUCUUAUCACUGUUUACAAAACUUGCAAUUUUUUUUGUAUACAAUAAAAACAAGAAUUGUGUCAGACAAUUUUCCAUCCAUCCAUCCAGUUGCAGAGAAAAAAGUCUAAGCAAGUCAGCUCAGACAUCCUCCCACAGAAACCGAGGCCUGUCAAGGCCAGGUGGGAUAAAUAAUCCCUCCAGCAUGCUCUGGGUCUUACCAGGUCUCCUCCAGGUUGGACAUGCCCAGAACAUCACUAAAGAGAGGCAUACAGGAGACAUCCUUCGGCAGCUUUCUUCCAAGCCCCUCACCCCAUCCUUAAGGCUGACUCCAGCCAUCCUUGUGAGGGAAAUUCUUAUCCCUGAAAUUACUACGCUGAGGAAGCGACGAACUCAUUGUGAUGAAUCAAGUCUCUUUAAUACAUUCAAUGUGGAGAGAAGACCCAAGUGUUCUGUCAACUCUUGGAAAACACAGACUCUUGUACUGUUGCCCAACAAUACCGGACCCUACGCCCCCUGACACCACCCGCCAGCUCUACUUACAAAGCACAGAUGGGGAUCAGACAGGCUGUUCCUCCAAAUCAUUUCCCAGUGGAUGUUGAAGUUAUGAGAAACAUUAUUGAGUCCCCAGUUUUGGAUCUGUAUUUCAGAACCCCACCCAGAGACUCUGAGGGUGUUGCAUACUCCAAACUGUGAUUUGGUGCAUGUGCACAAACCACAGUCAACCCUCUGCCCUCCAAGACCAACUUGUUCCCCAGGAAAAUCUCUAAUACUGAGCUCUUCCAGGGUCCUGUUAAAACCCUCAUACCUGCUGGUGCCUCUCCUGAUGAACAACUGUGGAGUAGGAGUUCAGCCUCCCUCAAGGCUUGGCACUGAUUUUUCCCUAAGUAGCACAUGUGCUAAGUUAAAAUGCAGCACCAUGAAAAUGUGUCAAAGAAUACAUUUUUUCUAAAGGGAAACAAAGAUACACAACUCAGCGAAAUAACUGGUUGAUAAAAUACAAAAAAUCACGUUGAUUAUUUCUGUUUCAACAAAACAACAAAACAAAACAAGUUUGUGAAAUAAAGUUGGAAAACUCAGUAAGAAACAAACUGUAGAUGCCAUAAUAACCGUAGGCCUUGCCAAUUAAAGGCUAACAGAACAAUUUACUUCUGCUUGUACUCUUAGCAUCAUAACCUGGCUUCAUUACGGGGGACUUGACAGUUGAACUUGGUCUUGAAGUAGAUGCCCAUAAUGUUUUCUACUAAGCCUACAGGUAGCCACGUAAUAAGGAAAGUUUUCCGUCAUAUUUAGUCUUCAUUACUUGGAAAUGUACGUCACUUUGCUGAUCUUGGAUAUUUAGAAACUUACUCAGCUAGCUACGAUACCUGACCAGUGAAAUAUGCUACAUUACUCUUUUUAUUGAUAAAGGGUUAACGUUUUGGUCUUUUGAAGACACUGAGCACUCUCUAACAACUACUACUAAAUACAUUUUACAAUUUCUUAACUUCUAUCUUGAAGGUACCCUCUCUUUACUGCGCCUACUUCAGAUCCUUACCCAGUAGCAAGAUGACAUUCCAGGACCGGUCUAUGCUAUCUAAGAUCAGCACUGCCUGGGUCCACACCCUUUACUGUAGCCCAGCUUUCUAUACACCUAACUCUGAUGUACCUAUCCCUGCAUGGGUGGGUCCAUGUGAUGAUGAUGAGGAUGAUGUUAUUGCUUCUUACCUUUUUUUUGGACUACAAGGCGCACUUAAAAUCCUUAGAUAUUCUCGAAAAUUGACGGUGUGCCUUAUAGUCCAGCACAUGUUAUGUAUGAUUACUUGAGCUUACUGACUGAUUUUAUGUGGUACAAUGCGCUCAAAAAUCUGUCAAUGUGUAAGUACAGCUUUGGUAAGCAACAAAGCUGCUCCGCUCAAUGGAUAUUUGGAGCAUUACAGUACGCUGUGUCACUACCUGAUCGGCUCUGUAACAGGACCCCUGAGCAGUUUACAAUGUCUAGUCUAGCAGUCUAGCAUGUCACAUGACAUGGAAGCUAUUGAAGGACAACAGCCUUUUUUGAGAACAUCAACAGGUAAUUUAUUGAUGGUCCCUUAUAUAACACCCGACAUUGACAGCAAGGGUGCCAAGUAGAUUUAACCGCGCUGCUCCUGCAAUUCUCGGUUAUGGAAAGUGAGAAGACACCGGUAGAUCACUGGUAUAUCCAUUGGAUAUCCAAACUAAAACUAACUCAACCGCGGUAUUUACAUGAAAAAACAUUUGUUGCCUCGGCUGAUAUAUAUAUUUUUCAUGCGCACACGUGCCCCCUGAAUACCUUUUACAAUUUGUGAAACGGUCGCACUGUUGAGCCCUAGUUCAUGUAAGGUAGCCCGAGCUCCGGAAUACGCGCUAGCAACAAUAAACCAAUCAAUGAUACUUAAUGCGCCUUACAAUCUGGUGCACCUUAUGUGUGAACAUAGACAUGCAAAUUCACAGUGCGCUGUAUAAUCUGGUAUGCCUUAUCGCCCAAAAAAAUAUAGUAGUUUAUGUUCGCGAAGACCUUAACCCAAGUGAAACACUUCAUUCAUGCACUUACAUGGGAUUGGUGUGAUUCACUGUCCAAUAUGAGUAUAAAGGUAUAUAGGUGUAGGCCACAUUGAAUAUGUAUAUAUGUUGAUUUGAUCGACUGCAAUUUUACAACACUUAAGUACAUUGAGCUUUUGUACUCAUCAAUAGGCUAAUAUGAUAACAUGUGACAUCAUAUGACAGAGUGUACAGCAAACAAAUUACAGUAGAUGAAAUGUUCUUUGCUGUAGGUCUCUGCUGUGUGUCUCACAAUAAACCUGGACCAAUUCCAUGGUUGCAAGGGUUGUGGCUUGACAUAAAAGAGAUAAAUGGUCUAAGCUUUGCGUUAGAUGUGGAGGGCGUAUCAGACUACAGUUUAACCUGUAAGCCUCUGUCACAAACCAGCUUCUAUCUCUGCCACAGGAGGCACUAACAUUUUGACAGGAGUUGUUUGUCAGUCUCCACCAAAUGAGAUUGGAUCUAUCCGCUGGAUCCCUUCCCCCAGUCAGAGAGGCACACUAGUGAAGGACUGUAAAUGUCCGUCACCUGCUCAUACAGAGUUUGGGUGAGACAUUGUUUACAGUUGUGCUAAGGGAAAACGCUGACAAAACAUUUGAUCUUUACAAGCAUCAGGAAAGAUUUAUUGGUAUCAAUUAUUUUCUAUCACCGUCUUUAAUAGGUAGACUGGCAAAGAUGUUCUUACUCUUCAAAUGGACACAAUAUAACUAUUGUAGUUCCCUUAGAAUGUGAUAAAAUGAAUGUCGAUAACGGUAAUAUACCCAAACGAAUUAAUUUAAAAGCCAUACGCAGCAGAAAUAAACAUGACAACAGCCAGUCUGUCUCUACAGAUUUAUGGGCCACACUUUAUGGAAACACAGCAAUUUCCUGCAUCCAGAAAGGAGGUAGAAAAGCGAACAAGUUAAACCAAGAAGGUCUCUGCGUUUACUUUAGGAAAAAACCCUGAUAUAUGCCGAGCUUUGGUAAAAGUUGUUAGCAAAAACUAUGGAAAUUUUAUGCUCAGACUGUAACUUGUGUUUUUGCUUAGGCAAUAGAAGUCUUUAGAGAUACAUAUAUUUGCACUGCCCACACCAUUCAACAACAGCUAAAUACAACCACAAGAUAGCAAAAGAAGUUAAGCUCGCCCUCCUUCACAUGGCCAGGACCCUGCUGGAUUUAUCAGAUGUCACGCUGCUCUUUCACUCUGUCCCAGAGGCUCAAGUGACACGCCAAAAUCCCUCUCUCUGACCGUUAAUCUCACUGUAAAGACAAUGAAAAUGCUUUGCCCUCUCUCUCUCUAUCUCUCUCUCUCUCUCUCUCUCUCUGUCUGUGUUUUGGUCUCCCGUCUCAGCUAUUCCUCCGUGACCAGUGCCCUAUACCUCCCCUCCUGCACUUUACAGCCCUUUGCUCUGGAGAUAGGGUUUAAAUAUCUGACGUCAUAUAUCUCAUCUUUCCCAGAGGGCUCUUUGUCAGCUCCUUAUCAGAAUGUCAGGCCUCUGCUUGAGUAAGUAAACAAACAAGGAGUGGCAGAAAUGAUGUAUCAGAGAUCUGCCACCGGUUGGGGAUGAGCUGUCAGUCGCUCUGUUGAACUAAUGAUCACUGUAAGAUGCUGUGGGAAUUGUGGGUCUCUAAUUCAGGCCACAUUUUUUCCUCUCUUGGUGCUUCAGUCUCACUCAUGCAUGUGCUAUUGGAUUCUUGAGUCUGUGUCAGUACAGAGGUCAUGAUCCCAGUAGCUUUGUGGUUUAUGAGGUUAGAGAGUCUGUCCAGAGAACGAUGGAGGAGAAAAUUUGAUCCCUGUGUAAGUGUGUAAGAAUCGAAACAUGGCAAUAAAUACAGGCUACAACAGAUAAUCUAUGUAAAAUACAACCAACUUUUUUGCUUACAGCACUGAUAGUACAGAGUUUAGUGGCACAAGACAAAAACUUGCAGCGCAAAGUUUACGUUGGUAGCAUAUGUAAAACCAACCAUAAGUAGUAGUGUGUUAAUCAGUCAGUCUGUGUGAUGGUUGGAGUAAUCACCUAACCAGUCAAUCAAUUAAUCAAUCUAUCAACCAAUGACACUGAUUUUUCCCAAGAAGAACAUGUGCUUCAAACUGCCAAAGUCCUCCGGAUCCAUGUUUUUCAUUUGAGUCAAUGUGUCAGCUUCCACUGGGUCCCCUUAGUUGCACUUGAGCUCCAUCUCAGAUCCAGCAAUCAAGAUCCAUCCGCCCUAGAUACCCAGCGGCUUCACAGCUCAAGCACAAUGCAUCAAUCAGCACAGGGCAGAUCGAGGAAGACAGGAAGACAGACACUAAACACAUCUCAUUUAAUUUUCAAAAUAAAACAUCAGAUUAUAUUUAACUUAACUAUAGCUACGAACUGCGAAAUUGAGUAGAGCUCAGAGGUUUUUAGAGGUCAUUAUGGAGAAAGAUCUGAUGGAUUGAAGAGUGGAUUAAAAUAUUUAAGACAAACAAAGAAUUUUAGGGGUCCAUUAAAAACAUAUCCAGUAACAAGUUUUUUUCCUUAAUGGAUACAAGGAGAUGCAACUCAGUUAAAUGACUGACUAAUAUGCAAGUUAUAUUUAAGUUCAACAUUAUCAGCUCUAUUUGUUUUAAUGUUUGCACCAAAAAAAAAAAAAAAAAUAGAAUGACUUCAGCUACACCAACUUAUCAGUCUAAUUCCUUUAAGAGGAUGAAAAGGAGCAGCACUAAGACCUAAUACUUUCAAGAAUGCAGUCUCAGUGCUUUGGGGGAAUCUAAACCCUGACUGAAAUCCCUCAAGUAGACCACUGAUAUGGCAAAAGUCCUCAAGCAUACGCAUAGAUAUAUGCCUAAGGUGUCUGAAUAAACAGUAGGCUUUUUAGUCAGAGGUUUGAUCACAGUUAUUUCAUAUGACUGUGAUUGAUUUCCUAUUAAUUCAGACCUGUCGAUCACAUUAAGUAAGGCAGUGCUAACUUGGGGAAGGAGUCUCUCUGUGGCCUGGUUGGCACUGGGUCUGAGACAGGUUGAUGGUUCAGUAUAGAAACUGCAAGAAAAGAGUUUAGCUUCCAUUUUUUCCCCUGUAUUUCUUAAUAUUUUAUAGAUAGAGAAGCACAUGAAGUUAUUGCUGUUUAGGGCCAAAGGAACACGGUUCAGUGGAGUUAUGACUUUCUGUCAACCUGACUGCAGCUCUAAAAGGAUACUGGGGAUUGUUUUUAUGACCUUCUAUUAGGGAGAAGUUGAGUACACAGCAGGGCCUUUUCUGUGUUCAUUAAGACUAUCAUGUAAGAGUAAACACAUUUCAGCUGUUUUGAUGGCGUGCAGCAUUCUUUAAAGUUUUCUAGAUAUUUGUUUUGGCUCACUAGUUUCAGUGAAAAACCAUGGGAUUAGCCUCUGUCAAAGUUUGUUAAAGGGAUAUCCCGGCAUAAAAUGAAUUUAGGGUCAUUUCUUCAAGGAAAUGCAAUCAGACCGAGACACUAAGGCAGAAGAACUACCGCGUCUGCUGUGCAAAAUGAUCAAUAUGGGGAUUAUUACUUCAAGGAAAUGAUAAAGUCAUGUUCGUGAAUGUUCUUCCUUGAGCUGCGUCACCCCACUGCAGUCAGGAGUGGACUCGUCUGAGGUCUCCGCACAAACAAGCAGCUGCUGGAAGAGCGUGGGUGAGUUGUGUUUAGUCUCUUUGCUAAAGAAAUUAAGUAAAGCUAAAAAGAUGUUUGGUGGCUAGUGCUAUGGGUAGGACCCUAUAUGUACUGUUGAUGAAGUUAGGUGCUGUUCUGAGCAUUAUUUGUGGCUAUAGAGUGGUGUGUUGGUUGAGGUUUGUUUAUGGCUCCUCAGACUGCUGUGUAUUGCUAUCGUGCGGUCGUUACUAAAGUUGGUAAAACUAGAGAAGCAAGUGGUCGGCAACUUCAUCUUUCGAGGGGGUGCCUAACUUGGUGUUAUGGUGUGUUUGACCCUAAAUUUUUUUUACGCCAAUAUAUCCCUUUAAGAUGUGGUGGUUUUAUGUGAUUUGAAGUAGGGUACAGUGGUCUAUUGUCAGACUCUUGGUCCCUCUUUUCAAUGCACUCCUGUCCAAAUGUGAGUCAAGGAAAGAGAACAGGCUUACGUCUUCGAAUAGUCUUUUCUGUACACAAUUGUGCAAACAUCUAUUAUGCGCCAUUGUUAAGUACUGUAAUGUAGGUGCAAGACUUGCAGGAAUGGAAUAUUUUCUCCAGAAUACCCACAAUCCCACAGCAAAAUUUAGGCCUUGGCUUUCAGUAGUAUACCUUUAGAAAAUAUUUGAAGCUGCACACCAUCAAUCCUGGUAUUGCAGAAUUUACCCAGGUCCCAUUUAAUUGAAACUUCCUGGUAGGAAAAGCACAAAUUGCCAGAUUUGUCUUGUUCAACAGAUGUUGUCCAUUAAUGAUAAUCAUCCAGUUGGGUCCAUGAGGCUUUUGUCAUUUCUCUGCCUCUUUACUGGAAUACAUUAUAAAAACAAAUAAGCCAGCAAUCCAAUUAGCAGCAGAAAGCUACUGAGAUGAUGGGAAACGGCAAGAGAAGUUAUUUGACCCCCCCUUCAGGGCCUGUGCAAAUGGUCCACCUGUCAACAUCAAACUGCAUUUUUCCAGAGAGGCACCUGUCUCUGUAUUACAGGCUCAGUGCUGUCGCUGAUGAUGGUGAUUGAUUAAUUCAUAACUGAACACAGUUUUUAGUAUUAAAUCAAGAAUUAUUGCCCAUAGGCUGUUCUUUUUGCAUUUGCAGCGCAUGCAGAGAAUGUAGACAGGCAAAACAAGAGCGAUGCAGCUUUUAGUCUUAUAAUACGCAAAUGAAAACGUAUUACAUUAACUCUGAUGACGCUUAUGAAAGACAAAAAGAAGUUAACUUGUUCAGCACAGCAUUACCCUCAGUUUAUAGAUUACAGAAUAAACAGAUUUCACCCAGGAUGCCACAGUUCAGUUAGCUCAUGGUUCUGUUCAGUUCUGAUGAUCUGAAAAUAAUCCAGGCCCAACCGUAAACUGUAUAUAGUCAUGACCAGGUGAGGUAGCUUUGCUCAGUACGACUUCCAGCUUGACUAUGAAAGCAAAACAAUUAGUAAAUAAAGUAAGUAAAUAUUUCCUAUUACAAAAAGAGGCAACGACUGUAACUGCUGUGUUGUGCUAUUUUACCCAGUUACAUGUUUGAAUCAUGAACUGGUUAUAAGUUUUAGGCUUUCCAUCCAAUACAUGGAAGAGCAGGUUAUGUUAUGAUGCAAAAACUUAUUAUAUCCAUCAAAAAUUGCUUUUCUAUUUCCUUGAAAGUAUUCUCAGUUGAAAGUGUUCUAGAUUAUGGCAACGACUUCUUCAUAAACACUGAGAAAUCUGAAAUAAAGCUAUGAAGCAGGUUACGGGUGAAACUCACAAGAAUUUUCCAAAUUCAGAAUUUAUCAAUAACAUUUUGAUUGUGCAGUAACACCAGUAUUAUUAGAUUGCUCCAGCGUCUUAUGGAUGAGAAGAUAAAAACAAAGGAUUUAAUACAGUCUUUAGUGUGUGUAUUCAUUCAGUAACUUUUAAUGAGAACUGUAAUAUGUUGUGUAGAAAUAGAGAUUGAAACGGAAGUGGAUGUCACUUAGAAACGUUAGCUACUUUCAGUCUAUAAUUUCUGAAAUCUCCAUAUGACUUGUGGCAAAUGAGCUGCAACUGACCUACAGUGUGCUAAUACAGCUUUGUUUAACUGUCUACUGCCUUAUUCGGGUAGACAGAGUGGCCUAGUCCUAGGCCAGCUGAGGGGGUAUAGGAAGAACUCAGUUGUUGUAUGAGUAAAUCGGGGCUGUAUGGAAACCUACACCAGGGGUAUUAACAAACAGAUACAAGGCAUUGAGUUACAUAACGUUGCACAAUAUCAAUGGAAAGUAUACACACUUGGUAGUAAGUGAUGUAAAAGGGGAGAGUCAAUGGUAAUAUCACCCAGCUGAUGUCUGUGGUUCAAGGGUAACUGUGGAACCUGUUGGCUAUUCCCAGGCUAUUACACGCCUUUGGGAAUUUCCAGGGCUCCCAGUACUGCCAGCAGAGCCAGUUUUGUCCCUGUUUCCUUGCACUUGAUUUAUGUUUUCAGUCAGCCUAGUGGCAUGCUGUCUGUGCUCAUUCAAUUGACAUAACAGUUGGCUCAGAGUACACCAUCGACUGUGGAAGGAGUCUCAGAGGCCUUACCCAUUGGUUUUUGAAUGACCCCAAACAUUUGUUUCUUACAUUCUGCAGAAUGUUUCAGGACAGGCUUUAACACGAACAUCUUGGCUUUUGGAGUCACCCUCAAGUGGUCGCAAGGGUUUUGCAUGUCUGCUGGCUUGGUUCUGGCUUCAUUGGCACUAGGGAUUACUGCUUUGUGUGAACUGAUGGGAUCACUUCAAAUAUGGCAUGGAAGGACUGUACUUUUUAAUUCUCUGUAUCUCAGUGGAGAUUACCAGUAAAAGCUCAUGUAUUUUUCUCAUUCCAUCAGUUUUAUUGCAUCCAUCUACUACCCUCCAGAUUGAGAAUAGCCCUUGACUUAGAUUCUCCAUUUCUGCGUGGUCUGGUCCUGUUAUUUAGCCUGUGUUAGGGAACCAAAUAGUUACCAUAUGAGGACACUGUGAUACUUAGGACUGGUUAGAACAAGGCAUGAUAGAGUUAUUCAUCGGGAAGUGGAUGACUCCUCUUGAAUAUACUCUACAUCUGGAAACCUGCCCUGUCAAAAAGCAGCCUCUCUCUUCACUGUGACAGUCUUUGGAUAGGUAGAUUAAACUUGCAGUUGCUGUCCCCCAAAGACACAUUCUAUCAAAGAAAUGUCAAACAAACAUGUCAGAUCUGCAUAGGUCACUUUCGUAUCUUGUAUCUUGAGUUGGCUGCAUUGACUUUCUAUAGCUACAGAGUAGACACUGUAUGAGUCUUUGGUUAUUCUUUUUCAGACAGCAAUCCUUCACCCAUUGUAAUAUCUGUCAGAGAAAGAGAGAGAUGGGUGAAGAGUGGUUUAAGAAGAGAAUAGCUCAUCCCGUGCAUAAGAAUGAAACUUUUGUACCCUCCUCACACGGUCACUUAUUCCUGACUUAGAGAAAAAUUUAAAUUUGCCAGAAUAUUAUUCAAAUUACAGAGCUUUGAGGAAUGAACACAUUUGAAUGAAUUGCAUUAAAAGUGGACAGGGGUAGUUGGAAGUGUCUGGUUUGUCCUCACCCUGAGUGUUUUCCAUUGAAAUUAACCAGAGUUAUCUCAGGUUGUGUGCAGCAGCCCUUGACAUGAUGUCGUUAUGUCAGUGGCUGCGCCAAAAAGUAUGCAAAAGCUCAAGGUUUAAUAGCAGAUGAAAUAAAGUUAUUCAUUAAAGGUGACUUUUUUUCUGGCCUCCAAAAAGAUUUCUUUUUUAAUCGUACAAUUCUAUAGUUUGAAAAGUUUUCCUUAAAAAUACCUUAAAAGGGGGUAUUAUGCUUUUCAACAUUGACUACAAAGACUGCAAAGUUUCAAUGUUUGGGCCACGUUGAAAAUGUUUUUGCCACAUAUUUCAAGAACAAAGUCUUAAAUUUACAAGGAUAAAGUCGUAAAUUGACGAGAUUAAAGUCAUAAUAUUCUAACCUUUGUUUCAGGGUACAGAACUAGGAAAGGGUGGGGGUGGGCUGGAACUGGUCGACUGCAGGCUUAACAAUAGACGCAUCAGUGAGCCAUUCAAGGGGUUAUUGUGGUUUCUCAAGAAACAAUCUGACUGACAAUCAAGAUUUGGAUCCAGAGGGUGUUGAGCUCUGGUGAGCAGGGCGUCUCUGACACCAGCAGUACACCUGCAGAGGCCUCAGUGGCAUAUGGAUGGCCUUAUGGCAUAUAUGGAUUCAUGUGAUAAGCUAACAUUAACUUUUUUUGUCACUGUGGCCCUUGUACCUUACAUAAAAGAGAUGUAAACUGCUCAAGACAAGAACCUGCGCAAAGACGCAAGACUCUCUAAAACUUCAUAUAUGCUUCCAGCUAAGCAAUACAAGGAUGCCUCCAACAGCGUGGGUGGUGACACCCACAGUGGAGUGGGCUAACACUGCUCCACUGCUCUAGUGAUUGAACACAAUAGAGGGGGCGGGGCAAAAAGAUUGAGCUAUGCCCUUAGCCCGCUUCUAGAAAGCCUCAGAGAGGCGGCCAAUCAGAAGAAAGUAGACUCGCGGGGGUUGGGGCUGGGGGCUGAAAUAUUGGUAUUUUAAUACACCAGUGUGAUCUGAAAAUCAUGUGAAGUUAUUGAAGAGGUAUCGGAAAGACAGUACAGAGUCUCAUCUCUCCGCCUGUGAGUGCAUGAUUGUUUGUACUGCUGUAGCACAACAACAUGUUGGAGAUAGUGUAGUUGGAAACAGUAAUCUGUGACUUCCUUGCUAUUUAGGGGCUGGAAGAGCCAGUUCAUUUAAGCUAAACGAUCUAGUUCACUUACAAGAUCUAGAAUUCCAAGCAAUAAGGGAUUCAAACCCUUUCUGAAUAAUAAGAUGAAUCACAGACAACUUGAGCAGAAGAAUAUCGCUGCCAUAGAUUAUAAGUAAGACUGAACCUGGGCUGUCUAACCUCAGUAUAUAGGGGUGCUUAGAAUGCUAGGCCAGCAGCACCCAGGAGUAGGAUACUCAUUAUAAAACUUUUUUUUUUUUUUUCUUUUUCCAUCUGAAAAAUGAACCAAACCAUGACCCUUGAUCCGUCAACCAAGCUCAAACCAACUGUGAGAUCUGUGACCUUAUGCACCCUGUACUGCGUCCAUGUGGGUGGAGAACGAUUAAAAGAUGGAGCAUAAUGUGUGCAAGUGAAUCCACAGGUUUCCCAGUUCUUCCUCUGCCUCACUCUCUGUUCACGCUCUGGCUGGAUGAAAUUCACUCUCUCUCUUUCUCUCUCUCUCUCAGCGGAUGAUUUGGUUAUAGAGGUAGAAUACUGGGCAUAGGUGGCCAUUUGAAGCUUAGCUUACACCUAAUAGUUUUUCUGUAUAAGGCUGAAAUUCUGAAAUCUUAUAUUCUCACAAAUUUCACAUUACACACAGCUAUUUAAGUCUGCAUUUAAAAGUGCUCAGGGGGAAACUGGACUUGAUUUAGCUUUCUUGGAGAUGCUCAUCAUCUCAGUGAAAGAGCGAUUCCUGCAGUAGUGCUGAUAAUUGGAUCCCAUUUGACUUCAACUUGUGAGUGCAGACAGGACAGACACUUGUAAUUACACAUUAACGUUAUAAUUUAUGUGUGCGGGAGCGGGGUUGUUGUAUUCACUGGUCUUACUUGACAUCUUGACCUCUUCUCACUGUCAGCGCCUUCAUUACUCGUAAAGUAGCGGAAAGCCUGGAGUUAGUAUUAAGAAUUGAAACCUCCUGACCCAGUUCAUGGCCCAGCAAAACCUGCGAAGGGCAGAGGAUCUCAGACCCCUGAUAUUAUUUAGCAUCUACCAGCUACAGUUGUGUGUACUUGUUUUUACACGUUAUUACUGAUGCAUUCAUUUGCAUUUCCAGCUCCCUCUUUAAUCUUGAUGAUUCUCUCCCACAGAGAAGGCAACACAUGUCGCUGCCUCUUCUGAUGAUUACAGCCUAUGGAAAAAUGUCAAAUGCUUGGCAAGUCAUGUUGUUUGAGGCACCUGUUCUCAGUUUUCAGAGGAACAAUUUAUCAAAGACAAGAGGCAUGCUACGGGCGUAAACUCAAGAGAAGGUAGAAGCAGGUUUGUGCAGCUGUUAUUGAUAUGAAAUUCUUUGUCUAAACAUAGCGGACAGAAUUGACAGCCAACACCUGCUCUUGUUCACCGUUUUCCAUUAUGACUAGAUUAUGAUUAUUCUGAACUAUUUCAAUAUUAUUUGAUAUUUAAAAAGUUUCAAGCACAAUCUGAACAUUUUAUUAGAACUCUCUUUCAGCUUAAGCGCCACAAUUUCCAAGAACAAUUAAGUUUUUAAUUCACCUGAGGCUCAAAGUAGGGAACGUUGUGUGAAAUCUGUCAUUUUCCUUUUAUUAUUUAGAAUAUAUUUCAGGGUUUUCUCCAGGAUUUUUUUUAACCUGUGGGGGAGGGCUCUGUCGCCUCCAUCCUUCAACAGAACCCCCAACCCCUAAAAAAAAAAACUUAAAAAUUUAUUUAACACAGAUAAUUUAUCCUUAUCGAAUGGCAUUGUUUGCAUCCAAGCUGAGAGCACUUCCUUUUUCUUGUUUUCUUAACCCAUUGAGACCUGAACCCUGUCUGAGACACGCCUCUGAAAUCCUCUGAAGGGCCCCCAGAUCCUGAGGUUUUCUGAAGUGUUGAGGUUUACAAAAAAGCUGAUAUCUCAGUCAGAGAUAGAAACUAAAUUCAAAAAGUAUUUGAGAGCUUACACAUGUGGCUUUCAAGAUCACUAUCUUUUAUUUUCCGAACCUUCAUCACAUUAUUGAAAACCUUGAACAAACAAACUCAAAUGAAAUAAAGUGGCUGUGUCAAUAAAAGUAAAGGCACUGGAGAAUAACAAUUUGCUUUCUGUAAAACAAGUGGCAGUCAUGAUAAAGUGUCCAUUCAGUACAAAUCUAAGUAUAAAAUAUGAAGUGUUGAAAGGGUAUACAGCUGCCCCGGUAUAGUGCCAGUACAAAAGCAGCACUAAAAGCUAAAUAAAUAAAUACGUGUCAGACAGUGUGUUCAUGUCUGUGCUCACCCAAAGUCAUGCAACACUCACAGAAAUCGCCGAUAGUGUGAGCCAAAGACCUCAAUAUGAAGAGGUUGUUCACUCUGCUUAAUGCGUCUCCUUUUGAAGCUGCUCUCUGCCUCUGUUAUUGUUUACUUCACUCACGAAGCACGUAGCAAGACCUGAGCAUGAAUCCGAUCGCUUUAUGAAGCUUUAUUAGCCUAUCACAAAUGAUUGAAAAACUACAGAAUGUUACGAAAAGACGUAUCCGCGCACCCGGGUUGAAGGGUAGAAAUAAUCAGCAGCGCCACCGGCUUGGAGGGUUGAACUGUGGGCAUGCUGUCCUGGUUUAAAUGGGUUAAAGAAGAGCUCCAAGGCUCUGGUCUGUCUUCACGUAUACGUAAAAAAAAAUUAAAGUGAGGGGUGUCAUAAUGUAGAGAAGAGCUUGAGCAUCUGCUGCAGAUAAUACGGUACUCCAGUGUUCGUUUUUUUUAAAUCAAGUUAUUUGCAGAGCAGUGUCACAUUUCAUGAGUACAGUUCCACACUCUCCAUUUAGAUACUAUAAAUUACAUAUUAAACAUCAGAAAAGAAGUUCAUAAUUCUGAGGGCAUGACGGCUUUUAUUUUGGCAUGGCGGUGCGCUAGGAUCAUUUACAUGUAGCGCAAACCCUGUAUUUAACAGUCAAGGUAGGUUCACUGCAAUAUCACAAAGUUCACACGACAGAAAAAUGUGUUAAUAACCACCUAGCUUUUUUUUGAAUGAUUAGAAAAAACUCUAGGUAUGUAAAAGGAGGUUUUAAAAUAACGAAAAAAUAAGCGGUAAUCUGCACUUUGGCCGAAAGCAUCAUCCUCCAGCCGCUCUCAAGUGUCAAUCAUCUCUACAUUGCAGUCAAAGAGAUUGAUGAUGCACCAGUCGCUUACUGACAGUUUCCUAAUCCAACAAGAAGAGUAUAGAAAUAUUCAAAUGUAUUUAUUUCGAUCUGUCAUUGUUUCCCUGUCUGCACUCUCUUAUAAUCAUGUUUAUACAUUUCAGUGCCUCACAGAAAAACAAACAAACUGUAAUUUCAACAUAUCAUAGUUUUUCUGUUCAUUACUCUUUGCAUUAAGUCAAUGCUCUGGGCAGGUUGUUUGACAACAUAUUUAAACCCAUUGGGUCGUAGGUGUGACUCGCUGUGGUCGGCCACUGCCAUGCACUCAGUUAUUUACUAAAGUAACUCCCCCUUGAAAGCACUAAAUAGUAAAAAUGUAAUACUUUCACCUGGAGUGGGAGGAGGAUUAUUUUCCUGUUUGUUCAAAUUCAAAGUCCGUCUGUCUGAUCUGCAGUGCAAAUGUCACCUUGCCAAAGAAAGCCAAUCUAAAUCGGUAUUUUAGCAAUGCCCAUACAUGUUAAGAGACUAAUUCCCCUGCGAUACCGGCUCUGUCAACCCAGAAAACGUAAGAGUUGAAGAGCCAGUUAACAGCACAGCAGUCAUCUUAACAGGGUCUAACACAAAAAGUAGGGCUGCAAUGAUGGCACCUUAUUGUGUCAAUCACAUUCUUGCUAAACACUAGAAGUUUCUUAAAGUGAAGAAGCUCAAGGUUCAAGUUUACUUCAAGACCACAAGAGUUUGUAGAGUGCCAGUGUCCUCAUGCCAGAGGUCCUCUGAGUAUAUGUAUUUAUUUUCACUCUUCCCACUGAGAGAACUGCAUUUAUUCAGCCUGUAUCUGGUUUACUUCUCUGCUGUGUUGAUAUUAAAUAUUGAGGUAUGCUAUUAGUAACAGAUAUGGCUCCCUUUGCAGACUAAUUACUGUGCCUGUUUGUUUGUGUUUGAAGCACUGAAACUGGACUAGUAGAGCUCAGCACAUGACUUAUUUGGAUAGUAGAUUGUGAAUCAGAAAAGGUUUGGCAAUGCUACAUAUCAGGUAAUAUGAGUCCCACGUGUUAAUUGAAUAAUUUUAUCGCUGUAACAGUCAUCUUUUGAUAGGGAUGUGAUGAGACUCUCAGCUUGACAAGGCAAGAUUAGGUUGACCUGAAUGAGAUGAAAUGUAAAAAAGUAUUUACCAGUGUUUCUGGAAAUGUUGGGCUCGACCUGUCCAAAUAUUUUACUUUUUUGUUGUCAUAAUGCACACAUAUGCGAUACUGUAUGAUAUGUCCUGGAUGAUGGCAGAAUGAUGUUAGUUUUCUUGUUGUUUCCAUAUUUAUUUCCACCAAUGAACAGUCCGCUCUGUUCCUCCUGUCACCCAGUAAGCUGUACAUUUCUCUGAAAUUCAUCAUUAUCAAGUCCAGGGACAUUGUCCUCUGAGUCCCUGGCACAGUUGUACCGUGGAUUCACUUGCAAGUGUUCUGGUCUGGCUGACCAUCAAGCUGUCACCUUCCACCAGUGCACUGCUACAUUUGUACCUCAGUACCUCUCAGAUUUAAGUGAAGUUCUGCUGUUUCCUCUCGUAUAGCUGAUGAUAUCUUGAGCAACGAGCGAAUGUUGACCCCUUCACCAUACAGACACUAGUUUGAGCCUAAAUUUACCUCUCCAGUACAUUCGGUAGGUUUUAAUUUGAUAGCAGUGAGUAGGGUCAUCAGGUGUGAUCAUUAUUCCUUAUCAGUCCCACAACAGAGAAUGUGCACUGGUACGGCGGUAUGGGCAAAAAUACAUGUUGAUAAAUUCUCACUUUAUUCUCUUACUAAAAAAAAUCAAUAAUUUUUGAAUAUUGUAAAACCCCUACUGUAAAUUUUGUCUUUAACUUGCCUCGAAAGAUGUAGGUCACUGCCCCAAACUGAAACAACCUUUUCUUUCAAAUAUCCAGGUUGUUUCACUUUUGUCAUACUAUCGCUUCGAGUUACACCAAAAGAUGCACCCAAGUAUAAAGAAGCUGCUGUUAGAUUACCCCUCAGAACCACACUAGCUAGUAUACUUUUAAUAUUGUGUCCUGGUCAUUGUUUAACGUUGAGAUUUAAAAGAGAGUUUUUACAGGACAGUUGUUUUUUGCACCGCUUUUAUGUCAUGCUUGUUGUGUAAGCCUGCGGCAUUCAUAUAGAUGCGACUUUAUCUAAAUUGUCUGUUUAAAUUCUUAAUGUAGUCCUGAGUAAAACUUUUAGUUUAUUGAAACAUCAAAGCCAAAAAUAAGUUUGUGAUAUAAUACUCUCUUCAUAGUAUGAUCUAUUAUAAUUUACAGCACAGCUUAAGAACAAAGAUUACUAGAAAAAAAAACACAAGUAUGUCUGUGUGUGUCCAAAAAUCACUGGCUCAUCAAAAACAUAACAAGCCUCUCUAUGUCGUGUGGGCAGUCUCAGCCCUUGCUUCAGAAUAAACUCAUUAGCCACUGGGUGGAGCUGUCACACUCUCUCCAUUGGGUUUUUUCCUCUUCCUGUCUCCGACUGUGUCUCCCUCUCUGACUUCAGUCUGUCUCUUGGCCUUCUUGCUGAAACAUCCUCCCCUAUCAGUACAUGUUUUUCUCACCUCGUCCUCCUUUUGUUUUCCAGUCUCCUGGUUAAGAUUGCACACAAUAAGACUUUUUUUUCCCCCUCCGCUCUCUCCCUGUGAAUUGUUUUUGUUUUGUAAGAAUGACCUGACCUCUUUUUUUUUUUCCACCUCAGCCACAGUUACAUCCACAACAUAACAUAUCAUAGUUUCCACCUUGCAAUGGUGUUUUUUUGUUGUUGAUUUCAUUGUUAACAUUGAAUGGUGCAGGUAACAGGAUUACCUUUAUGAAUUUAGCCCCUUUCACAUACACUAUCUCCUAUAAUAAAUUAUUCUCAAAGUCCUAAUUAUUUUUCUUUUUUUUUCUUAAGAAAACCACUUCUCUAAUGUCAUGCUCCUCAUGUUAGCUUGCAUUUGAUGUUGAACUAGAUCUGAGGUAACAGGUGGCAAAUGCCGGUAUCAGGGGACUUCAUUAUACGUUGCUAGUGUUUGUAUUUUUCUGUGAUAGGAUUUGAGUUGUCCAUCUCAAAGUUCAGUGGGUACUUCUUCAAUUAUUUAGCCUGUGCAUGGAGACAUUAUUUACAAGCAGUUACUAUCAAUCAAUAAUCAAUCUGUGUAGGCUUUAGAGUAAGGCCUCUGGGCACACUGUAACAAUACUGUCUCAUUGACAGAACAAUAUAGUUGCAAUGGCCUUAAACGCUGUACAGCAUGCACACUUUCUAAAAUAUUUUUGGUUAGAAGGGAAGUAUUUUAUUCAUAUUUAGUCAGCAAAGUCAAGUACAAAGUACCAUCAGCAAAAAACAGGUAACUUUUAUGCAUCCAUGUGCUGUUUUGUUGUGCUGUUUUUUCUUCAGUUAACAUUUAGAUAUGAAAAACUUUUUCAUAAAGCAGAUCUAGUAAGAUUGAGUGUAAGGUCUGCCUGGUCUGCCGUCAGGGUUUGUGUUUAAAACUGUGACAAUGACUGCAGGACUUCAAUAGACAGGCCAGCUCCUUCAUGACAGCCCUAUUUGUCCACUGCUCUUCAGUGGCUCCACUAUGACUCCUACAGUCAUGGGUGACUUCAUCUGUUUCAGUGAUUCUCUGGUAUCUUUCCAAUGCUCAGCCUCCCGCUGAAGGUACAGCCUGGUUAUGUCAACCACUUUCAGAAGCAAAGGCAGCCACCACCUGCCUCCUCAGCAGCUACAUGAGCUUCUGUUCAUCUAAUUGACAUACAUAAGUAUUGAGAUGAAAGCCAAUGCAAGGGUCCAAGAAUCUCUUUCUCUACUUAAAAAAAUGAGAUAUCAUUUGACAUUUUUUUGAUUACCUACAAUUACUGUUGGGCUGUAUGACGGUAUAAACCGUGUGACAGUAUAAAAGUGUCUAUCGGUAGAAAUUUUGCCAUACAGUUUAUACCGGUUUACCGAUGUCUGCUGCAUCUCUUUGACUCAGUGUGUAGUUGUCCGGGCUUGCGAACAGGAGAGCUGGAGCGCAUUUAUUUGGGUGUGUUUCCAUAUCUUCACCAACAUGUCGUGCAGAGUUUGUUCGCUCCGUUUGAUUGGUCAGGUUUGGGUGUGCUUCCUAUAAUCACCAGCAUGUCCAGCAGACUGCGUGGCAUAGUAGUAGUUUCGACAAAGAAGAAACAGCUUCACUAGUGGUGGUCAUGACGGACGUGGAGAUUAGUUACAGUACUGAGCAAACAAAGCAAGCCCCGACCCACCCAACAUGAGGAAGAGGAGGAGGAACUUGUACUGAAAAAGGGAGCGAGUCGCGACAUCGGUUGUCUGGAGAUUCUUCGGAUUCACAAAAUCCAACCAUCAUGAAAAAACAAUACUAUGCAAAGAGUGUUGUGUGGCUGUCGUUGCUGGAGGUGGAAACACCAGCAACCUCUUCCACCACCUAAAGAUGAAACACGCCAAGCUCUAUUAUGAGAGACAAAAGAUGCGUGGUGCACCUGCUGCACCAUAAACUAAAGCUCUCAUACAAAAGAGCUUGGCAGAGACUUUCGCCAAAGGUACGCCAUAUGAUAAAAAAUCGCCAGACUGGUCUGGCAUAUGUUUGUAUUUGUUCACAAAUCUGAGUUUAAAAAUAAAAGGAAAAUGAACAGAUGUGAUAGUAUGGUUAUUUUUAAGCCCUUAAUUGAAUUUACAGGAGAGAAAACAUACCGUGAUAUAUACCGUUACUGUGAUAAGAAAUUAUUCACACCGUGAUAUAAGAUUAUGUUCAUACUGCCCAACAUUACCAACAAUCAUUUAAAGGUAUUGAACAGGUAAGCCCUGCAGGAUCAGGGUAUCGGUAUCAAACUUUAAAAACACAUAGUUUUAGUUUUUACUGCAAAAGUUUCAGUUUGUUUCUGUAUGCUACUUUUGGGGCAAAGUUCACCCAACACUUUCUCUCAGAAGGUGCUGUUGGCAAAAUGUUUACGGCAGUUCUGGUAGACUGAAUGCAAGCUGCUCACCUCAGGAGUCUAUGUCUACAACCUCAACCUUGCCAGAAUACGAUGUAUUAAAUGAUGUGAAUUUUGUGGACUGGUUUUGUGGAUUUUUCCUGCUUGUGAACGGGGGUUUUUGUGGAGGAAUAUAAAUUGCAAAUUUCCUACAGCAGUACUAAAUGACUGAGACAAGGCCACCAUUUAAGCACCAUGUGCAUUGUGCAUAACAGCCUGGUUAUUAAUCAAAUUCAUGACAAGACUGAAAGGUUUUGUGUUUGAUCCCCAUGCCAUGAAAUUUCACCUCUGUCCGUCAGUGUCAGGGUCCAUUAAGAGCACAGAAGUGCUCUCUGCUCUGACAGUUCCUUGAAAGGCAGCAGCAAUUCUUGUGCACCUUUUAAUGAAGUUUGUGUGCUUAGCAGUCUUGAAAAAAACAUCAACAGGAAAAGCAAUGGGAGACGUCUUUCUCAAGUUUACUCUUCCUUUUAUAAGUGCCUGUUUGAAAGGAAGCACACUUGAGGGAUGGGUAUUGUUAGGAUUUGAUGAAUACCAGCAUCAAUACUAAAUCUUCUUUUUAAUCUAGAUACUUACCCUCUGCAUGUUGAAGGGGUAUUGAUUGAUAAUACAGAUAUCAGGAGCUAAGAGCCAUCACUGUCCAAUUAGUUUUAUUCAUGUACAAACGGAAAGGAAAUCAUCAGAAAGAAAUAAGAAAAAAAAAAAACACAAUUUGGGAAUUAUAUCGUAAUAUAUUAUAGCAUUCCAAUAUACUGUACAGAUGCAGCUCAAAAAUAUGAAGAAAUUUGACUUUUUCUUAAUUUUCUAACAUUUUGAGAUAGUGGAUUUUUGAAUUUUGUGACCUGUAAUCAUCAAGAUUAAAACAAAAAAGUCUUUAAAUAUUUCACUGUAUGAUGAAUGUAGAAUAUGUAUAAGUUUCUCUUUUUGAAUUAUAUCAUGGGGAAAAAAGAGCUUUUGCGAGACACAAAGUUUCGGAGCUGUACCUGCAUAUUGUUAUCAUCCCCAUGUAUCAGAGUAUCCAUGAUCUUUCAUUGCCUGAUUCUUGCCAUUUAAAAUUCCUGAUUGACAGCCCAGCUUUUCUCAUUAGUUAUCCUCGCACAAAAGAUUGAAAAUGCUUCAUGCUAAACCGUGCAUUUACACUGAUCUUCCACCCUUUUCUUUUGGGUAUUAUCUGCACACCAGGACAACAGCUUUGCAGCAAUGCUUAGCCACCUGUUCAGCAGUUGGAGCAGCUUGUUAAACAAUCUCUAUAAUCAAGGUUUAAUGUUGACAUGAUAAAGAAAUGCCUUUACUGAUACACUAGUACUGAUAUAGCAUCAUUUGUCUCUCCAAAGGGUUUGCAGAUAAAAUAUGUUGGUUAAAACUAUGAAGGACUCAGUUGAAUUGAAACCAUAUUUUAAAGUGUAUUAUAAUAUUUGACUCUGUUUUUUUGAGAGCCUUCUCUUCCUUUUUUAGACCUUAUUGUAAAUUGCACUGGUUCAAGUAACUCACAAAUUAGGUGUAACAAGAUUGGCCUUUUUUUGUACUUGUUUCCAUAGCUACCUGAGAUACCUUUAAUGCUUAAUCCAGUCUUUGUCAUAUCAACCUGAAAGAUAGUUCAAGACCGUACUGAAUACAAUUUAAGACCCAUUUUACAUCCAUUCUGGCAAAGUACAAAGUCCAAUAGACAUGAAAGGAAAUCAAAAAAUUUUACAUUUGUUCAAAUCAAUCUUUAUUUGUAUGGCACAUUAUGUAUUUGUAGGUUAAUACGUUUUUAGACCUUUCAAAAUCAUAUCUAGGAUAUUUUAUGAGAUUUUAAGAGAAUUUUAGACAUUUUAAGGCCUUAAAUUCAAAUGAUUGGAUUUAAGACAUUUUAAGAGUCUACUCUCAUCAGUUUGCAAUAUCAAGUGGAGUUGUGAAUGCUUGAAAAAUAAUCACUGAAUAGUUACUUUAAUGCAGUUGUUGCCUCUGUCAGUACACCACAUUCAUAGGUUCCUAUUCUAGAAGUUCAGACAUUUUGAAACUUUCCCCGGUGCACAUAAAAAUACCUGACAAAGUAACCUCCCAUAACCUUACAGAUUGGACAGAAUCUGUCUGUACUUGUGUCUUACAGCACCUGUCAUGGCUGCAGCUAGUGAGAGUACAUAACUGUAGGGCAUCCAUGGCAUUUCAUUUCGACCUGUGAAUGAAAGUCAGUUCGAUCAGCAGAAAUGGCUGCACAACAUAUUCGGUCUGAACACCUCAACUAUAAAUGAUAUGUUUGCAGCCCACCAGAGAGGCAGGCUUAGCAACAGGUGCAGACCACAAUGAUAUAAGUGUACCAAUUUGAUAAUGUAGUAAGUAAUGCUUUUAUUAGGUAAUGCUCACACCUCGAACAGGGUUUAUUGAGCAAAAAGGAGAGCGAGGACAGACUGGGUACAGUUAACAAAUCUGACUGGUGAAAACUCAUCACUGUUGUAUGACAAACUAAAACGUCAGCUUGAGAAACCUUAUUCUAGGGUUUCCUCUUCGCAGAUGAAUGCAAGGGUUGGAAUGCAAAGUAUUCAUAGGGAGACAUAAUAGUAUGAUAGAUAAGACAUGCUAUUAAAGUGAGAAACAAUUUGGGUACAUAAAUGCCAUUUCUGUCACAGUAUCCCGAGAGGCCAGUGGAUUUGACAGUAUAUUCAUCCCUCGAUAGUCCUGACUUGUACAGAAUCCAUCAAUUUAUUAAACCAUCUAUCAUCAAAACACAGCUUUAGCCCGUCCUAGUGUAGGCCCACGCAAACAUGGAGGAACAUUAAUACUCUGUGCAGUAAGGCCCCCCUCCUGGUUUGAACCAGGGUGUUCUUGUUGUUAGUUUGGUUUACAAAAAUCAUGACGAUCAUAUCUGGAAAAAAAAAAAUCUCUGAUAAUAAGUUUUCUUUUUGAGACCAUGACAAGACAAAAUUUGCCAAGAGUACGAAUAACAAUUUUCCACAUUGUGCAUCUUCUCUGUCAACUAGAAUGCAAAAUAACACAAACUGAGUUAGUACUUGGAAGCAGUGUUGAUUUUGUCACUUGUGUGAAACUACUGCACCGUGGGUACAAAUCCUCUCUGCCUUUGUGCUACUUUCUCAUUUUCAGUCGUAAACUUUUCUUGAUGCAUGUUGAUGAGGAAAACACAGCCAGUGACAUCAGUUUAAUAUGAGCAGUUUUCUAAAGAAGGAUUUUACACUUUCCAGGCCGCUGCACAAAAUCUGAUAUAUAAGUUUGUAAGCUGAUUGACAGAUUCUCAGAACUCCAUUAUAAUACUGCUGACUUAUCCCAGCCACAGUUCUGUGUGGUAUCGGUCAUUCCUAUAGAGACAUAGUCAUAGAUGUCUCUUACAGUAUUUGAGGUAUCCUCUCUGCAGUCUUAUUUGUGAUGGCCAUUUUAGGGGUCUGCCAUAAAAAUUCAACUCAACUUUAUUUAUAGAGCACUUUAAAUACAACUAAAGCUGACACAAAGUGCUACACAUAAUAACAUAAAAACAUAAAACAACAAUAAAUAGUUGUUUUAAAAUAUAAUAAAAAGCAAUAAAACAAAUGCAGAGUCAUGCUGGGUCAAAAGCCAAGGAGUAAAGGUGGGUUUUUAGACAGGUUUUAAACAUGGACAGUGAGGAUGCUUGUCUAGGUAAAAAAGGUUGGUGAAAAAAAGGCAGUCACAUGGGGCUGAACAUAGCGCCAUUUGUCGAUUUUUGUUUAAUAGCGUUACUCUUUUAGUUUAGUAAGGUCAAGAGUGUGAGGAUUGGUCCGGCUACAAUGAGAGUAACCUCUGCUGGAUCACAUGGCUGGCUACCUUGGGCAGCCUAAUGUGCUGGUAUUCUAAACUGUUAUGAGUUUGAACGGCUCAUUACAGUCAAAAAUGAACUUUUUCAUCAGGCGUCGAAUGAGGGUUUGAUAAAAUUUCUGAUAAAAAUCAACAUUUUCCAAUACAGAUGAUGAGAAAUACUCAACUGGGAUCAACACGUGUUUCACUCUUUUACUUAUACAUUGAUAACACACACAUACCUGCACACCCACAGCCUUGUUCUGUUCACUUUCUUCACUGGCAAAAUACUUUUUAAAUAAACAGAUUCACAUUUCUGUUUUCAGCACAGGUGAGCUACAUGUAGAUGAUGCUGGUUCAUAGCUCAGUAUCUGAAAACCACGGCCAGCUGUACAAAAGCAUUUAAAUAGUGGCUGAAGACAGUCCUGAUACUAUAGUCAGUUCAUGAAAAAGAAGGACAUUACAGCAGACAUCACAAACAGGGUAGACUGCUCUUCUCAGAACACGAUGACCAGGCUUUUACUUCAUUUCCAUUUCUGUACUCCUUGAACGAAGUUUUUAUUCAACAACUUCUUUUUUUGUCCGAUUCCCUUCAUUGACAAACGUGCAAAAAUAGCUAAAAACAUGCUUUAAGUAGAGUACCCUCUUUUAUUUUGAAAUACCCUGAUAUUCAAAAAGCAAACAUAGACUGUGAUGUAGAUACAUGAGUGCAUAUAUGCUCCUCCAAAUCAUUUUCAUUCCCUUUCUUUUAGAAACAAAAACAUCUGAGACCAAUAGAGGGGACAUGAAGCUGCUUCAUAUUUUUGAAUUAAAUCCCCAGAUUACUGUUUGUGUUUCUCUUUUAUGUAAAUAAAGACCUUCCUUACAUGCAGCCUUGAGAACCUUGUUAUCUGAGUUCUCUUUGAGGUGGAGCAGACGGUAACACUGAGUCAGACAGCUGCUCUCAAACCCACAUAGAUGGGAAGACUGGAACCAACCAUACAAGUUUCAGGAUUUUGUUUUAAAACUGUAUGUGGACCCAGUUUGUUUUCAAACUUAGUUGUUUUUCUAAAGUUCUGGUGGUCUAGUUUCCUGUCCUUAGACAUGGUCAUUUUACCUGAAUUCACCCCAACCCUUUAAAAUACAGGCUGGGAGGAGAUUUUUUCCAUAGUAAUGAACCAAAUAUCAAAUAUUCACUACCCUCUGGCCUCCCAUUAAUAUGUCCAUCUUGAGACGGUCCACAAUCCAUCCAAUAUAUGGAUAGUGAUUGGUAUGAAAUGUGAGUCUUCAAUUCCUCCAUAUUUUGGAAAAACAGGAGCUUGUUACCGAGGAAAAACUGUCUGGGUUAGAGGUCUGAUGAGAAAGUUGUAUGAUGUACUGAAUGUGACAUUUAACAGCUUUACUUCUUUUGAACCUUAAGGCAAUACCAUCAUUCUUACCAAUCAAAGUUUCAUUAUCACAGCCAAAACAGGGUCCUCCGGGCCCAAACAGUCACACACCUACAACUGUCUCUCACUUUGACAACAGCUCUCACAGUAAUGACAGCUGUCAGCCUACUGAAGUACAAAAAAAAAUGUUUGUCUUUGUGUUUGUUUUUCUGUCUUCCCCCAUGAAAUUUAUUUUCCUCCUCUUGGCGUCAUAUGAGCUCGGUUUAAGAGUUGUAUGAAAGCUAAGUGAAUUAUGAGAUGAUGUUAAGGUGCAAAUACAAUAAUAGAAAAUGAACAUGAUAUUGUAAUUCUGAAUGUGUGGUUUUUCUAACAGCAUAUGUUAAACGCUCUUUGAACAGCCCAUUUUGGAUAUUCAAUUUAAGUUGGGACUUUGUGAUAAGUUGUUAUCCCUUAAUGUUACAUUUCAGGGAAAUGCAAAGCUCCGGUAUAAAGGAGCUACAAUUCUGUUAGAGAAAGCUGCCUUUUUGUUAAUAUGCGAGCUUAAGCUUUGCACAGCGUAAUCACAUAGAGAGGGAAGCUUUUACACCAGCAGGAAUCACAAUUAUGUUAAAUGUGUCAAUGUUCACCAUCCAAAGGAAGACUGUUUUUAAUUUUUCUGACACAAUGGAAAAAACUUUCCAGGCUGAAAUAUUCCUACACCAUAAUACAAUAAAUGUAAAAUAUUCAGGCCUUCAUCCCAUAAUGAGAAAACAGGCAGGGGAGAAAUCUCAUUACUGAUCGUCUUCAUGAAGGCAAGCUUUAUAGUAAACCAGGUUUUUGUUGAGGAUGCGAUAUCUCUUUCUGUUUUCACCUCCUCAACCUUGUUUCUCUCUAUAAUGUAAUAUCUCCUGUGCAUGUAUGCUGUGCACUUUAACACAUAUUCACACACCACUCUGUUACUGCAGUGUGCGUACUGCAGGUGAGAGCCAGGUCUGACACACAGCAAUAAGAAGCCUUAUGUGUUCCCCCUUGGGGGCCUCAGCUCUUGAUGUGUUUACGCAUCACCAGUCUUCACACAUGGUGUCCUCUUCAAGGCUGACCUGCAAUGAAGCUCGUCUCUGUUUUGGGCUCACACACAGACAUAGUUUGGGCUCUUUUAUACAAAGGGAUGUCAGGCAGGGCACUGUGUGCUAAUAGGUUAGUGACAGUGGAGAAGGUGAAAGUGAAGGAAGGAUACCGUAGGAGGAUCAAUGGAGUUGAUUGAGAGUGAGAGAGACAUCUGCUUGUAUGUUCCUCCUGUGAACAUAUUGGCUGGAGUGCAAUGUCUUAGAUCCAACCUGUUAUGACAAGGGAUGUCAAAAGAUUUUAAGUGCAUCUUUUGGCAUUGAGGUGGCUGAUCGUUACCAACAGUCCUCCUCAUGCAGCUCGCCUGCUUCUGUAAGAGAUUGAUUGCAGAUAAGAAUAUUCAAAAUACAGGUUAACUAAGCAUUGAGUGUGAACAACCACAGAUGAGCUGGUCAAACCUAAGGAGGAGUCAGCUGAUUUUUUUGACAUCAUCAAUCAAUCACAUAAAGUGCAGAGUCAAAAUGUUGUGAGCAGAGCAAAAGUGAGAGGGUGUGUGAGGUCUUAAGAAGAAAACAACAGGGAAGUACAAGAGCACAAUUUCAGAGAAAAUCGCUUUUAAUAAGGUGUAAACAAAUGAAGAAAGUGCUGGAAUAACUUUGUAUAAAUGGUUAUCUUUAUUCAUAUGUUUUAAAAAGACAUAUGUACUUUACUUCAGGUUUGAGAUGACCCGAAGUCAUUUUAUAUUUGCAAGUUGGUCGUUAGAACAAGACUAAACAAGAUCCUUUGACCAGGAUUGGUUUAAGUGAGAAUACUAAUUAACCAGGAGCUCAUCAAAAAAGGCUCUGCUCUGCUUUCUAUGUCUUCUGUUUGGGGUGAAACCUGUCUGGACAACCACCGGAUCUAAAGAUAAGAAACAUCUUUCAGAAAGGCUGGUAAAACACGACAGCUGUGCGUCUCAUGUGGAUAAUAAUAAAGCUCUCCACUCUUGAAAAAAUAAAAAACUUUUAUGUGAAAUACAAUGGAACAGAAGUGACUGAACGCCCUGGCGAUGCUUUCUAUUGAAAGUGAACUCAUCCAUGUUGGACUGUUGGAUUUUAACAGCAAGGUCACAGAGAAGUUUGCUCACAUGAAGGACUGCAGAGCGUCAUUCCUCUUCGAAAAGUGAUCCACAUCAGUAAGUCUAUUAUUCUACAUGGAAUUUAUAAUGUAGUUUACAUAUGAAUAAAAAUGUAAUUUAUGUAAUGCGUAACUAGGAAUAUGUGUGUGGGUGGGUUGUGAUGGACACAACCUCACACGGGCUCCACAAGGGAGCUGCUCACUCAUCUUAGGGUGCUGAAAUGGCUGUUUGGCUGAGGUAUAUUGUGUAUGGUGGCUUUGUAUAAUGAGUGCUGUGGCCAUUUACACCUUUGUAUUUUUAUUGUUGCCAUGUUGUUUCGAUCUCGAGUAUUUGAUUUUGUGAGGUCUUAAACACUGCCAUUUGGUGGCGCUAUUGGUAUGAUAAUAUACUAUGUCACCAGAUUGACAUUGUUUGUGUGAUGGCAUUAUUCAGCUGCAGUUUUGUUGUCAAAGGUGCUGUGGUCCCCUCUCUCACUUGCUGCUGUGUUUUUGUUGUGAGGGUAUGAGAGUAAUAUCUGGUAUUUCUGGAUUGCAUUAUGAGAUUUUUCUGCAUGGCCCCAGCAGAAUUUUCAGACCAAAAUCGCCACUGCUCAUUCUUAUUGAAAUAUCCUGCAUGAAACACAUUCUGGCAUUUUAUCCACAAACAAACCCCAAAAUGUGAUUGACGAACUCCUGUGUACACCUGUACAGAGGUGCACAACUCCUCGGUAAUCCUACAAAAUUAAUGUUAAUGAAGAGAAUGACAGAGCAACAGCCGUCGUCUAUGAACUACCAAUGGCAAGUGGCAUCAGUUCAUCUCAGUUUAUCACAUUUCAGCUCUGUAUAAAUCAGCGAUUAGCAAAUCAUUUGUUUCAGUAUUAAUACAAUUUUACAUUAACUCGACAGAAGUUAUGAAGUCCAUAAUGGUAGUCCUUUCAAACUCGAUAAGCUUGUGACUGUUGGCUUGGCAUAGUUGAAAACUUUUAAUGCAUUCUGUGCAGAUGUCACAUUUCCAACACCACUGUUCUCUGGAGCAGUCCGAGUAGAUAAUAAUCAAUGUGCUGGUCACACAAUUUUUGCAAUCUGCAAAAGCGGAUGGACAACCUAAAACUGAGCUUGAAUCAUGAUGAUGUCAUGGCCAGAGCAGUGUCUACGCCAGGAAGUUUCAUAAGUGAACUAAGUGUACGUGUUUACAUUCAAGUGGUAGAGCAUAAUAGCAUAGCAACAUGCUACACCUCAGGCUAAAGGUGGGUGGCAGUACAAAAAAUGUAUACAUAAUAUACACAAAACACAAAUUUCUGAUAAAGAUAUACAUUUUUAUUUUAACGUUGACUCCCCCACUAAAAAAGUAUCUCAGGUCUACCUGGUUGAAAGUGUAUUCCAACUGAAAACUCAGUGGAUUUGAAAAAGUGAGUUGUGCUUGUUAGGAUUAGGUAUUCCAUCUCCUGACAAUCCCUGCGUAAUCAUAGCUGUAACAGUCCCUAUAAUGGUUUUUGUUGUUGAAAUACCUUUUACCUCAGGAAAUGGCAUGUAAAUUAACACAACACAAGAAAACCGGAGAGCACCGAAAAUUCAGAUUACGCAGGUUCAGUCUAAAAUGAAAGCCCAGAGUUCUGAACAUAUAGUAGUUUAUGAAAAAUCCUUUUUGUGGUCUCAGGUACAGCGGGAGUUGAGUCUCUUAAUCACUAUUUAACACUGUGAUAAAAAACCAUCACUGGAAAAAGCAAAAAAAUAAAGAAAGUACCGUCUAAUAAAUUUAAGUUAUUUCACCCACUUCCUCCACCUAAUAAGUCUAGUGCCAAGAAGCGAGGGUGACAUUUAACUCAGUUGACUACAUUCACAUCCUUUGUCUCAUAAGUUGAAUGUCAUACUGAGAAGCACUAUGAAUAUUUCAGCUCUGAUGGAAAUAUACUGCUACUGUCACAUUGCGCGAUUUGGUCGUAAAAGGGAAGAUUUAAGCAGAACAUUCUGGGCCCUCCUCCUUAUAGGAGCUCAUAUAGUUUUGACAACUGUAUCAUUUGCUACUCUGAUAUUUCAAGGUAACUUUAUUUUUAUGUCGACCCCCCUCCACGAAAAAAGUUGGAUACAGAUAAAAACGUUCUUCACGCUCUUAUUCUGACUUGUUCAUUUUAUAAAGGAUUCCCAACUUCUCAACUUUUUUUCGAAACAACAGUCAAGUUCUUCUAAACUUUGGAAAAAUUUUCCCAAUGCAACUUUUUUACUUCCAAUGCGAUACCAAUAUUGUAGCCUUCAGUAUUGGCCGAUACCGAUAUUGAUAUUUGCAUUCAGCUGCAACAUCUUUUUUAGACUUGAACCAAAACACUGACACACGGCUGACAUCACUCCUACUCUUUGCUACUUUCUUAGUACCUUAGUACACACUGUUGUUGUGAUCAUGUGGGCUCUGAAUGCUGGAUCUGGAUGCUGCUAGCUCGAGGUGCCAGAGCGGAGUCUAGAAUGGACUUCUUGUAUCAGAGUUCUGAUGUCGGAGAUUUUAGAUGCAGGCCGUUAUAAUCCAAUAUUCAUUUUUUUGCUGAUAUCGGACAGAUAUCCAAUAUCAUUAUCAGAAUCAGGACAUAACCAACAUUUAGCUUUGUAAAUGCAUUGCUCUUGUCAAUUCUGGUUGUCUUAUUGUCUAGUCCAAUUAUCCGGGUGAAAGAUAAUCACACACCAUUAAUUUUUUAUUUUUGCUUUGAAAAAUACUGUAUGUGAACAACUCCAGAGUUUAAGACAUUGAUGGAUAGAAAAUGAUCACAAACCACUAAAGCAGUUGUUGCACAAUGUCGAGAAAGGGAUAAUUAAUCAGAAUUUCCUUAGUUUUAGAAAUUAGGCAGUCUGUGACUUUUCAGCCAAAAGUGACAGAUAAUGAUAGUUUGAAUCCACCCAACUGUCUCAGGAAUAUGUUAGAACUCGGAAGAAUUUUUCAAUCCAAUACCAAGCAGUAAAGAUUUUUGGGUUUAUUAAAACAGCAUAUUUUAAUAAGUUUUUUUAUAUAACAGGUAUUUUUUAUUCCCUUUCAUUGAAGUCAGCCUCUCUUACUGUGUGUAUAGGCAAAUCAGAUCUACAAGAAUCAACAGCAACAAGGACUGCGAGGGCUUUCAAACGCAGUACUGUGUCUGCAUCUCUGUCUCUGUCCUCACAUCUCCCUGUCUGUUACAGGUAGACGUGGAGCUCAAACAGUCCUCACCCACUUUUCUCCUUUGAGCUAAGAAAGAAAAGCUCGGGCUGGUUAUUUAAAGAUAAUGAUUUUUCAUGCUAACAGGCUUUAUACAUUUGCUUUCAAAAAACAGUAAAAUAGACCAAGAGUACGUAAUAUUUCAAUCUUUUAUUGACUUUCCAAAUCUGAAGCAUGAGUUUUGGCACUUCCCUGCUGGAUAAUUGCUCCCCUCUCACACUUUGUUUGUGUUCAACUUCUACUCAGAAGUUAAUCAGAUGUGAAAUAUAAAACUGUAAAUUGUGGAAAAUGAUCAUUAGAAUGAAUCGAUCAAACAAGUUGAAUAAGCCUUUUGAGAAUAACCAGUCCAAUAACCAACUGACUCCACCACAGAGUAGAUUAAAUCAGAGAUAUAUUUUGAGUCAAGUUGUUUACUGUCUCUCAGAGGAUGAAACAUGAUGUGCAUCCAUAGGAAUCAUCUUGUCCACUGACAGCCUCAGAAACAGAUGUCUUAGCUUUUAUGAUGGAGAUGUGCCAAAAGCUCGAUUUGUGUCAUGUAUGAUAUCUCAAUCUGUCCAAUUUCACACUCCCCUGGAUCGGCUCUGAACACUGGCAGCCUUAAGGACUCCAUAAGAGCCCUGAGAUGCUACAUAUGCUUUUGACAGCUGUUCCCAUAGAUAAAAGUGUCAACUGAAGCUAAAGUGACUGACUGAAAUCAACCAAACAAGUGUGAUGAAGAGAAAACACUGAGGCAAAAGGAGUAUUGUGAUAAGAGAGUUUGAAGGUGAGGCUCUGUGUGAUGAGCUUAAAUGUUUGCAAAGGCCCACAGAGGCCUGAGUGUCUGAUUACAUGGUGCUGGGGAUAUUUCUCUGUGGAAGUGUCCCAUUUACAUCCAACUAGGUUGAGAUCACGGGGAAUACCUGGAACAUGUUUGCAAGAUCAGAGGUCUGGUCUGCUGUGGGUUACCUCAGGAUCCCUUUGAAAAAAGCUGGAGGUCAGAGGUGUUUUAAAGAAUAGAUUCUCCUGUUGGCCAGUUCAAACAGUAAUUCUUCAACCCAGUUUGCUGAAAAAAGUCAGUCUCUUCUCUAAAAAUACCGAAAGCUGGCAUUUUUCAUUAUAAAGAACCCAUGCAGAGUACAACAGCAUGUAAAUGAGGGACUGGGAUGCAAAUGUAACAUGUUUUUUUCAUGAAGGACUAAUCUGCUGCAUGGUAACCAUUGAUGAUGAAGCCAUAUGGAGCUGGUUUAUUUUAAAGCUUCUAGUGACAGAUGCUCAAUUCAGGUUGGAUGAACUGAAAUAGAGAAAAUAUAAUCAAGCCAACCAAGACUCUCCUUGCAAAACCAGACCUAUAUGAGAAUAUUUGUGCAAGGAUUGUAUCAAAGACAUGAUCAUAAAGGCCCGUGGUGUGAAAUAUACAUAUCGUACCUACAUGGAGUUAGCAAUGACUGCAACAUACUGCCUAAACUAAUGUGAGCAGAUUUCUAGAAUGAAAUCCGGGGACAUGGGGGGGAACGCUUGUUCUGGACUGCCGUGCACUACACGCUCACUCGCACUUCCAACCUACCUGGCUGCCAUAUUAACCAUUGUUCUAGUCCACACACAACAUUUUUUUCUAACUCAUGUAACGCUCAAAUCAGGGACAUUUCUUUUUUUUAAACUGCAUCAUUCUAACCAUGAUAACAGAAUUUAUAUUUAACACAAACUGAUAACUUUUAAAUUUGACACGUUGUUGUUAGGAGAAUUGUCUUUUUGCAGCCUUUAGGGUGGUGGAGCCAUGUAACUCAGAUACCAUGGAUAUGUUGGUGUUAGAUUUUUGACAUCACUCAGGUUCCCAAAAUAUGUUAUGCUAUGGUAUUCCCGUGUAUGGGCUCUCCAUAUGUUCAACUAAGGCUCCUUAAAAUAUGUUGUCCUUUGUUCUUACCCGACAUGGACUCUUCUUCAGGUCAACCGAAUGCCAGCAGAAUGCUUGGAGAUGUGGACGACUAUAUUCUUGAACAGUCUGUCUUUUUCAAAAUCCCAUUUAUCAGCCAACUGAUCAAUCAGCUGAUAUAUCAAUCAGUUCACCUCUACUCGUAAUGAUGUUGUAAUAGGCCCACAAAAUGCUGAUAUCACAGUCAUUUAAAUAAAAACACAUUUCUCUUUUGUCAAGUGCACACAACAACAUUGUAAUAUUGACAUAUAUCGGCCAUCGGCAGACCCACUACUAGAUCUAAAACUAAUACUGGUCGACCACUUGUCCUUACAAAGUCUUUGGCAGAGUUUUCAAACUGUUCUUAGAUGGUUUCACAGUAUGAGACUUUCAUUAGUGAAUUUCAAAGGUCAGCUCUAUUUCUUUCACCUGGACAUACGUUUUCAGGUUGUUUAGUGAUGUUUCAAAGUAGUGCUGGGCGAUAUGGAAAAAAAUGUAUAUCACGAUAUGGAUCAUUUUAUAUCACGAUAACGAUAUAUAAUCACGAUAUAGCUAUGGUAUGCUUUCAGUUCUAUGAAAAAUUUAAGUGUAUACAGCUGCACUAGUACCUGUACAAGACCAGCACUUAAAACUAGAAAAAUGAAUAAAUAAAUACGUGGCUGAAGUGCGUUCAUGUCUGUGCUCACCCAAAGUUAUGCAACACUCACAGAAAACGCCGAGUGUGAGCCAAAGCACUCCAUAAUAAUAAUAAUAAUAAUAAUAAUAAUAAUAAUAAUAAUAAUAAUAAUAAUAAAUUUAAUUUGUAAUGCACUUUACAUUUACAAAAAAUCUCAAAGUGCUACAGUACACAGUAAAAAAAGAGCAGCAACAAUAAAAAAAGCAAUAGAAUGACAGUCACAGAUUGGCAUAAAAAAAAGAAUUAAAAAAAUAAAAAAUAUAGAGUUGCAAUGUAAGAGGCAAGGUAGUAAAAGCAUAGAGGAAAACUAACCAAAGACUUUAUUAAAAAGGUAGGUCUUUAGGGCUCUUUUGAAGAGGUUGUUCACACUGCUAGAUGUUUCUCCUCCAAAGCUGCUCUAUGCCUCCAUCAUUGUUUACUUUACUCUUGAAGCACGUGGGAAGACCCGAGCAUGAAUCCGAGCGCUUUAUUCGCCUAUCAGGGGCAGACAGGUAAGGUGAUUUGAUUCGCCACGACUCCAGAAAUGAUUGAAAAACUACAGAAUGUCACAAAAUUACGUUUCCUCGCUGCUGGCUUGAAGGGUAGAAAUGCGCAGCCGCGCUCCCAGCUGACAGGAAGUCAAACCACUGUUGUAGUUCUUUUGUGUUGCUAGCGCGGUCAAGAGUGUUAGCUCUUACUGAGAGAUGACUACAAAAAUGGACGCACCUGUUCAUCUGGUUGUUAAACACGGCUGAAAAUUAUCAUCUUUUAAUGUUCCCGCUCCUGCCCACUCCCGUUGCUUUUUUUCCCGUCCUGUCCCGAUCAAGGGAUUAAUUAAAAAAUGACUCCCAUCCCGCGGGAAUCACGUGACCCACGGGGAAUCCCCGAAAAAUGUCAUCCUCUACAGGGAAGGUCCCGGAGCACAUAAAACAGGUGCCGGAGCGGCUGAAAUAGGUCCCGGAUCCGAUCAAAAGAGGUCCCGGAUCGCGCUCCGACUUGCUCCGGCACAAAUUAAGCACUGCUUACAAUGAUCCCCUCACGUGUGUAACCCAGGUAACCCGCAACGGCGGGAGACGCUGGACACAAAGAGGGCACGUAAAGCGGUGUCAUGUCGCAAAAUCGAAAGAGAAAUGCGAGCCUACAUGUCAACGCAUCCUUUUCUUUGUAAGGAAAUAUUGUUUUCUUUCCCGUUUGACACGAAAUACACUUACUGAAUGUGCAAUUAUUGUUGUUGUUACUAUGAAUCAUCUGAUGGCACAAGCCCUAUGGAUAAAAUACAGCCUAUCGCCCGAAACGAUAAAAAUAAAAAUGGCACGAUAGACAUUUUCUAUCGUGCCCACGAUAUCUAUCGUCCAAUCGCCCAGCACUAUUUCAAAGCAAGCUGACUGUCUUACAAGUGUGCAGUUUAUUGCUGGACCUCCUGUGGCAAAAGCUUUCAAGUCCCUGUGGUGAGUUUUCUUUUAGCUUUUACACUUUGUACCCAUUUAGUUAGUUUCACUCCUUGUCUUCUGACAGAACAUGGACACAGAUAUAUUGUGUAAGUUUUCGUGGUGUCCUUUUCUUACCUGUUACACCAGUACUUUCUCCCAUGUCUUAGCUUUGCUGUUUGAUUUACCCUAGUUAAACCCUUUAUUGUGUCACAUUAUCAGUUCCUGUUAAUAAUGAUUAAGCUGACAUCGGCAUAUGAUAGGAAUAUACCGUACAUGUAUGCUUUGAACAGGAUUUGAUAUUUGAUGUUAUUUCCCAUAUCAUUGACCAGCACUCCCAAACUGGCCUCCACUUUUUUCCUAUAAACCGUCCUCUGUUGUGUGCUGGCUUUGUUCUUUUUUGGCUCACAGUGUCCCAUUUAAAGUCCAGGUGUGUCAUUUUAUGCCAAGUGCCAUAUUCACACGCACUUGUAUUUCAAUAUAAAACACCCUCAUUUGUUGCUUCAGACGCAGUGUUCUGAACUCAUUCUCAGCCCUGUGCAAAAAGCAUCACAUUGUAAAAUUAUUCUAAUUACAAACCUGUUGAACAGCUCACAGUGUGCACAUGGUGUCUGUAUCAACACACACUUUUCAUUCAAAUGAAGACUGAUGUUUUAGGCAGGUUUGUCUUUUAGCUUGUUGCAAAGAACUAAAAGACUACCGUGCUGCAUUAAAGGAAUGAAAGGAAUCAGUAAAAAGUGAGACUCGUACUAGGACGAGCCAGUCACGAUCAAGGCAACAGAACAGGGAGGACUCAAAUGCAUGACACAGAGUAGGUUUCACAACCCAAAAGCAGAGUUUGGUACCCAAAAAGGCAGUCAGACAAGGCAGAGGUAUUGAAAAGGUGAGACUAAUGGUGCGUUCACACCAAGCACAAAUAAAAUCAUUUGUGUGAUUAAAUUGUAAAAUUAAAGGUGGGGUAGGCAGGAUUCUGUUAAAGAAGCAUCUUUUUUGUGGUGUAUAUAUAAAAAAGCUUUUAAUAUCAGUCAGUAGCUAUUAGUUAUUGAUUAUUAGUUAUUGAAACAUUGUGUUUGUCGGUAGUCUGUUGGCAUCUACAGUAGCACCAAUGCUUUUUACUUUCAUGUUGACUGGGCCCCAUUUGUAAUCAUCUAAAGUAUUUAUCUGCAUUAUAUCUGAAUUUAAUUGAAACGAUACGAGCGAGCAGGAGCGUCUGUUUGUGGGCGGGGCUUGCUGGAGCAGAGAGGGAGGGGAGAGGAGGAGCUGAGGGGAAAACUGGUCGGGAGGGGUAGAUUGCUCCCAAAAACUGGCAAUUCCUCAGAUCCUGCCUACCCCACCUUUAAUGCAAAGACAUGAUUAGAUAGGAAUUGACGUCCGACACGCUACUCGCCUAAAACGCUUAUUCGAGAGAAUUGAAGAAAUCUGAGCUCAAGCAUAUGUUCCCAUUCAGCACGGAGAUACCCAAGUGACGUAUGUCAACAACAGAUCAGCAGAGAUUUAUUCAUGUAGGAAAAGGAGGAUUAACCAAUCGUGACAGUAUUCAGCCACCUGUGCUGAAAAAUACUUUCUGUGAUAUCAAGACAGGAGUAAAAAAGAGCUGAGCUUGAGGAAAGAGAGUGAGGAGGUCUGAUUAUCGGCUAAGUUGUUUAAACGCAACAGAUCCUCACAAUGUGAUCGACCUCUGUUAUGUUUGAUGUAAACACAUUGACCUGACAUGUAGGAACCCCUCCUACUCGCUUUCUCUUCUUUUGCACAUUAACACGUGUGUUGGGGCGCUCUGCAGACCUGAUACAAGCGUGUGGAUUAAGCAAGUUAUCUGAGUGAAUUAAGCGAGUAAACACUCGACCAUAGCGCAUCCUAAUAUGUGCGAAUUAAGCGAGUAGAUAGUUUUAUCCUCUCUGCUCUCAGUGUGAACACAACACAAAGGCAAGGUCAAAAGACAGGAAAGGCUUUGACUACAGAAGAAUGCUGGAACUUGAACUUUGAAGGACAACAAACUGUCAAAAAGACUGACACAAAAGGGAUUUUAUACACGAUUUAAACAGGACCCUGAAACAGAGACAAUGGUGAAUGAUCACACAAUGAAACAGGAAGCACAAGGCAAGAAACACGAAGGGAAAAAUAAAAUACUUCACAGACACAGACGGAUAUGACAAAACCGAAACUGAAUAUCUGAAAGCUUAUUACUAUGUGACAAAGUGGUCGCAUAUCCUAUCUUAUUAGAUUGUGUUUACCUUUCUCACUUGAAAUGUAUAAGAAAGCAGAACACAUCAUUGCUGAGCCAGUGUGAGAUGAGGGAUGUGCUCUCUGUGUGUACUUGUGUGUCCCUCUUAGCCUUUUUGUCCUGCACGGUGUCAGUGAUGGAGGGGGCAGCCAUUAUCCCCCAUGGGUUGUUAGGCAGAAGUGGUCUGGCCCAGAUGAAAGCUAGUAGACAGAGCCAUAGCUCAGUGCUGACCGGCUUGUCAGUUGACUGAUUAGAAAAAUGUGCUGAUUUUAUGGUUUAAAGGCGAGCAGUCCAGUGUACUCGGAGGAUCUAGCGUGGCCUCAUCCUCACAACUGUUAAAUCACACUGACCAGACUAAAAGGAAAGGUCAGUGACUGUGCCCCGCUUUACUGGCUAGAAACUAAAUGAUCAGGUUGAAAACAGCAUUUUUGAUGGUAGACGCUCUACAAUCAAGGCCCUCUCGAGCAAGAAUAGAGAUCACUGUCACCGUGAGCUCAAAUAAAUGAAGUAUAUGACCAGUUGUCAGGGUGGUGGGCGGUGUGAGGGGCGUUGAUGGAGAUAAAAAUGAUUUAAGUGUUUUUAUUUUACUUUACUAAAGCUUACUGAUAUAAUCUUAAACGCCUCCACCUACAUACCAAGUCUAUGUGCUUUCCCAUUUUACUCUGUCAUACAAAUGAGGAGAUGGUAAUUAGAUUAUCUGAUAUGCUUUUGUUUCAGCAGAUUGGGAGUAAUUUAAAUGAGAACUGAACUGUUGUGCUCCAUACUUUCAUACAUAUCUAGUAUCAUUUUACAAUGUUGUAUGUUGAUGCUAAACUGCAUUAAAGUUCUAGAACAUGAGAUACAUGGAUGGCGCGCGAUCCCACGCUGUGUUCUCCUGGUUUGCUGGAAGGAUUGUUUACAAAUAUAUUGACACUAUGGCUUCAGGUUGUACCAUCUUGGUUGUACCAUCCAGACCAUCAGUCCGGAAUGGAUUGCUUGUAUCGGAGUGCUGAUAUCAGAGAUUUUAGAUGCUGGCCGAUAUAACCAAUAUUUGUUUUUUUUACUGAUAUUGGACUGAUAUGCGAUAUCUGUAUCGGAUCGGGACAUCCUUACUAAAGGUUCUUUCUGUAAUGAUCAUCCUUAAAGGUUGUGAACCGCUAACUGUAAGCAACAUCACAACAGCAGCUGAUGGAACAGUAGCUUAUAUAGGCCACCAUGUUCAAAUAGGGAGCAGAACAGUUAUGUCUAACUUUGCAUAAGAGGAAAACCAUCCAAAACAAAACAUAUCAGGCAGGAGCUGAAUUUAGGCUUUUAAGGGGUUUCAAAUCAUGCAAAAGUACUUCAUAGGUGUCCCAGUUGUGCAUUUAAGUGACCACAUUUUAGACUUUUAUGUCCACUUGUCCAAUUGUUGUAGAUGUAUGGACAGGUCAACAAACAGCAAAUGAGAGCUGGCUUCAUGUGGAGUUUUUGCAACAAAAAUAGUAACGUUUGUAAGUUAACAAUACUUCUCAUUUUUUCUUCAUACUUUUCAACCCAUGUCAUGAUUUUUGCUCAGACUGCAGCCAAGUGUUUUCUGCGACCUGACCAAGCCUUAUCUCUAGUCCCAGUGAUCUUUGUGGUUGAACCUACCCUGUAACUUUAUAUUUAACUUUAGAAAAGAAAGUUAAGCUGUUUCGUACAUUUAUUUUGAGGUGAAGGGGUCUGUCAGCAGCAAGAACAGCAAACAUAUCUAUCUUAGCAGAGCACCAAAUUGGAUAGGACCAUGCCAAGUCUGUCUAGGGCAAUGUGCCAGCAGAGAGCAGUGGAAGGGCUUUAGGGCUGCAGCAAUAAAAAAUAACAGAUGACAAAGAUGGAAAACAGGGUUCUCUAUAAACAUUUAACUGAUAUUUUAGAAUGACUUGGGGAAGAAUGCAGGAGUAGAAUAGCCAGGUCCACUGAAAUAGUUAAAAAAAAAAACUUUACAAGGGUUUUAAUUUUACAUCAUCCACUAUCUUUCAGUAACAAAAGGUAGCACCCCUACUAUAUAUCUCUCAUCUUCAAUUAAGAAAAGGAUGAUAAAAGGAGCAUCUGAAGGUUAAAGCUAAUUUUGUUCCGUUUAACUCGCCUGCCCUUGGCUUGCUGUAGUGGACCUUUAAAUCUUUAUUGGAGUUUUUUGUUAUUAAAUAGCCAACUACGAUGCGUGUAUUUGAGGUCUUCGCCAACGCGCCCAUGGUCACUGUAGUCUCCACUUCCUUGUGUCCUCUUCGUCUUUCAUUCCUCUCCUUUUCCCACACUGACAAACACACACACACGCCCAGACACACAAACACACCGAGUAUUUUGGGAAGAUGUCCAGCUGCCUCGGUGAGAAUGACUAAUGACCCCUUUCACAGCACAAACACCACCUAAUCAGAGAUGCUGAGGAUCUGUGUCUGCCCGCUGUCCUGUCUGAGUAAUUACGCCAGGGACUCAAUUAAUCUACUACCCAACAAUCAACCCAGCUGUACAUACUUGUUGCCCACUGCUGCGUCCAGAGAUCUUGGGUCAAAUUCUGUUUCAUAUCAGUCCUUCACUUGUGCAUUACUGAGAGAAAUGUGUUUAAAAAAACAGCAGUAGGGUAAAGAAUACACUGUUUGGCUUUGAGGCGAUGUUUUUUUUUAAGAAUACAAAUACAGAUCCAUUCUGGUGAAGUUAAUUCAAUGCUUCAGGAUAAAGCUUAACCUUCCUACAGCAAUGCAGUUAAAUGGAUUUGGCUCCACACUCUUAUGGGGGAAUUUGUUCAAGCUUUAGAAGGAGAUUCACGACAGGCACUCUGCCCCUCUUGGCACCUUUUUGAUAGGCUGUAAAAUUUUGCAAUGAAAAAUAGUCUAAACAAAAGUGUAUUGUGGACAGGUUUCAUCUGACCUCAGCAAUAUUUUGCCUCAGUGCAUUUAUUUUUUGUACAACACAUUUAUGCUAAUAUAUUGCUUAAUAUUUAUUAUUCACUUAGAGAAAUUUACCCCGUAUAUUAUGCAGUUUGCUCUCUUCUUAUUUGAUUCCAUAUCCUCACUUCCUUGGGUCUUAAAUGAGUCCAAAUGCACACUAUAGCUUUAUAUGAGGGCCUCUAUAAUUUACAGUUGGGUUUGACAGGACAUGAAUGGAAGUUAUUUGAACUUAAAUUAAGUCAGUGACUCAGCUUGGGCCAGCUGCCCUUCAUAAAACUUUGUACAAAGUUAAAAACAUCCCAUAAACGGAAAACUUUUCCAUUUUAUGUAUUUUUAAAUUCAAAACUGAUUUUGAGCUCUGUAUUUCACUCUUAAACCUUAGCAACAGAACCCAUUAUCCAAUUUUGGUUGUUAAGGCCUUCAACGCGAGCUUCUCCCAAGUGCUUUUACCUGUUCAUUUCACAAUUGUCAAAUACAUUUUCAAACAAAAAAAAAACAUGUUCCAAUAACCAAGGGGAUGUUUUCUUUUAUUUUUAUUUCCCCUACUUUAAGACCACAAGAACUUCAGUUUUCUUCUGUAUGACUAUAAAAAAUUCUUACUCUCUGAUUUCAGGAAUCAGUUUUAGUUAGAUCAUUUUAAAACAAGAAAAAUCCUUUGUUCCUAAAGGAAUUUAAGUACUGUAUGUAAUGAUUGUAAAGUUUUCUGCCAUUCAAUCAAGCAAAUAAUUGACUUAUCAAAAUUUUGGUCUUAAUUUAGUGAGCUUGCUCAGUUUAUCUCACUUAAAGCUCCUGUGAGAAACCUUCAGUUAGUCUCAAUUUUGGCGCCCCCUCUGGACAAAGCAGUCUUUGCUUAUCUUGUCCUCUAUAUGUUCAUGUGGUGUCUUCCAAAAUAUCUUCAACUUCUGAAAGUUUGAGAGUCAAAUUUACCAUUCCAUGUGGAAAUCAUGAAAACAGGGUGUUUCUUCAGCUGCUCGGCAUUUACCCCCUUGCAUUAAUUUCAGGCCUUAAAGAUUACAAUUUAAAAAAUCAUUAAUCUGAAAAAAAUUAUCAAUCUUAAUAAAAAUGCAUAAAUGUGCCUCAUGAACAUCAAAGUACUGCUCACGGGAGCUUUAAACUAAACAAACAGGAACAUAAACGUACCACCAAGACUUGUUACUGAAGAACUAACUGUAUUAAAACAAUAUUAGUCUGUGUUACCUGAGCUUUCAUUCGCAACUUUCUACUCUGCAUUCAGGUGUUAAAAGUUUUCUUGGCAUGAUGCUUUUAAUUUCGUUGUAUGUGUUAAAAGGCUACCUUACAAUAAUUCCAAAGUGCAAAUAUAUAUUUAAUUUCUUCAGCAACAAUUACCACUUUUCUUUACUGUCUGUUUUUGGGAUACAAUAAAAAUGUCAAUGAGUGACUCAAGAAUAGACCCUUUUCCCACAGUGUAUAAAUCCUGCACUAUGAAUUGUACUUGAAUAGGUUUUGAGAUUUGUGGCGGAAAGAAAAGAGCAUCUAAAAGCCAAUUCUGAGCCCAUUUCCCCCUGCUUUUUUCAGAUACCAUAUCCAUUUACACCUGGCAUUUCAUCUGAUGAGUAUUUAUUUAGAUUGUGCCCAGAUGUGGUUGAUCUACAUUACUAUAUUUGUCAUGAAGAUUCUUCUCUGACAGCUAAAUGGUAAUCCAUUUUCCCCCCAAGCUUAUGCAUAUGCAGAUUGCAUUGGCCUGGGAACCGUUGGCUGUCCACGAUUCCCAUCCAAAACAGGAAAUUACGCUACCACAGUGGCCCGAGGAGAGUGAUUAAGACGUAAUAUGAGUUCAGAAAAUGAAGUACUGCUGUAGCUCAUUUAGCCAGUGGUGGUUCAGGAAAUUUAUAAAACCUCAAUAGUCGGAUGAAGCCUUUUCUAAGUUGGCUGUAAAACGCUUCUCUAUUUAACAGUACAAAAGAGUACAUGUGGAAUUCUCCUUGGCUCAGUGUCAGUACAAUAGUGUGAGGCUGAUCAGCUGUGAUUCUGACUCGUUCUCUCAGUGUUCUGCUCAGAUACAAAUGGAAAAAUAUGUGAUCCAUUUUUUCCCAUCAAAUAAAUUAAUCUUUAAGAAAAUUUAGGACAUUUAUACAGUGUUUGGAUGGCAAAAGCUUUUUUGGACAUCUAAAUUGGUUUGUGAUUAAAAGUCCCAUAGAAAAUGUCGCUGUAAUAACCUCUCUCUCAGCCUGGAAAUCAAUUUUAAAAUGCAAAAAUAUAAUAAACCAUCUCAGCCUGAGUCUUAUCAGAUCCCGCAUUGCUAUGCUAAUGCUAGCUUAACUGUGUUAUGUAAAAGACUUCAUUUGCGCACAUAAAUCCAAUACGGAAUUUCAUGCAAAUGUCCAAGACAGCCAAAGGCAUGGAAAUUUAACCUGCGCCUGAACUCUGGUAAAUGAGGUCUCCUCUUCAACAACUUAGUCAUGCUAGCACUGCUGCUACUGUUUAUUGCUCUGGUUUCUGUCAUUCCUCAACUUUUCCUAACAAUGUUGAUAGGCACAGGUAGAAUUCAGCAGAUUGAAUAUUUAUAUUUGCACUGUUUAUUGAGAAGUCCGCUGUGUUUAUAUUUCCACACUCUGUAACUCUGGGUUUGCACAUUAAUAUUAACACAUCACAGUUUUGUUUUGUUAAUUUUCCUCAGCAGUCUUGUUGUCUCAAGCGAAGUUUGUUUGUUGUUUUGCUUACUAUUUUGUCACAAAGAAUACCUAAUCUGGAUGAAGUUGUGUGAAACUUUUUUAUCAUUUAAAAGUAACAUACAGGUGUUAUCAUGGAUGACAUCUAUGUCCUUAUUUCAAAUGAGUGAAAAAACAGGAAAUUAUCAUUGGAAUUAUCUUCAAGUACAAUACAGUGUAAGAACUCCCUUGGAAAUUAGAUGAUUCAUCUGUGGAGCUUAUGUAAAUUUUUCUAUUGUCGUGACAGUGAGAGACAAAAACAGUACAUUAACAGUUGCAUGAUGUGCGAUCUUGUUGGGUACAGGUCCUGUGUCUCUGACUCAUCAAAAUCCAAAAGGAUGCAAUAAAAUCAUGACCCAUGUGUCCCAAGGGAUGUGGCUCGUAAGGCAGGACAAUCCCACACAAAUUAGUAAUAAUGUUCACAAUGUUCCCAUGUCCUGUGUGUGGUAUGAGAAAUACUUCAAUACUUCAAAAAGUAUUUCAAAUCAGCCAUUUUUUUGUCAGCUAACUUUGCUGGAAUUGCUCGGUGUUAAGAGAUCACUUUUUUUCUCUUGAAUUUUUCUUCAGGUCGGGAAGGUCGCAUUUAAACUCCAUUAAAAAAAAAUGAAUAAAGUUUUUCAACAGACCUGCCACAGCUAUUUAAACUCAGGGUACUGCAAGAUGUUUGAGUCUGAUAGGUGUGUAAUAAAGGUUGGGUUGUUGAAGCCUUGUAUUGUGGGGUAAAUUGUCUGUUGUUGAGAGGUACAGAUUGGAUACUGGCAGGGGAAGAGUUGAACGGUGGGGGAUUUCAGAGGACUCAACGUUACCUUGGUAUUUGGUUAACAGAAAUGGUCGGAGGUCUCUCAACCAUCACAUAUUGUAUUGGGUUGUUAUUGCUCUCUCUGUGAGUGGCCUCUGGACCAGGGGGAGCUUCCUGACAUGACCCUCUGUGUCUUCACUCUAUCACAUGCUGUUUCGUAGGAUAGCUGCAGCCUUCAGUGCAGAAUAAUAUCAUCCCCCACAAAGACAUGUGGAAGUGGUUCAAGGUCUACAGCAGCAGGGGGAAGUCUGUCUUUUGGGAAAUCCUGUUUGCUUGCCUGAAGAGCCCUUCCAGAUGGUGAAGCUGAGAGUGCACCUCAAUCACUUGUCGUCCCAGAAGCACUGAGCUCGAGGAGGUGUCUGGCAUCCUUUGCAGCAAGGGAUGUUAAAGAAAACCACUCUAGCCAGAGGUGCAGAUAAGAAAAAAACUUGAAUGUCCUCACCCAGUAUGGAGCUUUACUUGGUCGGGGAUGUCCCUCUCAUUUCAAGUUACAAAUGCUCAAUCUACUUCAGAUCUACUCAGGAUUGUAUCUUCUAUUAAAUGAGGAAUUUCACUAAUUUAUGUCGUAUUGAUGGGCAAAUCCAGAAUCAUUAUCAAUCUUUUUCUGUCUACUUUUAUCCUUUCACAAUGUAAUGAUCAGUCAAUUAGUGAGAGACAAGUUCACAGAAAUCACUGCAGACUGUAUCCCCACAUCUCUUUUCUUUUGCUUUACCAGCCUAAAAAUAAUCAAAGGUUUGACUGAUCCAUGGUUUCUACAGUCAAAUUUUAUUUACGAGGCAUGAUCCCAAUCUUAACUGUCGGACUGGAGCUGAUCCUUGCAUUCAUAUUAAUUGGUGAUCAGCAAUCCGAGCGGAUCAUCUGAGCACAGUUUGUGUGAAAUCAAUGCUUAAGUCAAUUAGUGUAACCGAACAAUCCUGAUUGUCCUAAAAUACUAAAUGGAUCAUCAAAAACAGCACUGUAACCAUUGCUUAAGCUCUAUUGCAUGUACGCACAUGUGCGCAGCCUGACGGAUUACAACAACAACAACAACAACCACACUCCUGCAGCCUACAGGAACUCUCCAGGGACAAAUGCAUUAACUCAGAACAGUCUGUUGUAAUAGCAGCAGCAACCUUGUGGCUAUAGUAUCAGCAAUGUGGAAAUAUUUCAUACUAGAAAGGGAAAACAGCCCAUGAGACACCUGCAUAUGCAGUAUAACUAUUAAGCAGGGCUAUGUUCAGUUCUUCUAAUUAAAUACAAAAUUUAAAAUGUUAAGAUGCAACAUAUGUUUAUGUUCAUUAAAACAUUGGGGGAAGGUCGGGCAUCAAAGCCACAAACUCUGGAAUUUAAAAGGAAGGAUAAAUAUCUAUGAGAGAGUGAAAAGGCAAAAAAACAUCCAAGAGUAGGUGGUUAAAUUAAUUGCUUUGGACCAAUCAUCACUGUGGCAGACUUUGGAUGCAGAUCAAAUCAUGUGAUUUUACAUUGGAUAUUUAAAGCUUCAACAUUUGUCGCGUGUCGUUGCUGAGACUCUCCGCACACUGGUUUGAUUCCUCCACUUCCAAGUUCAAAGUCAGUAGAUAUUGUGAGCUGGCUUGUAAAGAGAAAAGCAUAAAAAAAAAACAUUAUGUUAGACAAUUAAGUAAAUGUACAAUGUUUAUGUUCCUGGUCUUGCAGUAGGUCGUUGCCAUUACCACUAUCACACUGUAACAUAAGAGUUGCUUUCACAGCAGCAUUUCAUUGAGUCUUAAGUGUGCAGUAUUACUUGCAUGCAGCUAUUACAGACACAGCAUGUAGAAGAAAUAACAUAUGAGUUUUACAACAAUGCCAGCUCAAUCGUUUAAUGUAAAUGAACUAUGUUUAUGUAACGCUCUCUGUAGUCUUCUGACCACUCAGACACUGACAUAUAGAAAGUUCCCUACACAUACCUGCAUUAGCUUUCAAGCAUAUUCUUAAGACAAUUGACCAGUAAAUUUGAACAUUUUUUACUUUUACAUCUUUAACUCUUCUUCUCUGUCUCCUAACUAUUGAAUUUUGAUGUUAAUUAAAUAAACAGAAGGAAUUUAGCAAAGUUAUGUCAAAGUAAUGUUUUACUGCAUUUGUGUGCUUGAGUCUGAGUGUGUCCUUUAGUUUUUGGUUUCAUUUUGAACAGGACUGUACCUUGAACUGAUGAGCCCGUCACCCUUCAGGUGGGAGAAAUUUUUAAUUCCCUCACCCUAUUAAUGAUUCCUGCAGACAAUAAAGACAGGAAAUCAUGAGUCAGACGUGCACUAAACUAAUCAAGUGAGUGAAAGGGAGGAGUAUUCGAAGAAAUUAAAAAAGAAUCAAUGCUGUUCUGGAAAUGAGAUUCUUUUGAAAGCUUGGUAGAGUUGGGAUGAACCCAAAUCAUGAAUCACUGGUUAAUUAAGCGCUUAGUCGAUGAAUUUAUUUGCAGAAAAAAAAAAAAUCAUUUCCUCUAUUGAGAUGAAGAUGGCUGGAUGAAAGAGCAAUCUCUUGUAUUUCAAUGAAGUUUAAAUUUGCAUGCUUCGGCCAAAUUGGUAUUCCUUUCAGAUCCCUGUGAGAUACUGAAACAGAAAGCAGUUUAGACACUGUCAGAUUGGUGAGUCAUCCUACAGUCCUUUUAAACUGUUUAGCAUUUAGGGAGGAAGGCCCCGUUAGUCAAUAUGAGGUGUGUAUUCUGUAGAUGUGGAAGUCAUUGAUUUAGUUUGUCAUUAAAGUUGAAUAUCCUCUUUUAGACAAAACGCCAGUGUCUCAUACUGGCACUCUGCUUAACUCUCCCCUCUGUCAUUUAACUACUAUUUUAUAAUUCAAGUAGAGAGGAGUGCGAGGACAAGCGUCCCAAAUUUAAACAACUAAAAACAGGGUGUCUUGUCUCUUCCUACCUAUCAUCUGAAACCAUCAAUGUGUCUCAUUGACAGAUGACAUCUUUGGCAGAGAAAUUAUUAAGUGGUAGUUGUCAUGUUAAACAUGGUUUUAUGCCUUUUUUUCUUUGCAACUAUCACUUUGAAGAAUUAUGCAGCUGUUCAAACCGGCUAUCUAACAUCAAUCAUUCAUCACAAAAGCCAGGGCUCUCUUGAAGAUCCUGUAAAGCUUCAUGUUUUCCUUUGUGUGCAGUUUUUGUAGAAACAUCUGUUUUCACCAUCAUCCAUGCAGUGAAUUUCCAUGUUGUACACUACCCUGAAUGCACAUCCAUCGAUUCGAUUUAUGAGGACAGUUUUAGCCAUGUAAAAUUCUUUAUGUUUGUGUCUAUUCCGUGUCUGUAAACUGUUUGUCUCUGAACUUGGAUAAUGGGCUGUUUACCUGUAUAGUACAUUGUGUUUUCUUACAGUCCUUGUGAAUGCUCCCCUAGUUUCAUGCGCCUCAUGUCCUUUACUAGGCUUGGCCGAAUUUACUCUGUCCUCUGUGUAACAAAAGCUCUCUGUGGUUUGUCCUUUGGCAUGCUGUAAUUAUCCAGAACAGUGAGAGGACAUUUUAUUCUUUUGAAUUUUCAACAAUAUCGAGUAUUUCUUCUUCAUAUUAGGCUAGGCUUGAUAAUUCCGCUGGCCUCGAUAUAUUGUCGUGCACAUGAGUGUUUGGUUUCCUUGUCUCUUGUCUCCAAACAAACUGGAUGACAAGAGGGAUCACUCUGUGCAUCAGUCUCAGCACCAGGGCGUGAACCCUCUUUAAAUUCUGCGGUAAUUCACAUCUUAAAAGAAAACAAAAGAAAAAAACCUUACAAUAAUUAAAGCUGUCCUGAUACGACAUCGAUAUCGGAAAUUUGUCUGAUGUCAGCCAAAAAACAAAUAUCGGAUUAUAUCAGCCUGCAUCUAAAAUCUCCAAUAUCAGCACUCUAAGGGUUAGACCUACCUACCUGCCUGCCUGCCUGCCUGCCCGCCCGCCCUGAUACAAGCAAGACUCCACUCUGGCACUGGUAACUUAGUUUUUUUUUUUUUUUUUUUGUACGAUGUUGGAGAAGGUCCUGCCCUCCUUUGCCUCUGAUUGGCUAGUAAUGAUGGGCUCCGAUUGGCUAUUUCUUAUGGCUGUGAAACGUCAUCUUCUGUCAGGUUAGGGAUAGGGUAAGGGUUAGGAUGAGGAUAUAGGGUUAGGUGAUUCAAGAGUGCGAUAAUGUUCUGUAACGUUCUGUUCGAUGUACAGAGCCGACAGCCCGCGUUUGGCUUGAGCGUGUGAUGACGUUUCCAGGUUUUCUCGCCAAACAGAGGCGAAGGAGGUGGAACUUUCCCCACCAUUCUACAAAAAAAAAAUUCGCUUCUGGCACCUCUAGUUAGCUGCGCCCGGAUCCAGCAUGCAAAGCCCACGUGAUGACAACAACAGUGUGUCCUAAGGCACUAACAAAGUAGCAAGGAGUAGGAGUGAUGGCUGUGUGGCAGUAUUUUUCGUUUAAGUCCGAAAAAGACAUUGCAGCUGAGUGCAAAACUUGUCAUGCACAAGUUUGUGCCAAUAUCGGAAUCGGCCGAUACUGAAGGCUACAAUAUCGGUAUCGUAUCGGAAAUAAAAAAGUUGUAUUGGGACACCCCUAAUAAAAAUGAUAGCAUGAGUUUAGAUUUAAGUAAAGUCAUGUUGAUGUUGCACUCUGUAGAGGGUUUGAAAUGACUAUUGAAGUACCUGGCUAUUGCUGAAUUUAUGUGUUACAAAAAUAAGGCAGCCGCUGAACUGAAUGUGCUUGACUCAAAACGAGCCCAGUGGUUAAGUCUAAAGAAACUGUCUUGUUAGAACAGAGAUUUUUACAUUCGAGUGCAACAAUCCCUGUCUGCUCAUCAGGUGGUCGGAUUCAUGGAGCUCUCUCUCCUAAUCAGCCCCAGCUCACAGUGGCUUCUCCAAAGACAGUGGAGGCAAUUAGUUUAAAAAGCAUUACUUGACAUUUAACUCCGCGUUCCCUCACCUCUUCCAUGAGCUGGUGAAUUUCUGACAUUUCUAGCAGACUCAGGUGGCUGAAGACUGUAAUUUUAGUCAGACUGACCGGGCAUCUGAAGCCCAGAUCCAGGAGCCAAACAGCUCCACGCUUGCUACAGAGUGGGUGAUGUGAGGGAUCAUAGGUCAAAUUGGCGCUACAUAGACACCAAAUGCAAUAAAUGAGCUGAGCUGAGGAGUUUAUAGUCCAACCAUCCAAAUGAGACAAAGCACUUGGACAUCUGAGGUUUUAAGACGGCGUGUCUUUACUGUAAGUUGAGGGGUGAUAGAAGUACCAGGCUGAUAUUCACCCUUUUUCACCCAAAUAAUUUCUGGUUUAACCUGCAUGUUAAGAGUCCAGUACUAAGGGGAAAUUUCUCAUCAUCAUCAUACGUAACACAACGAUGACUAAGCCAGGUCAAACUCUGAAAGACACGUCUACCUAACAUGCUUUAAACCUGCUCUUAUUAAAAUGUGUCCAUGUAGGUUGACAGUUCCACCAUAUUGUGACCCAUAUUAACAUCCAUAAUUAUGCCGUGACCUUUAGCGGCUGUGGUAAUUAUGAUGUGAGCAGAGUCAGACGUCUGGAUGAGGUAACUGAAAGAGCAAGAAAGUCUGUGAUGGUGGUUCCUGUUAGUCACUCUGAAUACACCAGACAAGGAGAAGAGAAAGUGAUGCAUAGCACUUUAUUUUCUGAUUGCAUUAACAGCAUAAAGUCAAAGUAAACAUAUCUCCAUGUGUACUUUUCAUUUUUUUUACUCAUGUUUCACUAUAAUCAGAGACUACAAUACGCCACAGUACUGGAAGAACUGCUGCAGAUGAAGUGAUGUUUACCUUCAGCUGUCUCCUGCAUGAUUAGUCUCACUGUUGAAUUCUCUGGUAUCAUGGAGCAGCGUUGAGUGACACUAGUUUCUCAAGGCCUAGCUAUAUCGUAGUGCAAAUAUUAGCCUUUCACAGCAUUAUUGAAACCUAUCAAUACCUGCUUUCAUGAAGCAGUGUGUGAUUUAUUGUAAUAAUCCCACUUCAUGAUAACCUCUAUGGUUAAUGCAUCAUGGUUCAGGGUACGAUGUUGGAAUAAGAAAUUUAGCUGUUGAAUAAUUUGAUUAUAUGAAGUGUUCUGACUGACUUCAUGCAAUACUGUCUGAGUAGGCUUGUUACCAGUGUGGAUGCAUUUGGCAGCAGCAGAAGAGGACCGCACAAUUCAACCAUUAUGCUUGAAAAAUGAGACCUGAAUAUAAUAUGGGUUUAAAAAAGCCGAAUUUGCAUUGUAGUCUCUUCCAAAAUGAAACAAACAGCCAACCAUUAAAAGAAAUAAUGUGAUUUUCACUUGGAAUAGCAUACAGGCUUUUGUGCUGGGAAAUUUUACACACAUCUGGAUACAAAUAUUGACGAUAUAAAGUGAAUAAAUGUCCGUUUGGAUUAAAAAACAAGAGUGAGUGAGAGUACAGGCAGGCCAGCCUUCUGUCCUCAGGGUCAACACUAAUUUAAUAUGAAAAGAAUCAGCUUUGAAUUUCAAUACCACCCAAAAAUACUCACAAUAAUAAUGGUCACUGUUCAAUCAGGCCGUCUAAUCCAUCUCUUGGGACAAACUAACUUCUCUCCAGUUUCCUAUACACAACAUUUCAUAUUAUUUUGCUAAUAGAUUCAUUUAGAUGAAAGGCAAACCAAAGUGCAGUAACGAGACAUGCCCUGGUGUCUUCAAACAGACUUUGUUUUAGUUAUGAUCAUUAGGAGCUCUGUGAAUAACAAAGGUCAAGAGCAGAACCUCAACCUCUCCCUGUGAAGUUCCUACUUCAAAACUUUGGUGAAGAUAAAUAGCUAUAGCUCUUUUACUGCCAAUUAUAAAGCAGAGAUAAUAUCCAUUGCAGUAAAAGGUUCAGAGAUUAAGGUUUUAUACCCGCAUGUUCAGUGAUGGUGGUAACUAAUUUCUGUCCAUUAAAGAAGAUGAAAAUGGAUGCACUUGAUGUUUUUCUGUUUUAAAAGUGUUUCUUCCAAGAUUUGUCGACCAGUAUAACUUUAUCUUUUAAUCACAUGAAAAUCACUAUUUUGUUAUCAAAUAGACACAGCAGCACAACGUCAUUUUCAACUUGUUUUGAGUCACCAAUGAGCACAUCAAAUCCUGUCGGACCCUAUUUCAUCAACGUGAAAGGUAAUGUUCAAGCUUAUACACUGUCUAUAAAGCGAGUAGCGAAUAGCGCAGCAGAUGAAACGUAACAUAAACAUAACAGCAUAGGUCCUUGAGCAACAACCCUCUUUGUUAUCUUCCAACUGAUGCGCAUCACGGGACCAUUUGGCGUACAUAAAAAUCCACAAAGGCUGCAUGUUGAUUUCCUUAUGUUGUUUUUGUUUGCCACUUUCUCUAAGCUCUCUCAGCAAAGAUAACCUGACUGCAGCAGACAUUUUGACACAGAGUGACUGAUCACAAGGUUUAAGCUUUUUCUCAGCUGAUCUGAAGUUCCUAACUGAGAUACAUGAUGCAGCACAGGACGGGAGUAAUGGUCAGAUGAGGAAAAAUUAUAAAGGAUGAGAAGGUGAGGUUUGGAACAGGCUCACUGCCCGCCUCUGCCUCGUGUGGUAGUUGCCAGAGUCCUGUCCCUGGAUGUACUGAACAUUGUAAUUACCUUGAUUCAGCCUUGGUGUGCUUACCAGUCAACCCACAGAUCUUGCUGUGCAGAUUUUACACACGUGUGGUUGAUAAUCGGUCACAGUGGUGCUAGGCCAGUAAGUUGCUCUUAAAAAUCAGCAAAAUCAAGCAGCCAAUUGUGGGCCUCAGGAGGACACAGCUGAGGGUUUAGACUUCUAGAGGUGCAUAUAUCAUAUAUGCAGCACUCACCACCAUCUAAGACAUCUUCACAUGGAGGAGCACAGUCAGGGCAAACAUGAUCAUAAAUGAUACCCACCACUUCAGCAACAGAGUUGGAGAGGCUUCCUUUUGUUUGAUGUAUACACAAUAUCAAGGCAAGUACAGAGAGACUCGAAAAGAGCUGCUUUACUCAAGCUGUCAGGACAGUGAACUCUGCCCUCCUCAGGUCACACCGUGGCACCUUAUUCACAUACCUCACUGUGGAACAAGGACACACACACAGUGAACAUAACACUUGACACUGAGCUUUUUACAGCUCCAUACUUCAGUAAAUUGAUCAUUUUCUUUUUAUAUUGCGCAUUUCUCAGUUAUAUCUAAAUGCCUUAUUAUGUCAGUAUGCAUUUUCGGGGUUAGAAGGUUGUAUGCCAGUUUAACGACAGCCAUUUGUAUCUGCAUUCUCUAGAUCAAAUACUACCAAACUACACUGUCCUACUAAGAUGCUUUCCAUCAUCUGUGAUUGUUUGUUUCCAUCCAGGUAGUAGAGCGUUAAAGCAGUGUGACAGUAGCCAUUAAUCAGGUCAACAGCCCUGGUUCAAGGUUUGGUAAUGGUGCCACAGCUUAGACAUGACUUUUGACCCACAUUUUGGGCUUUGAAUAAUUAAAGUAAGUAAUUCUUGCACUCGGGGGUAAUGAGGUUGACGAAACGGGCACUUUUUAUACAAAUACAGUCACACACACCGAUUGUUUAUACUUACAGAGACAUUUUUAAACAUUGAAUUGAUCUGCACAUAUUUUCGUGUUGAUGCAACCUUAUUAUUAUUUGGAUUGCUGUUAUUUGGGAAGGUUUUCAAAAGCGUCCAGACUCACUUGUGUAGUCUUAAUGAACUGCUGGCUGAUCCAGCUGUGUUGUCAUCUGUAGAAACAGACUCAGCUUCAGAUUAUGGUUCAGAGGAAAGAACAUCUCAUCUCUUUAAAAGCAUGUUCCCUUGUGUUCUCUCUCCUCGCAUCUCUCCUCUUACAUGAGAGGUAACAUCCAAGGAAAGGAUGAAAGAGAACUAGAGUUUCUGACGAAGAAACCGACGUGACUUUUUUACGUAACAGAUGUUGAGUUGGGUGAGGAGAGUGUUUAAAAAGUGGGUCAUGAUUGAUGAUUAUAUUGUAUGUAUUAAAGUUUGAUAGCAGAGAUACACUCUCAGCUUGCAGAAGGGUAAACCAAGCUAAGAUCUCCUGACUUUGGUGCUAACUUUUUCAUUAAUAAUCUAUUUAUUCGAGAAAGAGGGGAGGUAGAUAAAAAUCUCUUUUAGCCAGAUCUCUAGAUUAUAAAUUUUUCUAGAUUUACUUCCUGAGCUUGAACUUCAUUUUACAACUUUAAUUUAAUCAUCUUAAUGUUCCAAAUAAUCUGUUUCUUUAUGCUUACUCUCAUGGUUAUCACUCUUUGUGAAAGUCAGCAUGCAAAUUUGAUAGCAUUUCUAAUAUUCUGAUGGUGAGCAACUUCCAUCCAAAGCUAAAAGGACUUGCAUGUUCACAUUUGGUAACUAGAUCUAAAAGACGGGACAUUAAAUUGACAGUCUUAAUGAGGUAUGUGCCAAACCAUAAGAGAAAUCUUGUUAUGAUUUGAAAUGUUUUAAAGUGUUUUUUUUCUUGGUGGGACACAAGUAUCUAAACCGAAAUCCAAGACAAGCCGUUCAGUAGUUGUAAAAAUGUCUUUUUUUUUUCAACUGUCAAAAGUCAGCAGUUUACCAGAUCAAUGUUAGUUUUAGCUGUUGUUUUAAUUUUUUCUGUGUUUUUUUUUUUCUUUCGUAGUUUUAGUCAAAUUAAAAAAGCUGGGAGCAUUUUAGUUUAUUUUUAGACCACAAAAAAAAAAUCAAAAUAUUUAAGUCUUGAUUUCAACAGUGAAGGAUCUUUGUUUGAAUCACCUUUUUUAGGCAACACAUUUCUCUCAUUUACUUUUUAAUGAUAUUUAUGUUUAAUGAUGAGGGUUGUACUAUAGUUUAAACAGUCUAUGUUUCACUUACAUUUUUCUAAUAUCUGGAUUCCUUUAACAGUUGGAUAGUUUUGCCUGAACAGUGCUGCUGUGUUUUCCCUGCUGAUCUACUAAAGGAAGAAAAAACAAUCUGUAGUCAAAGAAAAGAGAUGAAACACUCCCUCUGUGGUCUCUAUGGCUUUACCCAUCUUCCUUGACUUCAUAAAAAAAAGUGCAAUGAACACAUAUGCUGAAGGUGUGUUCGUGAAAAAAAUGGCUGAAUUGCACUUUCUUUACAGUCCAUAGCUGUCUCUGCAGGGAUACGCAGGCUGGACAGACAUUCACUGAAUGGCAAAACCUGUUGUUGCAUUGUUUGGGAUUGGACAGGUUAUGUGUGCAGCGUUGAUCUCAUGGAUUUUGAAUGUCCUUUACUAACACUUAAGUUUCAUCUUGUCACUUUAUUCAAAGCAAGAAAUACAUUGGCUGAAAUUUUAUUAAUAUUUUUCUUUUUUUUUUUUUUUGGGCUCUGCAUCAUCUUGUCAUGAAAUAGAGUGUUAACAAAUAUUAAUCUUCGUAAUAUUUGUUAACACAAUGAACAUACCACAGUCAAAAUGUUUUUUAACACUGAUUUUACUUCUAUCUGUUUAAUAGUUAUGUUGAUAUUUUAGUCAGGGUUCAAACGUUUAAACAGUAUUUUAACCCAGUGCUUUAUCAUAUUUAUAAAAGUGAUUUGCCUAUACAGAUUGCUUAUGGUUGUAUUUUUUUUUCUAGACACUGCUGCAGUCUUAAUAUUUCGUCACAUCGUUCAGCAUGUUUUCAAACAUCCAAGGCUGUCAUGUCACGAAAUGUGAAGGCUUAUUAAAGCCUCUUCAUGAUUUGUUUAGCCUUGAUUUUACAGGGAGCACCUGAUAAUCUGACCCCACAGUUCGCAGUAAGCUAAGGAGAUAGUGAGCACAUUGUGUAACAUAAUUAGCAUUUCUUUUGCAUGUGCAAGUGAAGAAAGAUCCCUGAUGGCAAGGAGACAGCCAAUUAACUUCUCCUUUCUUGUACAUCAUAGUGAGCUUCUGAGGGAAUAACUUACCCCAUCCAUCUCCUGAUAUAAAAACAGUCAAGUGUGUCUAACACUAUCAUUUACUCCACUACAUUUCAAUCAUUUUUGUGCACCGUCAUGGCAAAUCACAGGCCAAGCUAGCUUUGUAUUCUGUUUGAAGAUUUAGUUUUUGUGCAGCUCACAGAUUUAGUUGAAAACUGUUUUAUACCACUAAUUCACCUGAAUUAAAAAGAACAAUGUAAUGCAAAGUUAAAAACAGUUUAAGACUAGAGCAUUGAGCAUCAGAGCAUCAGAGCAAUUUGGUAAAACUACAAGGUUUCAAAUGCAACUGUUCAGUUGAAGUGAACCAAUCAGAGUCACCCACAUCGAAAGUGUCCAUGUGGUGGGUUAUUUUGUCAGAUUCAUUUAAUGAUACCUCAGCUUACAUACAUGAUUACAAGCAUUUUAUUUUGGUCUCUGUGUUGUGAUUUUGUUAGUGUUGCAGCCCGGUAAUGAAGUGUACCACAGAUAUGGGGUUUGUAGAAAUCAGCACUAAUGACACAUAAUGGGCCGGGGACAACAGACCUGAGUCAUGAUUGCGUCAGGACAAAUGUUCUGUGGAUGCAGUUGUGUGUAUUUGACUGUAUUUGGCUUGUAUUUGACUGAUUUAAAGGGAUAGGUCAGUUUUGCUAAAGGAUGGUUAUCAAGCAUUUUUUUUCAGACUCUUUACUUCCUCUCUAAAACCUCUCAAAUAGCGUCACAUGAUUUUUGAAUGAAAAAAAAAAACUACAAUUUUUUUUACAGUGGUGUAUUAAAAUAUCAUUACUUCAGCUUUCAUCUGAAAUGCUUCGUUUUAGCCUGCACCUGCUUUAACUUUUAAAAAUCCACAAGAGACACAAGUGCAGUAUGAAUUACAUGUAACUACUUAGUUAAAGGGAUAUUCCGGCCUAAAAUUAAUUUAGGGUCAAACACACCGUAACACCGAGUUAGACACCCCCUCAAGAGAUGAAUGUUGCCGACCGCUUGUGUCUUGUGUAAUACCAACUUAAGUAACAACCGCACGAUAGCAAUACACAGCGGUCUGAAGAGCCAUAAACAAACCUCAACCAAAAAGCCACUCUAUAGCCACAAAUAAUGCUCAGAACAGCACCUAACUUCAUCAACAGCACAUAUAGAGUCCUAGCCAUAGUACUAGCCACCAAACAUCUUUUUAACUUUGCCUAAUUUCUCAAGCAAAUAUACUAAACACAACUCACCCACUCUCUUCCAGCAGUCGCUUGUUUGGGCCAGUCCAUUACAGACUGCUGCGGGGUGACGCAGCUCAAGGAAGAACAUUUAUGAUCAUUUCUUCAUGGAAAUGCAAUCAGACCGAGACGAUAAGGCAGAAGAACUACUGUGUCUGCAGUGCAAAACAAUUAAUAUGUUGAUUAUUACUUCAAGGAAAUGAUAAAGAAAUGAUGUCGGCUGGAGUGUUGUGUUUGACCCUAAAUUAAUUUUACACUAGAAUAUCCCUUUAAGUAUUCCCCAAGUUCAGUCUGCCUCAGUGUUCAACUGCCUGACAGAAAGGCUAGUUUCAAUACACACUUUAUCAUAGAGUUUUAAUUUGUACCUCUAAAAUACAAAUCAUGGGUGAACUGCUCAAGCAAUCAGAGAAAAAGUACAACUUCCCCGAAGUAAAUAGCCUUGCUCAUCAUGUGCUCCGACAAUGCCCCUUUGAGCGGUGUCUCUGCUUGGCUGGAGCUUGCAGCUGUCUGACCUCAUACAAAGAUUGGCCUUUUUUUUCUAACCUUUCUUUAGUUUAUGAUGCAGUGUUCAUUUUAAUAACAGUUUUUCUUUUUUCUGGUGAAAAUGCAGAAUUUUAAAUGCAGUACUUUUUAACAACAAUAUUCAGACAAUAAGCUCUUACAGCUUAUUUUUUUUAUUUACAAAGGUCUAAGAUUUAUUUUCAAAUAAUCUUUUUUUUUUUGCCUUGAAAAAAUUGUUUGUUGUGUCUUUGACAGAGCUGAUUGAAAAAUAAAAUCAAACAAGUAGAAAUAUGCUCCACAAAACUGAAAGAAAGCAGCACUGGGCAUAAAACCACAGCCUAUAGCCAAAAUAGUUAAUCGUGACAGAAAUCCCAUAUUUGUCAGGACAAAUAACCAAUGAAAGUUCAUGAUUUGGGAUGUUUUAAUCAAAUUUCAGGGAGGGGCACCCCUGGGGCCCGGGCACCCCAAGCUAUACCCUGAAUCCACCCAUGACACCCACAUCUCUUGACUGUCAAUGUCAUGACCUGCCUCCUCUCUACUGUUUUCUGCCCUUGUGUGACAUAACCUUUUAGAAACUUAUCACCAGGACCCCAAGACAAAAAACAAACGAACAAAAAAAUGUUUCUUUAAUGUUUAACUAUCAGUGCAUGGAUGGUAUUUAGCAUACUAGUGUAUUUUUCAUGGGUUUAAAUACUAAUUUUUAACCAUAUCCUGUAUGCUCUACUGUGUCUGUUAUGUUAGCAUUGAUUUGUAGAAGUCAAAAGGCCAUUAACAGUCUUACAUUUAUCCUGACAUUAGCUGAAGUGGGUUCUUAAGGUGCAGAUUUUCACCUUCAGAUGAGGAGGGGAGGUGUUUUUACAGGGACAAAGCCCACAUGAAGAGCCUCCGUGCUCUAUCCUUGCAUAUUUCAGCCUCCUCCAAACGGCUUUCAUCCACAGAGGAGAACCUGGUGGACAAAAGGCCUGGGGUUAUCGGCAUCUCAUCUUUUAUCUUUUUCAAAGAUAGAAUAUCUGUCACUGAUGGUUUUAUCUUUUAUGCUGCUAUGUGAGUGCCUAAUUGAGAGUGCUCUAUCAAUUUGUUAAUAUGUCAAAUGGAUGGUUGAUUAGACAAGUCUCACAUCUUGCUUUGAAUUCACAACUUUUCUUAUACUCUUUUUUUUUGGCCCCACAGUAACAACCACACUACAUAUCACCUCCCUUUACUGUGAGAUAUUAUAACACAAGUCAUCUGUGUGGACUUCACACCAUUCAGCAGAAGCAUGUUUAGGAACAGUCUUGUCAGAUAUCAACCAACAGCCAAAAAUAACUUUUCUGCUGAACAAUUUUCCCCUUAUUACUUCAACGUGCCUAAAAUAUUGUGUAACAUCAUUUGGAUGUUCAGAAGAUUGAAUGGGGCUUAAUCAAACCUAAAGUAUAACCUUUGCAUACCUGCCAACACUCCCGUAUCUCAGACCUAUCUCCCGCCCACCUAGCGUAUUGUCAUUUCUCCCAGGAAUCUCCCGUAGUUUACAUGGUCCACGUUCAUUCAUGAAUCGGAUCACUAUAUUUGUCCAAAGUUGCCAGGUUUCCAGACAACUUGAGAUUGUCCUGUGUUUCUGCUGAGCUUUACAGACACUGGAUUGAUACUUUUACUUUACAAACUAUAUUUAAGCAGUGUUUGUUGCAAAAUGAACACUUCAAUGAAAGGGAAUCAAAUGGGAGAUUUAAUUAGUGGACUAAAUAAGUUCAAGGCAUAUCGUAGCUAAUUUUUUUUAACAAACAAGUGUGCAGCUUCACCAUAGACUGUAUAUAGAAUGGACGCCGUCUGCCUCCUCGCUGGGUGAAGCCAAUCUGAGAACAGCACACUCUGGCGGCUGGCUGCAGUAUAGGUCAUAAAUCCCGCCUCCUUCAGCAAAGCUUAUGGAGCUGUGGACAAUCUUUAGAAAUUUAUUACACGGAACAUAACCCACCCCACUUGCGAUGUUGACAUGUAGUUACUUUUAAAUAGUUACUUUUAAACUGUAGUUAUUUGGGGGUUCAUGUUUUCUAUGAUUGACACUUGAUACAGCCUAUGGGGUUCCAAGGAUUGUGUAGCUCACCCAGGGGAUAUGCUGUUUGAGCCAAGCGGCAUCACAGCGACUCUCCAGCCGAAUGCGUACAAUGCUACUGCGCAAUGUUGGCUGCAGGAAAUGGAGAAAAAACGCGGAAAUACCGAGAGCUUUUGGCUUCAAAUCCGUAUACUGGCGGGAGGCGGAACCAAGUUGUCCAUAGUAUAUACAGUCUAUGAGCUUCACUUAUACUUAAUUGGAUGAGCAAUUUAAUAACAAAUACUCUCUUAAUUAGCUCAUAUCCACCAUACUAGGUAACCCCAAAACUGCCCAGCGCAUGCCGCAAGAUUUUAUAACCCAAAUGUUGGCAGGGAUGCUCUCGUCUUUUACUGUUUAACAUUUUGAGGUUCACAAAGGCUGUCAGUGGUUUUCACUGCAGUGGAAGGUUGUGGCAGCCGACUUCAAAACAGCCUCCAGGUUAACUCACAUUCUCUGUUGUAUCAUUGUAAAAGUUUGGCAAAUUUUUGCCGCAUCUUUUGUAACCAAGCCAUGAGUUAAUAAUCCCUCACUGUGGUGUAAACUCGACCAGGAGGUGAGGAGAAGAUUUAAGGUUGGUUCUACUAAUGUUAGUGUUCCUAACAGUAUGAAACCUUCACUGUGUCCUUGAAGAAAGCAUUCCCCUUCACUCGUCGCCUGUUUCAGGCGCCUGGAAGAUGAAAUGUAACCGUUAUUUUGCAUUGUAAUUACAGAGGCAUCCCGCUAAGCCAAUAAUGUACUAUAAUCUUAGUGAUGAUGCUUACUAGAGCACAUCCUGGCUCUGCGUUUACCUCAUAGUGGAGCAUCUCAAGGUGACAAAUGAUUGAGUUCAGCCUCAGUCCUUGGUGACUAAUAACUUUACAGUUACUGCAGCAACCUGCCCACACACAUCUGUGUGUUCCUGUGAAUGUGUCUCAUUUUCUCAAACACACUCGCACACAAAACAUACAGCUCCCUUGUUUCUAGUUUGCAAAUCUCCAAAGCAUUUCUCCUCAUCAAACACUUUACUCCAUUUAUUUACUGUUUUCCUGUCAUGGUCUGACACCCACAAGCUGUUAUGAGCACCUUGUUCUCUUGUUACACAGUUAAGUUUAUGAUCCUAAAAUACAAUGAAAUUAAAAUCUAACACACAGAUAAUAGCUGUAGAGGAUUAUUAAAUUGCUGUCUUAAUUUUUAGAAUAUUUUAUGACUUUAACAGGGUUGUGGAAGUUAAAUCUUAAAUAAGACUCAACACCAAAGAGUACGUUCCCCAUGAAAUCUGACCUACCUAGUGGCAUUUGGUAAUAUAACCAUAAGCAAGAGCAACAAGAUAAUAUAGUUCAGAUGUUCUUAAAGAGGGAUGAGGCCUCAUUAUUUUUCCACUCGUUUAUCUAGUCAUUUCUUUCUUUUUUCGCUUGUUCCAUUUCAGGUAGUUAAAAAUACUUCUAACAAACAUUGAACAGAUACUUCAGAAAGUAAGUGGACAGAGUUGAAGGGUAAAUCAGUAAGUAAGUGUUCAUCAUUGAAAAAUAAUUGUUCGUUUUCUAUGCAGUUUUUUGUCCAGACUAUUUCCAAACCAAGGCCCAUCACAAAAAAAAAGCACUGCAGGCUUUAUUUUCAGUAAAACAAAAACACCCCACAAACCUUAAGGAUCAAUAACUUUGAGCAAACUCAUAUUGAUAUGACUAUUAGAGUGAUCUCACCUCUGUGUUCAGAGUGAGUUUAUAUUAAUGCAAAGCUGGUCAAUGAUUUUAGCACUGCUGGUGUGCUGAAGGAACAAUACUUGCUGGUUUGCCUCCUCAUCAAGAUAAAAACAGAACCUGGUGUUAAAACCAGAACUAAAAUUACAUUCAGAUGGAGAACUACUUCUCUGGCUUUAAAAAUGUCACUGCACAAAAAGAAGAAUUUGAAGGGGAACGUAGAAAAAAGAGAAAUAUUUGAGGAGAAAGAAAUCUACUACGGUAAUAGUUUCUGCAUUGUUCUGAACAAAUAAAACAAAUGUGUUUGUUUUUCGAUGGGUCACUGCUUCGCCUAUACAUAAAGGUUACGUUCAUUCAACUGAAUUUGGAGCUGCAGUCUAUGAUGUGUGUGUGUAUGUGUGUGUUUUUGUUUGGUUUCUUGUGCUCAAAAACCCUCCCAUCAGCACUCACCUACAAAGCGCUUAUGUAGCAGAAAGAGUGCUGUGAGCGAACCUCCAGAGUGACAGAAGGUGAAUUAGAGAGUGAUUAGAGGUGAAUUCUAAUUCUCACUCCCAUGUGUCUACCUGUCAUCUGUAGGACGGAGCAUUUGCAAACGAACAAGAGGAAUGCCAGACAGUGUGCAGGAAAGACACACAGUGCUCAUAAAUAGCUGUCCGUGUGCACAAGGUUGCAAAAUCACUUGUGAGUUGAUAGCGGAUAAGUUUAGAAAUAGCUCAGUGACUUUCUUCGUGCAAUGGGUAAUACGACGAGAGGACUGAGCGAUAAAAGAGACUUUGAGAAAAUACUGAUGUAAAGGCCAUUGUCCUCCAGACAGUGUUUGACCUUUGUGUCUGUGCUGGCAGGCAUUACACAAACAGAUGCAUACAAAUAAACACCUCGCUGUCAUCCCCAAGUUGUCAUAUGCAGACACUUGUCACCCUAGGUGUCUCAUACAGACACAUAAGGUACCCUUCAGCUGCAAUAGGAGUCACAGAGGGCUUUCAACAAACUGUAAACCCAAUUCUAGUCAUAUCAACAAUGAGAGAGAUUGCCCCUUGUGGUGUAAUUUAAAGAUCUUUAAAGUCUGCUAGUGAGGGCCUUAAAGGGAUAUUCCGGUGAAAAAUUAAUUUAAGGUCAAACACACCGUAACACUGAGUUAGACACUCCGUCAAGAGAUAUAUGUUGCCGACUGCUUGCUUCUCUAGUUAUACCAACUUUGGGAACGACCGCAAGAUAGCAAUACACAGCGGUCUGAGGAGCCAUAAACAAAAACAGCCACAAAUAAUGCUCAGAACAGCACCUAACUUCAUCAACAGUACGUAAAGGGUCCUAGCCAUAGCACUAGCCACCAAACAUCAUUCUAAAUUUGCCUAAUUUCUUUGGCAAAGAGUUGAAACACAACUCAACCACUUUCUUCCAGCAGCUGCUUGUUUGUAGUGAGACCUCAGGCUAGUCCAAUACCAGCUGCUGUGGGGGGACGCAGCUCAAAGAAAAUGAUUAAUAUGGUGAUUAUUACUUCAAGGAAAGGAUAAAGAAAUGAUCAUAAAUGUUAUUCCUUGAGCUGCGUCACCCCGCAGCAGUCCAUAAAGGACUGGCCUUAGGUCUGGGUACAAACAAGCGGCUGCUGGAUGAGAGUAGGUAAGCUGUGUUUAGUCUCUUUGCUAAAGAAAUUAGGCAAAGUUUAAAAAGAUGUUUGGUGGCUAGUGCUGUGGCUGGGACCCUAUAAUAUCCGGAAUAUCCCUUUAACAAUACUGGAUCAGUCCAAAGUGGUUCUAAACUCAUGAAUACACAGAUUAUACACAGAUAUUCAACAAACGGAUUAGCUUUAACUAGCAAGUUAGCAUGGUUAUCUCGCCAAGAGCCAAAACUGAUUUACCCUUCAACUCUGGCGGGUUAGUUAGUUAACUCCUGGACUUUUUAUUUGGAGUAUUUUGCAUCUUUGCUACUUUUAUAGGACACUGACAGUACGACCCAGUGUUUUCACUGCUUCCAGCCAUAUUCUGCCACUCAGCAGAUGUGAUGUGAACCCGCCUGCAGCGUUGCAUAUAGUGAUUGCACUUUCACUUGCAGGACUUUCAGGCAGGAGAACACAGCAGAUUCAGAGAGGAUACAAUGGAUAGUUGCUUCUCAUAGAAAAACAAAAAGCUGUAAUUGACAAGCACAUAUUGAACCGUGGAUGCUGAACCAAAUGAUUUAGCAUAUUGUGAGUUGGCGCAUCCCUAAUAGAUAUUGAACUCCCUAUAUCUGUCCAUCACAAAAUGACACAUUCAUCACCUCUGAAUAAGCUGUUUCUAUACUUUUUCCUUCAAUCUAACACUGAGUCAAAUUGUCUUCUUGGCAGAAAAAGUUACUGGUCUGACAGGCCUUGUUAGUCAUUCGAUUGCUAUGCUUCACCACUUAAUCGUAAUCACUGCUCUGCAAGAACAUAAUUGAUGGACAUGUUUGUUUACAUGUCAAUUUCUCAAUAUUAUUAAUGACACCCACUGAUGCAUGCCUUUGGCUCAUGUUGCUCAGUGACACGAGGACAUUACUGAAUAAGUAGUUGGGCUGAUGCAGUUCCAUUUAAAAGGGUGUGUUUGCUGUUGAUAUUUGUGAUUGAUCUUAAUGGGCUAACUGAGUGACACGACUAGAGGUAGCUUCAUUAUUGACUAUGUUUAUGUUAAUCAGUUAAAGGUGAAUUAAUGAACUUAUCUAAAUCAUUCAACAAUCGGACACUUUGACGGCCUGUUUUAUUCUAAUGCAGCAGCCCCCCAUCUUUAUUUUUCAGACUGUGUUCAGUCCUAGCUUGCAUAAGCUAGUACAUAAUAUAUUGGAAAACAUGUUGUGUAUUUAACUUUACUAACUAACUGAAGUGUUGCAGUUAAGGUAGAUCUUUGUGGACUUAAUGGAAUAGUUCAAUUUUUCCUCCUUUUUUGAGUAUGGUGGUGUGACAAACUGAAAAGUGUGUUGGCCACAAGGACUUUAGUUCUUGCCCUCUGAAGCUCAACUACCAACGACUGCAUAUGGGGUAAGCUCUACCAGUCAUUUUAUUUGACAACUUACACAGUUAACUGACAUAGCACUGAGAUAAUAGAAAUACCUACCUCUACAAUUCAGCUGCUCUAUCCUUUAAAACAGGGUAUCUUGCAUUUUUCAUACUCUAUAUUUCCUUUCUAUUACCUCUUUCAUAACUAUGUGUGAUUUUCAGACCUAAAAAAAGCCUUAAAUUUCUCACAGAGGUGUUUUAAAAUAUAAUGAUUUCAGCCUUUGUCUGAAAUGCUUCAGUUGGGCUGCUGUCUCUUUAAGGCCCCCCGCUCCAGGCUGCUUUCUUCUGAUUGGCCAGUACUUACGAGGCUUUCUAGAAGCCGGCCGAGGAGGGCAGAGCUAGUUCUUUUGGCCUCGCUCCCCCCUCUAUUCUGUAUGAUCUGUUGAGCAACAGAGCAGCAUUACCCCCAUUAACAUCUAUCUAUCUAUCUAUCUAUCCAUCUAUCCAUCUAUCCAUCCAUCCAUCCAUCCAUCCAUCCAUCCACUGUCUCCGAUUAUUACAACAUACAUUUACCUUGUGAUUUCAUUGCAUACAUGUAGUAUGGACACCAAACUUUGUAACUUUGCAGUUUUUGUUGUAAAUGUGGAAAAGCAUGACACCCCCCCCCCCCAAAGCUUUCUCUACUUAGUGUUUGUACAUUUAAAGAUAAUUUUGUGAAUCAUGCUAUGAGCAAAGAGUGUGCUUUUCAAAAUGAAGUCAAGAUCCUAGAGGAGGAAAAAGUGAUUCACAGAACAUCCUGGCUCUUCAUGCCAAGGUCAUGCCAAGGCCACAUGCUGGAUUUUUCUUCCUGCGUUCUACAGAUGUUACAGUUGUGACGUUGAUGCGCAGAGCAAAAGUCUUGAGCAGAAACAAUCAAAAUGGUGGAUUGAAAUGAGAAUGAUGGAGUUGAUGCUGCUGGAAGUGUGAGACAAAGGAAAAGUUUGUGAAGCUCUGGCAUCACUGCCUUUCUGAUGUGUGUCAUCGAGAGAAUUCCAUGAUUGACUGAAAAAAGAGGAGCGUUGCCUUGAUAUAGCAGACAAAAGUCGGCAGCCUGGUGAGUUGCUCCCGCUAACAUUUCUAGGUUCUGCCUCGCUCAGUUUUCUUCCCUCCAAAGUCAUCACAAGGGUUGUGAGGAUUUUCUUGUAGAGGAGAGAAAAUACACAGAAGGAAAACAAAGUGACAUCUGUGAUGCUGGGGCUCCAUGAGCGGAGCUUAAAACAUGUUUGUUACAAUAAGAGAGGUCUUUGUUGCUCUAAUAAAUGUAUAAUCGACCAUUUACUUUAGAAUUUAACCCUUUUGUGCUGUCUUUUUGGCUGGUUUGCACAGAUUUAGUCAAUCAGGCCUUCACUUUGGGCCAGAAUAUGAACCAUAUAAUCCUCUGAAUGUGACAUUUUGAAACAAAGGCCUGCCUCUAAUACAAGCCUGCUUCAUAUAAAGACCGGGCACCUUGGGCAGUAAAAGCAAAUAAAGGAUCUCUGUAGGCCAGAGAGGUCGCUCAAUACCUCCCUCUUUUUUAUUCAGUAAUCAGGUUAUGCGCAGCCGUGUGUCUCAUCCUUGAAUUACAUCUUGUGGGUUGUCAAUUCUAGACUGGUAUUAGAUCAGAUCAGUAUUGGUGUUGGUCAAGUAUCAGUCUCUUGAAGCUGUAAUCAGUGCGUCCCUAAUACCGUGAUGACCUGAGCAUGUAGGACUCUUACCUUUACACAGUUUUCCACAUUUUCAUGCUACAUAAUGACUUUUCCCUGAUCAUAAUAACUCUGUUUUGUGCCAGUGUACUGAAAGUGGAAAUCACAUGGUUUUGCAGAAGGGAAUGAAAAGUUUUUAAAGGUACAGCCAAAUGACAUCAUCCUUUCAUUGUGGUGUUAUGUCAAAAAAAAAAAAAAAAGUGUAGGAGGAACCAAGUGCUUGUCUACAGGCCUUUAAAAGUUGCCUACUAAAAGAUAAAAUGAUAGUUUGUGAAUCAUAUUGGAAUCUCUGAAACUCUCUACCUCUAAGCUGGUCUGACUCACAGGAUGUUGACAUGGCCCGUCUGUUUCAGAUGAAAUUAUUCUACCCUUCUGCUAUCUGUGUGUUGACGUUUUCGCGAUCCCUUCAACUGUGUAAAACAACAACCAAAAAAAAAGCCUCUGAGCUCCCAACCCUCACGCUGGAAAUGUCAAGUUUUGAUGAAAAUUUGGAUCAUGCAAGAAGGCAGGCCCCACGUCUUCCUUCCCUCAAGACGCGUAUCUUUUAAUGUUCUCUGUGGCAUUUUCUUUUAUGAGAAAUUAGCCACUUUAAUGCCGGCUCUCACCCCUCCAAUUGCAGAAUGUACAUCAAAAUAAUCUCCAGCGGUGCACAUCUUAUAUUAAUUAAACAAUUAUGAAGGGUUAUGGCGGGGUAAUCCUUCAGUGCAAGCACAUAGCAGUGUGAGGACAUGUCUGGGUUAUGUAAAACUCCCAUAACACUGCUUUUGUAGUUUUGAACCAUAAUGCUACGGUGCUUUCCUGAAGGACACAAACAUUAAUUGAGGCUUUAAGGCACCUUUUCUCACCUCACUUUUGCAGGGUGUUUUUUUUUUUUUUUACCCUCAUUUUUUUUCACUAAGCAACAGCAAAAACUGUUUACUCAUUCAUGAUGGCUCCUACUGUUCUUGCGUCCAUUUCUCACCAGGAAAUGUUAAAAGCUACCACACACGGUAAGUAUUUGGGAAAGGUUGCUUUCGCCCCAGCUUUCAUGCCUCAUAGUCUCUAAAAGUAACAGUGAUAACAAUGAUGAUGUAACAGCACUCAAAAGAAAACAACAGUAUUACAAAAUGUUUCUCUCCUGUGCUGCAUAAAAAGACCAUCUCUGGGAAAGGCGCCUUACUAUUUCACAUGUUUUUCUGUGUCCUUUACUUGUACUCUCAUACAUAACUGUUUGUUCAAACUGUAAUAAUGUUGGACUGAAAUGCCCAGAAAAUGUGAGCCUUAAAUUCAGCUACUUUCAGGGUUGUCAGCUUCACCAUCUCUCUUCUGUCACCUUCAGGUCUCCAGGGACUUGAUGUGCGGCGAGAGGCAGCGAGGACGUUUAGACUGAGAUGGCUUACAUAAAAAGGUAAAAUAUGAGAGCAUUAAAACACUGCACUUAAUCUGUCCCUUCAAAUUAGCUCCAUUAAUCAUAAUUAAUUCGCUACAUUAUAUUUCCCUACUUAAUUACAUGUGCUACAAAGGAAUAAUUGCCUUGAAGGAUGCAUAUUGAGAUCCAUCAUUCCUCUGGAGUGGUGCAGAAUUUUCUCUGGUAAUUAACCAAGGUGUGCUCAUCCAGGAGGUGUUGACAGGCAGAGACGUGAGGAUGAAACUAAAUGAUCCUCCUAAAGACCCUUUUCUGACAAAUUGGAAGUGUAGUUCAUACCAAAACAAAUACUUGGAUACAUGGAGGUUGAGUAAUUAGGGAGUAGUGCAGGGGACAUUUUUGUUGAAAGUACCAAUAAAUUUCGACUUUAAGAACGUUGGUAGAGAUUGAAUGGAUACUGGAAUAUAUUAGUCUCAUAGCCUCUGUACAUUUGUUACGGGAAAAGUCUGUUUUCGAGGGAUAAGUCAGGUUGGCACAUCUUUGCUUAGUGAUAUCUGUAAUGUAAACAGGACAAUUGCUCUGUGGUACCACAGGAGAGGAUUUCAUAUUUUGGAAAUGAGCUAUUCAGCCAAACUGUUGACAGCACAAUCCCUUUUUGUUUUUGCAAAAGUUUACACUGAACACAUGCAGGGACUUGAGAAAACAGAGCGAGAAAGGAGCGCACAAGGAACAAAGUAAACGGAGAGAGAUGAUUUGCAAGCAGGUGACAUUAAUUUGUUUUUCCGCACAAGAAUUAUUAAUGUGAUACCUAGUGUGUGUCUGUCAGAGCUGUCACUCAACGAACGCUGUUUAUCCCAAAAAGCAGUGAUCAGCAUCGCCUGUCUUAAGACACAAUAAACACACACAAUGCACUAAAUGCCAGGUAAGCUGCACAGAUUUUUAAACCGUAUCAGCAUCAAACCUCACUGGGGUCUCUCAUCAAAAGAUAAUAUUACAGGAUUCGUGUGCAAAGGAUAAGUAAAGUUUAAGAGGCGCUUGUUCAAAAGCUUAGCUGUCAAGAUGUUCCAGCUGUUUAAAUAGUGUUGCCCUUUAAGCCGUUGGGUGGAGUAACCUGUGGGUUAAUAUUCAGUGAGUACACAUGAGAUUAAAUGAGGUCCAUGUCCUGUAAGAUGUAAAUAGAACAGACUGUGCCCUCUUCCUCUGUUGAAGCCUCGGUGGUCAAAGAGUUUGAUGCUCAUCCAAUUAUUAGUCAUGUCAUUUUGUCUGUAGAUGUCAGUGUCAGAUAUUCAGACACAGCAGAAUUAGGAUUCAACCUUAAGUGUUAACAGCUCUGAAUGGAGGAUAUUACUGGAAUAAAAAAAGAUAUAUCAUGAGAAAAGGGUUCUUGUGCCCAUAAAGUUCCCUUACAUGGUGACGGUCAGCUAUGCUGAUGUGAAACCAUCAAUCUUCCCCAUACCUUAAUCACCCAUCAAUUUAGCUGCUGCUCUUGUUUUGAAAUGAAAGGGACAAUGUCAGAGUCCUCUACACAGAGUUCUCCGUCAAACAGCCAACUAUAAAUGAUAAAUCAAUUAAGUUAUUGCCCUUUAUUAACCUUCUGAUGUGUGAUUGAUAUUCACACCGAUAACAAUAAAUGUGUCCUUGCCUUGCUCAGGACAAAGCCUAUUCAACCUUGUAUCCAAGGUAACCAAAGGCAUUAUAAUGCUUUUAUUAAAGAGUUAUUGUAAUGGGUUGUUGGGAAAGUGUCCAUCAAGCUAUUAUAAAAGAAAACUAUAUUCUUUGUAUAAUCAAUCUUUUUUGGUCUCCCUUUUUUACCAAAGUCUUUGUCACUGACUCUCUGGACAGGAAAGUAGCCUGCUCUGGUAAAUCAGUCUUGAGUAUGUGAACAACAGGCUGAGCGGAUACACUGAUUAAAUAACCAUUAUGAUUUAUAAACAUGUCUUCUGAAACCCAGGCUGGGCUGCUCUUUUUCCUUAAAUUUACAUAUUAUCCCAGAUUAAACAGUGUACCCUGAUUAGACAAAGAGGAGUAAUGACCUUUGUCUGUUUUAUAUUGAAGACAGGAGUUUGAGAGCAAGGGUUGUGAAUAGGAGAAAACAAGAGUGUUGCCUCUGAGUUAAACACAGACACAGAACAAUCACCUCAUCAGUACUGGCACUGUGCUUCUUGAUGUUGGGGUCGUAGUUAUUGUGUCACUGGCUUAUGGCCCACCUAAAAAAAAAAGAUUGCAUACCAUUUUAACACACAUGUCAUGGUAGGAUGGAACGUUAACUUAACAUCAGAUACGAUCAUCAGUCAUUUGUAUUUUUUUACCAAAGGAAUUCUGUUUGCAUAUAGAUUUUAUGAUCUAGAUCUGGUUUUGGAGAUUGUCUCUAUGAUCUUAUUCCUCAAGGCUUAGGGUGGUAAAUCUAGAAUCGCGUGUUUCACCGUGAGACAUUGAAUGAGAUCAGCGGUGUACAUAGACACCCACAUCCCACAACCCUGCCCCCCUCUCCCAUUAUCACGUGAAGAACAUUUCAACGUAUUAACUUUAUUUUAUUUUGAAAAUUAACUGGAUAUUUUUCUCUGUCGCUGCAUACAGCUUCUGCCCGUGCUGCACUGAAUUAAUGCGUUGUGCUGUGGUGUCCGGCAAAAACAGAAGCCUUGCGUAUCUGAUCUGACCGCUGGAUUGUGUGAAAUCACACAUAUUGAUUAUAAUGCUUGCGUAUUUGAUCAGGCUGCAGUUUCGUAGCAGAACGCAGCCAUUCCAUGUCCCGUGGAAUUUAGCGGUGAGUCAAACAGAACUUUUUCAGCUGGCAGCAGGAGUGUUUGAUACCUGGCCACACCUUACUCUACAGCAAGAGCACUUUUAGACUCUUCAAGUCUCCUCCUGAAGGAUGGUUUUAUACCGUUUUACAUGAACUACACGAUUACUUAAAUCUGUACACAUACAUAGAUGAGUAACACGUCUCUUACACUGACCACUGUGGGGGAGCUGUGAUUCGGGCGCUUGUCCAAGUCUGUCUCUGAACAGUAUGAGCUUCUCAUACUGCGUAUAGGAUUGACUGAUGGCUGUGUAAUGGCAGUUUGAGAAUGAUAUAGACUUCCCCCCUGCACCCAAAGAGAUCUCGUCCUUAUUAUGUGAAUCCUUUUUUACAGUUUAGACUUUUGAAACUUCUCUUAACAGGCAUAUUUUACAAUAUCUCUAUUUAUGUGACUCAGAUACAUUUCUAAAGGUUGCAGACAUUGCUUAAUCAUGUUUCAAUUUGCUUUCUUUAUGAGGCAAUGAAUAAGUCUGCUCCUUUGAGAAAUUUUUAAAAGGAAAAUGCCAAAAAAUAGUUCAUUAAAAUGUUUUUGAAUAUCCUGGAGGACCAUUUGAAUUGUUAUUUGUAGUUAUCUCAUGCAUGAGUCAGUGCUUUAUUCAUGCAUGAAUUCAAGAGUCAAGGUUAUGUCAGAUCUUGCUGUUGCAAUAACAGUAUGACAGUGUAGGAUAACAGUAUAAUAUGUCAGGAUUUCUUUGUUUUCAGCUUUUUCCCGUCUUUUCUACUCAGCUGAAAAAAACAGGCCAGCCAGCACUUCUCCAUGGACUCACAUGUGCUUUGUUUCAGAACACUUUGCAGGCUUUGUUCACAUUGUAUUAGAUGGAAGGGGAUUUUUGCAGCUCAGUUUCCCCUCAGUGUGACUAAUAACUUUAAUCAUACCAAUAACUUAAUGCUUUGAUGAACCUUAGAGCACUGAGCAAUUACUAUGUGCUGAGAUGGCUUGUUUUAUAACUGAGGUGAGAACAGCAAUUCCAGUCAUCCAACUAUCUGCCAUCAAUCAGCAGAGGUGAAAUGUUUGAACUCUAUGGCUGAAACUGCAUGAUGACAGUUAAAUGAAGGCUGAGAUGAUGGCAGCUAUGUGUAAUUGAAUUUCUCCUUCAGACCAGGCGAGCACUGAGUCACGGACCGCUGGAAGUGGUCUUGUUAAAUGUUCAUCUUUAAUUGAUUGACAUUGAAAGCAGGCCAAAAGUUUGAAGAAGGACUAAGAAGCUGCAUGUCAUCUUAAUACUGUGCCUGUUUAUAAACUGAUGAAUUGUCAUGACGACUCCUUCUGCAGUAUGUAAAGCAGUGUUGAUGGUGGAUAUUAACAUUGGAACAGAUGCGUUUAGCAAGACUCUCAAAAUGAUGCGCGUGACCGUUCUCCUAAAAACAAAGAAUAACUGUUGGAAAAAAGGACGGUUACAGGUGAUCAAAAAACCCAACAAGGUAACACUUAACUUGACGCCUAUCUAUAUAAUGCAUUAUAAGGUUAUGUAUAAUGCAUUAUAAUCACAUUAUAGCACUGUACAACUCUAGUUAUAAACACUCAUUAUCAUAAUGAUUUAUAGCAAUAAUCACAACACAUAAAACGUUUAAUCAUGACUUACAAGGUCAGUUAUAAUAAUGUGUUAUGAUUAUUACUGUAAAGCAUUAUGAUCAUUUAUGAGUGUUUAUAAUGAGCAAAUUAUAACACAUUAUAAAUAUAUGUUUAAUGCAUUAUCUAUGUGGACAUUGUCAGUGAGUUGUUAACAGUUAUAACACAUUAUAAUAGCUAACUUUGUAAGUCAUGAUAAUAUGCUUUAUAAUGUGUUAUAAUAAUUGCUAUAAAGCAUUAUGAUCAUUUAUGAGUGUUUAUAGCUGUGGUUAUACAGUGUUUAACAUCUAUCUCUAUAACGCAUUAUACAUUAUAUUUAUAAUGCGUUAUAGAGAUAGGCGUCAAGUAAAGUGUUACCAAAAGAACAACAACACAGAAAAUGGUGGAAGUGUCAUUAAUUUUUAGUUCAGGUGCUCACCAUUGCAAGGUUACACAAGUUGCUGCACUCACAUUUUUCUUUAAAGUAACCAUCAGGUAGUGUUGUGGAUUGGCAAGAGUCAGAUGAUAUGAUUCAAGUCCCUCGAUAGGGUGACAAUAUGAUUCAUUGCAAUAUACUCCAAUCCUGUAAGUAAGACAAUUUAUUGCUUUUCUCCCCAAUUUGAUUAAUUUUUUUUUCCUGUCAUCAUUUUUGUGUUACUUGAUCCCACUGGAGGAAAGCACACAGAGGCAGCAGACGGCAGCUGCGCUGAGGUGAGCUGCUGUAUGUUUUUCCAAGAACCCUCCAGGGGUUUAAUAUGUUGUUGCUGAUUUUUUUCCUCCUAAGAGAUGAUGCGAGUGUGCGCACUGUCUGUCUUGUUCAGCCCUUCCUGAUACUGUACUGGACACACACACACACACACUGAUAAUGACAGGAAAAAACUGUUUAGCUUCACAGCACAAAACUCAUCGAGAGAGAGGGAGAGAGAGAGAGAGAGAGAAGAAUGACAAUAAAAUGAAUUAGAACUGCACAUGUUUUGAGGGGAUUUGUUGAGAAAGUCACUGCAAGGAAACAAAUGAUUUAGCAUCUCCAUGAUGCACUUUGCAUACUGUGUUGGAUGCCAUCUUGUUUUUGGGUCCGUAUGGGGAACUAUAAUAUCAGUACAGGGCUUUAGAGAAAAGAUUCAGUAUCACAUCAUGAAGUAUUGAAACAUGAUGCACAGACAACUUUUAUUGCUAUUGACUAAACUGAUCUCAGAAAUCCCCCCUCCUCCCGAUGAGUGUGGUUCCUCUGAAAGUUAAACUUGUUCAACUUCGAGCGCUGUGAGUGCAGCAACACAACGCAGGUGACACUUUGGGUGUUUACGCUCUGACAACACUCUACACUGGAACAAGAAAAAGGAUAGUUAGGAUAGUUAGUUGCUAUUUUUUUGUCCUGAUUGAAGGAUGCCUAGAAUUGUGUUUUUUUAAGAAUUAUAGGUGAACAGUGCAAGUUAAUUUAAACACUUUUAUCAGAUUCAUCAGACGUCUUCAACUUCAAGUUUGUUUAGUCUUUAAAAGAAAAAAAUAAUACAAUCCAACCAGUAAUGUUUAAUAUUCUCUUGUUGAACAUAUACAGGCAUCAGUAUUUGAUGGAGCGUUUCAUAACUAGCUGAAUAUUCCUUCAAAACUGCAACAUUUCAUUGGUUGUUAUAGUGCUUCCUGCGGUGAGAGUCUUGUUUGUUCACUCAUCGAUCCACCCUGAUCUCCCCCAAUUUGAGCAGGGCUCUCUUUUUGUACUGCAUCACUUGAAUACAACAACUAAAGAGUGAUGUUCAAAAAUGAACUGAGAUUUGUAUCAACAGCCACUGCUCUACACAAAAGGACACAAAGAAAGGGGCUUUAAAGUUUAUACUGGCGGAAAACUAUGAUUUUUGCAAUAUCCCUUUAAAAGGCCCGCUGUUCCAUGAAGUCAUUUCAACUUCAACACCAUGAAAAUAAAGGCGCUGUUAUUAUUUAAACAGAAUGAAGUAUUUCUAGUGUAUUUUGCACAUGGCUGUAUUUUAGGAUAGUGUAAAUCCUCAAAGGAAAUCCUGAUAAAAAGCAUUUGAAGGGCGUUGCUAUUGGACGUCAUCCAGGGGUGAAUGAGAUCAGAUUACAGCGGGGUCCAAACGAAGAUGAAUUACAAAAACUAUCACCAGUUCAAAGUGUAAAUGUGAGUACUUUGCUAUUUGAUGCCUUUACUCUGACAAUAUAUCAGACUCAAAUACAGAUAUCAACAUGAUUUUUCAUUAGCACCAGACACAACGUCAGACCUUGAUGUUCUCAUGACUGUGAGGAUAGUCUCUUUUUAAACAUUUAAAACAAUCAGCGGGUACACCCUUUAAACCAUUAAUUGCGUCAGUAUAUCAGCACCAGUGGUACUAGUUAUCAUAAGCUUUUCAUGCUACAAUCUUCAAAGUUUUAUUUGUAGAAAGAUUGCACUUCAGAGACAAAGGUAUGGUGCUCAUUAGUCUCCACUCUCAUCUUGUACAAACCUUUUUCCUUCGAGAGAAACCCAGGUCUCCACCUCUCUCUCUUACAAUGAUCACACCUGACCUCCCUGCUCCAUCCUGGGCCGUACUACCACCUCAUUUCUUUCAUACAUUUACUCUCAGUUCACAGCCCAGUAAUAAUUCCCCUCUCUGAAAUUAAUUCCUCAGUUGCCCCCUCUUUUCUCCUCCUCUCUCUUGUCGCCAUGGCUCUGUCUCCCUUGGCUCCAGGACUUGAUGAAAUGGAAACUGUUUCCAACAAUUAUUCUUCCCCCCUCCUCGGUUGUAUUCCAGACUCCAGUCCUCCUCUCCUUCCCUCCCAGAAAACCUCGACAAUUAAUGGAGCUCUUCAUCAAGCGUGCGAAAAGCUCCUCACCUUGACAAAUUGUUGCGCUCCUGGGGGGCUAAGCACAUUAUCAAAACCUGACAUUUGUUUACAGAAAAAAAUACAGAGUGCAUAAUUUGGAGGAAGUGAAGGUUUCUCUGGGUUUGCAGAAUACUGAUUUAAUUUGAAAUUUGCCAACUCAUCUCUCUUUGCUGGUGUGAUAAAACAUUACAUGUCCCCCCUAAAGAGCUGUUUAGUGUGGUCUCUGAGAAACUUAUACUGUGCUAUGAGCAGUUAAUUACAGAUGAAGCGAGAGAAGAACCUCAACAUCGUAUGAUGUUGAACUUUAAAUGGAAACAAGUUGUUUGGAAUAAUUUUCCAUCAGUUUUGGAUAAAGAGAUAGAGAUGUAUCUGCUGGGUAUCUUCUUUCAAAUGCUUGGAUUUAGUCUUGCAUUUUUCACUUUUGUUUUUUUUAUCUGAUCUUCUUCACUUUCCAACAAUUUUCUUAUCUCCUGAGUUAUGUUAUCAUCAUUUCUUAAUUAGGGAAACUAAACAAGUUGAUGGUUGAUGUGUCCUGAAUACAUUUGUAAACAAUUCAUUAAAACAGAAGAAUAAGAGAAGAAUUAGACAAGUCCCCCUUCCUCCUGCCAACCAUACCCCCCACAAACCUCACAAAGUAGUAGUAGUAAUUUCUAGGUGUGUCCCGAUCCGAUAUAGAUAUCAGAUAUCGGUCCGAUAUCAGCAAAAAAACGAAUACUGGAUUUUAUCAGCCUGCAUCUAAAAUCUCUGAUAUCAGCAUUCCGAUACAAGCAGUCAAUUCCAGACUCCGCUCUGGCACCUCUAGCUAGCAGUGCCUGGAUCCGACAUGCAGAGCCCACAUAGUUGCAACAACAGUGUGUACUAAGGUACUAACAAAGUAGCAAGGAGUAGGAGUGAUAUUGGUUGUGUGGCAGUAUUUUUCGUUUAAAUCAAUAUUGGUAUUGGCAAUUACUGAAGGCUACAAUAUUAAUAUCGUAAAUAUCAAAGUAAAAAAGUUGCAUCAAGACGCCCUUAGUUAUUUCUAUAUUGUAAUUUCCAUGUGUGUAACUAGUGUGAAGGGGUAGGUGUGCUGAAAACCUUGUCUUACUUUCUCCACAGCAAGGAUUCAUGUUUUCAUAGUGCUAAAUAACAAUGUGAAGACACUAGAAACUAGAAAAAAUCAGCAACCAUAGAGGGAUUCUGUCUUUGUCCAGGGGGGAUGCCAUAGUCAACAUGAAUACAGUUCCUCACAUGACCUUCAAUACAAAAUUAAGUGUCACCUUUAUGUCACCAUGAUUACAUGAUAUGAUAGUUUGUCAUCGAGCAAUCUUUGUUUAUUAGUCAUCAGGAGGAAUAAACUUGUAAUCACAUACAUGGCUUUCCUUUUUAGAGCCUUGUUAAUGAGACACUUCUUUAUUUGAAUUGCAAAAAACUCAAUCAAAACAUCUUGAAUAGAAAAUACAGUUUGGUCAAGGAAUGAUGGAAAAUAUGCACAAAUCUUUCAGACUCGCAUUUUCAAACCAACAAAAUUAAUGGUAAAAAGACUACAGUGACAUGCUGCUGCUGUGCUGUUUUACAUAGUUUUUGAUAAAUUAUGUAUAAAUUCUUUGAAACUCGGCAUUCGCUGCAGCAGCAGCAAGGUUGAAAGCUCCACGAAGAGAGUGUCAGGCUUUUCAUGGUAGACUGUUGUGAACAUGUAGGUAGAGGCUCAAAUGUAGGAGGAAAAUAAUUUCCAUAUGAAUAGAUGUCUUCUUUAGGCAUGAAUUGAGCAAGUGUUAUCAAAGUUAAGCUUGUUCUACUUGAAUGUACUCACUGUUAAACAUCAUAAAACACUAACCACAGGAGGUUACUGUAUCUCAAGUAGAAACGGUUAGAAAAGGAAAAAUGUAUAAAUGUCACAGCUUUAAGCUAGCUGUUCCCUCACACAGAUUUUUAGGAUUUUCAUAGAUCUAGAUUGACCUGAAUUUCAUAUAACUAUUUGCUACCACUCUUAUCAGGAUAUCAGGUCAAAAAGAGAUCUAUUUAGGUUAAAACUAAUCAGACUGGAUCAAAGUUUAAGAAUAAGUUGUUCAAAAGAGAAGGCUUGAGUUCAAAAUUUGAUUAGAUUAAUCCUGCUUCAAGCAAUUGUCAAAAAAUUUUCUGUUAAAUUUUCCAAACUGUUUUCCCAUUUAAAAAAUUCACUAGAAAUCCUUUAUUUUGUUGGGAUAGUGACACUAUUCCAACAAAAUAAAGAAUUUUUAACUUCUCAGAGUGCCUCAGACCUCCAGCUUUGCUUGCCAUCCGCACCAUGGACUUUUAUUAACACCUGAAAGGCAAGUCACUGCUCUCAUGCUUUUUUAGACAUUGUUUGUCCUCCUGAAGAACACCUGAUCCUCCACGGAUACUCCGACCCCAUGCAGCACUCACCCAACUUGUUUUUUUAUGUACUCAACAGAAAUGAUUGUAUUUUGAACACCAAAGUCUGUUCAAACUUAAAUACGCAGAAAUAUCCACACGAAACUCCUAUUUCAGUGUCGAUUCAUGUGGGGACUUUGGCUCCCCCCUUGUAGACUAAAUGUGCAGUAAAUAGUUACCACUUUAGAAAACUGGUCAUCUUAAUCUGGUAAUCUUUUCACGGUCUGAAACAGUGACAGCGUUAACGAGUCACAGAGUUUAGAAGAAGCCAUUUCAGCAUGAUGAAAAAGUCCUGUGAGUUACCUUAUAUUACUUUGUCUACAUCUAAAUGCCCCAAACAACUCCGCUUUUGGCCAUAUUCCAAUUAAGAGCAUGUUUGGGUUGAGGUGUUUACAUGCACCUUAUCAGUCCUCUGAUGGAAUGUACGCACAAUUUCCAUGAAUAAAUCCAAUAACAUUUUCCACAACACCUACUGCAUUACAUUCGCUCGCAAAAUGCUUAUGAGGUGUAGAUUUCCAUCGCAGAUACACUUUCUCACUUUCUCUAUUGUGCAUAAGAGCACGGGUGAGUUGUCACCAAUUAUGGGUAGAUUACAAGGCUUCCUGCAUGCCUUUAAGAUAGCCGUGUACUGACUGAAAGACCACCUGGCUUUGCAGAGGAUUCUACCUAAUUGAAUGCAUGGAUGGCUGGAGAAAUGGAUAGAGUUUGGGGGGCAUGCUAAGCAUGCUUAAGCUCAUGAAAAUUACAAAUUUAUCCUAUGGAAUCCAAGGCAAAAUUAUCUUCAAAGUGUGAUUAAUGGUGGCUGCCAACCACACACUCACACACACACAUAUACCCACACAAAAGAAAAAUCAAUUUCCAACCACAGGACAAAUGCUGUACACAAUACAGGGUAGAAGGUUAAUGUAUGGUUAUUAUUCUCUCAUUAUACUCCUUAUUUAUCAUCAACUCUAAACUGUCCUCAGCCUCUACUUCACAACAAUGUCCUCUUGGAAACAAUAACAUAUAGAGAAAGGCAUAAAGCAGCAAAUAAGUUUGACAUCUAAUGGAGAAUAGAGCUGUAAGUUGUAGAUAAUUGCGUUCACUUCUUAGUCCCUUGGUUGUUGUGUAUUAUAGUAACUUUUUAAGGAGUAAAAAUAGUUGUAGAAAUGCAAUAUUAAGAUGUUAGCAAUCACUGCUAACUACAUGUUAUAUUUGUAAACCUCAGAGAUGCAGUGACAAACACAUGCCCAGACAACCAUGGACUUCGCUAGCACAGAUUGCCAUAUCUGUUCACCAGCUUUUUCGUAUUUCUGAGUGUGUAUUGGAAGUUUGAGAGUGGGGGGGGAUUCUUCCUCUAAGUGAGUUGUUGUCUAUGGACCUGAUUAAGCAGGUCACAGGAGCCCUCAACCUUGUUCAGACUGCAAAUUCCCUUGACUCCACUGUCCAUUUAAUAACAGUUUGAUGCUUUGUUCUUGAUUUGCUCGGAGCUGAUCUGCUGUCACUUCUAACUGGGUGCUGUCUAGGCUGUCAAUGCUGGGUUUUAUAUAUUCCCUCUCCUGCCUACUAGACUUGAGUCCCCAGACUCCAUAACACUCAGAUUUUGAGUGAGAGCUUUUGUCCUUUAUUUUUUGCCCACCAAUGUUAUUGCCCCACCAGAGCCAGUUUAGCAAAAUUGGAAAUUCACUUGAGUUACUCCAGUGUAUCAGUGAAGGCACAUCUUGUGCUUUACAGAUAAUGGAUGGCUGGAGCAGUUAAAAGCAGAAAAAGGGAAAUGUUCAGUUGGCUGUUAUUGAUUUAUAAACCUGAUUUCUGCAACAUUUCACUGAAACUAUUCUUCUAGGCAAUUUGUUUGCUUCUCUCUUAUGUAAUAUCAAACACACAAAAAAGCCAAUCUAAAUGCUGAAAAUCUGUCAUGCAAAUAACAAAGCAGAGAAGAUCACAGAGAAAUUUCUUAACAAGCAAAACAUUAACUGUAACUGGUGUUAUCUGGUGGGGGAUUUCCAUGUCUCGCCCAAGGACAAUUUGAUAGCACAAGAGCUUAUGAUUUUGACCCAUAUCCUUCCAUUACAGGAUCAUUGCUUUGAAAGAUAGGCUAACAUACUGUCAAUUAGCUUAAACCCUUUAAAGAGCUACUUAGACUUAUGUUGCUUCUUGGUGCAGUGAAGUGGUAGAGAUAUGUGAAGGACAAGAAAAAUUGACCAAAAAAAAACAAGAUCACACAAGUGUUCAUGUCUUGCUGUGUUAACUUCUCCUGCACAGUGUAUUUUCUUUAAUCUUUGUAAAAUAAGGUAUAUAAAAAAACAGUCGGUACUUUCACAAACAUACACUACAGGCCAAAAGUUUGGAAGCAAGAUCAGAUUUGUACCAAAAUAAAAGAUCAUAGUUUCAUAUAUAUAAUUUGCAACACAAUAAACAUGACUAUUGUGUAAAGAGUGACUUAUCAGAAGACAUUUUGACUAUAAUUAUUAGGUAUUUGAGUUGUUGUUGCUUAGACGUUGCUUUCUUUAAAGUAACCUCCUCUGGCUUUAACAACAGCUUGGCAUAUACCAGACAUUCGUUCCACAAGUUUUUUAAGAUAUGUUCCAGGGAUUGCAUUCCAAGCUUUCUUAAGUUCAUUAAAAGGGACUGCUGAUUCGUGGGUCGCGUUUUUCUGACUGAUCGAUCCAAUUCAUCCCGCACAAGCUCAAUUGGAGAAAGGUCUGGAGACUAAGGGGGCCAAACCAUCUUUUGAAGAACACCUUCCUCUUCUUUUUUGUCUCAGUAACCCUGACAGAGCUUGGCAGAGUGCUUAGGGUCAUUGUCUUGCUGCAAAACAAACUUAUGAGCCACAAGUCUGAGUCCAGAUGGAGCAGCAUGGUGCUGGAGGAUGGAGUGGUACCGUUCCUUCUUCAUGGUACCCUUUACUUCAAACAAAUCUCCUACUCCAUCACCUGCAAAACAUCCCCAUAUCAUGGAACUACCACCUCCAUGCUGAAUUAUGGGUGUAACACAUGGUGCUUUCAGACGUUCACCAGUUUGUCUGCGGACAUAGACUCCGCGUUUUGAACCAAACAGUGCAAACUUGUUUCUAGUCAUCAUAAGUCCAAUCUUUGUGAGCUUUUGCCCACUCAUAUCUCUUUUUCUUGUUCUGUGGACGAAGUAGUGUUUUUUUGCAGAUACACAACCCUUCAGACCAGCCUUUCUCAAACGUCUUUUCACGGUUGUCAGAGAUAUGGGUUUCGACCUUGUCAUGUUGAUUUCCUCCCUUAUUCGUGGUGCUGUCUUUUGCCAAUCUCUCUUACUAGUGACAAUGCUCUGUUUAUCCUCUGCUUUUGUAGUAACUCUCUUUCGUCCAGGUCUUUUUCCAUCAUCAUAACUUCCAGGUUCCUCUAGUCUCUUCAGAAUGUAGUGGACUCCUUUGUUAAACACCUUUAGGCGGUUUGCAAUUUCUCUUUCUGUGUAUCCUUCUUUCCUCAAUCUACAAAUCUGUACUUUUGUUUCUUUACUCAGUUGCUUCUUUCUAGCCAUUUUUUGCGGUAGUUUGAACGCAGUUGAAAUUUAUGAGGAUUUUUGUAUGCAGACUCUCAAAAGCCAAAAAGUUGAAGUGAAUAAUCCAACUGUGAUUUGUUUUUUUGCUUUUGCACUGAAGUUGUGACUCUUGCAAAUGUUUUCAACCCUAAAACUAAGCCCUUAUUAUCUUUUGCUGACAUAUAUUUAGCAAUGGUCUGUUAACAUCAAUGUAUAUCUAAAGGUAAAUGGAGUAAAAUGUUGCAUUUCCAUAAAAGCAACAUCUGAUCAUGGAGUAAAUACAUCCCAAAAUACAUAAAACUCAUGUUGGAUUUUUAAAAAAGCAUUCUGAACAAAAACUUGAAGUUACUCCUAACUGUUCUGCCUGUAAUGGCCUUGCUUCCAAACUUUUGGCCUGUAGUGUAUGUAUAUAAUGAGCCUUUUCCUGCUUCCAGAACGACUACCAGCAAGUCUCCAUAAAACUUAACCCUUGUGUUUAGCCGCUACAUGAUUUUUGGCAGAUACAUUUGCUUUUUCCUUACAGUUACUGCUCACACACUUAGUGAACAUUUGAAAAAAGAAAUAGAGUGGGAUGUCAGAGCUGUAAGGUACUUAAUACAAAAAGUAAAUAUUGUUGGCAUUAUUGUAUGUUUUUACUUAGCCCCUGAAACAAUGGUUAUCAGCAUUGCCCUACUUGGGAGCUACACUGACCAAAAACACUUUUAGCAGGAGCAACAAUCCAAAAAUGUCCCCUAUUUCCGUAAAACAAGAUUGCUUUUGAAAGGAGGAAAAAUACUAAAACGAUAUUUCAUAAGUAUUGUUUCCAAUAUGCAGCCAUGAAUACAAUUAGGGGAUGAUUGCGCAUUGAUAACAGCAGGUAACACACAGAACAAGCUUUUUACCGUCUUGCAAACACUGUUGGAUAUUUCUACUCUUAUUUCUUCUGUUAUUUGUGUUCAUUGUCUUUGCACCAAAACACCAAGACGAAUUCCCCUUAAUGUGUAAAUGUGUUAUCAUCACCACCAGUAUUUUGGGGAUCAAUGAACAGCAUACUGCAGCUAAGUCAGUGUAACACACAGUGUAUUGCUCAUAUUUAAAGUCCAAGAGCAGGUGACACUCAGCACAUUGCUGAUUAUAGGUAGUCUACCUGCUUUUUCUGUAUUGGUCCUGUUCUCUUGGAGAAAUAAAUGGGGAAAGGGGUUGUCAUUGCAGUAACAUUGAACUUAAUCCACUUAGUGAAAUUUCUGACACUCUUUACUCAGCACAAGAGAUAUAAAGUCAGGCUCUGCACUGGAAAUGGCAAUCCAAAGAGCCUCUAUUAUGUGCAGCAGACUCAGUAUGUUUCACUUUUUUUUAUUUUGAAAGGUGCAGAAAAUGCUGUUUCACAUCAAUAUGUGGAGGGAGACAUUUAGAUGAUGAGUCUUUUAAUGGAAAUGUUUGGAUGGUGCCCCCUUCGAUGUCCACAAGUCCACAAUAUUUUCAUUAUUUCCAAUUCUAUUAACAAGUCCAAGCCAGUUUCGUAUUUGCAUGAUUACAUCGCUCUCAAUCUGGGAUGUUUUUCUUUUCUACAAUUGAAACAACAUUGCUGGGGUCCUUGAAGUUGCAUAACCUUGACUUGUAGUUUUGCUUGAGCUUAGUUAGCACAUUGUGGAAUUGGGAGUGACAGGAUUGGGCAACAUCUGCAUGCAUGCAGCUGCAGCAUCACUUUCUGGGCAGAGGGGAAGAAAGGGUAAUCAGAACUGCGGACACUUUGUUGAAGUACAUCCAAUUUGUCAGAUAAUCCCCUGACAGCCACGUAUAGGCUUAUAUAAAGUCUUGUUAUUCCCCUGAAUCUUGACACUAAGUUGAAUCAAGUCCUAUGUAAUAUAAGUGUCAGGCAGCAUCCUCUUCUAGAUCUCCAAAAAGAAAAAUUAGGACGUCUCUCUUUGACCAACAAGACAUGCUUCUAGUGGUUCAAGCAGGUCAAUAAAAUGUGCAAGGAUAUCCCCUUUAAAUCACUAUGUAAUCCUAGUGUUUGAUGCCAAAUCAAAAAAUGUCCCUGAAAUUAAUAAAUCAAAGCAUCAGGCAACCUUGAUUGAAAUGUUGAACAUAAUAAUCAUGACAGCCGUGGUACUUAAAAUUUGGUAAGCAGCCCAAAUACACACAGACAUGACAUCUUUCGAAAUUUGCCGCUGUAUUUAUUCCCUCCAUAAAGAUCUGUAGGUCUUGUUUAGUGUCUGAUCCUCCAGCCUUUUAGAGAAGUGUGUGUUAGAAGUCAGCCGUCUUCCUUUUAAAUGUCUUGUGGGAAUCCUGCAGCAAGGAUUCAAAAAAAAAAAAAAAAAGUUUAAAUUUGGCUCUAGUGUUUCUGAGACUGUCUGACAGAGAUAACUUUGCAUGUUAAGAUGGUUUAAUACUCAAGUGCCAGUGUCUUGUCUCUGUGAAAUUUGGAUGAUUUUGAAUUGUCAUCAUACACCCUCCUUUUGUCACACUAUGACCUCCCUUCUGUCAUAUGUCUGUUUCACAUUUUAAGUUGGCAUUUCAAUUGCCUUGAUGAUGCCAUAGCAGAGAAUCUCUGCUAGUCUGUGCAUCAAAAGAUUUCAAGUCAGUGCCAGGAGCUGCUUCUUCACGCUUCUCCCUGACAGAUGUAUUACAUACAUCACCACUCAAUUGGAGUGUCCAUCUCCUCCCUCUGAGGCCAUCGUGUUCAAUAAUUUGCUUCAUCUCAGGGAUAAUGAAACUUGUAAUUGUUGUAUGUAGUAUUCCAUCACAUCAUUCUGGGCUGAUAUAUAGGGGGCACUAUGAGAUGGAGGUUGACCCUUUUGUAUAAAGUGGUGGCAGUGAUAAUCAUCUUGCAUAGACACUUGUAUGUUUCAUCAAAGCCUAAAUAAUCGAUCUCUUUCAAUUAAAGGCCCAAGCACCACAUCUUGCCUGCAGGCUACUGGUAGUGGCCCAAACCUGCCCAGCAGAAAUCAAUCCAAUACAUGUCAAAAAUAAUUGAACAGCACACAUACCGCACCCAAAAGUAGCUUGCAAAUGAGUAAUCUUACUUCAUUCCUAUCUUUGUUGAGAGUUGCACAUGCACAGAACUGAUGAAAGUAGACAUGUUUAAGUGACAGAGAGAGCAAGCAGUGAUUGACGUGAAGAUAAUGUGAAGGGAGAGAGCAACAUUAUAGGACAGAAUGCAGCAAAAUGAAAAACAAGAAGUUAGUUUCUGAUUGUUAAACGCUCCUGAGAACUGAGAAUUUAUUUUGCCUCUAACUCUGUCAAAAAUUGUUCCGUGUUCAAGCUGGAAAUCAAGAGUAGCAAACCGAUACACAUGAGGCACUAGGACCAAACGGCCGCUUAAAGCCGAAAACUGGUUUCCCUCAGUUUGGACUGCCCACUAGAUCCUUGAUUGGCUCUGCUGCAGGACCACUUUUUGUGUGUGAUUGGCUAUCCCUGCUGUCAAUCAUUCCAUGCCUGCUGGACGAUUGUUUUGCAAAUUGCUCUUAAGAGUCAGUCCGUGAACAUUGCUAGUCGCCAAUGUAAGUUCACAGGAGGGCGGCAUUUAUUUUCCCUCUGUAACGUCCCAUUCAUCAAAGGUUUCAUUUACAUCCCUGUAGCGGGUUUGUACUCCCAUCCACCCGCUGGCCGUAUUGCCUCCUCUGUUACUGUGUGUGUGAGAUGUGCUGUUUGCUAGGCUAUAUGUAAAGGCGGAAACUGAAUUCUGGAAUUAAUGAAUAAAUCUGAGCUGAACAUUGACGUUUGAAUCAGUAAUCUAUUUACAUACCCCCCAAAAUUUCGUUGAUGAUUAUGAUAACCAUAUAUUAAUGAAGAAGCCUAUUACAAAUAGAGGCAUCACUUUGAAAAAUACACAAUUCACAGACUCUAGUUUGUGGUUCACAUGAGUCUAUGUAAUGAUAACACUACCUGCUGGUUUGAUGAUGUUCAUGCACUUUAGUGUACCCCUGUGAAAUAUGUGGCCAAAGUAUUUCUAAUAAGCUUCUGCCAGAUAUGUGGCUAAAAGUGUUUCCAGUGUAAUACUUUUUUCCUGCUUUUACUGCACUCACUUCCCUUCAGCAAAAGCAGGGAAAAAAGGAUUUUGAAUGCUGCUGAAGAUGUUCGGCUCUCCUAAUUGUACUGGUCUUUAAAUGUGGCCCCAGUGAAAAUGUUACUGAAAAGCCCAGCUUUAAAGGCACCAAAGAAAUGUUGCCAUGCAACAACAUCCGGUGUAAAUAGUCGAUGAACUGUGGCUACAAGGGCAGUUAUUUUACCUUGAUGAAUAAAACACUUUGCAAUGUGUCUUCUUUGACCCCUGGACUGGAGAAGACAUAGAUCAAACUGUUAAAUUACCAGCUCUGACUCUUGAUCCACAACCACUUCUGCAUGCAAGCAGAAUUUCUUGGUGCUUUUAAAGUUUGAACUUUGUUUCCUCGGGUUUAAAUUGAACACUGAGAAAACUGUUGAUUCUUUUUUUUUUUUUGCUUGGGAACUUGGCAAGCUAGAGCCUGUUGCUUUUUCAUGGCAUUAAUUUACUUUAGUUUGGCAGAUGCAUGCAGACAGACUAGAAUAAACAAAUAUCGGGAGCGAUUUGUGGUUCCUUGCUUUGUUGCGUGAUAACUGAAAAGCAUUUUGAUUAAGUAUUUGAAGGUUGUCACCCUGGCUCAUCAGCACCAGAAUUAAUAGUUGAUUAAAACAAUUAUUGAUAUUUUUAUGUUGUAGACCCACAGUGCCUGUGAAAUGUGGUGUAUUUCCACCCACUUGUGAAAGAAGAGCGGGGAGUAGACGCUGUAUUUGGUGAAGCUAUGCUGUCGUUCGAGUGGCUGAUUGUUAAUGUACUGAUGUCUAGAAUACUCCGGAGUUUAAUAAAAGGCUUGUUCAGCCUCCCCAGUGGAGAUACUAUUGUGUUUUUUUUUCUCUCUUUAUGAGCUCUGCAUGAUUUCCGGCUUGGUUUGUAUACUUCUGACAUGCUACGUGGUUCCACCCCCCACUUAUCUUACAAAUGGUCUUCAAGUAUCUCUGCUGUCCCUUCCUUUAUGUCUAGGAUUUCAUUUGGCCGUUGUCCAGUGUCCUUGUCCUUCUCCUGUACAUCGAUACUGGCCUGGUCUCUCUGUCUCUCUUGCUUAAUUGAUUUCUAAUGGUUUUGUCUGCAUUGAGUCAGGGAAGAACAAGUAAUUCAUUAUAGCAGUCUGAAGGGCAUCCAGUUUGGCUGUGUGACCCUAGAUGAAUAACAAUGAAUAACAUUUUAAGAAUUGAAAAGGUCUGAAUCUUUUAAGUUGUAAUCAUCCAAUAAUUUUUCCAUGGUCCGGUGCAGUCAGUACCUCGACAGUGAACAUGUAUCAGCACUGAGCAGUGAAACUGAGUGAUGAACAACCACUGAAAGUAAAAUUUAUGAUCAAUUUGCUUGCCAUGAUCCAUUAACUUGUCUGUGGUGUUUAAGCACCAUUUUACUUUGACUUUGACCAGCCUGAAAAAGACCCACUUUCAGGAGUCACAAUUUAUCAUGGGCUUCACAUAAGAAAUAAUUACAUGAACAUGUAUUUAUAAUUUAAUGAACGACGAGAUUCAGCAAAGUUAUACCCAAGCCAAAUCACUUCUUAGUGGUACACACCGGGUCCACAAAGCUAAUUGUUGACUGUAUAUGUAAUGGAAAACAUUACUUCAUCUAUUAUGUGCUUCGAAUACAAAAGUUCCCCUCCACCAGCAGUGACAUUCAGGCUGGUGAAACCAUGGCGUGGCAUCGACAUGUAAACAGAAUACUUUUGAAAAGACAGAGCAAGUCCACCAUCUGUCUGGUUUGAGUGACAAAGUACCCCUCGUGACACUGAGACAAUAGCUGGCGCAGUCACACGUGCAAUAGAUGACUAUGUUUAAGAGCCGCAGACUGUGCAUCAAACUGUGUCCCUUCAGUGUGUCCGGCGAUCUAGGAUGAUUCAAGGAGUGCUGAUAGGGAUGUCCUGAUUCAUUAGCUGAGGUUAUAUCACAAGCUAGUUUGAGUUUUACUUUCUCACUUCUACUCUCUUAUACCGUGUUCCUUUUUGUGAUAUUUGGAUGUCUUUGUUUCAGCUCUCAAAUGAUUUAUUUUCCUUCCUCACUGGUUCCUCUGGUAGAGCUGAAUUUCAUUUCGCACCUGCUGUCAAUUUAUUAUCUGUCCAAACUCUCCGCAGCAUAAGUGCGUUAAACACGUGAAACCCCCACAGUCUUGGCACCUUACAUCACUCGUGCUAUUCUCAGUUGAUCACCUGCAAAAUUCACACCAUCUCAAUAAUGUGUAUCUCUUGUGUUUGCUAUGUUUUCUCUCAUCUUUCCUCCAGUGCUCUGCUAAUCUAGUACAGAAUGCUCCAGGACUCUGCAUUCGUCAACAGAGCUGUCAAUCAUGGUGUCAGAUUUGCUCUUUUUAAAAUGAGAUAACUAAUUAAAACUUAACUUCACAGAAAAAUGAGCACUUGGACAUAAAUCAGCUAAAUAAGAACAGACUGUAAUGACUGAAACUAUGUUUGAAAGUAAUUAGAUUUCACCUGAUGCAAUAAAUUGAACAUAUUUUAGUUUAUGUUUGGUCCAUUUUUAACAGCUAGAUGCCACUUAUUUCAGUACAGUAAUGGAGUCAAACACCCUGUGUGUGUGUGUGUGUGUGUGUGUGUGUGUGUGUGUGUGUGUGUGUGUGUGUGUGUGUGUGUGUGUGUGUGUGUGUGUGUAAAUUACUGUUAUUAAUAGCUUUUCAGUGUAUAUGUUGUACAUUAUAUAUAUCGUAUUUUUGAUACCAUGGAUGAGGAGAUGCUGAUUUUAUAAGUCUAGAAGUGGAUUCCCUCCUCUGGAAGGACACAAUCUACUGCUUUUAUGGUUAGCCUAUGUGAAAGUCUGCGGGUUCUUGUGAGUUCUUGCGAUUCCUGCUGACCGUAACCCACCACGAAAUUCACCUCACAAACGGAUCCGGUAGGAAUUGGCGUAUGGUGAAAAUCAACGCUUUUCCGGAUCAGAGCUGUUCCAGAUGCGGUGGAAAUCCCGGGUUACUUGUUGGGCUCACUGACCGAUAUUAUGUGGUACAAUGCGCUCAAAAAUCUGUCUAAAUGUGGAAGUACGACUUUGAUAAGCAACAAAGCUGCUCCGCUCAAUGGAUAUUUUGAGCAUUACGGUACGCUGUAUCACUACCUGAUUGGCCCGGUAACAGGACCCCUGAGCAGUCUAAAAGACUGCCUGACUGUAAUGUCUAAACUAGAAGUGCAUUCAUGUAAGGCAGCCCGGGUGCUAGCAACGACAAACCAGUCAAUGCUUAGUGCGCCUUAUGUGUGAACAAAGACACGUAAAUCCACAAUGCGUCAUAUAAUCCGGUCUGCUUAUCGCCCGAAAUAUACGUUAUUUUUCCUAUGGCCCUCAUACAGAUAUUGAUAGUGUUUGGCAAAACUAUUUGUAAAUUAUAUUAUUCAUCUAAAAAAUAAACAAAUGGCAUCUAUGUGGCACAACAGUACACAAAAUCUAAACUUAAACAAUCUAUAGAUCGACGGGUUUGACAGAAAGUGUUUUUCAGAUAAAUAUUAUCAUGAUGAUGGAGUGCCAAAGUCAUCAAAAAUACAGAGGUUUGGAUUUUGGAUGAAGUGCUGCAGCAAUAAUUCUUACUCUUUUGGCACAAUCUUUUCUCAUUACCCAUCAUACCCAUCUGAGCACUGCCAAUAAGUUUCAUCUUAAAGAUUUCCUGUCUCACAAUGUUUUUGCUAAUUUGCUUGACACGAGUCCACCCUUGAAGCUGAUGUCUUUUGAUAAAAACUAAAAACUUCUUUUACUUUGUGUGCCCCUGAACACUCUGAACACACACAGGCUACUUUUUGAAGAGCGUAGUUUGUGGAUUUAAGUUAAAUCUGCCAAAGCAUUGCUAAAACUUUGGGUUAAAUAAGGUUUUAAAAACUGCAACAAGAAAGCUCUUUGUUGUGUGGGAGAGAGCGAGUGUUUGUGUGAGAGAAAGCUCUCAUCAGAGCAGAAUGCAUGUCUGAGAGCAGGUUUCAAGCUCGGUUUUAGACCAGAUCAGAGUCUGAACCUCAGAGCUCAGACAAGUUUACAUGCUAUUCAUACAGAGUAAUCCCUGAGCUUGAAAAUGACAGCUUUGUCAAAUAGAAAAUGGCAUGCUAUUUUCCAGCACCACAGUGUUAUGUUGUAAGUUUGGGUCCACAAUUAAGGUUUGUUCCACUGGUAAUUGUAAAAGACAAACUGGCUUUUUGGACACUUAAAUUCCAACAGCUGGUAGUUUCAAAAUGGGAAAGGCUGAAAAUUAUUCAAAACAAGCUUAUUAAAAGUUUCUUUUGGUCUCUGUUGUGUGUUAAUGCAUUAAGGAUUAAACACAGGUUAACAUCUGUCAGCUGUUUUAAAAAUGCUUCCUGCAGGAAUAAAGUUGGUCUGUCUCGGUCUUGCACCAGCUUUCAUGAAAACUCUGUGAGCUCAAGUCUUCAAGAGCCUCUGUGAAUGUUGUUGCUCAUUAACAACUGGCCAGUCGCCCUUUUUAUUCUGCCUCCUUUACAUGAUCGCUGACAUGACCACAGGAUUCUAACUUGAUGCUGCGACUUCGAAUCCAUCCCUGCAGAGGCCUUUGGUGCCCAGGAGCCGUGCCUAUCUGCAUCCUACUUGUGCCCUGCUACUUCUCACCAUGCUACCUACAUCAUGCAUCAUGCAUGGGGAUCCACCCCUGUGCAAAGCCUAACUAAAUACGCUUGUUUAUCGAUCAAGUCCAGAGGUAAACUCAGGUAGUCAAUAGCAUGGCCUUGCAAUAUAUAUAAAAAAGCCAGAUAAAGUUGGAAGCACCAUGUGAGAUAACGGAAAAAAUGAAAUCUCCCACUUUCUUUGGUGAUUUACAGAUUCACGUAAGAGAGCUAUUUACUUUACCCAGACUAUUCAAUAAAGUUACUGGCUUACUUGCUACAUAUUUAAAACUUUGCUGACAUUUGAGAUGCAUGAGAAAAACAAUGAUGCAACCACGGUCCUGCACUGGCUGACAGAUGUCCUUGCAUUUUGAUAUCUUAGCCUGGCAAAGUAAAAGUCCUCCCCUUGAUCUAGAAGACCAGGUUGAAUAAAAUCACAAAGAGCUCUGCUGUAAUAAUUCAUACCACAACAGGUCAGUAGGUGGUUUAGACUUAUUUCAAUCAGGCUUCACUGAGUCAGUUAAAGCAUUAGUUUAAUUGCUGUUGAUAAUAAUGCGGCCUUUGAUACCAUAUCCAUCCAUCAAAUAAUGUGACAGUCUAGAACGGCAAAGGUCUCUGAAUACUUUUCUUUUGGUUCAAAUGUUAUACUGUAGCUCUAGUUUGGAUCAGAAAUCUAAGCAGAUCAACAUGAGAAAAGGAGUCCCUCAGGGUACAGUUCUUGGUCCUUUACGAUUCAAACCAUCCAUACUCUCCACGUGACAUAUCAAUAAUUAAAAGGGAUGCAAAUUCAAUGGUCAGUCAAUGAUGCUAGAUUUUUUAUGAAACCACAAGUUGCUUUAUUUUCUGUGAUAGACAAUUAAACAAAAAAAUACAGUCUUUUUUUUCUCAUUAUAGUCCUUUGUGAUCCCACUAUCAAUGCUUAGAGCAAAUACACAGCAGUUGCAUGCUAUCAAUUUGAAUGUAACAAAGACAAAACAAGAGUCUGUGUUUGACAUCAAGCAGCCAAAAAAGAAAAGAAUUGCAUCAUUAUUUAUUAAAUUUUGGUUAUUGACUUGAGAAACCUUUAUGAUAACAUUUGUAGAUCAGUCAGUAUUUUCAACUCAAAAACAAAUAGUCGGUUUUAAAGCUCCUAUGUCCAGAUUUUUUUUUACAAGUGUUAAAUAUUUUUAUUUUAAGCAGGAUGAACUACUGUAAUAGUUCCUUAUCUUUCACAGGCCAACAAGAGAACUAAAGACAUUUUUCGGUUGUCAAGUUUUCUUACAGAAUAAUUUUCAAAGCGCAGCUGUAUGAAUUAGUCCAAAAACUUCAACCUAAAUAAACUUCUGAUCUCCUGAGUGCUAUAAAAUCUUAAGGUAACAUCACCUAACAGCUCAAGCCAGAACCAAACAGGAUGAAGCUGCCUCCACCUUAUCUGCUGUCAACAAAUGUAAUUCAGGAUGCAUCAUAACUGCAAUGAAAAUGUAAUUAUGUUUUAUCUUAAUCCUUACAUCUAAAUAUGACCUCCAAAUGUUUAUAUCAUAUUUAUCUCAUACUCUUGUAUGUAUUUUUACUUAAUGUUAUUGAAACUUAAUGAUAAGAAACGGUCUUUGCUCAGGUAAAGCACUUUUGACCUCCACGGUGAUUCAUAUUUGCCUUUUACUUAAAGGUCUCGGCUUGCCUUUCUGUGGUUAUGUUUAGCUUAGUUUAAAAGAUGUUUCAGGUCGAUCUUGAGUCUGUCGGGUAAUGUUCCUUUCUCUCUUGUAUACUGAGUGAAAUACUUUCUCUAAGAAUAGAUAGUCUGGUUCAUAUCUGUGGAAGAGGCAGCUGCUUUGCUGUAAUGGUGAGCAUUGAAAAGGUCCUUACUUAUAGCCUUGUAUUUCAACCGAACAAACCUCUUUGAAUUAUCAGUCUGUCUGAUAAAUGUGACUGUUAGGGUGAAGAGCAUUUUAUUAAAUCAACAAGUUGUGCUUUGACUGUCAGAUACAAACACAAGUGGAGUAUCAAAUAUAUCUGAUUGUACAACAUUGUUGAUAGUGCCCCAGUUAUUUACAGUCUAAAAAUAUAAAUAUAUCGCUGGUUAAGAGGCAUGGAGUUUAUUAGUAUUUAAGAUUUUCUGUGGAAUAAUGUUUGAAUAAUGAGCUGACAGAUACACUCUUAAGUGUGUAUGUCCAUGUGAUAAGAUACAUUAUGAGUGAAAGCAUUUGGUAAAUCUGCAGGUACUUUGUCACAGAGGUAGAGGGACUUUUAUAUCAAGAACACCCUAAGGUGUGUAAUGAAGAUCACACACCUUCAUUACUUUAGAUGUUUUCCCAUGGUCUCCCAUCUGUUUUUCCCGUACAUAAACUAAAGCCACACAAACCUUGUCAUUGAAUAACUUGCAGGAACCCCCUCUGGGAGAUCCUAAACUCCCUUUGGUGUCUCAAAAAGAAACAUUUGCUUGUUUUUGUGUUGGUUGCAAACAGGCUGAAAGCAAAGAAAACAGACAGCAAUGUCACCUUGUUCCCGUAUGCUCAUCUGCCCCAACCUUCAGACUGUUUGCAGUGAGCUCAAAACCCCUACACAAAAGCAGACACCCAUAAAAAGCCCAAACUAGGUUAAUUAAAAGAGAAACAGAGAGCGCUCUCGGAGGAUUCAGAAACCAUCACACAUUUCUUCUGGGGAACCGAUCAUUCAAAAGGAAGAUUUUUUUUUUUGGGCCUACGUCUUAUUUUGAGGAUUUUCUUUUCCUCUUAAGAUGAUUGAAAUUUUGUCAAAUAUUGGUCUGUCUUCAGCUUCUGUUUCUGUACAAGCAUAAUCUGCAGGUUGAUAACUAAAACUAACAAAAUGAAUCACUUUCAGAUGCUAAGGAGUUCAUAUUUUAUAGUCAUGGCUCUAAAACUAGCAAUCCUGUCUCCUUUUUCAAAGCACAAAAUUCUUAUAUUGUGACUAUUGUAGUAGACAACAUUUGCACAUUCAUAGUUUGUGAUUGGGCACUCCAUUGGGUAAUACUUUUUGAGCAAUGCAAAUCAGUGUUUCCCCUAGCUUUUUGGCUUUGUAUAUACGUCAUGUUAUAUGGGGUGGCAGGAGAUGUGCCAGUGCUAUUUUCGGGGCUGGGAGAGAUGCUUAAGCAAGCAUCCACAAGAUAAUGUGCGGCAUCUGCAUCACUUUGUACCACCUUUUUGAAGAAUGCAGAUAUUUUCAAUCUGGGUGCUGAACGUUCGGGGACAGUUUGGUGCUCAGUUUUUUUAUUGUUUUGUUGGUGGCAAACACGAUGGAAAUGAGCCAGAACCCCGGGUCGUCAAAACCAUCCUGCGCAAAACUGGCAGGGUGUGAGUGGCAAGCACUCAGCAUCCCAGAAUUAGUGGUGCUGACAUGCCGCACCUCUGAACUACGCAGCGCGGCAUGUCCGUGCACGUGUGUAUGUUGUGAGAUAGAGAGAGGGGCGAGCGGAGAGCAUAGAUGCAUUUUCCUUGAAAGUAAUGAAACGAUUGUGAGCUUUAGGGUCUGAAAUUGCGCAAAUUAUAUUACAUAGGGGCAGCCUUCACCCCAGCCACUUCCACCAGCUCCUCUGGGGGGAUUCCCAGGCGCUCCCAGGCCAGGCAAAAGAUAUCAUCCCUCCACCUGGUCUUGGGCCAGCCCCGAGGUCUCCUCCCAGUGGGACAUGUCCGGAACACCUCUAACGGGAGGCGUCCAGAAGGCAUCCUUACCAGAUGCCCGAGCCACAUCAGCUGACUCCUCUCAACGCGGAGGAGCAGCGGUUUUACACUGAGCGCCUACCCGAGUGUCCAAGCUCCUUACCCUAUCUCUAAGGCUGAGCCCGGCCACCCUGCAAAGGAAACCCAUUUCGGCUGCUUGUAUCCACAAUCUCGUUCAUGCCAUAGGUGAAGGUCGGCCUGUAGAUCGACUGGUAAAUCGAGUCUCACCUUAUGGCUCAGCCCUUUCUUCACCAUGACGGAUGGGUUAAGCGUCUGCAUCACUGCUGAUGCCACUCCGAUCCACCUGUCAAUCUCCCGCCCCAUCCUAUCCUCACUCGUGAACAAGACCCCGAGAUACUUGAGCUGCCCCACUUGAGGCAGGACCUCCCCUUCCACCCGGAGAAGGCAAUCUACCUUUUUCCAACUGAGGACCAUGGUCUCAGACGUGGAGGUGCUGAUUCACAUCCCAGCCGCUUCACACAUAACAAACUGAUUUAUCUAUAUAACCCCCCAACAUAUAUAUUGUAAAACUCUUUGAAGUUGUAGUCUCUGCCUGCAGACACAGCCAACAUGAGUGACUUUGAUUUGAAGCAGCCUGGAGUUACUGUCUUCUCUGCUGUAAUAACCUCUUCUUGAUGGUUCUGGGACAUACACAGCAGAGGUUAGAGCUGAGGGUUAGUCACCUUUGAGUCAUUCUGAAGGAUGCUCAGUGUCAACCAGUAAGAAUAAACACCUGGCUACUGUAUAUGCUGUGUAGGGAGCAGGUGUGAACCAUGAAUUUAAAUCUGUACAAAAUGGAAAUAUUCUCAUAAACGAUUACAUUGUCAUGCAUGUGUUUCAUGCCGUGUGCGGUACAGCACAUUGUUUUCUGGAGAUGAGUUUCUGAGGUCCCUCAUCUUUUCUCUCCUUUGUAUUCAUUUUUUCUUCCUCUUCUACAAAACACAGUGGAGCAAACUCUUCCUAUACCGCCGUAACCUCCCGAUGACUCGUCGUAACCACACCGUGCAAACAAAUACAUAGAUGCAGGUUAUUUUCAAGGCACGAGAUAUGUGUGGCUUGAGUUCUGUAAAGUGAUUUAAAAUUAAAAUGCUAACAGUCAAAUUUGAUUAUAGAGUAAUUUAUUUUCCAAUUACUUGAUUAAUCAUUCCAAUGGUUGAUUGACAUUUAAAAUAGUCAUCAGCUGCAGCCCUACUGUGUAAUAAUUGCUCUAUUGUUUCAGACAUACAAACAUUAAGUCCACAUGAUUAAGCUUUAAUUAUACCUUCCUUUGGUAAAUGAGGAGUAUCAACAGUCAUUCAGACAGAAGACAGCCUGCCUCUGACUUUGUGUAUUUGCAGUUUUGUUUUUUUGUUUUCUAUCUAGGCGGUUAAUACUGCAUGAUCAUUGUAUUUUGAUUAAAGCAGAGGCACCGUCACGAUUCUGAUUACAGAAUGCUGCUGUUAUCUCAGCGGGGGAUCCACCACUAUUAUUCUGGCUCUGUGUACUUCGACAUUUUAUUAUAAGAAUUGUGUUAAUAUUUCAUCAAACCCCUCCAAACUCUUUUAUCUUUACUGUACACUUGCCUCAGGCUUGAACAAGUUUCUUUAUGACUUAAAGAAAAAGACUUGAUUUGUUCUUUUUGUUUUUUUGUUUGUAAAGUGAGCCUUCUAUUGUCUUUUCAUUUUCUUACAAAAAAAUGCAUAGUGAUAUAACAUUUCAAGCUUUCUGGCGUAUCUGUUCACUUAAAGAGCAACUCUUUUUCUUCCUUUAUUUGUUUUGUUUGCUGGGUAAAUCUUGAACAUAUUUGUGCACAGUGGUGAUAUCUUUAAGCAUUUUUUUUCUUUUUUCCACAUGAGAAUCUGAUUUGAAUUUGAAAAGCUUUUUUGUGUGUGUGUGUGCCAUUUUAUGAGGUGAAAACUGCAGCCAACAAUAACCUCAUUACUUCUAGAACAGCAUAUCUUAACAGUAAAGAUCUAUCCCACAGUCGAGCUCACUAAAGACUGCUAUGCAUGUGUGUGUGCGUGUGCAUGUGGCGAGGAGUUUUUGUCGUAGUCUUGCCGUCAAAACACAUCAAAGUGAAGCAGAAGCAAUGCUAAGGUCUCUGCAUCAUGUCCGAUAAGAGGGAGUUUCCAUUAAGUCGCUUUGCCUCACAGGGAUUAGAGGAAAAAAGUCUCUCUACCUUUUCUUAAAAAGGUUUCCAAAUGCUUUCCUCUUAACAAUUGUUCUGCUAUCCCCUCCUUUUUGUACGCCUUUUAUUGGCGCAGUGGCAUUCCGUUUUUUACCAACCCCCUUUUUCUAAACUCGGGGCUUCUGCAGUGUGAAAUGUAGGUUGAAACUUCAGACACAUGUGAAAGAAGUGCCUCUUAACAUGUGACUGACCCAGGCAGGAUCUUAACAUAGCCGAAAAACUUUUAAGAUUGAAAGAUUUUAUCAUAUACUGGGCAAGGGAGCCGCGUUUGACACCAUAAUUAAAGUAACAGUGGAGCCACCAAGACACAGCCUUUAUACAGAUAACCCAAUCCGUACCCACCAUCCUACCGUGAAGGAUCUCUGCAUCAAACUGUUCAUGUUUGAUGGAAGGUGGUGCAUGAAUCAGCACAGCAGAGCUCCUUUAAAGACCAAUGAUAAAUAGCUUUUUUUUUUCAGUCCUUACCAGAAGGGAUAAGACUUUCACACAGUGCCAUGGAUCAUGGUCCCAGUUGUGCAGUGACCCAUCUUUUGAUCUCCAUCCUCUACCCGACGUGAUCCCAGCACACUGACAGUGUAAACAAUCUGCCCUCCAGAUGUACGUCCUUUCAGAGAGAAAGCGUGAGCUGAUAAAAAAAGGGAUACAAUAUGGUUCCAUUGCUGCAGCUGGAACAAGUAAUUCAAUUGUGCUCACCAAAUCUUACACUCGACAGAAAUCUUUCACACGCUGGUCAGAACGCAGACGUUGAACCUGUGAAGGUUAAUACAAAGAGACUUGCUUGACAUUUGGUGGUUAGAGUACAAUCCCCAAACUGGUCAGAGAGCCCAAGUGAGCAAUUAAAAGCCUCCGCUUCACAGUGAGAAGACCAAUGAAAAGACUUUCUGCAUCAAAGUGCACUGCUUUCAAACUGUUUGGUGACCAGUGCUUUAUAGGACAAAAGAGCAGGUUUUUGCCUGAUUUUCCACUGUGCUUCUUGGUUUCUGUCUUUUUAUAAUAAAUCCCAAACCUCAUCUGUUACAUGAAACAUACUGUCAUCUUUUAGCUUUUAACAGGCAACUCCACCUUGUGUUAUUAUUGUUAUCACAAUAUUUCCAAUACACUUAACCUGCAUAGGCCAUUUGGGGGGAAAAACGCACAUAAAUUAAAUAAAUUUGCCAACUGCUUCUUUCUCUAGUUAUACCAACUUUAGUAAAAGCCGCACAAUAGCAAUACACAGCAGUCUAUGGCUCCACAUGCAGACCUCAAACAAGAACAACAAGAAGAAGAACAUUUAUGAUCAUUUCCUCAUGGAAAUGCAAUCAGACUGAGACGCUAAGGCAGAAGAACUGCUGUGUCUGCAGUGCAAAGUGAUUAUUGUGAUGAUUAUUACUUAAAGGAAAUGAUAAAGAAAUGAUCAUAAAUGUUCUUCCUUGAGCUGUGUCACCCCGCUGCACUCGGUGAUGGACUAGUCCGAGCUCUCCCCACAAACAAAGUGGCUGCUGGAAGAGAGUAGGUGAGUUGUGUUUAGUCUCUUUGCUAAAGAAAUUAGGCAGAGUUAAAAAGAUGUUUGUUGGCUAGUUCUAUGGCUGGGACCCUAUAUGUACUGUUGAUGAAGUUAGGUGCUGUUCUGAGCAUUAUUUGUGGCUAUAGAGUGGCGUUUUGAUUGAGGACUGCUGUGUAUUGCUAUCAUGCGGUCGUUACUAAAGUUGGUAUAACUAUAGAAGCAAGCAGUCGGCAACAUUCAUCUCUGGAGGGGGUGUCUAACUUGAUGUUAAAGUGUUUGACCCUCACUUAAUUUUAUGCUGGAAUAAAUGUUGAACUCUUAAUUUUAUGAUGAGAUUUAAAAAAAAAAAUCCUGCAUAGUUGAUCAGAGUGAGGAUGUCAUGAAUCAAAUAUUUUCUCUGGUUCAUGUUUUAAAUUCACAUCCAUUAUAGAUGGUAAUUCAUUUCUAUUGCAAAAUAUUGAAGUUUUUUUUUUUUUUUUUUUCCUGUAUUAAGGAAAAAAUGUCAAUAGAAACUGAAACAAUAGUCGAGUUCAGUGGUUCUCAAUCUAGUCCUCAAGGCCCACUGUCCUGCAUGUUUUGGAUGUUUCCCUGCUCCAACACACCUGAUUCAAAUGAUCAGCUCGUUAUGAAGCCAUUACAGAGCUUGAUAACGAGCUGAUCAUUUGAAUCAGGUGUCUUGGAGCAGGGAAACAUCCAAAACAUGCAGGACAGUGGGGGCUCGAGGACUGGAUUGAGAACCACUGGUCUAGUUUAAGGUUAUUAUUUAUCUGGUCACCUUUUUAAACAACAGCUGCCAGAGAAACGGUUAAAAAGCUAGCCGGGGUUCUUAAUCUGCUCUUAUAAAGCGGCUGGUUUGGAUGCCUGGUCUAUACUUAAGUGUCAAAUCUACUUACACCGCAGGUCACAGUAGCUUUGUACCUACACAGAAUAGCCUGAUCUGCAACCUCCUCAAAAGUGUAACCCUGCAGUGAAACAAUGAAGACUGCAAGCUCUGUGAUUUGUCCGCUUUGUGGCUAAAGUUUCCAGCAAUGCUCCUGUCCCUCCCUCGUCUGCCUACACAGAUUCGGCAGCCGUAUAUCCCGUCCUCCCCUCUGACAUCUCCUCUCUUUUCUUGUUUGCAGUAAUUGCAGGAUUAUCAACUGCUCAACAUUUGUCAGCUCCAACUCUAAGAUAAUACGCCAGCAAUUCAAACAAGCAGAGAGUGUACUGGCAAUAUGACAAGCAUAAAAAUCGCACCACGGACUAGCUUUUAUAAGGGGAGCAUUGCAGAGAAAAGCAAGCACUCCAAUACACAAAUUUAUAAAGCACACAAUUGUGUCAGUUUCUACAACCAAGCUGCAGAAUAGAGUCAAUGCAGAAUUAUAAACCAGGCUUGAGACACUUCGUCUGUAUAACUGGGAGAGAACUGCAGAGAUGCAGCAUGAACCUUCUACUGAAGGCCGGGAAGACCCUAAAUCUGAAACGUACCACUUUGGACUAUUGAUGAAGAAAAUGCCUUGCAUCUUAAUCCUCCUUUGUGAAUAAGAUGUCAACAAUGUGAGCCUCAAAUAAAGAGGAUUCACCCACCUUAAGACUACCCCUCUGGAGACCGUAUUUAGAUUUCUGCAUUGGUUCCAGCUGGUUUGAGCUUGCCUUUUUGAAGAGCCAACAGUCCUCCCCCCCGAUAAAUACAGGGUAAAUGGUUUAUGUUAUGAAGUGGUACACUGUCAGUUUUCACAAUGAGUAAAAAUGUAGACCCAGUGGACACAAUAAUGCAAAGCAAGUAGUGCUUACAUACUAGGAAAUGUACUCAGUAUCCAUUAGACGAUAUCUGGCAGAAAAUCUAUCUAGUGGACAAAGAAGAUUCAUAUUUUUAGUGAUUUAUAAAUGAAUUGUGGCAUUUGAAAUUGAUUAGUUUUAAUCACGUCGUGUAAUUUGUCAGAGGUAAUGUUUGAAAGUUAAAAAUAGCUACUAAACCUCCCACUGCUGCUCUUAUAAAAAUGUGUCAGAACACAGAGUGCAUCACAGUUUGUUCUGUGUGGCGUUUCGAGGCUACAGGCCGGUCAGGGUGCCCAUGCUGACCUCCGUCAACCACUGAAACCCACCAACAAUGAGCAUGUCACUGUCAAGAGCUGGACUCAAGAAGACCACCAUGGAAAAAACUGACCUUGAGAAACAAACGACAACAACAACAAAAAAAAAUGCUGACUUCAUCCUCUGACCUUCCCAUUCAGAUUAUCAUGUGGCUCAUCUCAGUCAAGAUCAGCUGCAAAACUGGAAAAAAUAUAAACAGCUACAAGACUUCCUGAAAGCUUUUGCACAUGAAUAUCAAUACAGUUUUCUUUUUUUGGGGCUACACCUUGAAAGGAAGCAGAUAAAGGAGGUAAAUAAUAUGCAGUUGUUGUAAAUUCCACUUCUAUAAUCACAGCUAAACUUGCUUUUCUGUCCAAAAUCUAGAGGGACAAUUUAUUCCUUCAAGCAAAGCUUAUAACCGCGUUUGAUCAGCUGAUUACAUAUACUUGUUCUUUUCAAUUUUUUUUGUCAGUGGGGAGGCAGCUUAACAUGUAGGACACUUUGAACAAAAAGCAGAUCUAUUUCUCGAGCAUGCAUUGACUGAACUGAAUUUCCCUUUGGGGGAUCAAUAAAGUUCUUGUAUUGUUCUGUAUUGAACCGAUUUCAAAAGUUCUGCUUGAUAUUUUGCUUUUGCAUAUCUGGCUCCAAAAUCCUGAAUGGAAAGUCUUGCUGCAAAAUAUUACCCCUCUGAAGCAUGUUGAAAGUAAAUGCUAAUGCUAUGUGAAGAUAUGCUGCAGAUCUCAGUUAUCAGCUGGAGUCAGCUGAGUGUUCAUGGGCUGUUGUGCAGUGAUUCAGUGAACACCAUCUGAUAAUAUGGAACAGUCUCUCUGGUCUCUAUCCUCUCAAUGUACUUAACCUCAUCAGACCAAAGAAAUCUGUUCAGUCAUCUGUGUGUUUGUUUAGUUACUCAUGUGGAGUAUUAUAUAAAUCCUCUCUUGUGCUGUUUUCUAUUUGGGCUUUUGGUGCCUGAAAGGUUUUACUCCUAAACCCUAAAAAAAAAGAUUUACUCAAACAAGCCCAGUAGAGAGAGUCCAACUUCGACUCCUUUCGCUGGGAUUUCUUGUUUACUUAUGCACACUUUUUGACUUUUACACUUGGUUACACUCAUUUAAAGAUUGCACUUGAGAAAAAAAUCCUAACCAUUACAUUCCCUUUGAACAACCAUCGUUAAAAACACUUUUUCUUUUUACUAAAACUUGAUCAAUAAUGAACCCAAUCCUUAUAAAAAUGAGAAAAAGAAAUUUUCCAUCACUAGAUAUCAAAAUUCCCCCCUCCUGGUAAACUAAUAUGAAACCUAGCUUCCUUGCUUUAUGAAUGUUCCCUGACAGCAGACACACGCACACACACUGGGUUUAAGCCAGAUCUCAGCCUCUGUUGCCUCAGUGGAGAUUUAGUAGCACGAUGUGAGGGCAGGUAUCCCACAUCACUCACACUGUCUUCUCAAUUAUAAAAGGGUCUUUGUGUUAUAUCAUGGUUUUUAAAAUUUGACGAUGUUGUUGCUCUGUGGCCCCUCAAAAAUUGCCAUCUAUUUGUUAUUAAGUUUUUACAACAGCACAUAACAGCUGAAAGUACAGUACGAGAUGACUGUCAUCAAAUACUGAUGACAAGUACCCUGAGUGCUUUCCUUGAGCUUUUCUCACAAGUCCCCAGUUAUUACCUCGGCUGUCUGGAUGAGUAUGGUGCCCAUAGAUACACGGAAAGACCAAUGGAGGCGUAUGUUUUUUUCUUCUGAGGUUUAUGAGUCCUGAAUUUAGAACAAAAGGCACAUAUUUUCCUUUUUGUAUCUAUGAAAACAUUCCUUAUAAAUCUUCAAAUACAUUGUGUUAUAAAUCAUUUCAUUUUUUAAUUAAUUAUAAACACUAUUUAACUUACAAAUAGUGAUAUUGAUUUUACAGUUUCACGUUAUAACAUUACUUUACAAUGAAGAAAGCAUGUAAAGCAAUAAGAUGCUCAUGUUUAUAGAAUAUUUUUGAUAGAUUUUGCGUUUUAGAAACAUGUCAACCCAGUCUUUAUUUAACGUGGACCUCUUGUUUUUAUUUAUUUAUUUAUUCAUUUUUUGGUUGAUUCUGGUUUAUGUAAGAAAACAAGGAGUAGCUCCUAAUACAUUUUAAAAUAAAGUUAUAUUAGUUACCAACCGUCAUUUAACCUGGAAACCUUUCAAAUCUUGUCUGCACAUAUUUUCUUAUUUGUUUAUAAAUAUAAAAAAAGAAAAAAAAAAAGUAUUCUAGGCAUUUUGAAUGUAAUGAGAGGAAUUAUGGUUAUUUGAUUUUUGAUAUCUGGUUUCAGUUUUUUGACUCUAAUGAAAUAUGGUUAGUAAGACAGAAGACAGAAGGAAGAAGGAAGAAAUGACAGGCUGUGAUGUAUUUCCUAAAAAUGGUACAAGCAAAGUGUCAAAGCUCUACCUUUAGUCUAAGAAAUAAGUGACCAAGAUAAAAAAUGGUGACACCCACAGCAAAGCAUUUACGUAAUUUGACGUGUGACAAGUGCAGUGCCAAAGGACACCACUCUGUAAAAGAAUUAGACAGGAGGGUUAUAAUAACAUAGAGAAGUCGGUGACGGAGAGGAAUAGAUAAAGAUAGAUGAGAGGAAUCAAAAAAGGAAGGGCCAGGAAAACAUCCAACUUGUCAAAGCCUUUGUGGACGACUAAAGACUGAUUUGGUACAAGUAAUCAUGCUUAAAUCUGUACCAACUGAACUCCAGAAAAAGAUAAUGAUUCAUACUGACAAAGAGGGACUUAGAAAGCACUUCUACUGGCAGAGUUAUCAGCCCGCUCAUCCCUGUGUUUAUUCAUGCUGCCACCAGAAGAACUCCUUGUUCCAAGAUACUCAGUAUGUCUACAUGCAAAAUUAAAUUAAGCUACGGUCAGAGCUUGAUUAGAAGAUAUUACUGGACCUCUGUCUUUGUUCCAGAUUACGAACACAAGGCAGAAAUCACAUUAUUGAAAGAAGCAUGGCUGCCUCUGCUAAGGUCGGUGACUACAUGUUAGGAGUGGGCCCACAAUACGAUAUUAUCACGAUACUUGGGCCAUGACACGAUAUUAUUGCGAUUUUGCAGUUUUUUGAACUGCUCAGCUAAUCUAGAAUUUGUCUUUCCGUUACAUUUGUCUAAUUUACACAGUAUUUUCUUUUCAUGUAGCACUUCUUUCAAACCUCAUGUGUCAGCUCCAUGUCAUUUGUGCCAUGUUUCUCCUUUUCUCCUGCUCUGCCGACCUCACUGGACAAACUAUUGAUUUUAUUUUUCCAUUUCCAUAGACCUGAGUUCAUAUUAGCAAUUGAUUUUUUUAAAAAUCAAUACUUUGUGGAUGAGACGGUACGAUACGAUAUAUCACCAGACAAAAUAUCGCAAUACUAUACUGUAUUGUUUUUCUCCGACCCCUACUACAUGCUCUCCCUAUGUGCAUUUUAGUUGACCUGUUUCAUAUCAAAACAGUCUGCCAAUGGUUUAGGGGAUGAACGUUAAAUGAUGAAAAUAUUCAACAACAAAUACAACCCAACAAAAACUCCUCACUCAACAAACACUUAAUCCUGCGUAGUCAAUACUUCGUAGCCAUGGUCCAUGAUUUCUGGACAGCAGACCAAUAAUUAGGAUUUACAGCUCUAAUCACAGACUGGUAGACUGCAAUGUAAAAGUUAUUUUAUAUGUACAUUUGCUCAGGUCACUGUAUUGAUCUAAUGUUAGAAAAAAAGUGAGUAUGUCACCCUUUAAGUAGUAUUAUCAAAGACUUGCAUCAACUGAGCCUAAAUAUUUCAGUGAAUUCUACCUAGUAGAAAUUUAAUAAAGUGUGACCUUUCAACAAAUAGCAGAAUAUUCAGUUAAAAAGUCGAAAUAAUAAUAAAAAAAAGGUUUAUGUCUUUCAGCUAUUCUAGAAUGGUACAAACAUGUUCAGCAUUGUGUGGGGGAAGAAAAAAAAAUGCCUGAUGGAUGUGUCACGCAGGGUACCGCACUUUUCCCAGUCAGCUUGAAUUUCUGUGAACAAAAGAAGCCCCUAAGUGUAUUUAACUAAACAGUAUUUGCAGUUAAAGGGCUUUGAACAGCUUGUGUACCAUUAUCCAAGUGUUUUGUAAUGAUUACUCCAGACUAAAUUGCUUAUAUGUACUCCAUUACCUCUAACAUUGAGUCCACUAACAGCUGCUUUAUUUUGAAAGGAUGAAUAGUCAUGUGCUUUGUUUGCAGUAGUCUUUUGGGACAUUAAACAGACAGUGUGCAAGCACUGAAGCUUCUGGAAGGCCGGGGAGGGAUUCACAUAAUCAUGCACACUUACACAGACAUUGAGCUACAAGGAAUGGUGAUAGUGGGAGUAUAUUUACAGGCAUUUUCAGCACACACAAGCAAACUGUUGUGUUAAAAACUGCAUGGAUUAUGUUGCCCAAAUAUCAACAUUACAGAAAAGUGAUGAUCGCAUUAUGGUUAUGCCCUCCCUAACAACCAGGGCUCAUUCAGCUGUGUUGUUGGUGGCCUGAUUUAAGUCUGGACAACACCCAUUGUGCUAUUAGAUACUACACAGCAUCUGAAAGUAAAACUGUCAAACAUCGAUUUAUGAAAGGCGAUAAGUAAUCCUAAAAUAACAAACUCAUUCUAUCAGGAAGCACAAAGACAUUGUGGGAAGUUUCGUGUCAAAGCGCAGACACAGAAAUAUUGGAAAACAUUGUCACGGUUCUGACAAAGGAAAACGCAUUUAUUUAAAGCACUUUAACCCUCAAUUUUAAAGAUUUUAUUUAACACAGUUAGCAGUUUCUAGACAAGUCUGAGGGACAGCUGACCCACCUGAGUUCAUGUGCAAAAGGACACAUGCACAGUGGGUUCAAGACAGGGCCACACAAAAGACAAAUUGCUGCAGAUACCCGGCUGGCAGCAUUUUCCAUUUAGUCUUUUGAUUUCAAUGCUGUCUGCGUUUUCUAUACUGUUCCCUAUUGCAUCUCUAUUAUGUCCCCGUGGAGUGUGGGAGAUAGAAUUAGGGAGGCUGUCCUGUUUAUCCUUGAAUAAAACCGAGAUUUCAGAGAUAGUCUAUAAUUCCCUGACAGUUAUUUUCUCUGAAACUAGCCAGAAAGAAAACAUAAUACAGUAAUGCGUUCCCCCUCUGUAGAGAAUGUAAUGGCACAGUUUGUUGUAAAUAUACUUUUUUCCUCCUGAUGUUGUGUUGAUGCAACCCUCAUGCUGCAAAGGCAAUGCUAAUAGAGUGGAGUUGGUGCAACCUAAAGUGACCCUCGUUUGCAUGUGUCUGUUUCUGCAUCUUUUCUUACAUAACUGUACUUGCAUCAUGUGUACAGUAUAGGUCAUAAUAAUCAGUUUGCUCAUAAUGUGUGCAAAAAUUAAUUAUUUUCUAACCAUACAAGGCUGAGAAGUGGCCUCUGAAGACAGACCCGAUAGUCCUGAGGGUGAUGACAACCUUCAGUAAAGGACAGGAUGUGCCAUUAUCAUCUAUAAAAGAUUGGACAGGGUCUUGAAUAUUGUAUCAUUCAUUUUGACUAAUUUUAGUCAAGUUUAAAAAGAACAAUUCCCGUGCUUUAAAAGUCUACAGUUAAUUAAAUUUCAUUGGGCACCGUCUCAAAAAAGAAAUGUUAUCUAAACUGAUUCUGCUGAGUUGGUCAGGUUGUCCUUGUUACAGCUGUAAAAGUUUUUUAGUGCAAAUUGUAAAUUUCUCUUUCAUAUUUGUUGUGGAAUAGUUUGGUGUUUCAUCUGUUUUACAAAUCAUAGUUCAGGAUGUCUAAUGUGUGCACAGCCUCUUUAUGAGGAGAGAGACUUGCCUCUAAAACUCUGUGGUAAGGAAUUGCAUUUCCAUUUAUACGUCCAGUCGUUAAACUGACAACAAAUCUCUUGGUUUUUAUUUUAAACAGAUACCAUUGCAUUUUAACCAAGAACACAGUUUCUGUAAAAACCGGAGUUGCCAAAGUCAGAAAUCUAAUUUUAUCACCAUAUUUUUCACCAACUUUGUUAGAAUUUAACUGAGUAUGAGUGGGUGAUUUCAAUUACAAGGUUACCCAGAUUAGAGUCAUUUCAUGUCACGCAGCUCCAUACAUUGUCAAAUCCUUAAUGAUCCCUCAGGUGGUGUUUGCAUGCUUGCAAAGGUGCAGCAAAUCCCUCCUUCCAUCCUUUCCGACGCUUGACACAUCGAAAUGUCAGAGAGGUGUGGGCAGAGAAAUCUGGUUGCGAGGGGAAACAUCACUCCAAAAUAUUUUAGCACGAUCUCCUCACUCCAGGGACGUGCACAGAAGCAGACUGUAGCUGCGGGGGUACUAGCCUUGUCAUGUAGGGGACCAUUAAGUACAGGUAAAUAGAGUCCUCUUAAGGAUCAAAAUAGAAGCUAUUUUCUCUUUUAAGAUGGUACAGAAGGAAGGAAGGAAGUAGAGAGAGUUGAUGUUGAUGUGAAGUGAGUAAUGUCUCCUCGGUGUGCCGCUCAGCAUUGCAGACACCAGGCUGCAAAGCUCUGGUCUAGCAGAGAUAACACACUGAGAGCAGGCAUCUAGUGAGAUGAAGACAUUGGGGCACUGUGGGUCCACCUCACAUUACUCUCUCACACAGAGAAUCUGGGCACAGUUAUGAACACUGUGUACAGAGCACAGUGUGCCAGCAGCAAGCACUAAGCAGAGAGAAGGAGAGAUAUUUCCUUCAGCUUGACAUUAAUGGCUUGUUAGCUGAUUGAGGUGUAGAAGAGGGAAAAAGAACAAGAUAAGGAGGCUCAUGCUCCCUCUGCAGAAAAGGUAUAAGCGCGUUAGAGCAGCCUAAGUGGCACACUUAGCACCUUACUGUCAGCCAAGGUCAGAUAAAAAAAAGCUACACCUUUUCACUGGACAUCCUCAUAUUUUUGUGUUUUUUGGUCUACUGACGAGGAGUAAGCGAAUGCAGCUCUUCAAGAAGGACAAGGGAUUUACUUUGAAGAGCUUUUAGAUUCUAGGUUAAUACUCAUCAUCUCUUAGCACAGAAAGUCCUCUUCAAAGAGGUGUGUGGAAAACUAGAGAGGAACGUCUCUCCUGUGGUUGAAGAAAAGGUGUUAGAAGAGAUAAUACAUCCUUAGAAAAAGCUCAGACCAUUAUUCAGACCUUGACACUUAUCCUCAGCGUUUCGUUCAGUCCACUGUUCCAGCUGUUUCCCUGAUCCUACCAAACUGUCAGCUAGCCUGUGGGCUUGUUGAAACCAGUUCUUAGCUUUAUAAGGAGGAUAGGUAUAUUAUAGUCAAAUGUGGAAAAUGCAGAGAAGACAGGUCCAUGUUGUGUCCUGGUAUUAUCAGAUACAGAUACGUCUUAAUAUAAUGAAGGAUUACACAUUAGCUUGUAACACCUGAUUCUAUGUUUUUCUGGUUUAAUUCUGAGAGCAAAGUUAGUAAAAUUAGGUACUUAUGCUGCAUUCCAGUUAUACUCAGAAGUCAGGAUUUCCAAGCUCUGAGUCGGAAUUCAUAUGGAACGCCGCCCCUAUUGAACUAGUUUUGUAUUCUGAACUGUUGGCCAUAACAUGGACACCUGUUAAAGGUGGGGUAGGCAGGAUCUGAGGAAGUGCCAGUUUUUGGGAGAAAUCUUGAAUGUAAACUCUACCCCUCCCAACCAGUUUUCCUCUCAGCUCCUCCUCCUCUCUCCCUCUCUGCUCCAGAAAGCCCCGCCCAAAAAACACACGCGUCCUUGCUCGUAUCAUUUCAAUUAAAUUCAGAUAUAAUACAGAUAAGUACUUAAGAUAAUUACAAAUAGGGCCCAGUCAAUGUGAAAGUAAAAAGCAUUGGUGCUACUGUAGAUGCCAACAGACUACCAGCAAACACAAUGUUUGCACGACUUCUAAAACUAGCAUAAAGUGACAUAGUCCAGGACCCGAGGUAAACAGUUCAGCAGCGCUACAAAACGCAGCAGGUCCUGUUUAACAAGAAACACGUCUGUUACAGACACUUGGUUUACUUUGUUAAAGUGGUUUACCUGUCCAGCAGAAAUUACAGGGUCUGUAAGAUCCCGAAGCGUCCCCCAUCGUUUAUGCUUCAUUGAUGCUGACCCAGCUUUUUAGCUCUUGUCUGGUCUACCUCCUUUUUUAAGCGCCCAUUUUUCUGUCAGAGUCUCCGGUAUUUAUUUCGUUUUCUUGCUUGUGUCGGCAUUCGUGGCCAAAGGAUGAUUCAGACAAUUUUCCGUACUUUCCGGUUUGUUUCUACAGUCCGAUAUUGUAGCACGCUAACUUUGUUUGGGCUCGUGAAUGUUAUUCGAGGACGUGAAGCGUGCCUCACUACACGAUCGAGCAGGGUCUGCCUUUACAACCAAUCAGGUUGGGGGAGGCAGAGAUUGGCUUUGUUUACAGUCAGAAAGAGCGGGCCGCUCAAAAAUUUAAAAAUGUUGACUGCACAGACAUAACAGAACACAGCGAUGUCAUUAUAUUCCUAAAUGUCAUCAAUGACUAAUAGCUAUUGACUGAUAUUGACUGACCACAAAAAAGAUGCUUCUUUAACAAAUUCCUGCCUACCCCACCUUUAAGCUCAGAGGCCUAACAUUCCCCUAUCUAUCAAGCUACACUGAGCUCUAAUAAAUUGUUUCUGGGUGUUGGAUAGAGGUUCUCACCUUUUAUUGAAGUAUGUCUCAUAACAUAGUAUGUUAGUGGUUUGGAGACCACGCUGAAACCUCAAAGUUUUAUAUCUAUUGAUUUUUGUAUUAUCAUACUUGUAAGACUCGUAUUCUCCACUGUAAUCCAGAAAUCCAAACUCUAUUUACAAAAAAAAAGAGCUCAAGCCCCAUUUUUGUGGUCUUUUGUUAAAACUCUCGCCUGUUCAAUAAGUUUUUGAUCUUUUUAAAUCUCUUUUAUAAAUUACAAAUCAACCACAGCUUCCCACUACUGCUCCACACAGUCCAUCACAGACAGAGAGAACAAAAUUGAACUCAGCAGGCUAAGUCUUCCAGACAUUGUAUUUGUCUUUUAUUCUGUCUGUCUGUCUGUCUGUCUGUCUGCAUAGUAAAUAUAUCUGUCUGUAUGUCUGCAGUAUAUCAGUCUGUCUAUCUGCACUGUCUGUCUGUCUGUCUGUCUUUCCAACUGUCUAUCACAUUGUCCCUGCUCCUGUGCUCAGCCGUUGUUACCAUAACAACAAGGGAAUCCUGUGCCCUUCAAAACAAUUAGCAUUCAACACUGUUGCUAUUCUAACACCAACCAACAUCUUCCAAUCACAGGGAAAAAUAGUUGCUGGGAUAAAUUGUAAAGACAGCAAAUACAUUAAAAAUCUGGAGUGUUCGUGGAGAGAAUAGGUUUUAAGGCCGGCGUUGAAUGCUCUUGAUAAAACGGCAACAUGACGGCCAGUCAGAGGCAAAUGCAGAUAAGAAAUUCCUUGAUAUGAUGUUGUGUUUUAUCUGCUGUAGGAGACAACACUGUAGGAAUCUUUGUUUUCAAUUGAUCUUUGUAAAAAGCUUUCACAUUCACAAGUUUCAGAGAGCUAGUUCGCUCUCUGAAACUUGUUCAUAUGAAAGUACGACGCACAAUGAGUUGGUGUUUCUUUGCUUUAAUCCCCCAUGUCUGCUGGUGAUAUGACAUACAGCUACUAACAGAUAGUGUUCUUAAUUGAGAUUCAUGGGACACACAGAAACCCUUGGGAUCUGAAGUGUUAUCAUCAAACAAGUCACAUGUAUUGGGCUCAAUAUAUCAACACUCAGCCUGUUAGGAUAUCGUGUCAGUAGGGAAACAAUAACAAGAGAGAUACUCUGAAAUGUUUUAACUGCCUUGCCAAGCAAACCGAUGUCAACUUUCCCUUAUACUGUACAAAAAUACAACAGAUACUGACCAAAGUUUAAUUAGACUAACACUUGGCUGUAGAACAAGAUUAAAGACAGUAUCAACACCUCAGCAGUAGUUUCAGGAUCUUUAAAGAUUAGAGUAUUUACCAGGGAUGUUAGGAGAUACUAAUUUCCUCGAAGUUUCAGCGUUGAUCUAAGUUUGUCUUUUGGUCUGAAGGUUAAAUAAAACAGUUGAACUAGAAAUAGCCUACAUUUAACUUCAUCUUCUUUUCCUAGUUGUGCAUUAACUGCAUUACGAUAAGAGAUGCUGACUGGCAUCUUAAACUCACAAACAUCUUCAAAUGAUUUAAUGAUUGAUUGAAUGUUUUCUCGUUUUAAUUUAGUUAGCCAGCUUUAACUAUCUAUAACUCGGGAGUAUUUCUCAUUUAUACGAUCUGAAACACAGUUAUGAGUCUGUAUAUGGUGUUUUAUUUUGGAAUAUACUCAACAACAUACGUGACAGCCUGUCUAGGACGAUCUUCUCUCUUCAGAUGGACGCGUGCUGGGUGGAUGCUCCGUCCAAAAUAGACUCGGUGCGUAUCUUUAGUGGAGCAGCGUGUAGAGACACUUCUGGGACGGAGCUGAGGCAUGCUGCGAUGCAUCCUGUGUGCAAUACUGCAUUGAUUAAAAUGGGAAUGAAUUUGCUGUGUAGCUUGUGACAUUGACAGAAUGUGCUCAAUACACAUCCUGUGGGUGUUAGGCUUGACUGGUGUUACCUUCGGAUUCCUUACUCUAGUCUGAUAAUAAAGCUUCCCACAAUGCAAUGCUGCUGUGCCUUAAACACAGGUAGGAGUAGUUGGGUGUUGCUGGUCUUGUGAUUUACACACAUACUCCAUACACAGAGGUUACGCCUCAAGCAGAUGGCAUGUGUUUCAUUCCAGCCUGCGGCCUCUUUCUGGCGUGUCACUUCCAACUCUUUCUCCGCAUUUCCAGCUCUAUCCGCUGUCCUGUCUGCUCUGUUAAAAGCACAAAAAGCCUGAAAAUAAAAUCAAAAUGAUAAAGUGGUUAAACAGAAGAAUGUUUCUUUCUCCAAGUUUGACAAAAAAAAAUCUAUCUUAGCCAAAAUGACUGUUUAUUUUCAUAGACAUCAAAGUGAAAGUGCAGUGAACAUAUGUAGAAAGCUGAAGUGCACGUUUGUAUUGGUCCCUAAACCUUCACAAAAGUCCAUGAUCAAAUCUGUGCACUAGAUUUUAUUGGUGGACAUAGUUCUGACUUGAUUUCCCUCAUGCCAGAAGUUUUUAUUUUUCAGAUUUCGUCCUUGUGUUUGUUUUUAUUUAGUUAUCCCAUCAUUAUUGCCAGGAAAAAAAAAAGAUCCUUGACGAGAACAAUGAGAAAGUAUUUCUGCAAAUGUCAACCCAAGCUGUCUGAAUGGCAACAGACCAUCAGUAAUGAUAAAUAUCAUCUAUUGUUGUCUUUCCACUAUCACUCUUCAACCUUAUCACUUUGCAUAUCAUGCAAACAGUUAUGUUGACAUCUCUUUUUUUGCAAGAGUUUUGUUUGCCUUUUAAAAAGGGGGUAUUAUGCAUUUUUUCAGACUCUAUACUUCCUUUCUGAAACCUCUUUAAUAGCUUUACAUGAUUUUCAGGUCAAAAAAGAAAAAAAAAGACUUGUAUUAAAAUAUUAUCAUAUCAGCUUCCAUCUAAGACGCUCCAUUUUUGCUGCUGUCUCUUCAUUUUCGCUACAUAGCAAUGACUGUUGGUAAAAUUGUUUAAAUCUGCUGAUUACACUGCAGCUCGAGAACUAGAUCUCCAGUUCUCGAGAAAACACACCUCCUACCUUUGGCCAUCAUCAAAACUUAGGUGCAACAGGUGAUUAGUCACGAAUUUUAAAAGGUAACCAUCUGAUCCACCAUGACAUGGAAGAGGACUGCAAGCAGUAAAGAAAGUUCACCAGAAACUUUUCUUUUUUAAAAGAGCUGAACAAGAGUAGGAUGUCCAGCAAGGGUUUCCUCAUUUUUAUCGAGCAGCAGUGGAGAGCAUCCUCACUUUUGUGAUAACUGUCUGGUUUGGGAAUAUGUCUACAGAGGAGGAGAGGCAGCUAAACCAGGGGAUGCGUACAGCAUGAAAAAUCACCAGGUGUGAAUCCCACUCUUGCAAACCCAAAGGAUCAGGCUACAAAUGAAAUGUCUGAAGAUCUUAAAGAACCCCUCCCUCCCAGGCUAACUGCCUUUUUACCUUUCUGCAUGUCCCCACAGGGCUUGACACACAUGUGCUCAUGUGCUCCUAAGUUAAAAAGAAAGGAGCACACAAAGAACUUUAGGGGCACAAUGAAAAUUGAUCAAAUAAUAUGUGUCUUAUUGGUCAACAUAAGUUCAAUUAUUUGAAACCAAUUUUGGGUCAGUUGAUCACAUGACAUGGAAGCUAUUGAAGGAAAGGUUCAAAAUUUGCCUUUAAAUUUAAAGGUAAAUUUUGUUUAGAGCAGAAUUUAGGGAAAUAAAGAGGUGUAUCUAAUUGUAUGACCUUAGUACUGUUAUUUGAAAUCAAUUUUAAGUCAAUUGGUCAGAUGACAUAGAAACUAUCGAAAGGAAACAGCCUUUUUUGAGAACAUCAACAGGUAAUUUAUUGAUGGUCCCUUAUUCAACACCCAACAUUCACAGCGAGGGUGCUGAGUCAAUAUAGCUGCACUGAGAGUGAGAAGACACCGGUAGAUCUGCAGUGAAUGUCCAUCGAAUAUCCAAUCUAAAACUAACUUCAACUAACUUCCUUGCCUCAUUUUUUUUAUGCGCUGGUGCACUCAUCUGUUUUUAAUCGCAAAUGCGAGUAAAAUUGUCGCACUGUUGAGCCCUGCCCGGUGUUCGUAGCUCUAUUUCACCAAUUGUCGAAUCAGUUGUCUCUAAAAAGUGGAACUGUUGCCUUUUCUGGCUUUAGGGGUUUCAACAAAAGUUUUCUUGUGGCUAAGUUAUUAAUAAUAAAUGUGAUUCUUAGCUAAACUGUUUUAAUUACAAUAAUGAAAAAAUGCUCUUUAACCAUAUUCCCAAGAGGGAUUAGUCAAGUAUAGCCUAUAUGCACAGCCCUGGGACACUGCAGAGAUUUUAGUUGCUGAUCUGCAAUGCACCAACAACAAGUUAGAAACUCUUCAGUUCACAGAAUUGAAGAAUUCCUCCCCAUUGAUGUCUCGUUCUUUACUCUUUUUAAUUCACUCGCCUGUAGUCAAACAAAACAGAAGCAGCUUUUCCUCUAAUAGAUAAAAUGUUGUGUAGAUUUAAUGAAUUGUGAAAAUAGCGAAUUCCUGAAAUGUAUGACCACAAACAUUCCUUUUCCCGUUUUACCUAAUUAUGUUUGUCAUGAGUUUGCAGCCAGUUGUGUGGAAAAACUGUGUUGAGAAGCUGUCAUGACACAUGAUUGCACACGGUUGCGCAUCAUUGGCAUUUACAUACAGUAAUACUGUACAAAAUAGUCCCGAAUCUCCCCCUCUUCUUCCUCUCCACCACACAUGGUAUCAUGAAGAAUUGAACUCGAGCUGCAAAGGCCUGACUGACAACACCCGCAAAGGUCAUCUCAGCCUUUUAGCCAGCGUGAGGCAAACUGGAAAGGGAAGCAUCACAUGCAGGCGCCCAUUUGAAAGAUUAAAUACUGUGACAGAACAAGCUCCCACAGGAAACGAGGGGAUGCCACAAGCCUUCUAUCUGGUUUCAAGAUCUGUUCAGCUGCACUGCACACAUUGUUUUCGAUUGAGUUAGCAGUUCAGAAUAGAUUUAAUCAAUUAAAGUGACAUUGUUGCAGGCUGGCAGUCAAAUGGAAAUAUUAAAUCAUCUUUCCAAGUAUUGUGGCACCAAAACGCCCCCACAGAGAGGGAGAGAGAGCAUUUGCUUCAUGAGAGUGAUGCAGAUUAAUGCCCCAAAACAUCCUAAUUGCUUAAUGAACCUUCUUUCAAACAACAGAAUUGUGCUUUUAGCAGAGGAACCCCUGUCGAAAUGCCCACAGUCAAAUUGCUGAAAAAUAAAACAAAAUCCAGUUCUUUUGCCGCAUUUUCAAACAAAUUCAAGUUCAGUGUUUUAACGUUACUACGCUCAUCUCCUAAAUCUUUGACACACGUCUGGGCUGUGAAGAUAUGUAAAGCAAAAGGAUGUCCUUUUUUAUGCAGUGUGAUAGAGUAUCGUCUUUAGGAUCAAGGAUUAUUCUUCUCACUUUUAUAGUUUAAUCUAUUUUUGAAAGCUUUAAAGUGGACUUUCCCCCUAAUGCCAGACAUUUAAAGUGCAAACCUGAGGGAUAUUUUUUCUAUGAUAAAGGCCGCGGCUCGUAUCUUACUGGCAGAGGAGGGCCCGCUCCUGCCAUAUAGAGGGAGAUGCAAGUAAAGAUUUGGAUACACCAGAUACAAACCACCGAGAAAUUACUGGGUUAUUCGAGUUUUUCCACCAAAGCAAAGGAACUGAACAAGCUGCCUCAUAAAAAUUAGAUUAGGUUAUUAACAUCAAUAAGCAAAUUUUGUUAUGAACUUGUUUUAUCACAAUUUUUCUGCAGUUUAAUUGAGUUAGAAAGUCAUUUAAAGCUGUUAACUGAUCUGUCUCCACAGAUUUACAUAAAUGUAGUAAUUUCAGAUGUUAUUGAUCAUUUACCCCUUUACUUUAAAUUUACUUUCAGUUUUCAUUUUAAGUAAAUAAUUAUGACUCUAACUUUUCAAUUACAGUGGCCAGGUUUUUAAAAAUCUUACCCGUCGUAAACAAAGGAACUUUAUAUUGAAAUUUUAGAUUUUAGGAAGGAUUUAGCCCAGUGUAAAUUCUCCUCUGAUAUUUGGUAAUACAAAAAAUGCAAACCUGAGCCUGAAAGUAUUUACUUUUUAUUUACUUUUUUAAAAACAUUUCUGCCCCCUGUGUGAGCCGUGCCUCUCCCAAAGAUGACAAUGAUGACAACAGCAGGGAUCAAAUCCUCUUACCCCAACCCCCCCUACCUAUCUCAGGACCAUCUUGAGCUGGUGACCAUGACUGAGGGGAUAAAACAAGAUACUCUAUGAUAGCACCGAUUGUAGUGCUCACGUACACAGAAGUGGGUGUUUUAACCCCUUAAAGAGCUGUCACGGACUGUGGGGUUUAUUUGACAGAGCACUUGGCUCAUCAUUUUGACUACAACUCAGCACUGUGUCAUCGAUCUGGGCCCCCUGGAAAAAAAAAAAAGAGGUGGGGGGUGCAGGGGAAGGAUAACUUUCAGCUUUGUCAGCUGGAUAACUAAAUAAAACAAACGACUGGCCCCUCUGAAAUACUCAAGAAAAGAGAGAGUGACAGCAGUAUGGCUGAUCACAUGGGGGCGGCUACAGAAUGGUUUAAUUUGACUGAUAAUAAUAAUAAUAACUUUAUUUGUAUAGUACUUUUAAAAACAGAAGUUUACAAAGUGCUUUGACAUAUAAACAUAGAUCACAUGGAAAAAGACAGAUAAAAACAAAAAGCUCGGUUAAGAGGAAUUGAAGGCCAUUUUCAUGUCAUAAGGAACCCAAACAAUACAAGAACCAUGCAACAUAAAAUGAGACCAUGAGGACCAAAAUACAAACAUAAAGUAGUUAAGAAAAAAGGAAAUGCAAUUAAAAGGGGGGUCGAUAGCGGAAACAUAAAUAUAUGUAUAUAUGAAAAAAACAAACAUCUUUUUUUAGUGUGUAGAUUGGAGUCCACACCAACAUUAGAUUAUGUACCUCUGAGAAUCUGCUGUGUUUUUACUCUCUGUUUACAGCAGUAUAUGAAUUCAAGCUCUGAAGCAGCAUUUUCCCACCUUAUAUGUGACUUAAUUAUGUCCAUUCUGCAUAACAAAGCGAGGUUAAUUAAGCUGGUAGCACAUGGAAACGGCUUUUUGCGAAGGAUAACACAGUCUAGCAUCAAGUUAGUCUUCCUUCAGAUGAAAGCCGGUGGGUUUGAAGUGAGGGGUGAUAUCUUUUAAAGUAAGCCUAUUAAUAAUAAUGAUUUGGUUAAUUGCUCUCUCAAGCAAACAGUCACUUGAUUACUGUAAUGACACUGUUGAUUAAAGAUGAAUUUGGGACAAUUAACCCAAUGAUAUGCCACCAAUUUAAGAUUGUGUUGUUACUGUUUGAGGCCAACAGAACUGCGUAGCAAACAUGAGGGCAGAUUUUCAAUAAAGUGUACACAAAACCGUAUAUAAAUGUUGCAUUAGAUCAUAUGCAGGCCUAGACGGUUAAAAACACUGAUACUGUGAGCCCUGCUUUAUUUGACUGAAAGGUCGAUGUUGCCCACUCCAUUGUUCUCACAGCGAUCAAUAACUGGUGUAAGACGUAGGGUAAUCAAUUAUUUCUUUGCUACUACCGUCUCCCCCUUUAAGUUUGCUCAUAUUACAGAUCGUUUAGGAAUGUUGUGCAGUAUGUUCUCCGAGCUCAUACUGUGAACUAGAAGACUGCAGCAUUCAAAGGUAAUAUUAAAACAUGAGGUAGUGGUCUAACAGGUAGAGUUGGAUACUGCUAAUAGUUCUUAUUGAUCCCUGAUUGUGAUUCCAGUAUUUUUGAAAGAUAAAAAACAAUGUUCACAAAUCUCAAUUUGCUCAGUCAUUUUCCUUUUAAUUCUGUAUCACCGCCCACCGCCCUCCCUCCCUCCCCAACACACAGCACACCUGCAGCUUCCCUGAUGUUAUAGACAGCAGUCCUCAGCGGUUCAUUUUAUAAAGACAGCCAAAUAAUAAAUCUCAUUCUGCAAUCUUUACUAGAUAUUCUGUUAUCACAAAAUAUGAUGUAGGUGUGGAGGAGGCUUGUUAAUGAUGCAGCAUUUCACAAACAGAGUUAAAACAGCAUGGCCCCCGCAGCAUUUAGACCUCUGUCCAACUGGGAUUUAUGCAUUAACGCCAACAGCUCUACAUUUAACUACAUUUUAAUGUAAUAUGUUUUGGGUUCUUUUUCUAUCUAGCAGAUCUAGCUUUUUUUGAUAGUGAAGUUCCUUUUAAGUUUGUGGAAACGGGUUGAAUAAAAAUCUCUUUAGGCUCCAAUUUUGCACUUACUCAAUGAGAAAAAAAAAUCCUGCUGCAUUUGCACAAAAUUCCACAUUAACAAAAAAGUUAACCAAAUUGGGCUGUGCAUUUAUGUCUGAAUGUAGAUAUUUUGAAUAUGUUAUAUAACUCUGUAUAUUUAUUUUGGUAUAUCUAAAGCAUUGGUCCCCCAGAGAUAACUCUUUAAUCAUAUUGAAUACCACUCUUGUCAUGUACUAUGUUGUAUGUCCAUACCAUUAGCCUAUACACACAAAAGACUGGAUUACGAAGUGGAUUACGAGUCAGCAUAGUAAAGGUAAUUCUGUGAUAUAUAAUUUUAGGACACAGUUGCCACAGUUCAGCCCAAACUUUGCUUCAAUGGAACAGCCGCUUUUCUGUUUUUCAGUUUUCUCAAGUCAAAGUUUAUUUUCAAAGCACAUUUAAAAAAAAACAACAAAAAACUCAGUUGACCAAAUUACUGUACAGGAGUGCAAUAUAAGCAGGCAUACACUUACUAAUAAUACUACGAACAGUGAUGGGAUAAAAGAGGUAAAGAGUUAAUGAGUUUAGUGGACUGUGCGGCUCACUUCACUACAAGUCGUAUUGUGGAUGAAUGAAAUAUAUAUUUUUGGAGGAAUUAUCAAACACUUUAAAACUCAAGAGCUGUCUUUUUUUAUGAAUUAGCAUUAAGACUUGCCAAUAGCUAAGCAUGCAGAUAAUUUUUAAAAGUCAAAGAUCUAUUGUGAGGAAACUCUUAAUCUGAUAGGCUCAGUUGAUUUGCCACAUUGUUGAUUCAGACUCAUCAAGCCAAGACUUUGGAGCAGUUUGUUUGUCAGAUUGUCGAGGACAUGGCUUUCGAAUAGUUCUUUAGAAACCCUUUUGGCUAUAGUUUCGUUUAUGAAGUGUUGUUCAGUCUGCAUCUCUAAAUUGCUUCACAGCGUAGCUUGGCAAUAUCAAUGGACCAAACUGCCAACUGUGCUGGUGCAUUUGGUUGCCGUAAGCUUAAUGAUCAAAUAAUUUGUUUGUUUUGCAGAAGAAUCCCGCGUUUGGAACCACACUCUGUUAUUAUUAAGAAAAAGAAAUCAUGCACACCCGCUGGUUAAACAUGAAGAUUACCUCAAAAUAGUAAUAAUAAUAACAACUGAAUAAUCAGGCACAGACAUAUCCCUAUCUGCUCUGUUUUUGAGAUGCCAGCCUGUGAUAAGAAGCAGAGAGGAAUAAUCUUUAGUAUUUCAGGGUUGUUUACUUCUUUCCUGCCAAGUAUGGUGAAGUUAUUUACCUUCAUUAAAAAAAUAUUAUGUUUACUUAGAUGACAAGGCCUUAGAUUAUCAGUAAGAGGAGCCUUUAAGGUACUCUCUGACUUUAUACUCACACAACAUUAUUCAGAGAUGCUCAAUACAGAGUGUGUUAAACCUCACAUAUCUGCAUAGGUUGCCAAGAAAGGUCAGGUGCUGCUCUCGUAUCUAUUUGGAAAAGGACCCUUAAUGUGAAGCGAGGGGGGACUAGGUUGAUUUAAUGUUACAAAACUCUCAAUAGAGGAUUUCGGCAAAGUUGAUAAACACAAGUUUUGCCUUUUGAACUCACUCUGAAGGCAUCGGGAACAGAGAUUCAGAAAAUCUUUACGUUUGAUAAAAGGGGUCUUGCAUUUUCAAUGAAACAUGUUGGAGGAGCAUGAGGCCGGUUUGUUCAAGGCUUCUACCCAAGUUUUUUCUUUACAGCUGGAUCACAUAAAAGGUUGCAAAAGUCUCUGAAGGCCAGUGAGAGUCAGAUUUAAACUUACUUAAAGGUAGGUGCAGUCUGUGCUCUAGCAACGUGUUAUCUUUAUUUAUUUUACAGAACCUAACUGAAGUUUUUGCCCACACCAGCAAGUUGUAGACCUACGUAGUAACAUCAGUAACUGCUGCCUAAUUUUCCCCAUUUUAAUGUCUCUAAAACAACAACUGCUCUGAUGGUUUAGCAAUGCACAGAGUGCCCCCUCUGUGGUUUAAUAUCUUAAUCAAACAACAUUUUAUCAGAUUACUCAUUGAUUAUGACACUUUCUUUCCAUUUUGUUUGUUAUUUUGAUUUUUCUUGUUCCAAUUUAGUGAUCCUUCACACAUUUAUUGUCUCUGUACUGAGGUUAUAACUGAGUUAAUUACCUCGGGCUCUUUGGGAGAAGACACAAUUUCAUAUAAGAUUUACCUUGUUAAAUCUCACAAAUGCAAUUACAUCCCCCUGAUAUAAUUGCUGUGAAUCUGAACCAAUCUUUGACCUGGAAAGCUGAUCUUGCAGAGUUUUUUCCGGUAUAUAUUUAUCCCCAUCUUUAGUAAAGUUUGACCUUGUCCUGAUGGAUAAAACCCAGCCUGGGGAAAAGCUUGGCAGAGGUGUUUGCAUUUGAGUGGCUGGUGGCCAGACCCAUAUCUAUUGACUCCAGUUGGGCCAAGUCCAAAGUGAGGUUGGGGCUGCCAUCACCCAUAAGGAUAUGCAUAGGACCUGGCUGGGACAUUUCCUUCGGGUGAACUCUGUGGUUUGCAUUAUAAUCGAUCAUGAAUGGAUGGAUAGCUUUUCAAUCCAUUCUUAUGUGCAUUUAAUCACAGCUGUUUAUACAGUAGCCACACGCAUCCCAAAUGUGUCUUCUGUUGCAUACACCCUAAAAAUAGAUCAAUCCGUGCAGACAGAUUUAAAGGCCUCCAGCUUUUUGCCAAGCGUUACCUUUCCGUUGGACUGUUUGUGCUCACAUGUUUGUUCCGUGUCCCUUUGUUGAACUUCCAAUCAUAAAAGGCUGAUCAUUUUCCCUCCUGAGUUUCCUUCUCGAGGAAUUAAAGACAGGAAAUCCGUCAUUAGCGUAAACAAGUCAUGAUUCUGUUUAAUAUGUUCGGCCUUUAUUCUAACAAAACACUUAAAAUGGUGUUGUGAUUAAUUUCUUCUAUAACAGUAGGUGAUGUUAGGUAAAUUCUUCAUUUGCUUUGGCUGAAGAUGAAUCAAAGGCAAUUUAGUAACUUAAUGAUUGAGCGUGAGAGAGAGUCUGGAGCAUCUCCUUUUCUUUUCCGGAUAGCCACUGUGUUGUUCUCAUCAAUCACACGAUUAAUAAGGCCAGAUUAGUUUCCCAACCAGAGACAAGAAUCAUUUUUCAAUUUACCAAUUAGUCCACGUCUUCCAAAAUGUCAUGUGUUUUAGAGCAUAGAGCCCCUUAUGACUAUAUUAAGAGCUUCAUCUCCCAUGGGAUUUCUACCAUGAGUCUACAUCACACACACAGAAGCUGGAGUUGACAAAUUUUCAAAAUGAAGCAGUUGUUAAAUCUUUGCUGAAUGAAAAGGCGUCCCCGUUUCUACGCCAGUAUAGGAUGAGAAACCAAUUUAAUUCAAAUUACGUGCGGGAUACUACAGAUUUCAGCUGGAGGAUUUAUGGAACAAGCACCUGAAAGGAAAAAAUUACAGUGUUUAAGUAAAGCUCUUUGAAAAACAAAGUUGCCUGGUAGUUUGGCAGCACUCUGGGCUUUUAUUUUCUAGAAAACAUCCACUUUACAAUUUGCAAUGGGCUGAAACAUUCAAGUCAUGCUGUUUUGACAGUUUUUGUCGCAGUAACUCAUGGACAUAUUGUAUGUCUCUCUUGCUUAUGCUUGACUGACGACUGCACAUUCAACUAACGUGCGGCAGCAAUUUUUCCUGCAGAGCACACAUGAAACUGUAGCCAUGCGCCAUCCUUUAGCUUCUGUUGGACCACAUCUGUCAUCUGAGCUAUCAGCCAGGGUCAAGCUAUAAGCUAGAAUGAGUCAGCGUUUGGACUGACGCCUCAAUGAAACAUUACAACUGCAGAACAAUGCCUUACUCAGAUAGCACUAUUUUGUCCCAAUCUUAAAGGAAUAUUCCACCACAUAAAAAAGGUGUAAUUUAUGUAUGAAGUGCUAAAUGAGGUGCAGAGGUCUGAUUAAAUCCCUUGGUUAUUUAAAGUUGUGUUUGGGCGUACCAGGAGGACAGGAGCAGUAGCAGUAUAAGUAGUAUUAGUAGUAGUUGUUUUAACAGUAAUGUGCAAUGUCCAUAGCUUGAAAUCUUAGGUUUUUUUUAUAUUAAUACUUAAAGGGAUAGUCCGGCAUAAAAUUAAUUUAGGGUCAAUUACACCAUAACACCGAGUUAGACACCCCGUCAAGAAAUGAAUGUUGCCAACCGCUUGCUUCUUGGGUUAUACCAACUUUAGAAAUGACUGCAGGAUAGCAAUACACAGCGGUCUGAGAAGCCAUAAACAGACCUCAACUAAAACACCACUCAAUAACCACAAAUAAUGCUCAGAACAGCACCUAACUUCAUCAACAGUACAUAUAGGGUCCUAGCCAUAGCCCUAGCCACCAAACAUCUUUUUAACUUUGCCUAAGAGACUUAACACAACUCACCUACUCUCUUCCAGCAGCCCCUAAAUUAAUUUUACGCUGGAAUAUCCCUGUAAGUUAUUUGUAAAUAUGCUGCUGGAAUUUUAAUUUCCUUAAGAGAAUCUUUCUUAAAGGAUAAAUGAACUUGUAUCUAGUUCAAUCUAAUGUAAUCUAAAAUGUUGGUCAAACAGUCUAGGGUAUCUGCUCUCAUUCUCUUUAUGAGCCAAGUGCACCUGUAGGUUUGUGUGUUGCUAUUUACACAUCAGAUUUCAAUCAGGCUCGAACCAACAUGCUGGAUUUCCCUCCUUCCAAAGUGCUCCUAUGACUGCAGCACACAGUGUGAGUCAUGCCAAUGCAUAGAUCAAUAUUAUAUGCACAGAAACUCUUCCUCUCCACAAGCUCCUCAGCAAUGAUCAGGGACUUCCUGAGUUAACAGACUCAUGUAAAAUUAUGCACAAGGCACAAUAGUAACGCUUUAUUAACUAUUUAGAAUUCAGACCACACUGACAGUUUUGGACAGGAUCUAAUGAUGGUUAAUACCACUGACACUUAAUGCCACCAAAACCAGCACAAGGCAUAAGAUGAGGCCCAAAAUAUAGCCAUUUUUUCAUACAGUACUCCAACUCUUUCUGCAAAUUAGUGACUGACAUCUGAUUCAUUUUUCCUCUUUCCCUCCCCUUGUAACAUGUAAAUGCUUCUCUAAUUACUUUAAAAAGAAGCUAAAAUUUCACCUAAUCAAAAAUCCCAUUCAGGAAAGUUGUGUGUUGCUAUGUGUAUAAAAAAUGAAGGGGAAAUCAUAAAAAUAAGAAACGGGUGAACACAUUGUUUCAGAUAAGCCAGUGUCUUUGUAUUAAUGAUGAAUCAAAUAUUAUGUGAAAGCCUGUAGAGACACUCACACAGAUAAUUAUCCCCAGGCUCCAGUUCCUCUUGGCUUUUUGAGGCUUUUAAACAUCUUUCAGCUCAUCUUGGUUUGGUUUUACAGUUCACAACCUCUGUAUUGAAUUUAAUUUCCAUGCUCUUACCAGCCAAGGCAGCUGCAUUCAGGAAAAUAAGGCUUUUAAAGCCCACUGUAUGCAAUCUGCCCAGCACCAAUUGGCAGACAGACAAAUUUAGUGACCUGCAGAUGAACAUACUAAAGGAUUGAGUAGCAGCAGAAACCAGAUAUUUCCCUCAGGAGUAGGUUUUAGGAGCUAACAGAGAGUGACUAUUAAAUGUACAAUCAUCAGUUUGCCAGACAUGUGAUUUUAUAUACAUGCUGUAAUGUUGCUCUGGAUGUGUGUUGCCAGCAAGAUUUGCAAUCAAGUUUCAGCCUCUUCCCAUUACAGGAGACAUAUUAUGAGGAAUCCACUUUUUUUGUAUAGUUUUUUUUCGUGUGUUUGGGUAACAAGUGUAUCCAUUGACCCCUAAAAUGUCAAACAAGCUGACCCAGACCUUUGUUGAUGUCCCACCUAAACACACAAUCAGAUUGUUGACUCAGAAUCUGUUCUCCCUCACUUGGUAUCUCCAACCCCAAUAGUCUGAGGUAGACUUUUGGUGAGUGCUCCAGAAGAGAAGAGAAGAAUGGGGUGAGAAAGAGCUCAUUUGCAUUUAAAGAGACCCCCAAAACUGACUGUUCUGAGACGAGGUAUGAAAAGUUCAAAUUCCCGCUGGUGCUUGAUCUUUAUUAUAUUUUGGCAUCGAUGCCUCAUUAAGACCACCAGGCAAAGAUAAUACAAUGUCAGUCCCUGAAUAAUUCAUAUUUUCACAGCUUUCUACUGCCACCCCAAGUGGAGAUGUGGAUAGAUGCAACAUUGAUGAAAUCUAAAAAUAAGACUCCUUGAAUUUCUGUGCUUUCUUUAUAAAAAACGCAGCUGCAACCUCAACAUUCACCCCCGAACUCUUGCCACCCUUAUGGAUUAGGCCUCUUAAUAUUAAGCACACAUAGCACACUUAGUGGUGCAUGAUCAGUCUGUAGUGGAACAUGAACCCUGUCAUGUAAGCACCAGGCACACUUGAUAAAUUUGGAAAAUCAUUUUCACACUUACAGUAGAUUUAUUGCGACAGUUGAGAACCUGUAGCCUGGUUCACUGGGUUUGUCUGCAGAUGCACGUGUCAUCUGCCGAGGGGAAAAAUGAGCUGCUCCUUGUGUAACGUAGACUUAGUUAGCACCCUCUUUGUUUCAUGUUGUCAGUUCUGCAGACAUGUUUACUUGCCACGACUUGACUGUUUUCCUUACCAUUAAUAAAUUGUGUUUCUCAUGCCGGUAGCAUUACUUGGUCCAGAUAUUAACAUCUAUGCGACAUUAACCACCUUUACCUCACCUCCCUCACACCCGGCAGCUCUGCUCUCCCUGUUUACAUCAAUUUCUGUUUCUUCCUUCUCUCUUUGGUCUCCUUCUCUUGUCCAUCCACAAACUUCAAACUGAUGCUCCCAUCAUCACCUGAACCCCUACCAUCACUAAUGUCCUUUGACACCUUCUGGGUUUCUGACCUGGUCAAAUACCCUGUUGAUUUCAAUGUUCAGCUCCUCACCCUUGGGCUAUCUAUAACCUUGGUCCUCUGUACUUCUCUGAACUCCUGCACAUCAACAAACCCACCCACACUCUUAAAUCUCUUCCACUCACCACACGGCACCACCUGUCUGCUUGGCCACCAUGGGGUUUGUAAGCCUUCAGCCGCACCUCCUACCUCUGGAACUUUCUCUGACUAGACAUCUGUUACACUCACUCUUUCUCCAUUUUCAAAACUUUUCUUGAAGCAUUUCUUUUUUCACUGUUCUAUAAUGUUGACAGGAGCAGAAGUAGGAGCUGUCGUAAAUGUACACGAAACAGUAAAUUUCAUAACUCAGGGACAGAUAUAGAAAAGAUUAAGUCCCCAGUUUGUAUAUUUGCACUGUGAUUUUCCAUCACACUAAAAUAUGCUGAUUUCUUUACAAAAGAAUCUGAAACUUCAGUCUUUAGGGUGAUUCAUUUUGAUGUGUUAUUUUUUUGGCGUUAAAGACACGCAUAAACACAAAGACAAAUCAUAGACGCGUGUUGUUGCAGACAAAUGUUGCUCUUGCUGUAAUGUUCUGGGAAGUCAUACAGGCUUGAAUGAUAUACUAUGUAUAGAAACACCAUAAACCCACAGUUGAGAAGAGGGCAAUUGGUGUUUGAUUAAGUGUGCUGAUUUGGCAUCGGCUCCACAAACCUGUCUGGUUAAAAAGGUUUACAGAAAAAGAGGUCAGUUGCGUAAUCUGAAGAAUUGACAGCUUUAUUAAAAGCACGGGGUAAUAAGGGCAGGACUUGUCCGCACUAGAUUUACAGUUUUAAUAAGUAGCUUCCAGGCUUUGGGCACUAUUUCUGACAGAAAAAUGAAUAGCUAGUUCUUCACUAAGGACUUUUUUGUCUUCAAUAAGGUCAGCAAAUUCGGAAGCAUUAAUUUUACGUAUUAUUUCGUUUGGGGUGGCAUUUUCCCACAAAGAUUAGGCCAUGCUGUGAAACUUGCAGACUUAAAAGUUGCAUUGGUUUAUAUGCAUCAGUGGAGCGCUGAAACUAUGAAAAUGGUCUAAUUUAUUUUAAUCCAUGUACUGUGACAAUUUCAAGAAACUUUACUUUUUACUGCUGGGUGUAUGAUAUGUUACAUUUCUGCAUAUAUUCCUAAAAACACUAAACUCAUGUUUAAUGUGAUUUUAUAGUUAGGUGGGUGUCUUAUCCUUAUGUGGACCAACAUUUUCCAAAUCCAGGAAAUCUGUAAACUUGAUCAAGGUAAUGGUGUUUCUUGGUUUGGCUUCCAUUUCAUAUGUCCAAGUGCUGGAAAAAGUCUGAUUUUAAACUCCACUUUAAGCUUUUUUAAUUCAAAGGAACUAAAAGACAUGCCUAAAAGUGAUUUACAAACACGAAUAAAUAAAAUUAAAACCUUAUUCAGAAAAUAAUGUCUGCCUGAGUCACUUUAAAUAGUUUUGAAUCAGUAGAGCUUAGGAAUAGGCAAUAAGCAACAACCUGCUCACUAUCUGAGGGUACUUUCACACCUGUAGUUAGUUUGCUUUGUGCCAAUCCAGAUACAAAAAUGAUAUUUUUUACGUUUCCCUAGUGAGAUACUUUUUUGGACAUGGGAUUAUUCUUGAGUGGGCCUAAGCAAACACCAUCACAGGGCUGGUGACAGACAGACAUCUACAUAUCACUUACACAGGUGGGAUGAAAGAAACCCCUUGGUGACUUGACAAUGAAACUGAAGCAUCUGCAAAGUACUGUGGAGAGUUGGAUGGCUCACAGCAACUCUAAAGGGACAUUUCAUUUAAUUUCUUCACAAGAAUGACGCAAAACAACAAAACAGACAAGAAACCAAAAUCAAAAUUUUAUAUUUUUUCCCCUAAACUUAAGACAACCCCACUGAAAAAACACAACAGGAAAUACAAAAGCAUUUAAGUUUAAACUAAAUAUAAUAUGUUUGAGAUCAAAAAGCCCAAUUAAGGACAAGCCAAUGACCAACCAGAUGAAAAAUAACCAAUGUAACAAUAAUAAUAAUAAUAAUAAUAUUAAUGAAAAAUAAUAAUUAUAAUACCCAGAAAGCACUGCAAUCAAAGAUAUAGAAUAGCUCCCUAUGACAAGGUUGCUUCCUGCAGGUUUUGUAGACAUGUGUAUACAUUGAUUGUUUCCCCCCCAAGGCUUUAUACCCUUGAGGUCUCUCAUACUUUAUGUUUACUUCCAGUGAUUCAAGUGAAUAACUGUAUUUUGUACACAACAAGGACACAGAACCUAUCGUGAACAACAACCAGUCAUUAUCGUUUGCUUGUUGCUGAAAUUGGUUGUUUGCCUUAGAUUCGUAAAAGGAACUGAAUUUCUACCUGGAACAAGUAAAAGUCUAAUCCUGCUUCAAUUCACAGGCAUAAAAAAAUCAACUUCUGCACCCAAAAUGGUUAUUUUUGAAUGAUGACUUUGCAUAUGGUACUAAUUUUGGUAUGGUAUUUUCACAUUUAUUAACUUUUUUGGUCACUUUAUGGAAGUCAAUCACUCGACAGUGAUUUGAAGCUCCUUGGCACCAACCUACAGGUCAGGACUUGUUGAGAACAUACAAGGACUAAAUGAAAUUGUAUUCUCCUUCUUCUGCUGUAAAUCUCAAAUUUUGCUGACCUGUGAAUAGGGAGAGUCGGUGAUAUAGAGGCUGUGGUGAAGGGUGGAGCACAGAGACACACAGGACAGGCAGGAAGAGGAAAAAGACACUGGAGUCUCAAAAAACACUAGUGGAACCUAUUGCCUCUAAAAUUAUUUUAUUAAUCACUUAGCAAAUACUAGUUUUUAUCAUCUUACACUUAAGGCCUUCCUCACUCAUCAAAACCCUCAGACACAAGGAAAAAGAAAAGAUUAGAAAGAGGAGGAUUUUUAUGAUUUUUUUCUCAAGAAAUAUAAAAAGGGUAGAGUGGAUAGAAGAAAAAAAAAGAGUAUAACAUAGCCCCUGGUCUUUUAAAAGCAGGGGUAUGUCUUUAAAGAUGACAUUAACAGGUGCUUAAAUGUGAAAUAGUCUUCAAAAUCUCUGUGAAAAGUCGGACUCAGCAUUUAAUCACACAAUUUAUCAUAUCUAAUUGAUUCCCCCGCUCUUCUUCACCACUGCAGUUAUUCUUCCUUAUCAUGUCAGUCAUAAACCCGCUGCUGCAGAGAGUAAAAAUUUGAGACACUCUCAACAUGUGUAUGGCCUUUAUGAAGACAUUGUUUUUGACUUCUCAAAGCAGGGAGUCUUGUUGAGGAUCUGAACUCUGUUUGCACUCGAUAAAUUGAACUGGAAAGGAGUUUAAAGGAAGUGUCUUGUGAUAUGAUAGCCUUUAUAUCCCCUGGGAAAUCGAACCAGCCUGGUGUAUCAGCCAUUGUGAGAGCGGCGUGCCUUAGUCCGUUACAAAUGCGGCAAAACUGAGCCUUUACUCCGAAUGAGCUCUUUUUUAAUGUGCCUCCAGUAGAGCCAGAUAUAUAAACACAAAAAACCUUGAAUCAUGUGUGCAAAAAAUGCGUGAUGCAUUAUGUAUGAUGCUUGUUUUCUGAACCAUUUUGUUCCAAGGAUUAAGGCACACUUCAAAAACACCUUUUUUUUUUUUGCCCCGUUUCUGUUGUUCGACCAACAGAAAUGAACUCCACUGCCCUUGUAUAAACAAUCCAGUCAGAGCGAGGUUGGGAAUCAGUCACAGCCAAAACACAGAACAUUUUAUCAUUUCUGCUUUUACCGGACAUGUACUGAGAGAGGCUGAUUUAUACGAGAGAGGAUGGUUUAUUGUGGCUGCUUGCUUCAGAUCUGCUCAGCUGUAAUUCUCUUAUAGCAGCAUAGGAAGACGGUGAUUAAUCAUGUGAUGUUAUCAGCCACUCCCUAAUGAAAACAAGCUACAUCUUCUCUUGAUCAUUUCCCUCAUUUCAGCCUACCUUCAUCCCACCCCCUUAGCAUUGAUAUUUUUUUCCGUCAAAUGUAGCCAUAAAAUAAAGCCCCUUCUGAAUCAGCAAUUUUCCCUCAUAAAUAUCAGCGAUCAAUGACCAUCAGAGCUGCAGGGCUGCUGUGGUUUGACAUGAACACCAUCACAGAGAAAUAUUCACACCUACCAACUGAUGACGAGUGUAAACCUGAAACAGACAACACAGCUGGAGUUUCAUCUUAGAACCGUUUACUACAAAUUUCUGGAUCACAAUGAUGUUCAUUUAUGUUCCUUUUGUCUCCAUUGUUUCCUGCACAACAUCCAUUUAGGUGUUUUCUAUUUUUGACCUAACUCUCUACAAAUAACCGAUUAGAAACUUAAUGGAUUUGUUUCAGGAAACAGAUUGAGUUGCAGGAAAAGAGCUUGGCCUCCUUCCAGUUAUUUGUAUUUAUUUGUUUAUUUUUUUUGUCUUUCAUUUGUCCGUAAACACCACUUAUUGGUUUCUGGCACAAAUUUGACAUAAUGCAUCUUAUUGUAAUGCAGUGUAUUCCAGUAUUGCAGAUUACAGUCAGCAUAGAUUGUUUUUGAUCAUUGAAUACUGUAAUUAAAUCACAAUUUACUGAGGACAUUAAGACGUUCUGGAGAUUUCUUCAAUGCAAAUUCUUAUCUCAUAUGUCAUAAUGGAUGCUAUAUGUCAGCUUGACCAGUGAUAUAAAAAUUAGAUGUCAUUUUUUACUCAUGUGAAAAUGAGUACAAAGCGAAUACCACAAGUGAUCCUGAUGCAAAAGAUUUUAAUGUUGGUUAAAUUAUCUUCUGUUGGAAUGAAGGUUGUGUUUCCAGUCUUUGGUUGUCACAGUGUAAUUUUAUAAAUGUCUUUGUUUCUCACUAAUGAAACAAUAUUACACAAGAGAGUGAUAUGUUAUAGCUGUUAUAUGGCCAUGAACACAAGAUGGCUAAGAGAAGGGGGUAUGGGAGAUCACAGCUCUUCAAGUAGGUAGUAGUUAAAACUAGUAAUAAUGAACAGUUGAAAUGAGUUAGUCGUUUUCAUGUUUCAUACUGCAGACCAGCGCUUUAAUGCAUUUCUUGUAUUACCUAAAUCUGACUUUUAAUAGUUAGAAAAUUAAUCCAAAGUGUUUAUAAGUCCAGAUGCAAUUGUUUUUAUUUAUUUAUUUAACAUGUCCUCAGUGGUCAUUUUAUUGUGAUUAUGAGGUUUUUAGCCAAAUUCCCAUUACCUGUGUCAUUUCUAAAUGCUUUUCUUCUGCAGAGAUCCAUUAGCUCAUCAGCAAUUCACGUCUGAGUCAUGGGCGGAGACAGUGCUUCUCUGCACACUCCUCUUAACGUUAGCUUGUAGCCUUAUAUUGUCGGUGCAGUAGAAGUAGCAGGUGACAUAGGAGCUAUUGGACACUACUGUCUUUAGGGACAUGAUGAAAGCUAAAAUCAUAAUUAUCUUUCUUACGAGCAUUGCAAUCAGCUAACGCUCACACUUAUUCCACGAUCAUCCUCUCUACUCCUCUGAGUCUGGCCUGCAGAGUGGGACGCCAGGGGCGGAAAUUUUGACGUAGAGAAUCCCACUGUGUCUGAACGUGCUGUUUGGAUCUGCCACAGGUUCACAGCGACAUGAAUGCAGAAAUACUCAUAAAUGCAAUUUUGCACUUAGUUGUUCCCAUGUUGUGUCCUCUAGCAUCAGAAAAAUGCCCCACGAACAUGAAGACAACAAGAAAAACAUGACUUUCAUUGGAGUGGGUCUUUAAAUACAUGACGCUGAAAAGACCAAUCUAACAUGUCAGUAAUCAACAUUGAAAUUGGCACAUUGAGGCUGACAGCCCUUUAUUUGAGCAUUUAUGGGCAUACAUUUAUGGUAUAUAUAGAGACUCAACUGUUGAAGCAGUCACUCAAAACUUUGUGUGACAGGUAGCAAGGAUACAGUAUUUUUCCAAUCAAUCUAACUUCAGACAACAUCUGUUCUAUUCAUCUCACCUCUUCUAUAAACUGCUACUCAUUACAUUGGUAUUAAUAUUUGAUACUAUUCUACAAAUCCUGAGGCACACUGUUGCUAUGGCUGAUGAAUAUUCAGGGGCUAAUUACAUAUGAUUGUGAAGACUCUUCAUUACUCGGCGUGGCCAAAGUUCAGUACAGCGGUGCAAUAGCAAGGGAGAGGCAGAGAUGAGAAAUGACUUGAUGAAGAAUCGAAUGAAGGUCCUCUGUCACUUUGUAUUUGACCCUGGCCGCCUGCUUUUGCAAGUAUUAAUUUUAGUCCAGUACUUGUAAUAACUCUUGAUUAAAAUUCACCUAAUCCUGCCCUGUUUCCAAUUAUAUGAGUGUGUGUGCAUGCACACGUGUGUGCCAGUUCAAGUCACAUCUUCUUAGCAUUUUAAUAAUAACUUAUUAAAUCCCACUGGUUUAUUGAUGGUGAAUGUUUAUGGUUUCAGUUUAAGAAACUGUGCCUUAUAUAUCUAUCUGUAUCUCUGAUCAGAUAUCAGCAAACUCUACUUACCCACAGCUGUAAAUUAGCUAAGAGACUACCCCACUAUAGCCUGUAGUUUCUUUAGUAAAUAUAAAAUACACAUACUAAUUUAUCCACUACUGUGAACAUUUUGAGGCAUUUUGGAAAUGACACUGACAUUUCACAGUUUUUGAAAAGAUAAUACCGCUGAAAUAUUUUCAUGGCCAUGUUUUCUCCACAAAUCAAAUCACUUUUAAGCUUGAAACAACUCAAAGUCUGAGGCUGUGCUGAAAAAACAACAGUCUGAAGCAAUCUUAUUUUAGUAAUGUAAUAAGUGUUUGAUUGCAAACAUAUUUCAGUAUAUGUUAUGAAAUGGGAUUGACAUAAACGUUACCAAAGGCAUGUUAAAGCUGAGAAAAUGAGCUAUUAACAGUCUGUAAUAGUUUUGGAUUACUGCUUCUGAUGCUUGUCUUGCUUUCUGUUUCUUUUAAAAGAACAAUUAUUCAGGUACCUGCAAUGUGUGAAUGGAAUAUAUAUAUAUGAUUUCUCUGUCCUAUCCUGACUCAUUAAAACUGGACAAAGAAGUCAGGAUAAUAGAGGGCAAAAUGAAGUUAUGUAUAAAAAUAGUACAUUAAUUUUAUCCACAGACAUUUUCAGUCCUUACUCAUUUGAAAGUCGGGUCACAUACCAUAUAGAAUGGUAAAUUUCACACACUAUCUACUCUUGAAUCUAAAGGGCAUUCACAAUAUGAGAUCAGAACAUGAUAAGUCUCAUGCUGUCCAAUAAUACUAUCCGACUGAGGAAGCUAUACGCUUUUCCCGCCCUAACAUGCGUUCGGUUUAUCCUUACAGCCUAUACCCAUGUAUCUCUGGUGCACACACAUGAUCCCAAGUAUUAGAUCAUCAAAAAUAUAUAAUCAGUAUGUUGGGUGGUGGGUCUGAGCAUCCCACUACAUGAGCAUCACUAGCAGGUUUUAUCCCAGUUAGACUUCAGUGCUGCACUCUCAGCUUUUUUUGUUCAGGAUGUCCCUCAGAUUUGCAUCACCUCCCCUUUAUUUAUUUCCAUGACAGCAGCUGUUACUCUGAGCAGCACAGCCCAGUGGACCCAUCUUUUUUGUUGUAAAAUAUGACUGUAAAGAAUAAGACAGUACUUUUACCAACCCACAGGCUGAGACCCCCAUCACUCUGUCAUUACUCCUGUGUUGUCCAGGAUUAAUCAAUGAUAAACUACCAUCAAAAUCAUUUUAGUGCAGCUUCUCACUUGAAUAGAGAACUAACUGCUGUGCACAGCUGUUUCUGUGUGACACAUGACUUUGAGAUGGAAACAUUUAAGGGUCACUGCCACCAUCACAGCAAAAAGCAAGACGGAUUAUAAGAGGGUUUUUCCGCUUGUUUCGGUGUUCAUUAAUAUGUGGGCUCAUAAACAUAUUGCUGAACAAUCAGGAUGUUCACUCUAGCGUCUAAACUUGCAGUGCACCAGCGCUGUAGUGAUGUGUAAAUUUUAUAAGAGGACAGUGAGAUUCAUUAUAACAGGGCUUGUGAUGCAAACAUAAAUGUAAACAUGAAUAAGACAAAAAAGUUUAUCAGUCGCCUAAAAUAUAUGAACCUGUAGCUGUCUUUCAUUUAUUUGUGUCUAUUGAGGUGCGUUGUACACAAGGCAGGAUUUUGUAUAUUUUGGCAGGAGUAAUUCCACUCUAUAAUCUUGAGGUUACGGGAUAAAGUUCAUCAUAACAACAUUUAUUUUUCUUUAAUUCACAGCUCUCUGAUUAUCAUAAAUGUUUAUGUGUGGUAUUUAAGUUACCACUUUUUACUCCCUUGUCUUCCUGUCAUUUUAAGAGGAAUGGAUUUGGAAAUGUGAGAGAAGUGACUCAGCAUUAGGAUGCCAUAGUCGUGACCCUGUUGGUGUUGAAUGGGAAAGAGGAAUAAAGAAGAAAAUGGUUGCAAGACAUACUGUUACGUUACACAACAGAUUUAAGGAUAAACAUCAACAUAGACACCAAACCAUUGUUCACUCUAACUAGUCUUAAAUACUUUCAUAUCUCUUGUCAAUACAGCAGUCAACCUUCUCGUAUUAUGGGGUGAUCACACCAAGCGCGAGUCAAAUCAUCUACUCGCUUAAUUUGAGCGAAUCUAGAUAUUUACUCGCUUCAUUCGUGCGUCAACUGUAAUUUCAACAGUAAUCCCUGCCAAUUCAACAAGUGGGAUCAAGUUAUAGACAAAGGUCUUUUACAGUUUACCAGGUAAUCCGACCUCCUCACUCGCCUCCCUCCAGGUGAGCUCCUUUUUAUUCUGAUUUCAGUAAUUUAAAGAAAAGGUAUCAUAUAAUUCGGUGCACCCACACACCAACAUGAUCAGUUUGUCCUCCAUUUUAGAUACCAGUGAACAACCAUCCAUUUUCAUACGUCACCCGGCAACCUUCGUGCUGAUUGGUCAUUGCGACUCUAAUAUCAGCUCAAGUUGAGACAUUUGCAGCUCCCGCCCGACUUGCGUCAUUCGUGCUGCCAGAGGAGUUCGAGCGUCUAAUCGCGUCUUUGCAUUGACUUAACAUGUAAUUCAGUCGUGCAAAUGAGUUUCAGGCACUUGGUGCGUGGAGACAGUUAGAGGAUCAAGUGGUAAAUGGACAAAGCUUAAAUGCACCUUUCUAAUCUUGUGACCACUCACAGUGCUCUCAUACACGCCACAUUUACACACUGAUAGCAGAGGUGUCGAUGUCAAAUGCUCAUUGGUGCUAACACAGUUGAUUCACAUGCAUUCAUUCACUGCUGUGUAAGCUGUCACAGCCACCUUUAAAUUAAAGCCUAUCCCAGAGUACAACUAAGCCACAGCUGCUCCUACUGGAGCGCUGAUUUAAAAUUUUGAAUCUUGAUUAAUACUUCAAAAAAAAAAUAAAUAAAUAAAACAUUGAAUCUAAGCAAAUUAAGGCCAAAAUAACUAAUUAUGUUGAAACAUUUGUCCAGUCAGCACCAUGCUGCCAUCGCUGUUCAGUGCAGCAGUAACUGUAAAUUUAAUUCCCAGACAAAUAUGCAGUCAAUACUAAUCUUUCAAGGACAAAUUGCCCUUCGUGUUGUUUCACAAGCCUGUAAUAAAAUGGCAUAAGUUAUGGAUUUUGCUCUAAGAAUCAGUGAGCGACAAUGUUUCAUUGAAAUUGAGAUGGGACGUUUUUUUGCAAAAUCAAUUUGGGCUGUGUCUGCAUCCAUUACUUUUUGUAGCGUCACUCUUCCAGGGCCACCUUCUCGCUUUGAUGAAUUACUCUGUAAGGUUUAAGAAAGUGCUCGGCGAGCUCACAUUCGUGCUUGUGCCCUGAAUUAGUCUGACAUUUCAUGCUCGAAUGCCUUCAUGACAUUUAGUUAAAGGAAAUAUCAUGGUCUGCUGAACUGUCCAGGACCACAAACACAGAUGAAUAUGAAACAAGGUUUGCUGCCAGGACACUUUGUUUUUAAACUACUGCUCUUACUGAAGAAUACUGAUGUUUAUACUUCAAAAAGUUGUUUUAGGUUUCAUUUGAUUUGUCUUACAUUCAGAAAGUGUGAAAAUCAUUUUGAUUCCCCUCAGUGGUAAACAUGACAGGCUCAUCACUGAUAUAUAUCCUUGCAUUAUUUCUAUAUGAUUGCUCCGUCUGCUGUAUUUAUUUUCUUGUCAUAAAGAAUAAUUGAAUAUGCUGAAAUGAUGAACAGGUCUCUUGAUUGCUUUCAGAAUGGAGAGGUAAUUGUCCUUUUUCAUAUUUGAUUGUAUUGAUUUAGUUUGCACAACUGAACUGAUGACAAAUAGAGCAAAAUACGAAAUUCCUACGACAGCCCGGCCUGCAGAGGAGCCACUGUGGAAAGAUAAAUUGAAUUAGUUGUUCAUUCAUCGAGUCACAAAUUAAACCAUAACCUCAAUCACCUGGCUGAGUAUUCACACUGAUAAUGUCAUUGUGACAAGUCAUAAUUAACAUGGGAUUUAUUGUACUUAAUGAUUUUUGCUAUCAGACUUUGAUUUCAUUAAAGUGACCUUGAGCAGUGGAAAAAAAGUUCAAGUUGAACUCUUAUGUUGAUGUUUCGUGCUGUAACAGGCCUGUGGUUGUUGUCGAGGUCAUACACUGAACAAGUACAUUUGUGUAGCAUGUGUGUAUUACGGGUAAUCUUGUUUUCCAUGUACUAUUAUGUGCAGUAUCCCUCCUUCUAAAUAUACCACUCACGAUAAUAGAGUAAAAUGGAGAGAAUCUUUCAUCUUUAGCUCCCGCACCAUGUUUAUGUCGUACCUCUUAUCUACUGAGCAAAGAGUUUUGAAUUGUGCAUUAUGAAAGAGUUGGUCAUGAAACAUGCUUUUAGUAGCUUCAGAGGCUUGAGGAUGCAGGUCUACAGUUCAUCUGGAUGACAGAAGAUGGCAAUUAAGAGCCGCAGCUACCAGCAGCGAGCGAGCGAGCGAGCAGGGUCAUAUUGGCAGCGUGGGCUUGUCAUGUGUACCAGAGCCUUGGGGGGGAGUCUUAGUGGUUUAUUGGCAAAGUGGUGUAAGAGAACAUGGUGUCAGAGGCUAAGGAGGAUAAGUGGGGUUGAUGCAGUGAACAGCUCAGGUUUUUUUUUUCUUUUUUUUUUUUUUUUACCCUGUCCUCAGCCCUCCCUCUUUUUCGUGCAACAACUUUGUCUUGACUAAAUGGCUGCGACACCAGAGGUUAAGGUGGCAAUUAAAAAAUGUAAAGGAAGUUCCUUGUGUGUUAAUACGUGCCUCUCCCUCACCUCUCUCUGUCACUUGAUAUUGAGUGUCUUUUGAGACUUGGCCCCUUUGUCACCAUACACAGCCAUAGAACUCACUUCAUUAAUGCUAAUUUGGAUGUAUGGUCUCACUCGCUCUCUCCGCAUGUUGCUCUCGCUUAAAAAACAACAAAUCUGUUUAGUGGCUGACCUUAUAGAGUAAUUAUGCUUGUUUCAAGUGAUUAUAGAUAAACUUGACUAAUCUACUAACUGGGAUAAUGAAGUUGAGGGGAGACUUGUUAAAAACAUCCGAAGUACUUGCUUUGAUUUGAAGCAGAAAAUGGGUGGAAGCAGGUAUGCCAACUGCACACACCUUUUUUAGAAUACUUACGGUAAAAUCUUGUUUUUUCAAUAUGGUAUCUUUUUUAAGUGAAAAAUGAUGUCUUCAAGCAAUUUUGGCUUAUUUUAAGCACAACAUGAGUGGAAAAAAGCUGGAGGGCUGGUCUUUAGCAUUCCCAAAGCAGCCCCACCGUAUGCAUUAUUCAUGAGAGAGUGUGUCGUUGUUUAUAAGAGUGUGUCCCACUGGGUGAACACAUCCCUUUGAAUGCAAAUUUCCUGAGCGCCUGGGACAAUAGAAAGUUUUACCCUGUUUGGAAAAUAGUUAAAACGAUGGUUUAAUCAAGGCAGAAAGCUCUGCAGUUGUCACAAUCAAAAACUCUUGUUUGCUCGUGAACUUGUUUAUCAAACGAACAAGCGGUGGAACGCUCAACAACUCCUAUGAUGAAUCCAAAUACUUGUUUUCCUCUUCAGUGUUUGGUGCUGUGGACACACUGUAUGUGACUGGCAUUAUGUGUUUGCCCCCCGGCUGGUAUUUGUUUUACUCAUUUUGCUGUUUGAUUUGUGUAUAGCUUACUAAAACAGCGCAAACCUGAUGACCUCUGAUACAGCAGAGGCGAAAUGAGAAUAUUGCAUUGAUAAAGGGAUAGGGACGAUUGAAUUAGGUAUCUACAAAAGGGGGUAUUUUCCUUUGAAAACUAUACUCACAAACACACACAAAAAUGCAAGUUCCCAUUUGAAUUAGAUGAAAUAAUCAAUAUUGGACUUGUUUUUAAAAAAUAUAUAACUUUUGCUUCUAAUACCUGAUCCUUGCAGCAGCACUGUUAAGAAAUAAAUACACUCAGAGGACUGAGAGUCAGUCUUUUUAUGGAAACAUUUAUGCUUCUGCUGGUAUGCAGUAUUGAAGAUAAAAUGUAUAGUAAGUGUGGUUAUUUGCAUGGUGGUCGUAUCAACCUUAAAGGGGAUCUAUUCCACUUGAUUUAUGGCAUAAUAAACAUAAUCCCUCUAAAAAUCCUGACACUAAAUUUUGAUUUGAAGGUGACUUUAUUCAUAUAAAGAUUAUUUGUUGCUACAGCUUUAAAAAAGUAGUCCUUCUAUUUUCAUGGCCGGUGAAGAUCCCAUAGAAAAGAUCUUUUCAGCUUACUUACAGGUUGUUUGAACAUCAAAGAGAACAUCUUCACCCACAGUCAAGUCGACACAGUAUCCUGCUUUACUCUUAUAAAUCACAUCACAGUAAAGUCUAAUCCUUUUUCUGCUUCAUUCUGAUUAAAAACAUUAAAUUGAACAUUUCUGUCCACAGUAAAAUUACAACAUCAGUGUUUUUCCUUCUUCUACAGUUUUAACAGAUGCCUAAAAUCAUAGCAGCACCUGUAUGAGGUUCUCACUCCACAUGUCCUGCGAUACCGGUGGUUGUUUCAUGUCAGCUGUUUUUAGUUGGCGUCAUUAUGACCCAGCUUCCUGUGUGUAUUUUUACACCUUGUCCUCUUUUCUCUACUAUUAGCUGUAAAUCCAAAUGAUUUCAAUGCUUUUCAGAAAAUUGGGAGUAAUACUGAAAAUUGCCUGUGCCGUCAGAGAAUAACAUCUCCGUCAGAUCCUCAACAGGAAAUGGUAAAACCAAAAACAUACUGUUGUCUCCAAGGUGGUUUGAUGUGUGAUCUAGUCUUCUCCCAUGUCACCUAUCUUAUCCAAAAUUGAUCACAAUUGCCAAGAGGUAUUGACCAAUCAGAAUCAAGUAUUCAACACAGCUGGGUAAUAAAUUAAAAAGCUGGUUCAUAGGCAACUACUGUGUGUAUGUGUGUGUUUGUAUAAUAGUCACUGCUUUUUUGGAGAACAGAAGCAACGCACAGAAAAGGUUUUUCAGUGUGUUAACGGUGUCGGCUUUGUAGGUGUUAUAUUACACAAGAUGAACUGCUCUUUCACACUGUUUAGAUUGAAAAAUACAAGAGAAAGUUUGAAAAUUGUUAACCUGCAUGUAGAAAUUUCAAACCCUCUGCACUGUAAAACUGAAGCCUUCUCUUUGUUUGAAGAACAAAGUGGAGGUCCCAGGGUAAAAACAUAAUAGUUGCACUUUUGAAAGAAUGUAUUUAUUGGGUCACGUCUUUUGAUAGCAGCUAUGAGAAAAUUUCAAAAAGAGAACUCUCUAUGUGGAGUUUUUUUUUUUUUUUAACCAGUUGAACAUCUUUGGUAAAAAUGUUUCCUUUCAAUAAUCCUGCAUCAUUUGUUUGGCAAAUGAACUGAGAUGCACGUGGACAUUUUGUGAUGGUAGAACAUGUUGGGUUAUUUAUUUAUUUUAUUCCAGUUUAUUCGAGUUAUUGUUGUCUUGGCAUAGAAAUGUCUUCAACAGGAUUAGAGAUGAUAAAAUGCAUGUACACUUCUACACAGGUAACAGAAAACAAGCAUUAAACAUUGGAGUAUAAAUUUCAUACUUCCUAGAUAAUGAUACCGGUGUUACCAACCUUCAAAAAGUACCUGUGAGAUCGUUUUCAAUCAAACUCUGAUUCAAAGUAAACAUUGCUUGCCGAUACUGUUUUCGUCUCUAUCAGCGUAUGCAGUCAAAUCAAGUCUGAUUGCUGGAUAAACAUGCACUCAUCUUUUAAAUAGCUUUUUGUUUUUUGUUAGAUUUUGUAUCAGAGAAAUUUUUCAAUAUUGAUUUUAACAAAUUUUAAAUACAUAAUUAAAAUCAAAGAAUAAUAACAUGUAGUAAGUAAGAAACACUGAUAAGGUGGAAAAAGUGGGUAAAGACUGUUCCACUGCAGUUCAUGGAGGUCUUCUCUUAGAUAAGUGGACACAGCUCAAGUCUACUCAAGUCUCCCUCUUGGUAACUUGGUAACCGAUUUCUGUCUAAAGGAGGACAAAACGAUUUCUAUCCUUUACAUCACUCUGCUUGGUUUACCACUACAUAUUAUAAAACAGCCACCUCUUAUGUGUUAAAUCCCUGAUAUUUAUCAGAUGCAGCAUUUUAGUUAGAUGCUGCAUAUUCCCACAGCUGACUCCUGUUCCAUCUCAACUAACCUAUCACGGUUUAAUUAGACUUCCUUCAAAUAUCCUCAUUCAACAUGUACUCUAUAAGGGUUUAAUACCCAGCUGAUCAGCAAAGUUAGGUAAAACAUGAAUAAAAGUUUACAAUUUCAGACAGGAUGAAAACCCAUUAUUCAUUAUGCUCAAACUUUAACGCUCUUAACGCUCUGAUUAAAAACCUUGAGAAACCAUCUGAAUCUGACUGUCAGUUGUGAGAUCACCAUUAUAAAAGCAAACUGCUGUGAAACAUUCACAUUUUCUGUUAUGAUGAAUUCAAUUUUAGGUAUUAAAAAACGUAACAAUUUAAAUGUCUUCUGGCAGCAGAGAAGUUUAUUAAUUAUCUCCCUCACAGUCUUGUAGUAUAAAUUGUAUUUGCUCAAAUUGUUUCGGAUUCAUUUUAAAAGGCUGUCUUCCUUGUUAUUAAUUUCCUUUUUUUUCAUCACUUUUGCUGCUUUGAACAGGUAUCUUUCACAGAGUUGUGGCACAGCAAUAUUGAAAUGUCCCGGGGCCUUGUUUAAUUGGAAUUCACCCAGUUUUUAUAGUGUUGGGAUAAAUAUGCUGUGAGUUUUUAAUUUUUUUUCAAAGCACAUUUAUUCAAAGGAGACUUGUUUCUCGGUCACCUGAAAAGGUUCUGUUUUACCUUUUUUCCUCUCCUUGUUCAGUGGUGUAAAACUGCCUCACAAUUCCAACAGUUUAUAACACCUUCUCUUCAUACAAUAUGUUUUCCACCUCUUCAAACCACCAUUGAGUAAGGUAUUUUUCUUAUAGUCACAGCUGUCUGUAAAGCUCAGAUUUAAUUGGCUGAGAAGAUACUGUCUGCCCUAUAGAAGACAAAGGUGAAGAUCAAACAGACUGUAGGAUAAUAUGGUUGGAAAUGAUGUCAGUCAUUCUCUUAAAUGUAUAUUUAAGAGACACUGUUCAAUGGACUGAAAAUAAACCCACUUCAAAAUGUCACAAGUGUCCUCAGAGCGUUUUCUGCUACAUCACUACAAUUAAUUACCUUGAAAACUGACGUGAUGUUCCACAAAAACAGCUGUCGCAGAUUGACCUUUGCUUGCUGGUGAUGCAACAUGGUCAUAAAAAGGAAGCUAUCUCUUGUUUAAGUGCAGCUUUAUCACCAAGGUAGUGAUUCAGCUGCAAAUAUGGACAUCUUUUUAUGACAGCUAUCUAAAAAGCCAGUUGGGCUCAUAAGCCCCUUUAUAGUGUAGAUGUCGCUCUUGGUUAAGAAUCUCGAUCUAUUCUGCCUGCACACAUGCUUUCUAAAGUGUUUCCUAUUUAACAUGUUUGCCGACUCAUGUUGCCAUACUGUUAUCCCUCUUCCUCGACUCUUUGCAGAUUUUGUUUGUGGAGAACGAGAAAUGUCACCGCUAAUUAAUUAUGUCCUCCCUUCCAGCAAAUACCAAAGGCGGGAUUUCUCAUAAUUGCUUCUCAGUAGUUAGUAUUUUUGUUCCCUUGAAUGAGCAGUCGCUUAAUUUGUUUCCUUUAUUUGAUAAUUAGUUGUCUUGAAUCAUCACUGUUAAUCGCACCCUCAAGUUCCUGUGUCCAGUUAUUAAAAUCAGGCUAAUGACUUUAAGUUACAGCUUUGUAAAAAAGAGGAGUCAUAUGUUCUUGGCAAGUUAGCUGUUGUUUGGGGUUUUGCGUCCUGUUUUUUUAAUGAAUAGACUUCUUCAGAUUCCAUUAUUAAUUACUUCAAGGUGAAAUCAAUCCGCAGUUUCAUUCAUUUUAUUUCUUUAUGAUGAUUUGUCGCCAAACAGAUGCUUCUUUGCAGUCUGUCAUUGGACACAUUCCAGGCGAAAGUAGCUUGAGAUGAGCAGUCGGAGGGUUGGCGGUUCAAUUCUGCCCUAUCCCUAGUCUAUCUGUUGUGUCCUUGAGCAAGACACUUAACCCACCUUGUUUCCACUGCGUGUUCUCGGCUGGUGUGUGAUUGUACGUAAUGUUUGGUGUUAGUUGAAGAGAGGCCGUUGGUGCGGAUCAGCAGCCAUGUUUCUGUGACUAUCAAGGUGUGACUGUGUGAGCAAAUGAAUAUCUAUCCAAUGUAAAGCACUUUGAAGGUUACUAAGAAAGCGUCAUAUAAAAUCUCAAGCAUUAUUAUUUUUAUUACUACACGAUACAUGUGUCAUUUUUGGCCCUGAUUCCUCCUUCCAGAUUAUCUGAUAAUUCUGGGGAUUAUUUUGAGAGUAUCCUGUGGUAUGAGCUGUGUUAAGAGUGAUUCGAAUCCCUUAUGAUCUGCGCCAAAGACAAUAGGGGUGUCCUUGCACUCAGCUGCAACGUCUUUUUCGGACUUCAAGAAAAAAAUACUGCCACACAGCCGACAUCACUCCUACUCCCUGCUACUUUGUAAAUACCUUAGUUCACACUGUUGUUGUAAUGACGUGGGCUCUGCAUGCUAGAUCCAGAUCCUAGCUAGACGUGCUGGAGCGGAGUCUGGAAUGGACUGCCUGUAUCAAAGUGCUGAUAUUUUAGAAGCAUGGGACCGAUAUCAAUAUCCGAUUGGGACAUCCCUUGAAAACAACCAGAUUCUGCCUGAUUUGCAAUUAAAGAUAUUAAACAAGUUGAACAUGCACUUACAGAAAUCCUUAUUUUGGCAGGAUCCUCGAGGACAGUUGAUCAUGCACGCGGUCCUUCGUCCCAUGGAACAACUCAAGCCAACCGGGGAGCAAGCAGACUAAAGAAGGAGGUACAACAAACGCAGCCAUGGCAACAAUAGUAAAAACAAAGCAUAAACUGAGUCGGACGUCCAAAAUAUAGACUCCACAAAAGGUUUGUCAAACACACCGCAACCAAAACGACAAGGGGAGGAAUUAUUGCUGUAGCGAAACUAACAGGUAGCGAAGCAGUUAGCAACGGUUAAUGAGAUGUUAUGAGAUUCCUCGUUAUAAGAAUCAAGACUCUGUCUGUUGUUGAAGAUAACUUGUCAGUGUGGUAUAAACAGAUUCUCUUCAGCAUCUCAUAGCUUGAAAAAAAUGGAUCAUCAAUGUGUUCAGUGUUUGAUGUUUCUUAUUUCAAUCCACUUCAGUGAAUCUGUUCACAUAACUUACUUAACGGUGACUGACUCUAUAAUUUAAGCCAUUUAUCAUUUUAGAUGCAUGCUUCAAUAACUGAACAAACUAUACAUAUUAGCUUAUUUUAGUCCUAUUUCCCAUGUCUUCCAGGUUCUGUAGUUUUAUUUCAGACGCACAUUUAUUUGUUUAGAUAAUGCUGCUACUGGUUUCAGGAAGUUUUACGUAAUUCAGAAUGAAAGAACAAGUCAGUCUCUAAACCAGGAGGUCAGCAGAUAUGUUCACGUUAAUUUCCAGGAUAAUAAUAAUUCUACAGUAUGUAAACUCUCUGAACCCCUCCCACCCGCCGCCGCCCCCUUCCUGAGAGGCAUUACAGCAUAGGUUCCCUGUUUCUCUCCACUGCAGUAAUGUAGUGCUUUGAAUGUAAUGAACAGAUGUUCAUGCAGUGCUCUGAUAUUUACCAUUCUGCUGCAGCUUCUAUCAGCCGUCGGGCUCUGGGAUGCAAGGAUGUGCUCAAGCACAGCAUGAAUAUGUUGAUAUUUGUAAUAUCUCAUCACUUCUCCCCAAACAUAAAUGUGCAGCUAAAUCUCUCCUUCCUGUGAUGACUUCUAUCUGUUGCUGACAUAAGCUGCUUCAUCCGGCCCAAUCUCCGAAACAACAUCGAGACGCAAUGUGCAGCAGAUCAAUGAGCUUUGCUAGAAGCUAUUCACAGAACAGGACAAGCAAAAUAAAAGAUAUAAACUCUGCAUAAAUGAGAAGAAAAAAACAUGUCUACAGAGAACUAAUAUGCACUCCAGCAAGAUUAUAUACUAAAAUACCUGUGGAUAGACACUUUUAUUUUGAAAUUGUUGUUCAAGGACAAGCCUGAGGAGAUAUUCUCCAACUGUGCUCGCACACAUUGUAUUUGUCUUUUGCUGAUUGUGUGUGUGAUUCCAGGGAUGCUUCUGUUCUAUUUUCUCUGUGUUUGGCAUUGUAUUGUCGAACUGGCUGCAGGACCAUGAGUCACUGAUAUCACCAGAUUGUAAAUUGAUUAUUAACACUGGAAAGCACAUUGGAAUCUGGCAGUUUAUCUGGGCUUUUUGUUGUAUUUGUUUGUGUGUGGCUGUAGCCAGUUAUCAGUAGAUCAGAGUAUUUCUCUUUGGGUUAUACAUGUUAUUAGAUAAGGAGCUUAAAACUGCCAAAUUAUAAACUGUGGGGUGGAGAAGGAGGAAUGAACUGAAUUUGGUUUAAUUGAUUGUGUCCGUACAUGAGCAAAAACACUGUUUUCACAAUAGAAAUGAAUUGAAUUCUCCAAUGAUUUUUGAAACAAUCCAUUCGUGUAUCAUCUCAAAUUUCUGGCAUGCAUUUUGAUUAAAUGUUUAUAAAACUGAGGCAUAUUUAUCUUGCAAAAAACAGCAAACACUCCCCAGUUGAAGCUUUCACAUCCUGUUGGAUUUACUACUUUCUAGGUCUAAUGCCAUGAUAAACUGAACACUUUCUCUGGUCUGCUGUUUGGCUUAUGAAAACUGUAAUAGGCUAUUCUUUGUUUUCAGACAUAUCCAUUAAACCUUUUAUCAGUUAAUUAAAAAAAAUAACAGACAUGGACUAAUCAGAUUGAAAAAGAUUAGCUGAAGCCCAAUAAAAAAACAGCAUUUGAUUAUCUUUAUUGGUUAAUGUGCUUCUUAUUAUUCAGUGUUUUCUCUCAAGAUGCAGUUUAAACAGUAUAUUUAAUUUACUGAAAACACACAUGUACACAAGUACGGCGAAAUAUCCGUGCUCACCAUCAGUUUAUGGCUGAGUGAGUGGAUUUGGGUGACUAUUUAACCUUUGGUCAGCCAAAGCUAGGGUGGAUCCCCAUCAAUAUUUCAUGUUUUCUGCAUCGGUUGACCUCUUGGUGUUGCUGUGCACAUCUCCAGUGGGAAAGAGAUCCACCUUUUGACCUCAGUGUGCUUCCCUCAGGUCAUCUUAUUAUGUAGUCAUCUGCCCCGCUGUUUGAUGGGCAGUUACCUUGCGGACUCUAAGCCCUUAAAGGAUGCUAAUUAACUGGAAUGACAAGAUAAUUAUGUGCUGCUGAAUGGACCCGUAUCACGUUUUUAAUUGAUUUAGCAAAGCAAAAAAAAAAUAAGCCACAACAUUCAAUCAAUCAAGCAUCAUCAGUCUGCUGAAUCUGCUCACCACAAGCAAUCCCCCUGAAAACUGAACUGAAAAUUUGUGCUCUACUUUGAUUUUUAUUGCUAAAUUCAUAAACACAGGGGUUGUAUGACAGUUAUGGCAGGUCCCCUGUUAGGUGACUCACACCUUGUAUGUGCCCCGUGUCAUUUCAGAUUAAGGAUUAACUAAUGACAGAGUAAAACAGGGACAUAGCAGGAGAAAAAGUGCAGAAAUGACUCAGUAAUUAAAUCCAAUACUUUUAGCUUGAUAGUUUGUGGCAGCCGUAGAAAGAGGCAGCAUUGGCAAGCACGUCACGCUGAUCGUAUAAAUAACACUUCACAUAAAAACUGACCCCACCAGCAGGAAAGGACUAUGUAGUCAAUUUCAAAGGUUUUGAGUUGAAAUAAAUUCUAUAUUGUAAGACGCUAGACUUUUUCUUUUCUGGAUUAAAAAAAAGCAAAUAAUCUGAUGACUGUGGAAGGCAUUUUUCACUUGACUCCUUUGUCACACAAACUGAAUAAUACAGUAAUUUAAACAAUUAAUCCUUAUUCAUUGUUGGAAAUAAAAUUAGUUAAAGUUUCAGUUAAAAGAUGCAGUUUUGGUCCUUGGAGCUUCAUACCCAAAUGAUGUAUUUUUUGGUCCUUUUCAGCUGUAACUAAGACUUACUUUGUGACUUAUUCAACAGUCAACAAAACACUGUCUUACAUUAGGUCUUCUCCUCGGUUGCGGUCUCUAUGUUAAGCAGGCAGUGCAGCAUGAAAUGUAAGGGGCAUUUCCAUCUCACACCUCUUCAUCCCACAUCAAGGAUAAUAGCCUCUGUCAGCCUGUUAAAGGUUGAUCCAGCAGCCCCUGUGUCAUAUCCUGCAUCAGCCUUUAUUUCCAUAACCCUGUCACUUUUAUUGCUGCAUAAAUCGCUGUAAGGUCAGCUGGGCUCAGGCAGUGCAGAUAGUAGCAGGGCAUGAGGUUAAUUAAAAGACUGUGCAGAUGAACCUCUUGCAACACCCACCAAAAACACACCACUAUCACCACACACACACAAUGUGCCAGCUGAAGAAUAAAUUGCAUUUGAAAGACAUGACAUACACCAACGCCCAGUAUCGAACACUUAAACCUAGUGCAGCAUGGAGAAGGUCUGUGAGGACUUUACACUCCCUCUCUCAGGGCACUUUUGUCUGCCACUUCAAGUUGUGCUUACCUCCUCAUAAUGGUUCCUCCAGGCUUGAAAUUAGUACAAUUUACCCCACUCUGUGGCACGUCUUUGGUGCUGAAAAACCAACUGAUUGCACCACUCCCUACUGCUGAUAAGCCCACAUGACGGAGUAAGCCAAGGACAUCAGGGAAUAUAAAAGUUGUCAGCUUACAUGACCAAGUAGUGUUGUGUGAAAUGACUUUAGCCCGACAUUGUUAACGCUGGUCAACUGCCUCCACCAUGCUCCAUAAAGGCAAAUAAAGGCCAGAUAAAGCGCUGAUGAAAUGCAGUGUAUAGUGUGUGUGUGAGAGAGAGACUGUAAGUGUAUAAAAAGUUCGCCAUCUGAGCCUUUCUCCCAUUAUGGUCAGUGUUUAGUAACACGGACAUGCCCAGUGCCAUUCAUCACGACAGACUCACCUUCUCAGUGUGACUUUCUCUCACUUGUUCUAUCGCACUGUACGCCCCCAUUCAAAGCACACACUUAUAGUGCUGGUACAGUAUUCAUAUACACAUUUUCAACAUUGUCAACUUCAUGUGGGCCAAAUCACAAAAGUUCACAUAAUGAGGUGAAAAACAUCUAUAGGAACUUAAAAGGAAAAAUUUGUGGCUGUAAAUAGAGUGUUGGACAAAACAUAUUUUUUGUUCUGUUAGGAGUUUUUUUUUUUUUGCUUUUUUAAUAUACACUGAAAUUUCUGUUCAUGAAUUUUUAUCAUAUCCUAAAGUAAACUAGACCAUCCGUGACAAGACUAACCACUUUUAUAUCCUCGUUUUUAAAGCCUGAAACUGGUGCAAAGGGUAAGGUGUCAGCCAGGCAGCCUAGGAAACAGCCGUUUUUAUAAAUUUCCACAUCAAUUAUACACAAUAAUUGAUACAUUUGACUGUCAAAAGUCAGCAGGAUGAGAUUUUUCAUUUUUUUUUAAAUUACUGCAUAAAUUAAAUGGGACACCGCAUGAAGAAGAUGGGAUAAGCAAAGACUAGUUUAUCCAUAAGAGGUGCCAAAAUGUGCAUAAAUGCAACGUUCACCACAAGAGCUUUAGUGUAUAUCCGUCCAUUUUCUACCGGGGGCGCGGUAGUCGCAAAUGCAAGUGAAACGGUCGCACUGUUGAGCCCUGCAAUAUAUAUAUAAAGAUUAAAGCUGUAAUAAAACCUCAGAUAAAUUUAGUAUUUACAUAUAAAAAGCAAAAUAUAAAGUUAUAUAAAACUACUAUCACUACCACUACUGCAUCUUGCCAUCCUCUGUCCUUCCCCCCCUCCCAAAAGAGGUGUUGUCCAGUCUGGUGGCAUAAGGGACAAAGAAGUUUUCAGUCUGUUUGUCUUGCACUUGGGAAGGAGCUGUCUGUCACUAAACAGACUUUUCUGUUUGAUGAUGGUGUGCGGAGGUUAACUUGCCAUUGUCCAUAAUGUCCAAUCAUUUUUAUAUGAACCACAUUACCAUUUAGUGAAACAUCCUUUCAUUCAGUCCAACUGGUAGGCACAGCCACACAUCCCACCCUUCUUUGCUAAUAUUUACCAUCGCCCCGUACCAUCCAAUCAAAAAGUUACCUUGCUGUGGUCUGCUGGGAGUGGAGGGUUUAGGAGCAGAGGUUUGGGCCAAAGCCUAUCCAGUUGAAACCAAAUACAUGACAAAACCAUAAGUCUGUUUGAUUAGGACAUUCUCAUUGCUGCUGCUGGCCGUGUGCGCGCUAAUUAGCAUGAGUACAAUUCAUUACCCAAGGAGACGUGGGAUUAUGUCUCUGGAUCACUCAGCAGCAAAAAGUUUUGACACUCUCUAAUUUAACAGAUGGAGGGCUCACUUAACUUUGCCAGCUCCCUAAAGGCAAGUGGUGUUAAUAAAGGAAGGGGGGGUCAUGCAAAAGUGUGCGUGUGCGGGUGAGACUGAGGGGGGAGAUGAGAAAAAGCAGAGAGUUUAUGUUGAAGAUAUUAAUCGUGUUUGAUUAGAUCAGCAACAAACAGCUGUUUCAAAGCAGUAAGACCUUCAGCUGGUAUUCCUGCACAUCACAUCACUAACCGUUCAACAUCCACCCACAAGAACCGCGUCACAUGUAAAUGACCCGAACAACCCCGGAACCUUUUAUUCACCCAAAGCACUUUUACACACUACAUGUCACAUUCACACAGUCUCCCACAUUCAGGUGCACGUGAAAGCUUGAGUGUAGUGUAGUACAUUUCAAAUCUAAUCAGUGGGUCAGCAUGAGCUCUGUAUUUCUUGCACACUGACCCAUUGUUAAGUGAGGAAAAUAUGGUCCUUGCGUGGUAAGAAAAGCUGGGACAAAUCAAAUACAAAGACUUGCUCAAAAUGUUCUGAAACACGUUUUCUAAUCCCUUGAAUUAAGUCAAAGUUUUUAGUUUUUUUUUCUACGUUACACAUGAACUCAUAAAACCUUAAAGUUUAAAAAGGUUAAUUCAAUUUUUCUGACCCUGCUUUAACAUAUAAAGAACAUUUUUCUGUUAUUUUUACUUACUACCUCAGUCCAAGUUUUACUCAUGCCGGUUGAUGAAUAUGUGCUCAGAUUUUUUAAGUGAAACACAGAAGUUUUCAUCUCCUCAACAGUUAUUUAUCAGACACAGAAUGACACAUUCGGCAAUCAUCAGGCUCUGCCCUUGGGGCCCAUAUUGAUAAUACACUCAUUUACAGAGCUCACGUUGAAGGUCUGCUACAUCCUGCUCCUGCUGAUAUAUUUUAACUCUGAUGUGGGUGUUCAGUCAAAGUUUGUGCUCUAUUUUAUAAUUCAGUCCUGGGCUACAUUAUAAGACACAGAAGGACAGCGUAGCGAGGUAAUUUAUCUGAACAGCCGAAAUUUCAAAUUACCUGUCUGGUACAAACUGCUGUGGAGAUAAAAAAAAUAUACUUUUCUACCGUCCAUUUACUGUAUGAGUAGUCCGAUGUCAGAUAGGCAGAGAAAAAUGGUGUCGGAUCCCAUUCAUAUCCUUUGCUCUGAGUUCCAAAUUUAUUGUCUGGCAAAAGUUUCCAGGCCUCUGCGGAGCAAAAUGACUGCAAAUAUUCAUUCAUAUCCAUGACUGUCAAGCUUCAGUAGUGAUGUGAAAAAAUAGGUCGUUUGCUUUGAGUAAUAAGCUUUUAGAGCACACGUGAAAAGCAGAUACAAGUUCAGGAAAGGAUAUGUGAGAAUCCAUUUGUUUAUUAAAGAACAGAUACGUUUAAAGGAAACUUCAGCAUUGUGACUCUUGGGAUGGAAAUAAUUGAGUCCUGUAUUUUAGGCUAGACUGAAAUAUCUCAACACAACAAGAUGAGUAGUUAGUUUUGGAAAGCUUUGAGCUCAUACCUAAAAACUGUCAGAUGAUGGCUGAUCAAUUCAACAUGUGCAUCCCUGUUUACCGUCAUCCUCCGCCGUUCUCUACCUCGACACCCUUGGAGUUUCCCUCCUUCACCGUUUGUGCACCUGUAUCUGUUUAUCUCCUUCUGCUUACUUUCCUUCAACUCAUUAUUACAAUUAAAGCAGGUUUUGUUGUUAAGUUGCCAAUUUAUACUCAUUAAUCUGCACAUAUGCUUUGCUUUGCAGUUGUCUUUGUAUUUUUUUCUUUUUCGGGAUUUUGCGCUGGAACCUUGCCUGCUACCAGUUUGUCUUAAUUUUUUACAAAACUACUGUAGUCUAGAUUCGAUCCUAGGUGUAAGAGUGUACUACCAAUCAUGGCAAAAACUGCAUUUAAAGUGGAUCAGCAGUGGUCAAAGCUCGUUGUGCAUAUGUGGUGAGACAGUCAGGUAGACAGUAUCUUAUUACAUCAUGCCGCGCUCUCUCAUAUCAUAUUAUAUCACGUUACAAUGUGCCGAGACAGCUAUUGAGAGGAAACACAGAAUGAAAUGAGAGCAAUAUUAUGUAAUGUGUUGGCUAAUUAAAAAACAGCCAGCUGUAUACAUGUCAUAUAUAUAUAUAUAUAUAUAUAUAUGUAUGUGGAUGAGCAAAAACCGUUGUCUGCUAUGUGUGGUCAUGUGUUUACGAUGCACACUGAUGUUCAUAACCUUAUAAACCAGAUGAGCCUUUUCACUCAACAUACAAAAGGUACAGCGAAGAGUUAUCCAUCCAUCAUGGCAGGUUCAAAAAGACCAGGACAUACCAAUAUGACUGUAUUGUUUAUGUAUUCAAAAGAAAGAUCAAGAACAAUAAGAAGUUCUACCUUUGAGUGCUUAUUAGAUGUUUUUAAAAAGGACAUUAUUUCUCUGCUUUCCUUGAUAUAACAGACGAACUGAGCGCAUCCUUCUUCACUCAUUCAUGAAUUAUCAUUCUGGGCUACUAAAAAAAAAAGUACUCAGAACACAGAGAUCCUUCGAUGGCAACAGAAGUGACUGUGACAGUCGUACUGUGCAUCCUUCAUAGUCAAUGAAAACACAGCUGUGAUCAUUACUGGGCCUGUUCUUUCCUGUUUUAAUUCCAGCUGAACUCUCCAACUCCAUCAGGGAAAACAGCAGAAAAAUCCUCUCCUCAGAUAGGUGUUUGCAGCUAUUGAAUAAAAAAUAACGCAUUCACGCUUUUAAACUCUGAGAUAAGAGAAGAAGAGAUGAGGAAGUCCAGGCUCGGUUCACAGCUAAGUCGCGAAUUGCAAGACUGUUUUGGUAGGCGAAGCUAAAAUUCACAGGUAGAGUAUGAGACACUUUUGCAAUUUAGAGGCUGUGGAGUUCAUUUACAGAGUUAAUACUUCAACAAAAGUAUGGGUGUUGUCAGUGAAACAGGCAAAAAAGCUGAAGUUUAUUAAAAGAGACACUAAGUUCAGAUAACAGCUACAUUAAAAAAAGAAUAGAAGACGACAAAGGGAAGUCAGUAAAGGGCUUAAUUUGAGCCAUUUACAUGUGGUGACUUCUUCCUAUCACUGGAGCUCUCAUGGUCGUCUCUUCACGUCUGUCUGCUUUAUUGAACCUACACCUUUACCUCACUCAUGCAUGAUCAUAAUCUAAAUAGGAAACCACUUAUAGAACAACACAGUGCCAAUAUGGGUAAUUGAGAUUUUCUCCCAAAUUUGGUAAGAGUCUAUAGUUUCUUAUGGGAAACUCUGCCUUCUGCAUCUUUUCUCUUCUCCACAGAUCAAUGUUCUGUAUCAUAAAAUGAAAACCAGAAGUGUCCAUUGACUGUAAAACCACAACAUUCAGAGCUCCAUUUAGUGGGAAGCUGCAGUGUGGGUCUUAAACCCCGCCUCCUCCUUGAUCUCAGACGGAACAUGAGUCAAACUAUAAAAAUGUCAGCACCAGUCGGGGUUGUCUUUUGGUUUCAUCUCACAAUGGAAGGGGCGUUCAGUCAUUGCCUUGUGUACUUUUCACUGCGUCAGAUACCCACUAAGGUGAUUGUGCUUGUCUUAAGUCAUGACCUGAGCUCUGACAACAGCACUAUCGUCAUUGGUCAUGAGAAUGUUGAACUGUUUCAGGCCACCUCCAGUGGGCUUUUGAGCUUGCUGUGGAGGGGCUUGUUGUCCAGUGCAGCUGCUUUAGUGCAAAAUGUGUCCCUACCUUGUGCAGAGAAUACUGAUCGAAGAGGGGGAACAAAGUACACUACCAUCUUGAUCUAGCAGUGUGCAGGCCAGAGAUUUUUAUUUGUGGCUGGACACAGAAGAAUUGUAGCAGAGGAGCCUUAUAAAUUGAGGAGCAGGUAAUAGUACAAACAACCGAUGCUGGAAUACCAAUGUAGCUCUGAGUUGUGUUUUCCUUUGUUUGGAUUUUAUGGUUCUGUGCAUGUGACACGGUUGGAUUCUUUUUUGUAAACUUCAUAAAAGUGGAAUACAUCUUCAAAACUUUCAUAUUCACAGACACAGAAAACUUUCUCUAUGGAACGGAGAAUUUGCCCCUGAAAAUGAUGGUUUUUAAAAACUCUGGCCAGAGUGCAGAUUUUUGGAAAAACGCCGUUUGCACAUUAACGGAGAAAAACAGAGGAAAAACUGAGACUUGGGUAGCCGAUGGCAGGUUGCACACAAGAAAGAAGGGACGCUGUUGUUGUUGUUGCUGCUAUGAAGGAUUCUGAUUGGCUAACAUGGGCUUGAGCUUCUUGCUACACUGCAAACAAAAGCUUUUCUGAAAACGAAGUGGUGUGUGCUCAGUUUUUAUUUAUUUUAUUAUUAUUUUUUUUUUAAAGGGUUAAAUGUCAAUUUGUGAAAAUACCCGGGCAUGUGUAAACAUAAUCUUAGUCUUGGUGAAAUUGCCGAACACAAAAAUACCUGUCUCAAUUUAAACAUAGGAACUUAAUGUAAAUGUUUAUUUCUGUUUGAUGAUGAUUCAUGGUUUUCAAAUGAUCCAGAUCUUGGGAGAAAAAAUAAAUACAUAUAUAUAUAUAUAUAUAUAUAUUUUGUUGGACCAUCCAUCUGAGGUAUCAGAUAACAAUAAGGUGGUAUAUUAAUGUAAAAAGGGAUCUUAAAUAACACCAUGGUCAUGAGCUACGGCAGGAUAUUCCAAGUAAUAAGAUCAACUUUCUCCUUUCUUUUCUUCAGAUGACACUUUUGAUUUUAGAUAAUUACUUAUUUCAGGCUGUUUGUCCAGAUAUUAGACAAACCUUAAGAGCGUAUGGAGAGUAGCACCUUGUUAGUCAGGUGUUCAAAUUUGAUUGAAAAAAAAAAACGAAACGAUUUGUGGGGACAGAGAUUAAACACAGGAAGGUAUUUUAAUUAUUUGCAUUUAAGUGGCAACUUUACAAUUUGCUCUAAAAUAGAAGAAAAGAAAUGAACACUCAGACAGCAAACUCAGUCUGCCUACAUCCAAUUUCAUUUUGACAUCCUGAAGGUGAUAAGAAGUUACUUGACUUGCUUAAAUUCAAUCAUUGUUCUAAAGACAUGCAAUGACUUUUUCAUCGCAAAUUAGAGUUUCAGUCUCGCUAAGUUGUUCGACUGGGUCUGCUCUGAUUUUUCUUCUGCUUUAUACUGUUUGCACAUUAUAAACCCUGGCUGAAAAAGUAGAGAGGACAAUGAUGUGUUGAACAUGUAGCCCUGCUCAAAAUUAAAAACUUCACAGAGGGAAGCCUAUUUGUCGAAGAAAAGCAAAGAAAGACACAUUCAGCUCUUCAUCCAAAUCAAAGACAAUCCUCUUCCAAUUCUUGUUUAAGGAAACGGAAAAAAGAAGGAAUCAAAAAUUGAUGAAAAGGAAGUGUGAUAUUUUAUUAUCAUUCGCUAUUAAUUACAAUUUAAAAAAACAGUACUAUCUCACAUAAAAGCAUGAUUUGAUAAAGAAAAAAAAAAAAUGUUGAAUGUGUGUAUAUUCCAGUCAAUUUUAAAGAUCCCCAGAGUUCAACAUUCGCUUCCACAGCAGACAGAUAUCAUGUACAGAGAAAGCAUGUACUGUACAUCUAUAAUAAGAAAAAUGUCUUGUGGGUAAUCAUCUGGAGAGGAGUGUCAAUGAUAAGCAGCUCUGUGGGGUGUUUCAUGCAUGAUGCUCUCGGGUGCUUCAGACGGCCCCUCUCUGUGUCAGCUUAAACAGAUGGGAGAGGGAUGGUGUUACAUUAAUGAAAGGUCCCUGCUUCACUCGAGGUAUCCGUCUUCCUGACACUUCAUGUCCCUGUUGAGAACUUAUCAAAGUUUCACCAUCAUUUUUAAAGAAGUUUCAUGUCACCUCCAUUGCCAGGAGUGCUCAUUUUUAACAUCCUCAAGGCCAGGCGAACAAGUGCACGGUGAUUAUGACACUUUAACCCCUCCAGGGACACGGCGGUGUGUCGCUUGAUUGCUGCUGCAUUAAUACAGAAAAACCAAACAUGGUCGACAUUUUUACUCAUGCCCACACAUGCAGUGAUGGAAACCUUAUGUAAUUGCUAAUUCCAUUUAUGAUCUAUUUUCUGGUUUAUUUCCAUUUCUAGACACCCCUUGGAGCUACAAUGAUGAAAUGAUUGAAUGAAUCUUAGGGCUGCGUGAGGCUUUGUUGUACCUUAUUUUUUUUCUUUACCAGAAAUAAAUCUGAUUAAUUAGCUUGAAGAAUUUCAACAGCUAAAACCUGAACAGAGGCAAGAAGUCUCACCUGUGCAUAUGACGUGAGUUCAUAUGAGGUUGAAAAAAUAAUUUCAAAGUGGGAGUUAUUUCAGUUUGAGAAAGACAAGCUAUUGCUAAGUAUUGCUAAGAUAUUGUCUCUUUAACAACAUAUAUUAAAUUCUUACACUGGGUGCGUUUGUGUGUAUGUGUGGGUGGGUGGGUGGGUGGGUGAGUGAGUGAGGGUGGGUGUGUGUCUUUGUGUGCGUGUGGUUCCAUGGGUGUGUGGGUGGGACGGUCGGGUUUUACUGUCGUUAAUUGUUGUUUUUAGCCUCUUUGAGGCGCUUUGAACUGCUUUUAAGUAAGGAUGCUUUAUGGUGGCUAGUUUGCUAAAAAGGUUGGAUGUAUUUGUUUGAAGGAUUAACUGAUAUUUUUAUUUUUAUUUUUAUUUAUUUAUUUAUUUUAAACUGAUAACCGCUAUUUAGAACCAAUAAUCAUUUGCAGUAAAAAUGUAUAUUUUGGUGUCAGAAUUUUAGAUUACACACCUGGGAUAAGACUGGACACAGUAUACUGUUUGUUCUGUACACUGUGAUAAAAAGACCUUAAACUGCUGUAAGAUGCAAAUCUUUGUUGAAAAGGUUUAAACAAUUGUUUUAUUGUCUGAACUACAAAAGUGCAGGGAUCUUGUAGCAGUGUUUUUGAUUAAGUUAAAUGAAUAAAUAAAAAAGCUUCCUGAAUUUUAGGUAAUAACAAAAGUAAACACUGGACUGUAGUUGGUAGUUGGUCUCAGUUAGUUGUCCCAAUCAGAUGGGAACUGUAGGCGGGACAUUGUUACACAGCCAAGAGUGGUGACUUCAGGCAGAGAGAGUUGGCUGUGUAAGAGCCGAAUGAGCGUGUUUUAGAAUAAACAUAAGUUAUUGGUUAUUGGUGGGGAAAAAAACAGCUGAUGCCGAUUAUUGUAAAAAUGCUGAAUAUCGGCCGUGCUGCCUAUCGGUUGAUACUUCAUUUUUUUCACAUUUCCUUUUGAUGUAUAUACACCACCCUUUUGCAUACACAGAACUAGUAAGAAGUAUUUGUAACCUUAUUUACAGCUUUGUGUCACUUCAAGGAAAACUGUUGCUACAAUCCAGAAUUAAAGGGCUCAAGACGUCUUAAAACAAAACCCACUGAUUUUUUUUGUAUUAUUUCACUCCUUUCAUUUCCUGUGUAGUCUUAUAUUUGUAGCUGUUUGAUCAUACAUUUCAUUUCUCUUGAUGAAUAAAGGAUUAAAGUUGGAGAGAAACUCUUUUGAUGGUCAGCUCAGGUUGACGUGUUGAUUAAUGCUGUCAUAUUUGAAUCAGGCGGGUACUUUCAACCCAGCAGCCAGCUAGCUGCAGAGCGUUGCUUUCAAAUGCUGCUGUGUAUGUGGAACAGAAUGUAUUAAUAGGCUGCUGACAAAAUGCACUGGUGAAAUAAGCCAAGAGCUGGCAGAAAUAAGCCAAGUCCUGGCAGUUGCUUUGUCAGAGUUUGACAUUGCCAAGACAUGAAAUACAGACUUCAGUGUGUUGCUCUCACUGGAUUGUAAUUGAGCUUGUGGGAAGCAGAAGAGAUCCAAUCAUGUUGUCAUAUGUAAUUUUUCACAUUCAAGGUUAGUUAUCAUCCAGUCCAGCACAUGCUUUUGGUGGGCAAUGACAUAACAGAUUUAGGCUUCUUUUGUCAACAUGUGUGGCGAAUCUCUAAAUAUCUUAUGAUUUGAUUUUGUGGAGGCUACAAUUUAAUUUGAAAUUGAUCGCCAAUUCAAUUAAUUUCAGGGUUCUCUUGUUGCCAAAUAGGGGUGCUUAUUUCAGGUCUGAUACUGGUUUGCUGUGAAUGAUCAUUAUGUGAUAAUGCAGCUUCUAUGUUUGCAAAUGUUAAAUACUUUGUCAAAUAAUUAUUUCAUACCUUUGUUUGUUUUUAUCCAAACCAAUAAACUAUGAGGCAUUUGAUUGGCAAGAGAAUAAACUUCUGUUUGCAUGUUUUAGCUGAAGGAUGUCUGAAAAUUCAAACAGAACGCCUUUCCUAUAAAUGUCAGGUAUUGUAUGAGGCCUCAGCUUUAAGACAUUAGGCUGCAUAAAAACCAAAUUUGAAGGACAAGUGGACAAACUGUGAGGUCAAGAUCUUAGAUUAUUGCCCGGAAGGUUUUAUUCAUCAGAGUUGAUUUAUUUUAAUGUUUAUUUAACAAGGACAAUACAUACAACAAUGUCUCAAGAAAUGGAAAUUGUGCAUACAAGACGUCAAGCUUAAGCUAAUUUGCAGUCUUUGUGACAAUCUGGCUAUAUCAACUAAACAGACGUCUUAGGGAUCUCGGUAAAAAAAUAAUUAAAUUGAUGAAGAAUCAAAUUACACAUUCAAAUCUUCUACUAGUUACAAUAAGGUGAGUGACUUUAGGAUUUUCACACUAAAACAACCAAAGCUGUAACUCAAAUGACUUUGACUGUGUCUUCUCAGGUACACACACUUGCUAAAAGUGGGAAAGCAUGCUCUGUGGCUGUCAGGGAAGAGUGCUGUUCUUGAUGUAGUCUUUUUCCAAAGCUUCUGUGGCCUUGGGAGAUUGUUUCAUAACCAGCAAAAAGAAAAAAAAAAAGACUGAAAUUAAAAAUAACGCCUAUGACCUACAAAAGCAAGUGAGACCAUCAGCAGCAUAAAGAUGGACUACUUCUACAUAGUUAAUCACAGUGUCUGAAUCCAUUGGUCGGCGUAGGUGAAAUGGGUUAAUUCAAUGCUACCAUAACACCCUUUUUUUUUACCAUUUUCUAUGGCAAAAAAAUUAUCAUGAAUGAUUUUUAGUUAGGUGAACAGAGAGUUUGGUUAAAUCAGCAUUACCAACAUGGAAACACUUUUUCCAUUUAUUCUUCAGUCCACUUAUCCUCCUUGGUAGGGUUAGGAUUGUUGAGAACCAGUUCCAAAUGGUUCAUCCAUUGACAAUAUUUACAUUUUAUCUUAAUGAUUCCUUUCUUCUUGAUGCCAUGAAAAAUGGUCUUGUGAGAGCCAAUCUACGUGAACGAGAACAGAGAAAAAACAUGGCGGACAGUACAAAAAGUAGGCAGAAACACUCUAAAGCAUGGCUUCAUUUGACUAAGAAAGACAACAGUGCGACGUGUAAUGUUUGUCGAGCAAUGAUAACAUGCUGCUGCUCCAUCUCAGCCUGGUAUCGGAGGUACAUAUGUCCCGUGUAAACAUAAGCACAAUGCAUCCCAGACUUAACAACGUCCUCUUUAACCUGGACCUAUCGUCAUUAACUCAAAGUUUUGAGUUAAUGGUAAAAACCUACAGUCUCCUUUUUUAAAUCAAAGAAAGGCAUUGAUAAGGGAAUUGUCAAGGAAUUGAAUCGAUAAGCAGAAUCGAUCAUGGCAUCAAUAUUGAUAAAAUUUUAUCGAUUCCCAUCCCUACUCCUUGGCAUGUCAUACAAUCCAAACAUUAGCAUUUACACCUUUGCACAGGAUCUAUUCAUCUGAAGCUGCCAGCAAGCUGCACAAUCACACUGCCUGCUGGGUGGCUGGAUAACUCUCCAAAAUCCCUUAGCGCCUACAGGUGGGAGGACAUGCUGUAGCUGACAGUGGAACCUCCUUCACUGCAUGUGUUACAAGAUGUGAGUCUCUGCACACGUGUGAAACAUAGAAAUCUCAGAGUUUGUAUGGCAGCUCAGAACAUAGGCGGACACCUUUUUGUGCAAUACAAUGGUGUUACAAUAGUUCACGUCUCUGUUUAUCCGAAUGCAGAGUUUUCAUAUCUUCGUGAUUGCAAUGCCAGGAAAGAAUGCGCGGGGGAGACACUGUGCAGUGUUGCAGAAUGUCCUUCUCACCCCAGUGAAUCAUUGACUUUUGAUACAAGGGAGGCUAACCAUGCCCUUUACCCAUCUCCCAACACUAACAUGCACCGCUGACACAUGUCAUACUCUGGUCACCGGGGAGGACAGUGGGAAGAAGAAUACAUAGAAACAUGGUCUGGGUGAUAAACCGGGGCAGUUUUACACAGGAAUCAUUGCACUACAGGAUGGUCAUCACAAUCCUGGACCCCUGGAGAAGCUCAGUGAGAGCAUGCUGACAGGCUGCAAAAGCUGCAAAUCCAUGACAAGCCCACAGUGUGGAAAAGAUCUAAGACACUCUCACAAUCCAAACAAACAGACUCAAAAGGAUUUCUAUUUCAAAAAAUGCUGGUUUGACAGUGAUUAAGAAAUGAAACCCUGCUGUGAAAAGGUUAUCACUAAAAGGUCAUCUGUUUAUCCCCCUCUCUUGCUUCAAAGUCUUGGUGAGACACACACAUAAACACACAAAUCUCACUCCAGGGUGUCUGUAAUAUGACUAAAGAAGUUGAACCAAACUAAAGCCUUAGACCGGUGACCUUCUGUCCACAAUAUAUUCAGAAAUUUCAUUUUAAAUUAACACCCACCACUCUCCCCAAUGAAUGCCAAAGAAUAUACCAUCUGCAUCCUUCUGAAGUGGUCUUAAGCCCCAACACUCUUAGUCUUAAUCCUCUAUUUCCCAUAAACACCAUGUUGUGAUGGUGUAUUACAACCUUUGGCUCGCUGUGAUCCUGCCUUUGUAUGGCAGUGCGGACUCUGGUAGAAUCAUAAUUUAUUAAGAUUGUACCAGAAGUCAAAUAUCCUUCAGCAGUUUCAAGCAGAUUUUGAGGAUAAAAUAAAGUUAAUUCAAUUCAGCGCAAUGCAAAAUGUCAUCAGGAUUACGAGGCAGUACAUUACAACAGACAUCAAUAGGAGCGUCAACUCUUUAGGAACACUCUUCAUGUUUAAACUUUGGUAAAAUAAUAGAGCAUCGAGUUUCUUGCUACGUUUGUCCCUUGACUUAUAUAUGUUGGAAUAAUGUCACUGAAUAAUCAGUUUACAAAAAUGCAAUUUCAAAUUAGUAUGAAUUACAGGUUUGACAAAGCAACACAAUUCCUGAGUGAAUUUAGGAUUACUGACAUACUCAUCGACAGAGUCAGCUAUAACAAUUUGAAUUAGAACCUGGGGAGAAAUUCAGACAAUACAGGUAUAAAUUUAAUUUACAAAAAUGUAUAAUUAGUUGUUUCAAAAUGAUGACUUUUUUUUAUAUAACAUGAAGUAUAAACAACGAACUCAAUAGGUGUCUGGUAUGUUAACGUAACAUGUUAACAGUUAUUCAGAUUACUGUAGUAUAAAAAACAUGAUAAAACAAGUUUACCAAACCCUCAGUCUCACUCCAAAUCACUAAAUCUAUCGAAUUCUUCAUCCUCGUUGUCACUUCUGAACAAUUCCGCCAACUCUGGAGGUGGACGAAGCGCCUUUUCUGCAUGACUGUCAUCAUUAUAUGUUUGAAUAUAAGUCGCACCUGAGUGUAAAUCGCAAACUUAGCCAAACUAUGAAAAAAGCACGAUUUAUAGUAUGGAAAAUAGGGUAUUUUAUCUGUAAAAUUAGAUUUACAUUGGCUUUAAUUUAAGAGAGAAAAAAAUAAACAAAAUAUAAGUUUUAUGCACCAACUAUUUGCAUUAUAAUUUUGGAUGAGAAGAUACCAAUCCAAGAACAUCAUGAGCCCACUGAUAGCCGACUUAAAGGCUGGUUAUCAACAACACUGACUUUAAUGGUUUUGUUAUAAAGCCUUUUUUCAUUUGAGUAAUGUGUUUCUGAACUUUGUUAAUUGAUUGGAGAAGAGGCUGCUGAUGGGUUUUUUUUACAAGGACAAACACGUUUUAAAGACCAUUUUAAAAUAAUCUUUUACAAGCUAGGUGUCAUGGCAACAAAAGGCUUUUUGUGAGUUUAAUUACAUUUCACAGUCACCAAACCUACAUGCACCUGGAAGUUCUACAUUUCUUCCUCAACUUUUUCAUCUGAAUCUUGUCCUCAAGAAUAGACUCUUCAUCCAGGCAACUCAGACAAGUGUCUCAUGGGCUCAGAUAGCACUCAUGAAUUUACAAAACAUCUGUGGCAUGUAAUCUAUUGAUUUGUUCCAGUCAAUUAUACACUCGGUCUGCUUCUAAAUUACUUUGUGAUAUACACAAUAUCAUUCCAUCACAAACAGUAGAGAGACAAUAUGUAGACAAGUCUGAGCCUGCCCUUAGAUGACUUUUACAUUACUGGUUUCAUGUCAUUUUGUGAAGCCAACACUUUCUGCUCAACCAUAACCCCAACACUGCCUGAGGGUGGCGAACAUAAACACUAUAUUGACAAGAUAGUGGGAGAUGAUCCCAUGAGUAAUUACAUGGUGUUUGUAUCAUUGAUGUAUUGAAUGUCAGUUAAACUGUAGUUGCCAUGAAACCGUCAGAGAGAGUUUCAGUAGAAACAGACUGUUCAGCUGAGAUCAACUGUGGGUGGCAGAGUUAAAACUGAAAAUGUCAAUGCUGCUCACAUAUUGAAAUGAUAAUACCAAGUGGGCAGAGGAGGACUUGGUUUUCAGUGACGGGUAUUAAUGAUGGCUGCUGCCAACAACCAUGAUGUCCACCCACAUGCAAAAACAAGGGGGCAGUGUUGGGAUGAUUACUCAUUGAUAAUCAGUCUUUCUUGUGGAGUUUCAUUGUUCUAUAUUCUGUCUGUAUUUAACCUACCAUGAUCCAAAUAGUUGAACUAGAACUGAACUCCAUCAUUUUUUUACUGCUUUCUCUAUGCCUUAUAAAAUGUGUUUCCUUUAUGCAAAUAAUUUGUCCUGAUUUAUGAGUGGGUAAGUAAGUAAAACCCCGUUUUUAAAGCAGCUUUGAAACACUGGUCUCAAACUGCCCACAAACCAAGGAUUGAAAAAAAAAGCUAUCAAAAUUCAAAGCAUUAGAAAUCAGUCACUACACUGACCAACGUAGACUCCAGAUAGGGACAUGAUUUAUGUGAAGGCCUGUCGUGUAAAGAUGAAUCUUAACCUUUUAAAGCACUCUAAAGGUUCACAAGAUCAUACAGAUAGACCCAGUCGUUCUUGGUUUGUAACCAAAGCAUGUAAUGGAUAGAAAUCUGAGAUUUGAUGAUGACAAAAAAAGAAUUAUGAAACAAGAUGAUGGGAAAUGGAAUAAGGUCAAGGUCAUGCAGUGCAUUGUAUAUAGCUGAUAGGACCUUGUAGUAGAGUCUUCCAUUGAGCCAAUGGAGAGAAGCAAGAACAGGAGAGACAUAGAAGUCACAGCUGGUUUCAUGGUCGCUGCAUUUGAAAAUACCUGUAAACAGUUUAAAAAUGUUUGGCAGAAGUAGUCAUAAACCAAAAACUAGAGAAAAUGAAAGCAUAAAUCAGAGCCUCAAGAUCUGCUGAGGACAAUGUUGAUCUGAUUUUUUUCUUUAUUUCAUGGCAGCAGACAUCUUCUGUUGGACAGCAGUUAAAUGGUCAUAAAAUAAACCUUUAUCUCUGUCCAGUAAAAUGUUGAUAUGGUUUGUGAAGUAAAAACAGAAAUCACAAGCAAGAAAAUGUAUCAUAUUUUGGUUAUCCAUCAAAAUAAAACAUAAAAUAAUCCCUCUUUAUGAUCCAACUGGUACCUCCAUCCUGACCUCAGCCUUCAGUUUGCUUUUUUUCUUAAUUUCCACAUCUUAGGAAUUGUAAUUCAGGAUCACUUGUCUCAGCUAGUAUUAUGUAAAUUCACCUGUUACUCUCACUUCAUACUAAAAGUGCAACAGAUCACAAAUCUCAUGACUUGGUUCAGUUCAGUUCACAUAUUGACCCAAAAAAAAGGGAUUUGUAUAACUUUUCUACUUCAUUCAAAGCUAUGAUUAUAACUGAGCAGUUUAAGGCACAAUAAAUCACUAUGUUAACUCUAAUUAACUUAGUUCUUAAUUCUAAGUUCUUAUAUAAGAGCUACUUCAGUUUACUACUUCAAUCCAACUCUGUGCACUGAAAGUCAUGUGAAGUUUGCCUGCAGCUAUACUGCUGUGUUCCAGCAGUAUCUUUCCCACUGCCACCCCUGAACUGCACCAGAACGGGGUUCCAGUAUCACUACACAUUUGUACCUGCACCUUGAAAUCGUGUUAUACUGGUGUUCCAGUUUGUGAUUACAUAUUACACUAUGUUGUUGUUUUGGGAACACAAGCAGCAAGGCUUGUCAACACGUAAACACACUCAGACUUACAGUGCUGAAGGACACCAUCAGCUCCAGCUCUAUACAAUGUCACCUACUUCCCUUUGUUUCCUCUUUGUUACCUCUGAGGAAGGACAGCUUGACUUCCCCUUUAUCCCUCUGUGUUACACAUUCAGGAUGAGGCGUAACGUGGCAAAAAUACCCCACCUUGAAAUAGCUCCAUAUAAGCGCCUAUUCAAUUACAUACCAUUGUAUUCCUGCUCCCCCACUCAUGCCAAAGUAAAGCAGGGGAGACCGGGGCUUGUUGUCACAUGGAUAAGUUGUCAUAUUGCAAUUAUCUUUGCCACCAGGGGGCACAACUUAAAGGUGAAAUACUAGUUUUCUUCCUUUACAUUGUCAGGGGCUGUGUCCUUUCUGCGAAGAGAAGAGCACAUUGUGGGCUGAUAUGAGCGCCAAUUAACCAUUUUGCACAACCCAAAGUAAAAAAAAUUAACUUUAUAUAUUUUAAAAUCAGCUUCUUCUAGAUAAAAAUCCUAGCAGUGUUACAUGUUGACUUGUUAGAGGAGAGAUUAAGGCAUCCUGUCAUACCUGAGUCAUUGUUCUGUUUUAACUUUAAGCUAGAGCUAGAAUUAGCAAACAUGGUAGUUUGAAAAAUGUCUCAGUCAUUUGGUGUUAGUCAUCACGUUUAAAAGGGAUUAAAAUUGACACAGAGAGUCUGCUUAUCAGCAGUUGUCAUAUUGUAAUUCUGACUUUACUUUUACAGAGAAAAGAGUGGUUUAAAGAAGAGGAGAAAGCGAGAAAAGAAAAGAAAAAAAAAGAUCUCCUUCAAAAUGUUCACAAAACUCAGGAUUACUCGUGGAUUUGUGCUCUCUAAUAUGGAUUUGCUUUAUGGUAACAUAUUUAGACCAGGUAGCAGAGCUCUACUUUAUACCUGUUAGUGAUUAGUAUGCCAUGUUUCAUUUGCAGAUGGACCAAUAAAGAUAUAUUGCACUACCACUUUAUAUGCAUUCAAAUGGUACACAUCCACUGGCCACAUCCAGUAGGUAAAUUGAAUUUGUAUCUUAAAUUGAUUGCUUCAACUGCCUGACAUGUUAUAUACUGUAUAUAGAAGUCCUAUUGUACUCAAUCAGGGACAUUAUGCAGCUUUAUGCAAAGGUGAAUAAGUAAGUAGUGAUGGAUUAGGUUGUGCGCUUUCAUUACAGAAUAUCCUCUGCUGUGUCAGGCGCUUUGAUGCCUUGUUGAAACAGACCUUAUGUCCAGUUGAGUUUGGAUUCCAUCAAAGAUUUGGUGAAAAUAACCAAACUUAGACUGAAGUCAGUGUAGGAUCAGGAUUAAAGGACCGACCUUUUGUCAAGUCUUCACCCCUAAUUUUACUCAUGCUGCAAAAAACACAUGCACAUAGGGAGCUUUAAAUGAUAAAAGCAGCAGGUUUCACACUCCAGAUUUAGAGCAAUUCUCUAAAGAAGGGUCAUUAACUUCAGUAGUAAACCACCCGUUUUGACAGCACAAUGAAAACCUUUGAUCGUAAGUUUCUUUAGCUUUUUUUUUCCGCCCACUGUUACUCUUUGAGUUGAAUAAUUGUUUCAAAACAACAUUUUCAAUUGAGAAACCUGCAAAAGGGUCUUAGAUAUUCGCAUGCAUGAAAACCAGUUUGUUUAAUUCAAACUCAUGUAAUGAUGCAAAAAAAGGCUGAGGCAAAGGCUCACAAGCUUCAGGGCAAAACUCAGAUCCUCACAAGUUAAUGGACCCUGUGGAAAACAUGGUAAUAGGGUAACAGCAAUCAACCCAGCAGGGCAGUGUUACUCAGAUAUACAGUGUGAAAAAAAAUGUAGCGACAGAUGAAAUCCUCACACAGCAUUUCUGUUGUUAUAUUUCUUACAAGAGCUAUAUAAGAUACAAAACAAGAGUAGUUUUAUUUCUCCUACCAAUUUUCUUUCUAUAAACACUGAGAUUUCCUCUUGCAGAGUAAAAAGAUCACUCGAUGUGUUAGCCUGGGCUCCAAUCCAGAGUACGUUUGCACUUUUCAGGAUUAUUAAUUGCAGUUAGCAUUUGAUCAAAAUAUAGGAUGUGUUGUUAUGACGUCUGUUUAUCUCAAAAAAAAAAAAAAAUGUGGGAAAGUUUUCUUUGAGGUAAUAAUGUGCAGCUGUUCUCUUUCUGGUAGCAUAUCACAUCUGAACCCAAAACACCCCUCUGAGGUGCAGAAAUGUCACCGGGGGAGUAUUCAGAAGGAAUACAUCAUCAUGCUGAAUCACUAGAUAGCCGACCAUUUGGGAACCAGAUAUGUGAUCUUGACACACUUGCACACACACAUUAGUGAUCAAUUUUAGGUGCAUGACAUCCGAUUCUAAAAGCAUGAAAUGUUUUCCUCUCACACUGGAGUUUCAGCAUAGCAUUUACCCCUCCAUUCAUGUGUCUUUCUGCAGAAAAGCUGUCCUACAGAGAGAGAAACUGAGAUGACAACCCAAUCAAAUGCCCUUUUCCCUGCCUCUGAUAGUGUCUGUGCCUCAUGUUUUUCCGAAUACGCCUUGACAAAUUUCUUUUAUGGAUUCAUGUAAAGGCCUUGGCUGUGUCGAG
rnacentral:lncRNA from 1 species